rnacentral:lncRNA from 1 species
GAGGAGCAGAAAUUACCGGCGGGGGAUGGUAAUUGCAACCGUUCGAGAAUUUACAACUUGGUGUGGGGAAUGUGCGAUAUCAUAUGAUAGUCUUCUCCUCUGUAACGUUCUUCUAGAAUAGGACAUCCCCUAAUACUCAAUUCCUGCAGUGUCGUCGUUUGAAGAAGGUGAUCUGGCAGCACAUUUAAUUUGGGGCAGCAAUCAAUUUCCAAGGAAGAAAGACGCGGCAUGAUGGAGAUGUUUUCCUUCCUCGUAACCCUGUAAUUCCACUCUUCCAAUUCAUCCAAGUCCUCAAUUUUGAGUGAUUUCAAUUUGGGGAAGGCAAUAACUGAUGAAGAUGAAGAUGUGUCAUCAACACUACUCUCUUCUAUUCCCAAAAACUCAUCACCCACUCUUUUUACACUAAUCAAAUUGUAUAGGGUGAGUUUUUCCAGAAGCAAUUUUCCCAGUGGAGGCAAAUGCUCACAGUUAACGCACGAGAAGAGUUUUAGUUCCCUUAGAUUGGUUAGCAAAGUCAACCAUUUGGGAAAAAUGUUGCCUCCGUAGAAUAUAAUCCAUAAUUCCUCUACAUUCAAAGGCGGUUGUAAGGCUUCAAGAAGUUGUUUAUCUUUCUCAUUCUUCCUCCUCCCUUCUUCGCCUUCCCCAUCUACGACUCUACCAAACUCAAGAUGCAAACGAAGGAGGUUUUUCUUAUUGUAAAGUUGUAACCUCUCAGCCUCAUCUACAUGCGAUACAUUACUCAGCCCUUCUACUCUACAUUCACGAAGGAGUUGAAGAUUUUUCAGAGAUUCAAGCCUACACGUGCUGCCACCAUCAACACCUCCACCCACAACAAACUUUUCUAAUGUUCGAAGGCUGGUCAAUCUGGAAAUCCCUAUUGGCAGGUACUUCAGCUUUUCAGUUUGACCAUUCAUUAAACUCCUCAUGUUCAUUAACUUUCCAAUCCCCGCAGGCAAUUCUCUAAGAUUUGUACACCAUCUAACAGCUAGCUUUUGUAAAUUAUAUAAUUCACACAAAGUCUCAGGCAGUCUCUCUAUACAUAAUUCAGAUAAAUUAAGAUAUUUUAAAUGUAUCAAUUUUCCAAUAUUUUCUGGAAUUUCUCUAAUGAAAUUUUUGUCAUCUAAGGGUACGAACCAUUGCCUUAUAACUAGUGCCCUUAAACAUGCCACUUUACUAAAUAACUCCACAAGGAUGCUGCCAUUAAGAGACGGACUGUAAGGACUUAAAUCAUAAAUUAAGAGGGUACGCAAUCUAUUAAAUUCAGGAGUGGACAUAGGAAAUGAAGCUCCUCCUUCAAAGUUUAACCCUAAGUGACGGACUUUCUCACCAAAAGAGUUUAUGACUGAUUCUUUCCUACUGUUAAUUUCUACCCACAAACAUUCUUCUCUACUUACAAGUUGGGCAAAAUCAUGUACUAUGUCAUGCAUCUUGCAACUCAUAACAUUAUCAUCAUAAUCUUUCACAAACUCUUGAAAGAAAGAGCGUGUUGCUAAGAUGUUGAAAUACUCUUCUCCAAUAAUCUCCAUCUCUUCAUCUUCUUCUGAAUUAAGGUAACAUUGAGCCAUCCAUAGUGUAAUUAGUUCUUCUUUCCUUAUAUUGUAGUCUUUUGGAAAGACAGAACAGUAUGAGAAACAUCGUUUUACCAUAGAAUUGGAGGGCAAAUCAUUAUAGCUCAAUAACAAAGGAGGCAAAAGACCUUUCCCAAUCUCUUCCACCUUCCACAUUUCACUAUCUAAAAUUCUUUUCCACUCGCUUACUGUUCUUUUAGAGCGCAACAGAUUCCCUAUUACCUUUGCAGCAAGAGGCAAGCCUUUACACUUACAUGCAAUUUUUCGUCCGAUUGGUUCUAAUUUUUCACAAUCCUCAAAGGACCUACCUAGAAAUGCUACCUGCUUAAACAGUGACCAACAUUCCCCUUCACCCAACUCCUUGACAGAGAUAAUAUCUAUUGAUCCCAUUUGGAGUGCAACUGACCUAUCACGUGUGGUAAUUAGAAUUUUACUUUCAUGGUGGCCAUUCUUUAGACAAGAAAAGAACGGAUCCCAUUUUUUGUAAUCUCCAUCCCACACAUCAUCCAAAACAAGAAAAAAUUUCUUCUCCCUAAUAGAUUCCUGAAUCUGUUGCAUAAGAGAUUGGAAUUCGCCUAAACUAGAAGCAGAUUUGUCUAAAACCUCAAGAAUUGCUUUAGCAAUCCUAAUCUCCUCAAAAGCGUCUGAUACACACACCCAUAUAACUAUGUCAAACUUUCUUUUCACCCCCUCAUUGUUGAAGGCUAGUUGCGCAAGGGUUGUUUUACCUAUACCCCCUAACCCAAACAGUGAGAUGAUACGAAGGCCUUUUUGUUGUUCGCUACUCUCACCCAACAACUUGCUUAACAGCUCAUUUUUCUCGUCAAUUCUACCACAAAUCUCCCCCUCAUCAACCAAGGAGGUGGUUCGAACUCGCUCUGGCUUCUUGACAUUGUUACUCACAUUCUCAGCAAAUUUAAACCUAUCUUUUUGAGAGGUAAUAUCAUCCAGCGUUUUAUUGAUUUCUCUAAUCUUGACAGCAAUGUCAUGACGAAGACUGAGUUGUUUGAAACUACCGAAGCAGUUUGAGGCAGAAGGAAAGAAGGAACAUACCUUCUUCUUAUGAGCAGCAAGAGCAAGAGUAUUGUCAUCGUCAAGGCCCUCAAUCUGCAAUUUGAGCCUUGCAGUGGUCCACUCCUCCAACACAUCUUCCAUGUCGUAAGAUGCGUCUUUGAGCUGAUCCAGCCAAAAAGUAACAGCUUUGUCGUGCUGCAUUUGCCUUUUCUCUGCAUCUUCCAGCACAAGUUGAAUGGCUUGAAGAUUGCUGGUAAGCUUUUUCACUUCUUCUCGGACACCAGUCACAAGUCUCACCUGUUGUUUCACUUCAUCAGCCGCAACAGAGAUCAGCUGCUCCAGGAGAGAGGAAACGAUCGCAUCAACCAUUCUGACAAAGAAGACGAGAAUUCUGAAGAGUUAUUAGAUGUGCUUUUGUUGCGAUGAUACUGAAAGAAAAGGAGUUAUUGCAUUCUUUUAUAAUGCAUAGAAAAAGUUUAUGCUUAUCCCCACCCCACACGUCAAUGAUUGUAGAAUGUUUAAUUUCCCUGAUUCUACUCCACUAGUUAUGAUGCGCAAUUAUAAAUAUUCUCAAAUUAUUUAUGAAAUAGCACAAAUUUGGAUCUAGUAAUGAUUUAUAUGAUUUCUGUGUGUUCACUUUUCCGUAAUCUUCUACUAUAAGGGUUCAGAUUUAAUUACUAAUUUAAAAAAUAAGCACAAAAUAAUAUCAAGCAUUAAUGUUAUUAGUAAUACUCAAAUUCACAAAGGAAUAAAUAACGAAAAGAAAAAAGAUUGGAAAAAUCUUAUUGGUAAAUUAGCACAUUGUUUUUUUAAUAAUCUCAAUAAAAUUAGUAAUACUCAUAUUAGUCCCUAAAACAUUAUUAUGUAUAAGUUAAAAAAUCUUAUUAGUCUCCAUGAUCAAUAUUUAUGGAAAUAUUUUUGGCCUAGGCUGAGAAAAAAAUUCCUAGUUUCAUCACUAGUUAACCUCAAGUAUACAUCCCAUAUACACACACACACACACAUUCCUUCUCGAGUGCGGGCGCCGUCAUUUUUUUUUUUUAUAUGAACACACUUUUAAGCCACAUGGCUUAAUAGAGUUAAUUUUUUAAUGUUAUUAAACCACGCGACUUUAUAGUAUAUUGAAAAUUAACUCUAUUAAGUCGUAUGAUUUAACAGAGUGUCUGCAUUAAAAAAAGAAAAAAGAAAGAGGUUACAUAAAUAUGCGGGAAAGGUCUAAGAAAACUUUAAAACCUCACGAUUUUAAAAUUUUCUCAGACUUUUCUGUACUUUAAAAUUUUGAAUUAAAAAAUGUAUAUAUAUAUAUAUAUAUAUAUAAAGAGUAAUGAUAUAGCCACAAACUCUUGUACAAAUUUAUUUUGUACAAACUGAUGUAGCGUUAAUUUAUUGGUUGAAUUAAAUAUCACUUGGCCCACAUAAUUUAUUUAUAUUAUUUUAUAUUUUCAUUCAACUAAUAAAUUAAUGGCACAUCAGAUUGUAUAAUAUAAGUUUGCACAGUAGUUUAUGACUGUAUCAUCACUCAUAUAUAAAUUCUCUCCCGCAUACAUCCACGCAAAAUAGAGUCCGAUUUUGACAUUUCACAGUCUAAGAAAAUAACUUUCACCGCUGUAAAACUAUCAACGAUGGCUUAAAACACUAUGCUUACAUGUUUCAUGUGGAAAUCUAUGGAGAGAUAACGACUGUAUAUAUAUAUAUAUAAACAUAUCUUAAUUUCUAAUAAGAUAUUAGCCAAUAUUUAAUCAACAUUUAUGCAAAGGGGUCCCCCCUCUUUAUUUGGAGGAAUUUGGCACCAGAUGAAAAAUUUAUGCUUAUCCCCAACCCAUACGUUAGUAAUUGUAGUAGCAUCUUUUAAUUUCCCUGAUUCUACACCACUAGCUGUCGUACAUAAUUAUAAAUAUUCUCAAAUUUGUCGCAUCUUUAAAGUAUGAACACUGGUUUUGUCCAUGUCACUUUUUCUAUCUUAUUGCAAUAUGAGGUAGACGAAUUCAGUUUCUUCAAGAUAUGGGAAACGAUCGCAUCGGCCAUUCUAAUAUUAGAUUAAAUGCUAAAUGUUACAAUUGUUUUUGUUGCGAAAAUGCUCAAAAGAAAGUAGCUUUUAUGAAUUCUGUGAGAAUGCUCAUUCAAGCAUUUUUUAAUUCUUCUUAUACUACGUGAAACAUUUAAUUUUUACCCUUGAGUCAAUGUCAAUGAGAAUGCUUUUGUGCUGGAAAUCAAAGGAGUCCCCAAAGGAGUCAUCGUCUGGGGCUAGCUUUCUGCACCACCACGUCAAUAAUUGUCUAGAUCUCCCCUGUUUCUCUGAUUCAUAAUAAUUGUGCAGACUACUUUUCAUCAGCAUUCGUAAAAGUUCUUACUUUUCUAAUUAGUAACAAAAUAUUUGUAAGCUACAACAUAAAACUUAUAGCAAUCUAUCGAUGAAUCUUCUGAAUUCAUAUUUAAUAAAUUCGAUAUAAUAUAGUCAUUAGUUUUUUAUUAUAAACAUCAGUAUAUUUUUUAUAAUAUAACAUAUAUUGAUGAAACUAUAUAAAGCAAUUUCGCCCUAUUAUACAAAUUCAUUAUGAAUUUCAUCACAAAUUUGUAUGCGAUCGGGACCGUGCAAGUGAGAUUUCAGAUAAAAUCAUCUCCUGACAAUUUAUUUAAUAUUAUACUUUUCAAUUUAGCUUUAACGUAUGGCCGACAACUUUUGUUAUCCGGUAGGCCAAAUCAGUAUCAUAAAGUAGUGAAUCUGUUUUAGUCUACAGUCAAUACAUAACUUCAUUAUGUUUGCAUGUCAUGAUAAAAUGAGAAUUGUUAAAUAUAAUUAAUAUUAGUAAUAAAAUUACUAUAAUAAUAAUUACUAUUAUUAAUAUAAUGAUUAUAAAUAAUAUCAAUAAUAAAAAUUUUAUUAUUAUCAAUACUACUAUUAUUAUUAUAAUAAUAAAAUAAAAUAGUACUAAUUAUUUUGAUAAUAGUAAUAGUAAUUAAUAAUAAUAAUGGCAAUAAUAAAAAUUAUCAUCAUCAUCAUCAAUAAAUUUUUCAUAAUAAUAAUAAUAUAUAAAGAAGGAAAAAAUAAGAAUUUUAAAAUUUGAGUGGGAGUAAUAUUGUUACCUCAGGGAAUGGGAUUCCCAUUUGCACCUCCUCUCAUAGGAAUGUGAACUCUAGUAAUCACUCCUUAUUUUAGUUUGGGCCCAUCACUUUGAUUCAAAUUCCUUCUCUCAUUCAAGCAAGUAAACAGAUCAUUAAUUUAAUUCCGAUUACCAAUAAAUAAACACAUUUAUUAUAGUGGUGUGGCCUUUUUUUCCUAUAUAAAGACAAAUGCAAAUUCAUCGGAGUCAUUUUCAAAGAAGAGUUUCUAUAAUUAAUUUUUUUUUAAACUAAGAAAAGAUAGCAUAUUGUAACGGACCACUCAAAUUUACCACUAAAGGAGGCCAAACUAGCCUGCCAAGGUGAGCUCAAUAAAGACUGCCCAAACACGAAGUAUGCUAAGUAGCAAGGUGCGCUCAAUCCAAAACCCAAGGUAACCAAGUCCAAUCCAAUUUUAGAAAUCUCUACAAUACAAUAGCAACUGUAAAUAUCUAAAUAAUUCUACAGUUGCGUACUCUAGAACUUACUAGAUAACUAGGCAAGUUACGCAAGUUGCAUAGAACUCUCUAGAUCUAGGCAAGCCUCCCUAUAAAUAGGGCAUGGCAUCCACCAUUUUGCACGACACCACACACCAAGCAUAAGUAGAUCAAGCAUACUUGUAAUGCUCUCUUGUAUUCUCUCUUUCAAGUAAUAAAAUUCGUUUUGGCUACAUUGCUCUCUUCUCUCCAGCUUUUUUGCAAUCAUCUUUUCUUAGCUAGUUUGAGAAGUUCGAUAGGUUUAAUUAGCAACUUUUGUGCUAGAAGUUAUUUAAGUGUCACAUGGAUUGCUGUGCAAAUUAUUUAUGCCGUGACAAUAUGUUAUGAUUAUUAUGAAUUUUCCACCACUUUAUAUAAAAUCCUCUAAUUUAUUUAAAUUGUGAGUCAUAGAAGUAUAUUACCCAAAUUGUUCUAUUAUCAUAUUAAUAUAAUAUUUUUGUGUUGACACUUGUAAACAAUUGAAAAGUUUUGUUUUACUAUAAAUUGGUAGCAUCUCUGCAUGUAAUAUCAUCUCAUUUUUCCUCAAACAAUAUUACUAGCAAGAGAAAGGAAUUAGAAUUCUCCAUCUCAAAGUUUAAGUUGUUGGUUAUCAACACUUUCUUCAUGUUCUUUGUAUAGAUACUUCCUAAUUAGAUUUGCAACAUGUUAUCAAGACAACUUUACUUUGAUUCAAGAAAGUACUUAAUUUCCUAUGCUCUCAUUUCAUAUGUUUAUUUAACAACUCUAUACUUAUACGUAUGUUUUGUAGUCAAUAUUGAUUUAGAGUUACAUCAAAUAAAAAAAAAAAAAAAGGUAAGUGAUCUUCUAUUCUUUUAUGUAGGGACAUCAAUGGUGUGAGGUGGGGGUGGAGAGGCCUACCUCAUUACCCACCCCAUUAAAAUUUUUACCUCUAUUCCUCAUCUCAUUUCCCAAUAAAAUUCAGUGGAGUGGGGAUGAAGAAUUCUCAUGUGAAGAAUGAUUUCUCUAUCCCUACCCUAUUAUCUAUUUACUUAUUUUAUAAUAGGCAUAGAUAAAUGAUUUCAGUAAAUUAAAUAUUAGAAACUUAAAUAAAUUCAUUAUCAUAUUACAAAUUAUUUAAAUUGUUUUAAAAAAUCUCCAAAAGGUUGAAAUAAUAUCUUGAACUAAUAGUAAAAUUAAAAAAAAUGUUUGAAGAGAAUAGUAUCUUAAGAGGAAAAAGAAAACAUAAGAAUGCUUUAGGGUUAAAUAAGUAUUAUAAUGUAGGUUUUUCUUUUAGUUAUAACUUAUUUAUAUUAGGUAAAUAAAAAGAAAAUUUAUUAACCAACAUUUUAAUUGAUAAAAUAAAAUUAUUGAAUAAAAACUAAAAAAAUAUUCAUUUAUAAUAGGAAUUGGGGUGGGGAUGGGGUAGGAAGUACAAAACCAACCCCACCCCAUUAAGAAUUUGAGAAUUAUUUUUUCCUCAUUCUCUACCCAUUCUUAAAAAAUUAUUUAAAAUUCACCUCAUUUAAGGUGGAGUCUAUCCUAUCAGUACUUUCAUGGCACGAAAUUAUUAUGCUCAGUGAUGAUUAUUGAUUUGUCUAAUUUUAGAUGAGUUAUUAUUUUGGAGAUCAGUGCUUUUGCUGCUAUGCUGAAAGAAAAGGAGCUAGAUUAUUCUUCUUUAUACUGCAUGAUAAAAUAUUUACUAAUAGUCGAUAUUCUAUCAACAAUUAUGCAAAGGAGUCCCUACUGAAAAGCUGAAUUUAGAAUUCAAUGAAAGUUUUAAUCAUUGUAGCAUCUUUAAUUUUCCUGUUUCGACUUCAAACUUUGUGUUACAUAUUUGUUAACUAUAAUAUUCUCAAAUAAAUUUGCAGUGGUCGGGCCCGUGCCAGUCAAAAACAGAAAAAAUAAAACAAAAGUUGAAAAAUCAUGCAGCCGACCACUACAAAUUAAUUUUAAAAAAAGUAGUGGAAUAUUAGGUAGGCGAAUGCGGUUCAUCGUUCAUAGGUCAUUUAAGAAAGUAAUCUCUCCCUAAUUAAUUCUUUUCUUUUAUCUAAUCAAGAAAAGGUAGCAUAUUGUUUUUUUUUUUUUGAUUUGCAAUUCUUUAAAACAAAAAAAAAACAUGAAUGAUUGAUCGAUAAUAUUAAUUUUCUAAGUUAUUUUAAUUAUUAAAAAAAUAUUACAUAUUUUAUUUAUAAUAUUAUAUUCAUAUUUAUUAUAGAACUUUAUUUUAGGUAAAUUUUAGUUGUUGUGUUUGAAUGAAUAGAAACUUAUUUAAUUCUUAUAUUUUAAGUUAUAUUCACGUUUAAUCUUUAUAUUUAAAAAAAAAUAUGAUAGGACUCCCCUAAUGUUAAUAUCUUACACUCUCCUGUUCUUACCUUUUAUUUCCUUUUUAUAUAAAUAUGAUGUGGUAUUAUUAAAUAACAUAAUAAAAUUGAAAAUAACUAAAAAUACAUAAUACGAAUUUACACUUAUUUAUUAAUUAUUAUAGAUAUAAAAAUAAAAUAAAAGGUAGAAUAUAAUAUAAAUAGUAUUGUAAUAUAUUAUAAUUUUAUUAAAUUAUUAGUUCGAUUUUAUAUUAAUUAUCAAUAGCUUUUGCUCAUUUAUAUAGCAAAAGCUAAUGCGUCAAAUUGCGCAGUGCACUAACUCCAGCUCCCCCGGGUUUGUGUAAUGCACCAAAAUUUAUAAUGCGGGCAUUAUAGACAGCUCCACAACGAAACUUCGAAAUUUGCCAAACAUGGGUCGGUAACAAGUUUUGAAGCCCCAAAAAUUCAAUAAACAGUACCUCAGUGCUUGAAGCUCUAAGUUACCAAAAAUGAAAUCAAUUUUUAAGUCAUUGUUGUUGCAAAACAAAAGUGUAAAGGGAAAGUUGACGAGUGUUUCUUAAACACUACUAAUUGUCAAGUUAAAACUGUUUGGUAUGCUAUUUAGAACUUAUGCUUUAGUAAAUAGUUGUGGGCAAUAAUCGGUUACCUUGCCAAAACCAAAUUGCAAUUAUUUACUAAAACACUUAUCUUUGGCAGCAGAGUGACCAAAAAGCUCAUACAAACAGAGCCUCAAUCCAGCUGGGUUAAGGGUUCCAAUGAAAAGUAAAUUUUCUCUAACAGACACACUUUUCCGAAAACUAAGAUUUAUUCUGAAGAAAUCUCAAAAGAUUUAUUCUAGAUAAUGUAAAGCCGUAAAUGUGACACAGGCGUGUUUUAGAUUUACUCCAAGAGACAAGUACAAUCCAAGAUUAUCACUCCAAUUGUUUCAAUUGAUUGUAUUUUUCUAGACAUAAUUAAAUUACGUAUAAAAUAUAUAUUGUUAGAAAGGUGAAUAUGUCUAGUUUUUGAAGAAUUUUAUGGAAUUAAAUUCAAACUUCUGUUCUUAAAGAAAUUCACGACUUUGUCAAUGAAGGUCACAACUGUUAGGAAUUCUACACAUAGCAAAAAAGUUUUGAAUUUACUGGCAUUAAUGCAUCAAGAUCUAAUUAAGAAGCUUCAAAUCAGUGAAAAGCUUUUGAGUCAAGAGUUCAAUGAAUUUUACAUGUUUGAUUUGGAGUUUUCUACAUCAAGAUAUGAUUAAACGAGUGUUGACUGCUUACACUUGCGGUUGAAACUGACCUUGAUGUCAAAUUGUAUUUUUCUUUGUUUUCUUUCACCUCAUGAUAGCUAAGACCUGUUAUUCUAAUUUGAUUUGAAUUCUAAAUGAUAGAGAUCUUAUCCUAAGCUCGGAGGGAUGUUCCAAGUUGUCUAUACAAAAAAGUAUUACAUUGUAACUUUACAAAACAGGGUGAUUAUGAGAAUGUAACUUAGAAGAGUGUUCUUGUUAGGGUUUCUUCAUGCAACUCUAUAUCUCUUGGUUCGAUUCCUUAGAGUGGUGAGUUGAGAAGUGCGGUAUCUCUUGUAGGAUAUCAUUAGAUGGUGAAUAUCUAUAUCCUUUUGUAAUCCUCUUAAAUGGUGAGCUUUGGUAAGUUAGAGAGCCUUGUAUCUCUUGUAAGACAUCAUUGGGUGGUGAAUAUCCCAUUGUAAUGAGCUUUGCUCUUGCCUUAUCUACGUGUGUGUUUUACAUAAUAAUGAAGUUCAGUUUAUAAUUAGGCCAACAUCAAAAUGGCAUUAGAUGUUUGUUGUAUUCUUCGCUUUCCUUUGAGACAGUCCAAAAUUUGCUAAAGUUUUCACAACAAAAGUAUGAUGUGAUGUCCUUUAUAUGUUUUUGUUAGAAAGGAAACAGAAAAAAUGCAUUUAGCAUUGUCAAAGCAAGGAUAGAACAACGCAAAUUUUUUUGACAAAUAGAGCACCAUUUGAUUUGGAAGAAAAGUUGGAAUAAUAAACAAGCAGAGAUCAAAACUGAAAUCAACCCAAAAUCGAAGAAGAAAGGUGGAAAGGAUAACAAUGCAUUGGACAUUUGAAGAUACAUAGUCUGAAUGUCAGACUGAGUAUAAGUAACCUCCUAACCGAACUAAUGUUAUCAAUUGGUCAAUUUUAUUCUCUGUAGGUCCAUGUUUGAACAUAGGGAAGCUAAAUGCCCUUUUAACAAUACCUUCUUUAAUUCUGCCUGGAAAUUGUGAUAGGACUUUAGGCUAAAUUAGGGCUGACUUUUAUUGAUUAGAUAAAAAGAAAGAACAAUCCUGACCUACCUCUCCCAAAACUCCUAAUUAUUCCUACCACUAGACAAAACUCAACAUAAAUCCUAAAUGACUCCUUAAUCUCUUAUUUAUACCCGAGCCAAAAUUAACAAUAAAUAAAAUUACUAAACUGGUCCUAUCCCUAAAAUUACUAAGUUUUUCUCACCUUUUAUAUUUGCGGCUAACAUAAGUUUAAUUGGUUUAACAUUACUCCUCUCUUAAAAAUACACCUCGUCUUCAAGAUGAAAUCAAGGAAACUGUUGUUUUUUUCUUCCUUGGCUUCUUCCCUACCUUCCUUCUCAUCACAUGUAGUUAGGACUUGUAGUGAUUUAUCCUUACAUCAAUGACUCGAUGAAAAUUUCUCAUCGCAUCGAAAAAACAACCUCAUUGUCCUCUUAUCUUGAAUCUUUGUCUCUGUGAGGCAUUUGAAAGUCACCCCUAGUCGUGCCCAACUAACCUGAUCCCUUUAGGAAUCUCUUUAUAACCCCAUCAUUUGCAUUUUUUAGCCUUCUAAUGGUGUGCUUUGGAACUUUGGCUAAAACUCCAAAGUUUGGGUUUUCUGUCCUAUCAAUGGUGUGCUUUUUUAGUAUGAAAAACAGACUAAACUGCUCAUAUUACCCCAUUCUAUUGUGUUCUUAUCAUUAAUCAUUUGUGCCAGCUCCAUUGACUCCUCUAACCCUCUCUACCCUAACAGGUGUAGUGAGCUCAUAUUUCUGGCUUCAGUUCCUUCAUAAAAUUCCCUUCCAAUACUGCCUCUUGGAUUCCCCCAAAUACCCUGAUAGCAACUCAAACUUCUCCCUAUACUCCAUGAUUGGUCUUUCCUAGGUCAGAGCAAAAAACUAUUCAUACAAAUCUCCCUUUUGAGUGGCCUGAAGCUUUUCUAAUAGCCGGUCAUUGAAUUCACCCUAUAAAUCAAUGGUUGUCAUUGUUCUCGCCAUUGAAACCAUGCAAGGGCUUUUCUCUCCAAUCAUAACGCGGCCGCCGUCAGCUUUUUCCUUUUUAAGACUCCAUUGAUGGCGAAAGAGUGCUCUAUCUUAUACAUCCAUCCAUAGGCAUCCUCGCCUUCAAAAAUAGGCAUUAUCAGUUUCCUUACCCUAAAAUCUAUCCCAAAUUGAGUCUGUCCUGCCCGAUUUCGCACUAUUAGAGGCCUCUAACCUCUCGAAUCUACUUCAAUUUCACAAAUCCUCCUUGUCUAGCCCCAUAUUAGGCUGAAAUCCCUUGCCCAAUUGUUUUAUGGUAAAAACCGCUUUCUCUCACAUUGAAAACCCCUCUUCCCGCCCAUCCGGCCUUAAAUCCGAACUAUCCAGACCCAAAAUCGCCAUGCCUUGGCCCAAAGCAACCAUACCUGAUCUGUCCAGGCCCAAAAUAGCCUUGCCCAAGCUAUGCAUCACCCGCAAAUACCAUUGAGUCCUCAAGCCCGACCAUCUUCGACUCUUGUGCACCUUAUUCUGGUGCCAAAACACUGAUUCUUAACUUUUAGCCACCUCUUCCAGCCGUGUAACCCUUGAAUUCACUAAUCUAGCCACCUCUUUCAGCCACCUCUUUGAGCCACGUAACCCUCAGAUCCAUUACCCCUAGCUACGACCCAGCUUCUUUUGCCACCUCUGACACCGGAAAAGGCUCCUCCAAGGCGCAAUUCCCUUGGGCCGACCUCCUCGCCUCCAAAUUCGCUGUGACCUGUCCCCCCUGGCUGUGCUAGACUGGUGGUUUUUCAGUCCUCUGCCCUUUGUGCUGCCAUCAACUAUGGGUUCUGUACCACCAAAUCUUUCUGCCGUGACACUGUUGUGGCCCGUCGAUGUUGCCAGUGGUGGGUUAAGGUGGAGUUCCGUCAAUUUCAGCAACAUGGCUUCAAGGGGUGAAAAUUGUUGUUGAACGAUGUUAAAUCGCUCAUCAAUGGUGGCCUUGAGUGAUCCAACCUUUGCUUCCAAUUUCUCUUCAAGCGCGUCCACCUUCUUUGCUGCCAUUGUCCCUGGAUUUUUGCUCUAAUACCACUUUGAUAGGACUUAAGGCUACAUUAGGGCUAACUUUUAUUGAUUGAAUCAAAAGAAAGAACAAUCAUAGCCUACAAUUCGAGAGGUAGGUCAAUCUCUCGCAAAAUUUAUAAAAAAGGAAAAAACAAUUUCCCUCUCUUCUACUUUCUUCAUCUUCUUCGUUCUAUUCCCUGUUCAUCUUCUUCUUCGUUCAUUUUUUUCUUCUCUUUCACACACUUAACAAAUCCACAACCACUGUUAAUUUCAAAUCAACCCAGCAAAACCCAUGUCUAUUGCCAGGCAAAAGCCAUGGCCUCGCACUGCCAUGUCUAGCAAAACCCAUGGCUACGCUAGCAAAAUCAUGGCAGCUGGGCACGGGCAUUCCAAGCAAGCCCAUGGAUGCAUGUAGCCAUGCCAAGCAAACCCAUGGCUGUGCGCGGCCAAUCCAAGUGAGCCCAUAGCUACGCGUUGCGACCAUUCCAAGCAAUCCCAUAGCCAUCAACAACCAUUCCAAGUAAGCCCAUAGACGUGCGUAGCCAUGCCAAGCACACAUUGAUCCAAGCAAAUGGUUGUUAAUGUUGAGAGAUAAACCACAAAUCUAAGGUUGUGACUAUGUUCGACAUGUCGGUUAUUCAAUCUGGUAAUAGAUGAUUUGUCGGUUAUCUCUAGUAAGGAAGCCAUAUGACAAAGUUGUUCCGUCAGUUGAGUGAAUAAGUUGAGCAGGUGAUUGCAACACGUGCAUUACUUACUUAAAACGGUAGAUGAAGACAGCGUUUUUGAGGUGAUUGCAACACGUGUCCAAAAGUUAGUUUAAAUGGCUAGUAAAAGUUGUUGAAAGGCGCGAGAAAUUUCUAGGUUUGUUGCUAACAAACCCAGUAACGUUGAGCUGGCUUCUGGGAGUAUUUCUAAAAGCAAUUUCGUGUUGUAUGAAGCCUUGUGAGUUGUUAUAUGGGAUUAAUCCAGAGGGUGACAAUUUCUCAGCUUCUUUUGUAUCUUGUAAAGGCCAGAUUAGUAAAAAAGCUUGCUUUCCUUUUCACAAUGGAUGUAGGUCACUUGUGUGGCUAAACCACUAUAAUCCUUUUGAGUCCUUGUGUGUGUGUUUUUAGUUCUUUAUCUGAUUCGAUCUCUGAUUGUUUCAGUAUCUGUGUCUUCAUCAAGAUUGUGUUGAUUAUUAGCCAUUCUUAGGUCAAAGAGAUUUUGAGUGGAUCUUAGGGGAUCAAGAUCGGUUUCUUGCUGGUUUUGGUCCAGCAGUUAAUAUUUUUCAUGAUUAGUCUGGUUUUGGGGUUCACUAAUGAAUUUGGGAAGAAGCUAAGAUUUGUUGAAAAGGAGAUGAUGGGCCAAGACUUGGAAUAGUGGCGUUGCUGCACCAUCGCGCAACUCCAAACUUCACUGCAAGUUGCUGGCAUGGCUAUUGUGGCCUUAUGAUGCUUGGCGAGAUGAAGCGUGGAGAACAUGUAGAAAACGGUAAGAAAUUAAAAAAAAAAAAGGGAAAAUGAACUGAACAAGAUAAAGAAAUUAACCAGAAAAUAAAAAAAAGUUUAAAAAAAAAUUAUUUUUCUUAUUUUAAAAAGAAAUAAUUUUUUAUGCUUUUGCAGUUAAAAAAUUAACUAAUUAAAAAAUAAAAAUUUUAAAUUUGGGUACAAAGCGAAUUUUAUUGAAAUGUUUGAGUGUGCAUUGAAAUUUGUUGAAACAUUUGGGCCAAAUGGUUCUUAAGAAAGAGAACCGAAUGUGAAAUGAAUUUUGUAAUCGAAUCAAAAUAUUUCAAUUUGGUUCGAUUCGGUUCAAUUCUUAAGUUUAGUUCAGGUUCAAUUCUUAUUAUGCCAAUUUGGAAAACACUUCUAAGAAACAGAAACAAAAAUAGAAACAUCAUGAGAAUUCAAAAGGAAAGAAACUGAGAGAAAAGAAACGAAACUCCAUUGAGCCAAAGAACAUGAGGCGGGGGUCUAUGUGUAUAGAGAGAAUUCAAUCACACAAGAACAAGAAACAAAAGUGGAGACAUCAUGAGAAUUCAAUCACCGUGAGAUUGCGAGGGAGAGACCAAGAGAGCUUGUGUGCUGCUGCCGACCUUGAGAGAGAUGGCUGCCGAUUUAGGGUUAUCAAACAUUUAAGAUUAGGAAUUAAAAAAUGAAAAAAAAAAUUAUUUUAGGUAUUUAUAUUUUAAAAUAAAUAUAUUUUUUAAUUAAGUUGAAGCGAACUGAUCAGUUUGUCAGUUCAAACUAAACCGAAUACAAACCAAUUGGUUCGUUUGUUUUCAAACCAUUCGAUUUCUAACUUCUAAACCGAACCGUUGCCCGCCCCUACAUUUGGGUUUUGUGGAAAUUGCCUUAAAUGUUUUGACUUCUUAUCCAUGAGUUGACUCUUAAGAGAAUGUACAAAUAUAAUUUUAUGCUUUCAGUAGUUAAAUUUAAUGGGAAGAAAACAGUAUUUGGAGAUAAGUUGAAAUUUUUAUACUUUUAGGGGGUAAAUUGAAGUUUGUCGAUCUAAUAAGGGAUAGAAUACAAUUUACCCUUAUUUUUUACUCUAAAAUAACAAAUUAUUACUUAACUAAACAUAUUUCACUAAUGCUCCUUAUUUCCUACCAAACGGUGGGACUUGGCCUUGUGUCCAAAAUUCAUAAUAGCUAACACAUUAACAAAAAUUAAAAAUACUAGGUUACAAAAUACAAAUCCGAAUUUUGUGUGUGAGGGAAUUUAAAAAUGGAGAGACUAAAAAAAUGUGGUGACAAAUGACAUUUAUUACCAAAAUUGAAAAUACAAAGUUUAGGCAACUGAAAGCAUCUCUUCAAUUGCAUUCAACCAAUUACCACCAUCCAUAAUUAACCAAAAUCAAAUAAAUUAAAAAAAAAACACAAAAAAAUCACAACACUUUGAUCAUCCCUGCUUCUUUUUCUUAGCAUAGCUCUUGGAAUAAAAAUUAACAAAAAGUGCCAAAAGGGACGCAUUAAACACAGCGUUGAAACGCCAUCCCCAAAUCCCAGAGCAACCAAAACCCGUGAAAUGAUAAUACAGCAUCAAAACUGAAACAACAAAACCAAACACAAACUGAACAAUCUGACAAUCAGUGACCAAUCUCUUCCACUUUGGCCGCAACCCCAUCACACACAAUAGAUAGUACCCGUACAUGAUCACAUGCACACUUGCAUUGGUGACAAUUGCAAUAGGAAACAAAGACUGCUUCGUCUGUAACCAAAGGAAGCACAUUACAACGACGGUUGCAUGGUGGUAGACGUGGAGGAACGUGAGCCGUUGGAUGGAGUUUGACAAAAUAAUCAAAAGGGUGUCAAAGAAUUCGAGUAUUUUGGAGAGGUAGAAGAUGUAAGCGUAGAAGAAGAGAGGGCCAGACGGAGAAAUGGUAGGGGGGAAACAGAGGGUGUAACGGAGGUGGGGUAAAUGGAGGAUGAUGGAGAGAGUGCAACCAACGGCCAUGAUGAGGGAGAGGAUGAGGAGGGUGAGGUUAUGGACGGCUAUGAUGGGCUUGAGGAUGUGGGGUCCAAUGAGAGGUGAUGAUGGUGGUGAUGUUGAUGUCGAUGCGUGGUAGAGGAUGAAUGUGAGGGAGAGGUAAGUGAGGAUGGAGAGAAUGAGGAAGUGUGGGGAGGAAGCUAGUGUUUGGUUCGGAGUCCAUGUGAAGUUGAGGAUUUGGGGGUGGUUUACAAGCCAAUAUUGGAGUGUUGAGGUAAUUGAAUAUGAAGCCAUGGCUGGUUUUUGGGGGGAAGAAAGAUUUGGAAGAGAUGAUGUUGAGAGGAACGGGGGAGUUUAUAAAGUUUUGGGAUAAUGUGGAGGGUAUUUUGGACAUAUUGUUGUCUUAGCUUAAAUUUUGGGAAAAAGAUAGUCAAUAAUAAACUCUUUUUUCAUAUCAAUAUAUAACUCCGAGUGUGUUUCCAAAACUUGUUUUCCUUUUUCCAUUUUAGAUUUUAAAUCGUAAAUUUAGUAAAGGAAGUUAAAUCAAGUGAUCACUCUUUUCUUUUCUUUUCUUUUCUUUUUUUCAUGUAAAGCAAUUAAUCUUUUUUGUGAUUUAAGCAAAUAUUGAGUUGCGUACUUUAACGAUAUUAAUAUUUGAUUCGAAAUUUUGUCUACCGAAACUACAAAAAUUAAUAUUUUCUAUUAAAUCAAAACUAAAAUUAAAAGAUGAUUCAUUGUCUGCCAACUGUCAUUAAACGAAGCCAUCACUCACACAAAAAAAAAGUGAUAUAUUCAUUUUAAUGUAAUUUCAUACCAACAUGUCAUUCUUUUCUUUCAAACAAUGACCUCUUUAAUUAUAAAAUAUGGUAAAAGAGUAAAAAUACAGUAAUACAGCCACACACUCUUAUACAAAUUUAUGUGGCAUCAAUUCAUUGGUUAAAUUAAAUAUCUCUUGGUCCACAUGAUUUACUUUCAUUAUUUUGUAUUUUCAUUCAACCAAUGAAUUGAUGUCACAUUAGUUUGUACAAAAUAAGAUUGUAUAAGAGUUUGUGACUAUAUCAUCACUCAUGGUAAAAAGGGAUGGGUUCGAGGUAUGGCGUCCAGGCCUUUGUGACAACUGGCAUCUUUGGACGUGGGUGUCAUUAGAUUUUUUGCUAUUAUCAUAUCAUCAAUUUUUUUGGCUAUUUCUGCUCAAUCAAACUUGUGGAUUACAUGCACUCAACGUCGACAAUGGAAAUGGGAGAAAAUUAAGUUAAUAAAAUCAAGUAAGUCAAACAAGGUCCAGAAUAUACAAUUGCGUUUAGUGGCAGGAGGGUACGUAAAUACAUGGGAAAGAACUAUUUUUAGUCCAAUUUCAUGUUUGGAUGUUGAGGUUGAUGUGGAAAGGAUGUGGCUUCCCACAUAAAACCCGCCGUUUCGUUCUAAACUAAGUGAAUUUAUCUGGUGAGCUAAGUUGGUUUAGGACGUAACUCAAAUAAUUAAUUUUUUAUUAGUUUAGUAAUAAAAAUUUUGGAUUUUAUUUUAAAACUAUAAUUCAACAGAAAAAAAACUUAAUAAAAAUAACUGUUAUUUAACAUAUUAUAUUUUUUCAAUAAUAAAAUAAUUCAAAAUUUUAAUUAUUAUAACAAUAAAAUUUGUAAUAUAAUCCAUUCAUAUACUAGAUCACAUAAAAUAUAAAACAAGACCAAAUAUAAUCCUAUUACAUCUAAUCAUAUAAUAUUCUAUCACAUCAUAUACUAUCAUAUUCCAUCCGGCAUGCCAAACGUGCAAAGUUUGAGUCAGUUUUGUUAAAGUUGAGUAACAUCUCAUAUGGAAAGGAUGUGGCUCCCACAUAAAAAUAACCCACCGUUUCAUCCUACACUAAGUGAAUUUAUCUCGUGAAAUAAGUAGUUUAGGAGAUGACUCAAAUAAUUAAUUUUUUAUUAGUUUAAUAAUAAGAAUUUACAAUUAUAUUUUAAAUCAUUAAAAAAUACUUAAUAAAAAUAAUUGUUAUUUAAGAUAUUACAUUUUUACAAUAAUAAAAUAAUUCAAAAUUUUUUUAUUACAAUAAAAUUUGUAAUAUAAUUGAAUCAUACACUACGUCACAUAAAAUACAAAAUAGUACUAAAUGUAAUCCGUUUCGUUCUAAACAAAGUGAAUUUAUCUCGUGAGCUAAGUAGUUUAGGAGAUAACUCAAAUAACUAAUUUCUUAUUAGUUUAGUAAUAAGAAUUUUCGAUUAUAUUUUAAAAAGUAUAAUUCAUUGCAACAAAAAUACUUAAUAAAAAUAACUGUUAUUUAAGAUAUUAAAUUUUUACAAUAAUAAAAUAAUUCAAAUUUUUAAUUAGUAUAACACUAAAAGUUGUAAUAUAAUGCGUUCUACAUCACGUAAAAUAUAAACUAGUACUAAUUAUAAUCUUGUUACAACCAUUCCUAUUAUAUUCUAUCACAUCAUAUGCUAUCAUAUUUCAUCCAGCGUGUCAAACGUGCAAAGUUUAAGUAAGAUUUGUUAAAGUUGAGUAACAUCUCAUAUGGUCAAGCGCGUGGAGUAUGGACUUACAUAAUCGAGUGGGUACAACUAAAGUCGGGUAAAGUUUGGUAAAUCUUUAUAUAUAUUGUUGGGUUGGACAACUAUAUCUUUUAAGUCAUAUAAUUAAAUAGUUUUGGUAAACAUUUACUAUUGUGACUUAAAAAUUAAUUUGAUUUGAUCUCAUACUUUAUUAUAAAAAAAAACUUAUAAUAUCUUUAUUAUUUUUAUUAAAAUUAUUAUUUAAAAGUCAUACAUUUAUUACACAUUGUCAUUUUUUUUUUCACAACAACUAGUAAUAUCGAAUAAGAACUAAGUUGAGUAUGAUCAAAUAAUUUAAGUUUUGAUUUUUAUUGUACAAAAUAAUCAUUAGAACCAACAAAGUGUUGGCUCCACUGGCAAUGGAGUCCCCUUAAGUGGCUUGACUGUGUUUGCUCCCCAGUUCGAGUCGCAGGGAAGUCACCUUUGUUGGGAGAACCUGUGCCUCUCGGUUCGAGCGAGGACUUCUAGUCUGGGUUGUGGUACGGGCUUAAAGGUGCCUCCCACAGUUGGAGCCCUCCCCAGGAUACCUCGUGGUCAAAACCAAAAAAAAACAAAAUAAUCAUUAGAUAAUUAGUCUGUAAAGAAUAUCAGCUACUUCAAAUGGAAAUUUGUGAUCAAAAGUGUACCACAGAAGUGACAAAGACACUAUAUGAGAAAUCUGAAAUAGAAUUUAAUAUCUUAGAAUAUACGACGUUGCAUCACAUAUGGUAUUUAGGCAUCAAGAAAAGAAUCCCUCUAUCUAUGAACCACACUUGCCAGGAAAUUAACACCAGGGGAAUACCACCACCUCAUACUAUUUCUUAGGUGUCUCAGAGUUUGAUGAGGACUUCCAUGCUGUGUCUCUUCGACAGGCAGCAAAAUUGGGCAAUUGACUACAUCAACUCCAACAAAUUUAUGCAGACACCUUCCUCCAGACCAUCCUGUUUCUUCGCGCUUUAGUUGCCCCUAUUUCCCAUUAUCUUGUUUGACGCCAAGGAGCCCAAGCCCAGAAACAAUGGCAUUCUUUGGUAUCAACCACUUGGAGACUUUGGUAUCAAUCCUGUUGUGCAAGGCUUCUUCAAAAGGUCAUCCGUUGAUCUUUCUCCUAAUUAGACAUUCAAAACCCUGCAUGGAAUCCAUUUGAGAAGUUGGACAAUAGACAAACUCCAACACAUAUAGACAGUAAAGAAGAAUUCAGACCGCACUCACUGUAGCUGAACAAAUGGGCCUAUUAAGCCUAUUAAAAGUUGGAACCAUAUUCACCACUCGCAUUUCCUUAGAGAACUAUAUCAGAAUUCUGUAAAUUGAAAACUAUUCUUACAUAUUUAACUGUAAAACAAGAGAAAUUAUACUUCCGUAGCAAAGUCUCACUAUUGGUAAGUAUCUGGACUUGGAAAGGAUGCUAGUUGAUCAAGUAAAGGAAAAUUGACAUCAGACUUUGAUGUGAUAGAUAUAUACACUUCAAUAGGAACCACAUUAACAACUUAUGAGACAAACAAACAAAUUCCCCAGUCAAAGUUCAACAAACAAAACACUAAAACAAGAGUAAUUUGGUCCAUCAAUGUAUAUAUAGAGAUGUCGCUGAUUAGACAAAUACGUAAAAGAAGAGGGAAUGACCUCAAAUACGUAAACAGAACAAUCUUCUAAGUUUACUCUAUUUAUAACGAAUAAGUGAACAAAGGAAUGAAAAGGAUGUUUGGCGAAGAAUCUUGCAUCUUAUCAAGUGGGGAAAGCCUUCGCAACAAAGAUGCUGCUUGCUUUCAAGCAAUAAUAAUUUUCCAAUUCCAUAAGGUAGCUUAAUGCCUUUUAAGAAUAUCUGCACCAGCCUAACAAUUAAUCAUGGAAAUUCAAUUUGCAUUUAUCACCUUUAAUUUGCUCAUCUUUGUCUCGAGUAUUGUUUUUGCGUUAACUUAACUAGCUUGCAAACCACCUGCAAAUGGUUUUAAAUAAUGUGUGAGAUUGUGAGGUCGAACGAAUUAAUCAAAUAUGAUGACAGGAGAAACAAAAUUGAAAUAACCACAAGUAGAAGUAUACUUUUGUUAUAUUUAUAGCAUCUUCUACUGUCUUCUUUUCCUUUAGUAGCUCUGUUUCUGUGUGUGCUCAAUCGCGAUGCCUCAAUCUUUUGCAGCCAUAUGCAGACUUGAAACACCGGGGUGUCCCUAAGGAACUUGAAAAUUAGAAAAGUUUCAGUAUGAGUGACUAAAUAUGAUAAUCGAAACUAAUUUAAUAUACACACCUUGUAAAUCUGAAACUAAAUUACUCUGAAUGUAUAUGCCUCUUGGCAGCAAUUGCUCGUGGUGGAAAGUUUACUGCAAAGACUUCCUCAAACCUCUGAAGCUCACACUCUUCCUGGCAACAAAGAAACAGAGUCAAUAUACGAAGAUGAUUUUACUAACAAGUGAGAGCUUGCAAAUAUUGGAAGGAUAACGAUUACUCAUAACCCAAAUCCCCAAUACCUUCUAAUUUCUCACUCACGUGAGUUCAAGCUCCCAAAAUUCAUUACAGUGAAACUCUCACAACAAAAUUCUCUUCAAAGAUUCUCUACUGAAAUUUGAUGAUGAUAUCUAGCACUGAUCAAAUUGGCUUGUGAACAAUUAAGCUGCUUAGUAUCCUUAACCUGAUAAACUUACACAAACAAAAACAACUUGCCUAAAGUUUAAUAUUUAGAGGCAGAACAAUAAAGAAGAAGAUAUAUAUUGAUACUAAAAUUUGACCUGUAUUACCCUGAUGUCAAGCAUCACUGCAUCUCAUGUGGGUAAAAUCUUCACAAUACGAGAUGCUUGCAAAAUUGAAGCAGCAUCUUAUCACCUGUAAUUUAAUUAAGACAGUAACUUUCCCCAACUAUUUUAAUGCAUUAUUGGCAACUAAAUUCAGCGGGCGCUAAUUAAAUACCCUUUUAACAAUAUCUUCUUAUUCUUCUCCAAUCUAACAGUUAUUUGGAAAAUCUAAAUGAUAGUCAUGCAUCAAUGGCGUCAAAGUUUGGCUACAAAGCAGCCUGGAAAAGGCUUUACUCUCUGAGUGAGAGCAUGAAUUUGAAAAAUAUGAUGAAUGAAGAAACAAAGGCAUAAUACCACAAGAAGUCAAACUUUUCCCCAGAGCUCUGUUUCUGUUUGUGCUAAAGCCAAUGGAAACCGAAGGAAAUGAAUUUCUACGAAUUAGACAUAUCAGCCAAACAAGUACUCUAUACAAGCAAAGUAAAAGAGAGUUAAAAAAAUUUUAAGAUUGAUAUGAUAAUUAAAAUUUCAGUCACCAUAUAAUUAAUAGAAAACUUUGUACACAAUGAUUUAUGGCGUAAUAAGACUGCAUAUCUAAAUUUUAAUUGCGAUACAAAAUAUGAUAUUAGCAUUAGGAGACCGCACCAAAACGUACCGUAUUGAAUGUGCCUUUUCACAACCAUUGUACAAGCUUUGAAGCUUUGGCACAAAUGCUUUUUCAAACCCAUGAACAUGAUGCACCCGAGAGAUGCAAGAUAUGAAAUUGUUACUACAGCAGGGAUUGAAACAUUUGUUAAGAAAGGAAGUUUAUGAAAAUACGCUUAACAUUCAUUAGAUAAAUGCCUUCAGGAAUCAAUUCAUCUGUAGUAACAAUUUUCAAAGAGCAUCAACUGCUUUAAGUCCCUCAACAUCACAGACAUCUUCAAUUAAAAUAGCGCAGAUCCGGCCAUCACUAUUCCUUCUACUGCUCUUUUGCUUUAGAGAACGCUUCAAUUACAAAAUGCGUGUAAGGCUUUCUUGUUCAAGGUCCAGCGAUCAAACCUUGCACAAUAACAACAGAGGUAGUAGUUCCAUCGCCAGCCUAAUCCUUGGACUUCCCAACAUUCUCCACGAGUAGGAAAUCAACCUAAAAAAUAAGAAUGAGUUUGAAAAACAGUUUAUGGCCCUAAAGAACUUGAAAAUCAGAAAUGAUUAAGAAUGAGUGACUAAACAUUUUAAUCGACUAAACAUACAAAACUUGAAAACCCAAUAUUGAAGUACUCUGAAUGAAUGUGCAAUUGCACGAGCUGGUGACAACUGACUUUACUGCAAAGGCUCUUUCAAACCCUUGGAGAUGAUAACCUGAUAACACAAAGAAACACAAUGAAUAUUAAAGGAUAUUCUGACAACGCAAAUUUGUGCAAACUAUGAAGUGUGGUUACCUGCAUAAUGGUGUCAACACCAAAUUCCUGCCUCCAUUGACGCAUAUGAUAAUAUUAGCACAAUUCAAUAUGUUUAUAUAGGAUAAAUGAUUCUGAGAAUGAAGCAAGAUAGAAAUGAUGAUCUUAAUUGAAACAGAGCGAACCCGGCCAUCACUUCCUUCUUCAAAGUCCAGCAACCAAACGUUGCACAAUAACCACAGUGAUAAUCCUUGGUUACCCCAAUGUUCUCCAUAGAGUCUUCAACGUCAACUUAAAAAUGAAAUGAAAAUGCAAUGCAGGUGGAAAUGAAAAUUCUAUAAACAAAAUAAAAAAAAAAAAUGCAAUGCUUGACCUUGAGCUUGCUUUAAUAAUCAUAAUAAUCGAAUUUGGAUAUAUCUUUACUUCCCUGUGGUUCAAUCAUUUACUUCUCUGUUCUUGUUUAUUCACAACAAGAUAUCAAUAGAAGAAGAUGGAAAUGAAAUUCUACAAAAUAAAGCAAGUGAAUUACCAGCAGAACAUUUUAGCAAUCCUUUGGCUAAACUUUUCAUUUUCUUAGCAAACUCUCCUGCCUGCAUCAUUAAAACCAAAUUAGAUUGGACCUGUGGAUUGCUAGUGUGGUUCUGACAUUUCCUCGAAUCCCUGGUGAACAUAAUUAAACAAGUAUGAAAUAAAACAAAGUGGGCUAAUGUAGUAAAAACAAUAACACAAUUACUUUAAAGAAUUAAUGUCACGUAUAUUAUAUAUAAAAAAAUACGAUUAUCAUUAUAUAAGAUAAAAUUGAUAAUUUAGUUUUCAACAUUACUGGAAACGUAUCACAGAGAUUUUGUCUCUCAGCAAGUUACACAUAACAAAUUUUCGUACAUUAAAAAAUAAAUUACAUUGCAUGAAAUUUUACAAAAGAGCACAUAUUUUUUAAAAGUAAAUAUAGAAAUUUCAACAGACUACACUUGUUUUUUUUAUUUUUUAUUAUUUAAUCUUUAGAAAACAAGUUUAACAGAUUUGAUAACUAGGAAGUUUUACGUAUUUAUACCAAGAUUGAUUCUAUAUAGAAUUUUAAUUCAAAAUAUAAUUAUUUUUAUUAAUUUCAUUGCAAGCAACAACGAAGUAAAUCAGAGGAGGAGGAGAAAUUACCAGCGAGUGAUAUCUUACGGCUACCACUUGAUGUGGGGAAUGUGAGAUAUCUUAUGCCAGUCUUCUCCUUUCCCCUCUCUAUAACGGUUUUCCAGAAGAGGACAUAUGUGAAUAGUCAAUUCCUGCAGCGUCGACGUUCGAAGGAGGUAAUCCGGCAGCACCUUUAAUUUGGGGCAAUUCUGAAUAAACAAGAAAGAAAGACGCGGUAUGUCUGUUGUCCUGCGAUCUUCUAGAAUGGGCAGUUCUUCCAAAUUUUCACAAGAAUAAAUACUCAGUUCCUGCAGUGCCGUCGUUUGAAGAAGGUAAUCUGGCAGUACCUUUAAUUUGUUGCAAGACCAAAUCAUCAAGGAAGAAAGACGUGGCAUGAUGGAGAUGUUUUCCUUCCUCGUAAUCCUGUAAUUCCACUCUUCCAAUUCUUGCAUGUCCCAAAUUUUGAGAGAUUUCAAUUUGGUGAAGGCAGUAACUGAUGAUGAUGAUGAAGAUGAGGACGGCUCAUCAUCACUGCUUUCUUCUAUUCCCAAAAACUCAUUACCCACUCUUUUUACACUUGUCAAGUACUUUAGUUCGAGUUUUUCCAGAGGUAAUUUUCCCAAAGGAGGCAAAUGCUCACAGUUAAAACACAACGAAAGUUUUAGUUCCCUUAGAUUGGUUAGCGAAGUCAACCAUUUGGGAAAAAUGUUGCCUCCGUAGCAUUUAAUCCUUAACUCCUCUACAUUCACAGGCGGUUGUAAGGCUUCAAGAAGUUGUUUAUCUUUCUCAUUCUUCCUCCUCCCUUCUUCACCUUCCAUAUCUACGACUCCAAACAGAAGAUGCAAACGAAGGAGGUUUUUCUUAUUGUAAAGUUGUAACCUCUUAGCCUCAUCUACAUGCGAUACAUUACUCAGUUCUUCUACUCUACAUUCACGAAGGAGUUGAAGAUUUUUCAGAGAUUCAAGCCUACACGUGCUGCCGCCAUCAACACCUCCACCCACAACAAACCUUUCUAAUGUUCGAAGGCUGGUCAAUCUGGAAAUCCCUAUUGGCAGGUACUCCAACGAAGAAGUUUUAGCAUUCAGUAAACUCCUCAUGUUCAUUAACUUCCCAAUCCCCGCUGGCAAUUCUCUAAGAUUUCGGCACCGCCUAAUAUCUAGCUUUUGUAAAUUAUAUAAUUCACACAAAGUCUCAGGUUGUCUCUCUAUACACAGUCCAGACAAAUUAAGAUAUUUUAAAUGUAUCAAUUUUCCGACAUUUUCUGGAAUUUCUCUAAUCAAAUUUGGGUCAAAAUAAAAAGGAUAAAAAUAUACGAAUGAUUGCCUUAUAACUAAUGUCCUUAAACACGCCAAUUUACUAAAUAACUCCUGAAGGAUACUACUAUUAAGACUCAGAUUGGAAUAACUUUCAUCAUAAAUUAAGAGGCUACGCAAUCUAUCAAAUUCAAAAAAGGACGUAGGAAAUGAAGCACCUCUUUCAAAAUUUAACCCUAAGUGACGGACUUUCUCACCAAAAGAGUUUAUGACUGAUUCUUUGGUACCAUUAAUUUCUAGCCACAAACAUUCUUUGCUACUUACAAAUUGAGCAAAAUCAUGUACUAUGUCAUGCAUCUUGCAACUCAUAAUAUCAUCAUCAUCAUUUUUCUCAAACUCUUGAAAGAAAGAGCGUGCUGCUAAAAUGUUGAAACAUUCUUCCCCAGUAAUGUCCAUCUCUUCAUAUUCUUCUGCAUUAAGGUAACCUUGAGCCAUCCAUAGUGAAAUUAGUUCCUCUUUAUUCAUAUUGUAGUCUUUUGGAAAGACAGCACAAUAUGAGAAACACCGUUUUACCAUAGAAUUGGAGGGCAAAUCGUUAUAACUCAACAACAAAGGAGCUAAAAGACCUUGCCCAAUCUCUUCUACUUUCCACAUUUCACUCUUUAAAAUUCUUUGCCACUCAUUUACUGUAAUUUUAGAGCGCAAGAGAUUCCCUAUUACCUUUGCAGCAAGAGGCAGGCCUUUGCACUUCAGUGCAAUUUUUCGCCCAAUUGGUUCUAAUUUUUCACAAUCUUCGAAAGAGCGACUGGAAAAUGCCAACCGCUUGAACAACGACCAACAUUCCUCUUCAGCCAAUUGCUUAAUGAAGAUAAUAUUUGUUGAUCCCAUCAUACGUGCAACUGACUCAUUACGUGUGGUAACUAAAAUUUUACUUCCUUGGAGACCAUUCUUUAGACAAAGGAAGAAUGGUUCCCAUUUAUUUUAACUCCCAUCCCAUACAUCAUCUAAGACAAGAAAAAACUUUUUUCCUUCAAUUGAUCUAUGGAUAUGGCUCGUAAGAGAUUGGAAUUCGUUUAAACUAGGAGCUGACUCACCUAGACCUUCAAUGAUUGCUUUGACAACCCUAAUCUCCUCAAAAGUGUCUGAUACACACACCCAUAUAACUUUUUCAAAAUUUCUUUUCACCUCAUCAUUAUUAUAGGCUAGUUGUGCAAGAGUGGUUUUACCUAUACCCCCUAACCCAACUAGUGAGAUGACAUGAAGGCCUUUUUGUUGUUCACUACUUUCACACAACAACUUGCUUAAGAGCUCAUUUUUCUCAUCAACUCUACCGCAAACCUCUCCCUCAUCAAUCAAGGAGGUGGUUCGCACUCGCUCUGGUUUCUUAACAUUGUUGCUCACAUUCUCAACAAAUUUAAACGUAUCUUUUUGGGAGGCAAUAUCAUCUAGCUUUCCAUUGAUUUCCCUAAUCUUGACGGCAAUGUCAUGACGAAGACUAAGUUGUUUGAAACUACCAAAGCAGUUUGAUACAGCACAAAAGAAGGAGCGUACCUUCUUCUUAUGAGGAGCAAGAGCAAGAGCAUUGUCAUCAUCAACGCCCUCAAUCUGCAAUUUGAGCCUUGCAGUGGUCCACUCCUCCAACACGUCUUCCAUGUCGUAAGAUGCGUCUUUGAGCUGAUCCAGCCAAAAAGUAACAGCAUUGUCGCGCUGCAUUUGCCUUUUCUCUGCAUCUUCCAGCACAGCUCGAAUGGCUCGAAGAUUGCUGGUAAGCUUUUUCACUUCUUCUCGGACACCAGUCACAAGCCUCACGUGUUGUUUCACUUCAUCAGCCGCAACGGAGAUCAGCUGCUCCAGGAGAGAGGAAACGAUCGCAUCAACCAUUCUGACAAAGAAAACGAGAAUUUUGAUGAGUUAUUAGAUGUGCUUUUGUUGCGAAGAUAUGAAAGAAAAGGAGUUAUUGCGUUCUUUUAUACUGCAUAGAAAAAGCUUAUGCUUAUCCCCACCCCACACGUCAAUGAUUGUAGAAUGUUUAUUUUCCCUGAUUCUACUCCACUAGUUGUGAUGCGUAAUUAUAAAUAUUCUCAAGUUAUGUAUGAAAAUAGCACAAAUUUGGAUCUAGUAAUGAUUUUUAUGUACUUUUUCAUCAUCUUCUAAAAUACCAUCUCUGCAUGUGCACGAAAUAUGGAAUUGGGUGAAAAAAGUUAUGCUUAUCCCCACCCACACGUUAGUAAUUGUAGUAGCAUCUUUAAUUUCCAUGAUUCUACUCCACGGACGAACACAUUUUUUGUAGUAACAUCUUUAAAUUCCCACACGUUAGGAAUUUGGCACAUAUCUCAAACUCGUCGCAUCUUUAACGUAUGAAGUUGAUGAAUAAAUUCUUUUCUCAUGUCAAUUUAAAACUCCGAGAUUAUGUGCCAAAUUCCUAACGUGUGGGAAUUUUACCUCCUAAGUAAUCCGGCCCACUACCAAGUGCCAACUUUUUCUCUGUCGAGUUAAUGAUGUUGUUUUGUUUUCCUUGUUUUAAUUAAUGUUGCCGAGAGAAACAGAUCGAUGCAAAUGGCUAGCCAGGUUUUGCAGAAACCGUGAAUGGUCUUGCAUGUGACAUAAAGCUUAAUCAUGUAUAUAUGUGUGUUGACACUUGCCAGUUCAUUUUUGUUAUAAAGAUUAUUGAUACUCAUAAAUGUACUACUUACAAAUCAUAAAUUUUGAGUUUGACACUUUAGUUUCAUUUUGUAAUCCCUACACUCUUUAAAUAUUUGUAACAAUAUAUUUCAAACUUUAACUCAGACGUAAUGAAUGAAGGGGGAUCCUCUUCUUAUAUAAAUUUUUAUUUUUUAACGUUCAAGUUACAUUUGAUUACGUGUACUUAUUAUCUAGUUUUGACUAUCUAAUUACAUUUGAUUACGUGUACUUAUUAUAUAAUUUUUUUUUGAAAUGAUGGAUCUGGUGAGAUUUUUUACAUCUUGGAUCAGUAGGUCAAGAACAGGCAGGGCAGGGCCUUCUCUGAAGUCAAUCUUGUGAGCAACACCAGCUUUUUGGAUAAUUGGCAGCCCCAAUUCAUAAUUUUCUCUAUUGAUGUCCAUGGCCAAAAUCUGCAACCGAAGCUUAUUCUACUCUUAUUAAUCGAGAGAUAAUUUUACCUCUAACUAAUUUAAUUGGGAGGAAAAUCGAGAGAGAUAUCCACUUUGUCCUUAUUAAUUGAGAGAUAAUUUUACCCUUACCCAAUUUAAUUGGAAAGAAAAUCGAAUUCCAACAAUAACUAGGACUCGAAUCCAUGCACUUAAGCUAACUUUAUGCUUUUGGACGCAUGGUUAUAAUGUUCUUUAUUUAAAUCCUAACAAAUGGUGGGACUUGAACUUGUGCCUACAAACAUUGAGUGCUUAGGGGCUGCAAAAUUUCAUAACUUAAUUUUAGUUGAUGUGGCAUGUGCCCUAUCACAUCAAUGUAGAUAAUAAUAAUUAAUACAUUAACAAAAUGAAAAAUAUUAGUUUACAAAAUACAAAUCCAAAUUUUUUGUGUGAGAGGGGAUUUAAAAGGGAGAGACUAAACAAAUGUGGUGAAAAACGACAUGUAUUACUACAACUGAAAAUACGAAGUCUAGGCAAUUGAAAACAUCGGGUUUUUUAUUUAAAUAUCCCCAAUUUGUCCUUAAAUACCAAAUUUAUACCCUAUUAUAUACAUAUACCUCACGAAGAUAGGGAAAGUAAAAAAUAACCUAAAAAAAUCAGGAAUCCGCACAUUUCUUCCUCUUAGUUCAGAAAGAUGUCGAGUACGAAGUCGGGUAAGUCGAGAAUUUAGUCGAGCAAGAAUUGGAGAUAAGUAAGUCAAUUAGGAAGUUGAGUAAGCAUAUUAAGUGAGUCGAGUAUUAAGUGGUUGAGUAUUAAGUAAAAGUCAAGUAAAUUUUUUGAACAAGUCGAGUAAAAUUUAUGUAAUUUUUAAAGAGGUCGAGUAUUAAGUCGGGUAAGUACAUUGGGUCGAGUAUUAAUAUUUUUAAAGAAGUGAAGUCUGAUAAGUUGAGCAUUUAGUCGAGUAAGAAGUUAAGGCAAUUGAAUAAGUCGAGUAUCUAGUUGAGUACAAAGUCGGGUAAGUUGAGCAUUCAGUCGAAUAAGAAGUAAAGACAAUUGAAUAAGUCGAGUGUCUAGUCGAGUACGAAGUCGAGUAUGAAAUCUGGUAAGUUGAGCAUUCAGUCGAGUGAGAAGUGAAGGCAAUUGAAUAAGUCGAGUAUCUAGUCGAGAACGAAGUCGGGUAUGAAGUCUGGUAAGUUGAGCAUUUAGUCGAGUGAGAAGUGAAGACAAUUGAAUAAGUCGAGUAUCUAGUCGAGUACAAAGUCGGGUAUGAAGUAUGGUAAGUUGAGCAUUUAGUCGAGUAAGAAGUGAAGGCAAUUGAAUAAGUCGAAUAUCUAGUCGAGUACGAAGUCAGGUAUAAAGUAUGGUAAGUUGAGCAUUCAGUUGAGUAAGAAGUGAAAGUAAUUGAAUAAGUCGAGUAUCUAGUCGAGUAAUCAAACCAAUUUUCUCCAUAGAGUCUUCAAAGUCAACCUAAAAAUGAAAUGCAGGUGGAAAUGAAAAUUCUAUAAACUAAAUAAAAUAAAAUGCAAUUCUUGAGCUUGAGCUUGCUUUUACAUCAUCAUAAUAGUGAAUUUUGAUACAUCUUUACUUUUCUGUUCUUGUUUAUUCACAACAAGAUAUCAAUAAAAGAAGAUGGAAAUGAAAUUCUAUAAAAUAAAGCAAGUGAAUUACCAGAAGAACAUUUUAGCAAUCCUUUGGCUAAAAUUUUCAUUUUCUUAGCAUACUCUCCUGCCUGUGAAUUGCUAGUGUGGUUCUAACAUUUCCUCGAAUCCCUGGUGAACAUAAUUAAACUCGUAUGAAAUAAAACAAAGUGGGCUAAUGUACUACUAAAAACAAUUACACAAUUACUUUAAAGAAUUAGUGUCUGUUUGGUAUGGCUUAUUUAAGAGGCAUAAGUGCUUAUUUAAUCGUAUAAGCACUUUUUAAAAAUUUUUAUGGUGUUUGGUUAUUUUUUUUGCUUAAAUAAGGUAAUUUACCUCUACUAGCAAAAGUCCAAAAUUUGAGCUUUUGGGAGUAGAGGUUAUAGAGCUUUUCUAAAAAUAUAUAAUAUAAAAAAUAUCACACAGUUUAAUGGUUCAAAAGUGAUUUUUUUAUUGACAACCAAACACCCAAUGACUUUUUUGACCAAAAGCUUUAUUAGUAUAAGCUCUGCUGCUAUAAGCUCUACUGUUAUAAGCUCUAUUUAAUAAGCUGUACCAAACAGAGCCUUAAUGUCACAUAAAUUAUAUAUAAAAAAAUACGAUUAUCAUUAUACAAGAUAAAAUUGAUAAUUUAGUUUUCAACAUUACUGCAAAUGUAUCACAGACAUUUUGUCUCUCAGCGAGUUACACAUAACAAAUUUUCGUACAUUAAAAAAUAAAUUGCAUUGGGAUUUUCUAUGAUAUUGUAUGAAAUUUUACAAAAGAGCACAUAUUUUUUUAAAGUAAAUAAAUAUAGAAAUUUCAGCAGACUACACUUGUAUUUUUUUAUUAUUUAAUUUUUAGAAAACAAGUUCAACAGAUUUGAUCACUAGGAAGUUUUACAUAUUUAUACCAAGAUUGAUUCUAUAUAGAAUCUUAAUUCAAAAUAUAAUUAUUUUUAUUAAUUUCAUUGCAAGCAACAAUGAAGUAAAUCAGAGGAGGAGAAAUUACCAGCGAGUGAUAUCUUACGGCGACCAAUUGAUGUGGGGAAUGUGGGAUAUCUUAUGCCAGUCUUCUCCUUUCCCCUCUCUUAACCCCAAAUUGUCAAUGUCUGCAGUGUCGUUGUUUGAAGUAACAACAAAGUAAAAUACAGAGAAAUUACCGGUAGGUGAUAGUAAUUGCAACCAUUCGAGAAUUUACCACUCGAUGUGGGGAAUGUGAGAUAUCCUAUGCCAGUCUUCUCCUUUCCCCUCUCUAUAACGGUUUUCAAGAAGAGGACAUCCCUCAAUACUCAAUUCCUGCAGCGUCGUCGUCCGAAGAAGGUAAUCCGGCAGCACCUUUAAUUUGGGGCAAUACCAAAUCGUCAAGGAAGAAAGAUGUGGUAUGUCUGUUGUCCUGCGAUCUUCUAGAAUGGGCAGUUCUUCCAAAUUUUCACAAGCAUGAAUAACCAGUACCUGCAGUUCCGUCGUUUGAAGAAGGUAAUCCGGCAGCGCCUUUAAUUUGUUGCAAAAACCAACUUUUAAGGAAGAAAGAUGGGGCAUGAUGGAGAUGUUUUCCUUCCUCGUAAUCUUGUAAUUCCACUCUUCCAAUUCUUCCAAUGCUACAAUUUCGAGUGAUUUCAAUUUGGGGAAGGCAAUAACUGAUGAUGACGAUGAAGAUGAAGAUGGGCCAUCCUCACUGCUUUCUUCUAUUCCCAAAAACUCAUUACCCACUCUUUUUACACUUUUCAAGUGGAUGAUUACGAGUUUUUCCAGAGGUAAUUUUCCCAAAGGAGGCAAAUGCUCACAGUUAAAACACGAGGAAAGAUAUAAAUUCCUUAGAUUGGUUAGUGAAGUCAACCAUUUGGGAAAAAUGUUGCCUCGGUAGGAUUCAAUCUCUAAUUUCUCUAAAUUCACAGGCGGUUGUAAGGCUUCAAGAAGUUGUUUAUCUUUCUCAUUCUUCCUCCUCCCUUCUUCGCCUUCCCCAUCUACGACUCUACCAAACUCAAGAUGCAAACGAAGGAGGUUUUUCUUAUUGUCUCAUCUACAUGCGAUACAUUACUCAGCCCUUCUACUCUACAUUCACGAAGGAGUUGAAGAUUUUUCAGAGAUUCAAGCCUACACGUGCUGCCACCAUCAACACCUCCACCCACAACAAACUUUUCUAAUGUUCGAAGGCUGGUCAAUCUGGAAAUCCCUAUUGGCAUGUACUUCAACGAAUAAGUUUCACCAUUCAGUAAACUCCUCAUGUUCUUUAACUUCCCAAUCCUCGCAGGCAAUUCUCUAAGACUUGGGCACCGCCUAAUAUCUAGCUUUUGUAAAUUAUAUAAUUCACACAAAGUCUCAGGUAGUCUCUCUAUACAUAGUCCAGACAAAUUAAGAUAUUUUAAAUGUAUCAAUUUUCCAACAUUUUCUGGAAUUUCUGUAAUCAAAUUUGGAUCUGAACGCAAACGAAUGGACAAUUGGCUUAUAACUAAUGCCCUUAAACACGCCAAUUUUCUAAAUAACUCCCGAAGGAUGCUGCGAUUAAGACUCCUAUUGGAAUAACUUCUAUCAUAAAUUAAGAGGCUACGCAAUCUAUCAAAUUCAAAAAAGGACAUAGUAAAUGAAGCGCCUCCUUCAAACUUUAACCCUAAGUGACGGACUUUCUCACCAAAAGAGUUUAUGACUGAUUCCUUGGUACCAUUAAUUUCUAGCCACAAACAUUCUUGCCUACUUACAAAUUGAGCAAAAUCAUAUACUAUGUCAUGCAUCUUGCAACUCAUAAUAUCAUCAUCGUCAUAAUAUUUUUCAAACUCUUGAAAGAAAGAGCGUGUUGCUAAGAUGUUGAAAUACUCUUCUCCAAUCAUCUCCAUUUCUUCGUCUUCAUCUGCAUUAAGGUAACUUUGAGCCAUCCAUAGAUUAAUCAAUUCCCUUUUAUUCAUAUUGUAGUCUUUUGGAAAGACAGCACAAUAUGAGAAGCACCGUUUUACCAUAGAAUUAGAGGGCAAAUCGUUAUAACUCAACAACAAAGGAGCCAAAAUACCUUGCCCAAUCUCUUCUACUUUCCACAUUUCACUAUCUAAAAUUCUUUGCCACUCUUUUACUAUACUUUUAGAGCGCAAGAGAUUCCCUAUUACCUUUGCAGCAAGAGGCAGGCCUUUGCACUUACAUGCAAUUUUUCGCCAAAUUGGUUCUAAUUUUUCACAAUCCUCAAAGGACCUACGUAGAAAUGCUAUCUACUUAAACAGUAACCAACAUUCCCCUUCACCCAACUCCUUGACAGGGAUAAUAUUUAUUGAUCCCAACUGUAGUGCAACUGACUUAUCACGUGUGGUAAUCCGAAUUUUACUUUCAUGGUGGCCAUUCUUUAGACAAGAAAAGAAUGGGUCCCAUUCUUUAUAAUCUCCAUCCCACACAUCAUCUAAAACAAGAAAAAAUUUCUUCCCCGUAAUAUAUUCCUGAAUCUGUUUCAUAAGAGAUUCGAAUUCGCUUAAACCAGAAGCUGACACGCCUAGACCUUCAAUGAUUGCUUUGGCGACCCUAAUCUCCUCAAAAGUGUCUGAUACACACACCCAUAUAACUUUUUCAAAAUUUAUUUUCACCUCAUCAUUAUUAUAGGCCAGUUGUGCAAGAGUGGUUUUACCUAUACCCCCUAACCCAACUAGAGAGAUGACAUAAAGGCCUUGUUGUUGUUCACUACUUUCACACAACAACUUGCUUAAGAGCUCAUUUUUCUCAUCAACUCUACCGCAAACCUCUCCCUCAUCAAUCAAGGAGGUGGUUCGCACUCGCUCUGGUUUCUUAACAUUGUUGCUCACAUUCUCAACAAAUUUAAACGUAUCGUUUUGGGAGGCAAUAUCAUCUAGCUUUCCAUUGAUUUCCCUAAUCUUGACGGCAAUGUCAUGACGAAGACUAAGUUGUUUGAAACUACCAAAGCAGUUUGAUACAGCACAAAAGAAGGAGCGUACCUUCUUCUUAUGAGGAGCAAGAGCAAGAGCAUUGUCAUCAUCAACGCCCUCAAUCUGCAAUUUGAGCCUUGCAGUGGUCCACUCCUCCAACACGUCUUCCAUGUCGUAAGAUGCAUCUUUGAGCUGAUCCAGCCAAAAAGUAACAGCAUUGUCGCGCUGCAUUUGCCUUUUCUCUGAAUCUUCCAGCACAGCUCGAAUGGCUCGAAGAUUGCUGGCAAGCUUUUUCACUUCUUCUCCGAAACCAGUCACAAGCCUCACGUGUUGUUUCACUUCAUCAGCCGCAACGGAGAUCAGCUGCUCCAGGAGAGAGGAAACGAUCGCAUAAACCAUUCUGACAAAGAAAACGAGAAUUUUGAUGAGUUAUUAGAUGUGCUUUUGUUGCGAAGAUAUGAAAGAAAAGGAGUUAUUGCAUUCUUUUAUACUGCAUAGAAAAUGUUUAUGCUUAUCCCCACCCCACACGUCAAUGAUUGUAGAAUGUUUAAUUUCCCACACGUUAGGAAUUUGGGACAUAAUAAUAAAUAUUCUCAAAUUUGUCGCAUCUUUAACGUAUGAGCACGUGUUUUGUCUAUGUCACUUUUUUUCUAUCUUACUGCAAUAUCAGGUAGAGGAAUUCGAUCAGUUUCCCCAACAGAUGGGAAACGAUGUCAUCAGCCAAUUGAUGUUGGAUUAAAUGCUAAAUGUUACGAUUGCUUUUGUUGCGAAAAUGCUCAAAGAAAAGUGGCUUUUGUGUAUUCUGUGAGAAUGCUCAUUCAAGCAUUUUUGCAUUCUUCUUAUACUACGUGAGGUAUUUAAUUUUUACCCUUGAGUCAAUGUCAAUGUGAAAGCUUUUAUGCUGCAAAUUAAAGAAAUCCCAGACCAAUAAUUGUACAACAUCUGCCCUGUCUCUCUGAUUCAUAAUAAUUAUGCAGACUACUCAGCAUCGGCACUUGUAAAAUUUCUUACAUUAUAAGUAACGAAAUAUUUGUAAACUACCACAAAAAGCUUGGAGCAAUCUACUGAUGAACCUUCUGAAGUUACAUAAAAUAGAAUAAUCUUAGUGUUGGAACAAUUUUAAAAUAAAUGAUGUCUCAUUAUAAAGACAUAUCUAAUUAAUAUAGAAGAGUAAUCUUUUGAUAUUUAAUAAAUAUCAUACUAUGGUCUAUGACUUAGCUCAUACUACAAAGAAAAUAUGUGAAAGAUAAUUAAGGAAUAAAGCUUUCAACAACGAUUUAUAAAAUUGCUUUUGAUAAAACUGUUCUGAUGAAAUGAAAUUAUGUGAAAUUACUAAGAAUUUAAUUAGCCUCUCAAAAAGGUUCAUUGAUUGCUUGACUUCUCAAGUUUAAAAUUCGAAUGUCAAAACAGAUAAAACGUUAAAAAAUUAUUUUGAGUUUUAUCCACCCGUUUACCAUUUUAAUACAUAAAACUCUCCUAUUGCUUUAAAGUAUCAUUUUUUGUUUUAAACAAAAAAUGACACUUUAGUAUCAUAUGUUUGCAAGAUAUUCGGCCAUGAGUGUUGACGGAAAUUUCUUCAUCCUUGAGCGGAAAAUAAAAAGAAAAACAUAGUUCGCAAUUUUAGUAGCGAAACCAAUAUUUUGAUCCAUAUGGGGUAAAUCUUCAGGAGGCCCAACUUCAAACUUAAAAUGUUAGCUGAGGGUUUAAUUUUAGACUGUUUUUCUAUUUAUAGUUAUUAUAUAGUUGUUAGGAAUUUCGAAAUUUUAGAAUUUUGCUUGUAGCUACAGGCUGCAGCGAUUUUAUUUGGCGACUUUGAUUCAUAAUUGAAGUACUGUUGCAAGUAAAAACUAAAAAAAUAAUUAACAAAAUAAAAAUCAAAGACUUAGGCCCAAGUUUUUAUCAAAAUUUUAAUAAAAGGCUAUUUGUCACAUCGUCAUAAUGGAAAAAUAAUUAAUACAAUAAACAAAUCGAGUUACUUGAUUUUAUUUUAAUAAUAUAUAAAUAAAAUUUUUAUUAUAUGUAUAAAUUUUAUAUAUCAAGUUCUUAGGGGUCAAAUCAGUUUUUUUAUACCUAAUUUUUAAUAUUUCACUUCGAAACCUCAAAAUUUUUCAAAGCUUGUAGGGUCAUGAUCCUCACUAGGAGUGGGCAAAUUUGUGUUCAUAUUAACUUAAUCGGGUUUUAGGUUGAUUGGGUUAGAAUAUUCAGAUUGGAUUGUAUCAAAUCAAAAAUUCAAGUUUAGUUUGGAUUGCAUCAGGUUAUAAUUAUAUGGGGAUCAAGUUGGAGUUGGAUUAGCCAACUUGGAUUAAAAUCAAAUUUGGUCAGCUAGGAUGGAUUCAGAUAAUGUUGGGAUUAGGGGUGUUUUUGAGCCUAUUUUGUUUAUUUUCAGUUUUUUUUUAAAUUAUUUUAGUUCUUGAAGAUGGUUUUAUUGUAAUUAUCUCAUUUGAAUUUGUUUUUACCAAUUUUCAACCAAAAAAAAUGAAAACUACUACUAUAAAAUCAAAUGAAUAAAAAUUGAAAUGAACUACUACUAUUAGAUUGGAUCGGAUCCUCAUCUCUUGGCCUUCUUAUACAAUAAGGUAACUUUGAGCCAUCUAUAGUGUAGUUUUCAUUUUUUUUAUUGGUCAUUUAUAUUGUAAGAAUUUCCCUAUUAAUAUUGUUCCCAAUCUCUUCUACCUUCUACAUAUCACUAUCUAAAAUUCUUUUCCAUUCUUCUGUUGGUCAUUUAUAUUGUAAGAAUUUCCCUAUUGCCUUUGCAAUAAGAGGCAGGCCUUGCAUGCAAUUUUUUUUAUCAUUUGGUCACCAUCCUUAAAAAAUUGACCAAAAAAUGCUACUUGCUUAAACAAUGACCAACAUUCUUCUUCAGUUAAUUCCUUAAUAAAAAUAAUAUUUGUUAAUCUCAUCAUGCUUGCUAUUAUCUAAUGAUGUGUAGUAAUCAAAAAAUUGACUACUGUAGAGACCAUUCUUUAAACAAUAGAAGAAUGGUUCCCAUUGAUUGUAACUUCCAUCCCACACGUCAUCUAGGACAAGAAAAAAAAAAAUCUUUCCCUCAUUAGAUUUAUCAAUAUGGUUUACAAGAGAUAACCUAAUAUUUGUCUGUUGCCAUUCUUGCAUUAUAUGCAUACUCCAUGACUUACAAGAUUGCUUCUUUGACCAUCUAUCUGAUAACCUCCAAUGGCAAAGCUAGCAUCAUUUGUUUGGGUGGGCUAGAUUUAAAAAAAAUGAAAUUUACUUCUCAAAAAAUUUGUUUUAUAUAAAUGAAAUUAAGCACACUACAUAAGCAAAAAUUUAACCAUAAAACUAUAAAAAUACAAUGUAAAUAAGAAAAACAAUAUUGACGAAGAUGUGUCCUACGGUUCUUCAAAAAAGAAAAUUCAUCUACUAUCGCAUAUGAGUCAAUAUUGUCUGCAAUUUCUCUUUCCAUGUAAAUAACCAUACAAUCUGAAAGAAACUCAUUCUCCAUCUUGUUUCAAUGUGUUGUCUUAAUCAGUUUCAUGGCAGAAAAUGCUCUCAACUGUUGUUGCUGUUGAAACAAGAAGGGUUAACACUAAAUGAUUAACACUAAACAAGAAGGGUUAACAAGAAGGGUUAAUCUAUCCAACAAGAAAUAAAUCUAUGACUUUCUAGUCUCAACCAAUCUUCGACACAGUUUAGAAAGGGAAGUAAUAUUCUGAAACUCUUGAAGAGAGUGUAUAUCUAUCUCAAAGCACUCUAAUUGUCUUCUCAAAGCCUGUAACUCAAUCUUAGUGAAUCUUUAGGAUAAAAUCUUUCAGCAAGGCUGUAAAUAUCUUCAAUUUUAAAUGAUUUAAAUGCAUCAAUAGGAUUUAAAGCUGAACUAAGAGUGAGGAGUUCCAAAGUCUGUUAAGCAAAUCUAUUAUUCAACUCCAUCAAUUGAAAAUCUAUCACAGCAUUAAAUAUAUCAUAAUGAUAAUAAUGCUCAACUGUAAUAUAAUUAUUCUGCUGACAAGAACAUCCUCUGCCUUUCAUAUGGCGAGCUUUCAUAUCAGGCAUAUCUAUCUCAUUCUUUUCAUAAAAUAGAACUACGUUCUCAAUAAAAGUUUUCCAACCAUUGUCUCGCAGCCUUUGAAGAAGUUUUUUCGUAGUUGAGACUAAGUGCACAACAUUUAGAAUAUCUUGAGAUUUAACUUGUAAUGCUUGACAAAGUAAAUCACUCACCCCCAAAACUUUAUUUAAUAAAUGCAAAAUGAACACAAAUUUAAAAGAUGUCAUUGAUUCACAUGCACCUUUAGCCUCUCCACAUAUACUAUUGUUAGGUCCACACUCGACCAACUUCUCAAGAACUUUACGAACAACACUAAACAAAUCAAGCAACCUACUGAUAGAAUGGAAAUGAGAGCUUCACCAAGUAGCUCCAGGCCGUUGCAAAGUAUGAAUUUGAUUGGCCCCUGUACCAGUUUGAACUUCUCCUGAAGCUAUCAAAUCUAUUAUUUCUGCUUCCCAAACAAAUUUUAACUCAGAAAGUCGUUUAGCAGAUGAAGUCAGAACAUUUACAAUUGAACCCAAUGCUGAAAAGAAAAGCCAUACAUCUGGCACAUCAUUAGAUGCUGCAACUAAAGCAAGUAGUUGAUGUGCAAAACAGUGUAUAUUAUAUGCAUAUGGGCAAUCUUUCAAAAAUAAUGCUUGUAAUCCAUUCCAUGCAUCCCGCAUGUUACUAGCACCAUCAUACCCUUGCCCUCGGAUAUUUUCAACUAAAAGAUCAUAUCGUGCAAGAACAUUACAUAUUUCUUUUUUCAAUGUUACUGUUGUAGUUUCCAUGACAUUGACAACUUCAAAAAAACGUUCUCGAAUAUACCCAUCACAAUCAACAUACCUUAAAAUAAUAGCCAUUUGCUCUUUAUCAGAUUCCUCAAGUGCUUCGUCUACUAAAAUACAAAACUUACCAUCUCCAAUUUCCUUGCUUAUCUUGUUUUCGCACUUUGUUUGCAAGAAUAUUUAAAAGCUCUUUUUGAAUGUCAGACGAUGUAUACUUAGCAUACGAUGGAGCAUUUUCCAAGACAACUUGAGCAAUUUCUUUACUACACUCCGCUGAAUGCUUUAUCAACUCUAUGAAAUUUCCCCGAUUUCUUGAAUCAACUGGUUCAUCAUGACCUCUAAAAGCACAUGCUUGCUCUGCUAACCAUUUAACUGCAAUAAUUGAGGUCUUCAAUCGUAGCCUAUUCUCCAAAAGUUGUUGUGAAGUUUGGGCAUUAAUUAAUCUAUCAAUGUGUUGAAUUGGGUUCCUCAAACAACCCCAACUCUGCAUAUUCUUAUUAUGAUGAGAAGAUGGACCUCCUUCAUGCUGUAAAAAGGGACAUUUUUUUCCAUUGUUGACUCUCUUCCAACUAGAAAAUCCUUCAAUAACAAAUUUUGGGUUGUUUGAUGGAAUUUCAUCAAAAAGAAAGCAUGGAAAACAAAAUGCACGAUCUUUUACCUCAGAGUACUCAAGCCAUGGAAAUUUUUUAAACCAGUGACAGUGAAACCUACGUUCUUGCAUGCCAUCAUUAGUUAGUGGAUAAUCUCGUAGUUUAGGCUGAUAAGGUCCCAUUUUGAUGUACUCCCUUCUAAUAUCAUCACAUUGAUUUACUGAAUACGUCCCUAUUUGAUGACGUAAUCCAGGAUCACGCUCCAGAUAAGUAUUUCUAGUUUCUUCAACUUCAACCCUUUGAAACUUGGAAGUAUGUUGCUCACUGGAAUCUUGAGCAUUAACUUGACAUGGAGAUAAAGACUUGGUGGAUGAUUGAUUUUCACCUACUCUCUUAAAAAAAGAAAGUAGAGUUUUUCUUGGUUUAUUUAACAUUGAAUUUGUAAUAAAAUACAUUAAAAAUUUAGUAUUUAUUUUAUAAAAAAUUUGACAAAAUCGCAAGUUAAAAGCUAAUUAAAAAAGUCAGCAUUCAAAUUAAUUAUUUUACUAUUUUAUUCACUCAUUCUUUCAUGCCAUCAUUAUUUUAUAAUUACAAGAAGAUGAAUCAACACCUUUCACAGUUCCACUUUAUAUGCUAUCAUCACCGUUUUUCACAUUCUAUUAUUUUAUAAUUUUAAAAAGAUGAAUCACAGUUCACAAAAUCAACAACUUCCAGUCUUCCACAAUUCCACUUCGUGUGCCAACCAUCAUUAUCAUAAAAUCAUAUUAUAUUCUGUAAACUAAAGUUUAAAAGGCAAAGUGCUUUGUACCAAGGGCCGCAUCAAGAGACUGGGCAUUCGGCGUCGGCUCGGCAGUGAGAGAUUCAACCUAUGGGUGCGGGCCUUGCGGCAGUGGUUCGGCGUCACUCAUGAGGCAGCGGCUGGGCGUCAAUUCGAGCGCAGGAGACUGGGUAUUCAGCAGCGGUAAGAGACUUGAGCAAUUGAAUUUUGGUAAAUUUCAAAUUCGGAUUUAGUUAGAUACUGGUGAGUUUUAUGAAUUGUGAUUUAGGGAAAUAAAAGAUUCCUAUAAUUAUUGGGUUUGUUUUUAUUUUUCUAUAAAUACUAAUAAAAGUAAAUUUAUAAAUUAUAAAUAUUUUUUUUUCAAAAAGCUUACCCAGGCUGCAGCCCGGGUUAGCCUUCCCUAAGCUUUGCUCUGCCUCCACAGUCAUUGUCUACUUCCCUUGAAUGUCUUCGGGAUGGUUGUUCCUUUAUGUGGUCACAUCAUGAUAACAAGCAAACUUACUCUAAUACCAGCUGGCGAUGAGGAAACAUUAAAAGGCUAUUAGAUAAUAGAAACUAGGUUUUUAAAUAAUAAGUUAUAUUGCGAAUAAUUUGAACAAACAAAAUUGGGGUAUUGAACCACUUUUAUAGAAGCAUAAAUAUUAGGAAUUUACCAAAAUAGGCAAAUCCAAAAUAUUAUAUGAUAAUAAAAUCCUUCUAAUCUAAAUAAGAAAAGGAAAACAAAUGGAACUCAAAUCCAAUAUCUAGAAAAAAAGGAUAAAAAUCCUAAAAGAAUCACGACAAAUUAAAAAAAUAUCUUAAAACUGAAAAACAACAAAGAAAGAAGUGAAAUUUUUUGCUCAACCGCAGGGCAUGAUAGCAUAGACUGUUCUGCAUUUGGUUCAACUUAUUGCAAGCUUUGAAACGAUAUAUUAUACAUUCAAAAUGGAACGGAUAUCUGUAUCCUAAGUUAUGACCUUCGGAAGAUACCCUACUCAUUCUAUGCAACCAUCCUACGUCAACUUGCCUUUGCUAUGUAUCUUCGAGCAACUUGAAUGGCUUGAAGAUUUGUGGUAAGCUUUUUCACUUCUUGUUGGAGAAUAGUCACAAACCUCACCUGUUGUUUCACUUAUUCAUAAGCAGCAAAGGAGUUCAGUUGCCCAAGAAGAAGGGAAGCGAUCGCAUCCGCCAUUCUGACAAGGAAAAGGAGAAAUAAUUUGAUAAGAUGUUAAGUGUGCUUUUGUUAAGAAAAUACCAAAUCAAAGGAGCAGUUGCAUUCUUCUUACAUUGCAUGAAAAAAGUUAAUAGUUAUCCUCCCCCACCCCACACAUCCAUAAUUUUACCAUCUUUAAUUUUUAUGAUUCUACUCCACAACUAUGGUACAUAAUUGUAAAUAUUCUAAAAUUAAUUUGUACUGGUCGGGCCAGUGCCAUGUAAAACAAAAACAAAAACUCAAAAGAAAAAAAAAAGAAGAAAACAAAAGUUGUAAAAAGCAUGCCUCACGGAUAAUUUACUUAUAGUUAAAUUUCGUCCCACACCCUUAUUAGAUUGAAAUACUUUAAUUUACCCUCCAAAAGUAUAAAAACUUCAUUUUACCUGCCAAAUGCCAUUAUUUUUAAUAGUUAACUAAUGUUGACUUGAAAAAUACGAGAAUGCCCCUGACCCUAACUAAUUAACAGUUCAUUGAGUUAACAAGAAUAAUUUUAUUUUGCCCCUUAAGGUCUAUUAUAUUUCAAGUUAGACUACAAAAAAAAUUAUUAAUAAAAACUCCCUAUAGAAAAAAAAAAGUAAAAAAACCAUUAAAAGAUUAAUUUAACUUUUACUUAUAUCUUAAUCUAUAAAACAAGUAUGAUAAUCACAAAUUUAUGUUAUGAUAUCACCACAAUGAAAAUUUAAAAAAUAAUUUUGACCCUUCUCUUGAAUUUAAAUAUCUUAGGAAUAUCAAUAUUUAAUUAAUUAGUUGACUUUUACCAUUCAAAAUACCAUUUUACCUUUCAAAGUAUCUAAAAGACAAAUUAACGCACAAAAUUUAUUGACAUUCCAUUAAUAAUGUAAUUUGACGGGUUAAAAAUUAAAAAAAUAUAUAAAAUUUAGAGAAAUUCAAAGACUGAAGCCUUAACCCCUACUUAUAAUCCCAAAUUUUUAUCAGUUUCUUUCUUAUUAAUAUCAUUUGCUAUAAUUUUAAUCUUAUUUUUUUUAAUAAUAAUUCUUUUUAUUGAAAGCCAUUUUAGUAUUUUUUUUCCCCAAACAUCAAACUAAGGGGUAAAAUAGUAAAAUAAUUCAUAAUUUAUAAUAUUUCAGUAUAUCCAAUAUAUAUCAUUUUCAUAGAAUAAUAUUUAUCAUUUUUUUAGUAUUCUUAGGAAUCUUGAAUAGUAACACCUUUUUUUUUUUGGUGUGGACCAUGAAGUAUUCUGGGGAGAGCCCCAACUGUGGAAGGCACCUUUAAGCCCGUACUACAACCCAGACUAACAAUCCCCGCUCAAACCGGGAGACACAGGUUCUCCCAACAAAUGCGACUUCCCUGCGACUAAUAGUAACUCCUUUUUAAUUUAUGAUUAAAAUGUUAAAAAACAAAAAAGUUAUAAUCUUUUAAAAUUUGAAACGAGUUAUUGCAAAAUAAUAAUAAUAAUAAUAAUAAUUUUAUUCCUUAGUUGAGCUUUGAAAUAUAAUAAAUUACCAACAAUGGCAUCCACUACAAUUUAUCCUUAAUUAAAAUUUAAAAUUGCAAUCCAUUUUUUUGUUUUCCAAAUUAUUUUUUCUUUUAUUCUUGGUCUUCUUUAGUUUCCUUAUUUCUUUGUCUUGUACUCUUUUUUUUUUUUUAACCUCUGUUCCAUAUUUGAGGCUUUAUCUUAAUUCUUUGCAUUAAUUCUAUCAAGACUAUCCUUGAUAAUUCUAUUACGGUACAACUCAAAUUUCUACCAUCACAUAAUAUUAGAGAUAUAUAUUAUAUUCUUAUUAAUCAGAAGAUAAUUUUACUCCUAUCCAGUUUAAUUAAGAGGAAAAUCGAGAGAAAUAUCUACUUUAUUCUUGUUAAUAAAGAAAUAAUUUUAUCCCUAUCUAAUUUAAUUGAAAAGAAAAUUGACAAUAACCUAUGCACUCAAGCCAACUUUAAGUGCUUGGAUGCAUGGGUUGUAAUGUUUUUUAUUUAAAGGCUCAGGCUAGAACCAACUAAUAUCAGCCGUGUGAUUUUAAUCACUCAAUCCAACCGUCACGAUUACACUCAGUGGAUAAACAUUCCACAUAGUCCACAAACAUGAAGAGUAAAGGAUUGAUUGCAUAUGUAUCCUCUCAAGUUCUCAAGAACUUUUUCUUUAAAACACACUUUUAAAGCUAAUCUGCAGAUCUCUCCGAAAACUUUUCCUCUUCUAACUCCUCAUCUCUUCCUCACCAAAUCUUCGGAGGCAAAAAUCUUUCUUGCCUUCUCCAGUGGAUUCUUGAUUUCUUUUUUUCUUUUUUUUUUUCGGUUGCACCCACCUCUUCCUUAUGAUUUGAGGAUGUGUGUCUUGUUCUGGCCUUCUUCACCUUAAGGUGGUUGUUCUAUUUCAAUUUUCUCCUCCUUUGGUUUUGAGGAUGGCUGCUAUGCGUCCAUUCAGAUCUUGAUCUGUGAUGGUAAUAAUGUACCAGUUAUAGUGAUAAUUUUGGUUUAAUUUCUAUUUUCCAGUACAUAACCCUUCAACAUCUCUGUCAAAUGCAAUGAACCGAUCACAACCAUUCAUAAUUAACCCAAAAAAAAAAAAAAAAAAACACAGAGAACAAUCACAACGACGAUUUGUUUUGAUCAUCCCUGCUUUUUCUUAGCAUAGCUCUUGGAAUGAAAAUUAAUAAAAAGUGUCAAAAGGGAAGCAUUAAACACAGCAUUGAAGCACCAACCCAAGAUCCCAGAGCAUCCAAAUCCCGCAAAAUGAUAAUACAGCAUCAAAACUGAAACAACAAAACUAAACACGAACUGAACAAUCUGACAGUCAGUGACCAAUCUCUUCCACUUUGGCCGCAACCCCAUCACACACAAUAGAUAGUACCCGUACAUGAUCACGUGCACACUUGCAUUGGUGACAAGUGCGAUAGGAAACAAAGACUGCUUCGUCUGUAACCAAAGGUAGCACAUUACGACGACGGUUGCGUGGUGGUAGACGUGGAGGAACGUGAGCCGUUCGAUGGAGUUUGACAAAAUGAUCAAAAGGGUGUCUAGGAAUUCGAGUAUUUUGGAGAGGUAGAAGAUGUAAGCGUAGAAGAAGAGGGGACCGGAGGGAGAGAUGGUGGGGGGGAAACAGAGGGUGUGACGGAGGUCGGGUGAAUGGAGGACGAUGGAGAGAGUGCAACCAACGGCCAUGACGAGGGAGAGGAGGAGGAGGGUGAGGUUAUGGACGGCUGUGAUGGGCUUGAGGAUGUGGGGUCCAAUGAGAGGUGAUGAUGAUGGUGAUGUUGGCGUUAAUUUGUGGUAGAGUAUGAAUGUGAGGGAGAGGUAAGUGAGGAUGGAGAGAAUGAGGAAGUGUGGGGAGGAAGCUGGGGUUUGGUUUUGAGUCCAUGUGAAGUUGAGGAUUUGGGGGUGGUUUACAAGCCAAUAUUGGAGUGUUGAGGUGAUUGAAUUUGAAGCCAUGGCUGGUUUUUUGGAGGAGGAAAGAUUUGGAAGAGAUGAUGUUGAGAGGAGUGGGGGAGUUUAGAAAGUUUGGGAUAAUGUGAGGGGUAUUUUGGGCAUAUAAUGUUGUCUGAGCUUAAAUUUUUGUUAAAAAGAAAUAAUAAUAAUAAUAAAUUCUUUUCUCAUGUCAAUUUAAAACUCCGAGUGUGUUUCCAACAAUUGCUUUUCUUUUUCUAUUUUGGGAUUUUGAAUCAUUUUUUUUUCAAUUCAAUAAUGGCCUCUUCAAUUAUAAAAUAUGGUCAAAGGGGAUGGGGUGUAGUGUCUAGGCCUCCGCGACAACGGCAUCUUUGAACGUGGGUUUCAUCAGUUUUUUUUUUUUUGGCUAUUUCUGCUCAAAUCAAACUUGUGGAUUUCGUGCACUCAACGUGGAACCCUUUUGAAUGGACGCAAUGGUUUUGGUGGGAUCACACAAUCCGAAGAAGCAUGGAACUGGGACCAAUUUGUUGACAAAAAUUUAGGCAUAAAAUUUACAAAUCGAAGUCAGAGUAAGAUUUAAGUAAAAUUGAGUAACAUCUUGCACAUCGAGUAAGGAUUUCUACAAUCGGGCUAGAAAGUGCAACUAAAAUUUGGUAAGAGUUUCAUAGAGCAUAAUUUUUAAGAUACAACGUUAAGAGUAUUUAGUAGACACUUAUAAUAUUACUUGAAUUGAUUUAAUCUCAUACUCUAAUAUAAAAAAUUUAAAAUAUACUCUUAUAAUAUUACUUGAAUUGAUUUAAUCUCAUACUCUAAUAUAAAAAAAUUUAAAAUUUCUUUACUAAUUUUAUUGAAAGUAUUAUUUGACAAUCCUAUUUAUUACAUAAUAUCAACGUUUAUAUUAUAAUUACCGCUAAUACUAAAAGCUGAUCUCGUAAUUAAAAGCUAAACAAAAACUCGAGUACAAUCUAGUAAUUAAAAGCGCUAUGGUUUUUUGGCAUUACAAGAUGAUUCAAACUUGAACUUGCCAUCAAAAGUGUAUCAAAACAAUCACAGAGACACUCUGUUUGACAAAUCUGCAGUAGAAUUUGCACAAUUUAACUGGGUUACAGAGAGUGAAUAAGAUUCCAAAGCAACAGGCCAUUAUUAUUAAGAAAACAAUUCAUCGCUAGAACAAAAUUAACUUUUCUAACUUACUAGAAUUUAACUGGAGAAAAAUUGGAAUAUACGAAGUUGUAUCACAUAUAGUAUUUAGACAUCAAGAAAAGAAUCCCUCUAUCAGUGAACUAUACUUGCCAGGAAACACGGUGAAAUACCACCACCUCCCUACUAGUUCUUAGAUGUCUCAAAAGAGUUUGAUGACGACUUCCGUGUUGUAUCUCUUCGACAGGCAGCAAAAUUGGGCUAUUGACUAGAUUAACUCCCCAGAAAUUUAUGCGGUCACCUUCUUCCGGACUAUCCUCUUUCUUCGCACUUUAGGAGCCCUUGCUUCCCCUUCAACAGAGUCGACAUUCCCUUGUUUGAUGCCAAGGAGCCCAAGCCCAGAGACAAUGGCAUUCUUUGAUAUCAACCACUUUGGGGACUUUUGAGUUGAGCCAUUGACAUCCUGAGACGGCCUGUUGUAAGCCUUCUUCAAAAGGUCAUCUGACUGAAGUAGCGGAUCCGCUUCCACUCCUAACCAAGCAAGCCUUGAUCUUUCUCCUAAUUGGACAUUAAGAACCCUGCAUGGAAUCCAUUUGAGAAGUUGAACAAUAGACAAAGUCCAACACAUAUAGGCAGUAAAGAAUAAUUUGGACAACAAUUACUGAUUGUUUACGCACAGGGCUGAACAAAUGGGAAUAUUAAGGCACAUAAAAAUUGGAACCAUAUUCACCACUUGUACUUCCUUAGAGAAUUAUCUCAGAGUUCUGUUAAUUUAAAACCAUUCUUACACAUUUAACUGUAAAACUAGAGAAAUUGUACUUCUGUAGCGAAGUCUCACUAUUGUUAAGGAUUUGGACUUGGAGAGAAUGCAAGUUGAUUAAGCAAAGAAAAAUUGAAAUAAUAAUUGGUGAUAGAUCUAACACACUUCAAUAGAAACCACACUAACAUCAUAUCAGGCAAAUAAACAGAUUCCCCAGUCAAAAGUUUAACAAACAAAACAUUAAAACAAUAGUAAUUUGGUCCGACCAGAAUAGUCUAUCAAUGUAUAUAGAGAUGUAGAUCAAUAAACAAAUACGUAAAAGAGAGAGAGGGAGAGACCUCAAAGCAGUGCUUAAGAACAGUGCUACUCCAAUAACAUCAAAAUGGUUGAUGACCGCUCUAUCAAAUCCACACAAUAGCUGGUAUCUCAUGUUUGCACAUAGUCCAAGGAAAGCACCAUAACCAAGCGCAUUAGUACUCACAGAUGGGAUUGUCACAGAUAACCUGUCAGACAUUAAAGGUGGCCCAAAUUUAACAAAUGUUAAACUAGCUUAGACAGUAAACAGAACAAUUUUCUAAGUUUUCUUUAUUUGUGAUGAAUAAGUGAACGAGGAAUGAAAAGGAAGUUUUACAACCAUGUUUACCUGUCCUUUUUACCAGCAAGAUAGUUUGACAAAGAGCCUUGCACUGCUCCUGCAGUUAAUCCCACCAUACACAACUCUGCAGCCUUGUAAAAAAGGGAAUGGAUUCUCUUUUGCAAGUCAAAUUCUCGAAAUGGGCAACUCCGUUCUAAUAUAUUGUUUGGGAACGACAAGGAGCAAACAUUUAUUAGCUUAAUAUAUAAAAUAAAAAUAAAAAGCAAGUUCCUUUGUUGUGAAAAGAAAAAUAAAAACACGCCUAUCCUUACGAUUCUCCAGCUCCCACCAAACAGUGCAACCAAUUAUGGGAGCCUGCUCUACCAGAAGUUUAUACAAAAAAGCUGGAUCUGCCAGCAUCCUGGGGCAACAGCAGUUAAUACAUAAGAAAUCUGAAAAGAGGCCCAACAUUUUACAACCAAUCAAAAAUCACUGAACCAUUGGAAAGUGAUUUACGUAUAAUUUUUUUUCCAAACUUUGUCCAAAAUGAUAGAAUGAGAGAGGAUGAGAUAGGAUGACACAAGAAACAAAUGUAAAUUGACCGUGUUGGAGAAAAAUCAGUUUUUUAUACAAACUUUUAGGGCCGAUCUCAUACAAUAUAUAGGAAUACGGAAUCUAGAAAUCGUACCUUGAAAAUCUGAGAAGAUGAACAAUCUUUGCUUUUUCCGCUGAAGUGAUUUAGGCUCUCAGAUCACGAUCUGUUACCACCACUCCUGUUAGAUCACGAUCCGUCACCACCACGCCUAUUAGAUCACGAUCCAUCACCACUGAUCUUAUAGACUAUGACUCAGGUUUGAUCCGCACUUGACGUGUGGACGCCUUUAUCACCACUAUAAGCAACUAGAGAGAAAAAUUUUCUCUCAAAAUUAGAGAGAAAAAGUCUUUUUCUCUAAUAUGUAUAAUGUGGCUGCUCUGUCUCUUUUGGGAGAAAAUAAACCUUUUUAUAUCUCUAUUUAGUGGAAACCCUAUGCUCCAUAUUUAUUUAUUUAUUAAUUCUAUUAAAUCCCAUUUGAUUUAAAUUAAAAAAUAAUUAAAACAAAAGUGACGUUACUUGUUUUUGUGUUCUAGGGGCCCGCCUUGUAAAAUAACACAAGGCCCCUUACACACAGGCAUAUUACACUCCCACUAAAUAAUUUAUUUAGGCUUUUAACUCAAAUAGCUAGUUAUCUUGCUUAUUAAUCCAGUAGCAGCGUGGUCAAUUAAACAAGCUAACCCGGGGAUUAUAUGGGUACAUACAAUAGUGGCUACAAUAAUUAGACCUGUAAUUAAACUAGUCCAAUUAUUUAAUUCCAAAUCUACUCCACUAAAAUAUUGGAAUUGACCUCCAUAAUUGUAUGCUAUCUAGGAUAGUGUACUCGAAUAAUAAUUCGACCUAUGCCACAUUGAUUUCUUUACUGCAUAAUCAUUUGUACCACAUCAUUAAUUAAAUCAAUAUCUCAACUGUCCAAUCGAUUUAAUUACAUCUUGUUCCUUGAUACUUACUGGUUUUCUCUAAUGAUCAUUUUCAAACAUACUAAAUAUGUUGACACACUCUGGCCAGAGAAUUCUAUGAUCAAGUGCCGAAAACCCAUCAAGAAUUCUAUAUUGUUAAUUUAUAACUUCAAUACUCAUAAUUACUCCCACCAAGAUACCGGGUAAUCUUAACCACAAGUGUGUGUCGUGCCCAUUGGUAACUCAAAUGGAAUAACAAUUACAAUCAUGAAAUCAUAACUAACUCAAGAUUAAGAUUACAGUAAAAUCAAUGCCUAUGAGAUUUAAUAAGUCUGACAGUCAUUUCAAGGUUAAUUAAAUCUCAUAUGUGAUCCAGCUCAAUGUAGUCAAACUACGUCAGUAAAUUCAUAUAUGAUUAAGACAAGCCAUUCAAUGAAUUUACUACAGUCUAAACAUAAAUAGAACACCCAACUCUAUUUAUCAACUGCGAACUAAAUUUAUUUAAUCAUAAGAUAACUUGUAUUUAUGUCUUCUGUGAAUCCAUAUGAUGAUCACAUAAAUACAUAUAAUAUGAUUAAACAGACCUUAUUCGAUAUAUAUUUAUGCAAUUGAAAAUAUCUUAAAUAUUUUAUUAAUCAAAAAAUAAAUUAAUAUACUUUAAAAGAGCAUAUAAUCCCAACAGACAGCAAGUAGAAAUAUACUUCUGUUAUAUUUGCAACAUCUUCUAGUGUCAAUUUCUUUUCCUUGAGCUCUGUUUCUGCGUGUGCUCAAAUGCAACGCGCAUGACACAAGAUAUAAUUAUCAACAUGAAUUUUUGCCGCCACAUGCAGCACUUGGAAAACUGUUUAUGGUCAUACAGAACUGGAAAAUAAAAAAUCAUUAACAGCGAGAGAAAUCAUUUUAAUCGCAACCAAACAUACACACUAUGAAAAUCUAAAAUUGAAUUUCUCCCAAUGAAUGUGCCUCUUCACAGCAAUUUCACAAGCUAAUCCCAGCAGCCUGCGUCAUGGAGUUUCUCCCAAUGCGUGAGCGAGCCUUGAAUAGUGGCUCAAACUAAAAUGAACUUAUUGUGGACAUUUGAAUUAAAAAUACAUGUAAAAGCAGUUUUCUCAAAGCAAGGUCAAGAUAAGAGAUUAACUUUGCUCCUUAUUUACAUUAAAAAUAACAAACAAUGAAAAACAGAGCUAGAGACGAACUUACCUGUGUGCUGAGACAGAGCUAGAGGGGAAUAUGGGAUAUCUUCUUAGAUUUGGUUUGAGAAACUCCAUCUUCUUCUGAAAGUUCUGAUAGUUCCCUUAACCCAGGCCAAUACAAUUGCAACAGAAACUGCAUGCUUUAAGCAGCAUCUGAUCAUCUCUUGUUAUUUCAAGACAAUAAUAACUUAAUUGCAACACUGUGUGCUUCAACCAUUAACCUUUUCAAUUUCAACACUUCUUUUGUCCCCCGCCCGAUGCCCUUUUAACAAUUCUAUGAAUCAGAUAAAUCAGCCUUCUUCACAAAACUAUGACAAACUUUUCACGGUGUUCCACACAUUCCGGGAUCCGUAUUGAUAACAAACAUUUGAUGAAGACCCUGCCAAUUAAAAUUUAGGUCACAUGUAACAUAAUUUCUUAUUUUUCUUUUGUACACAAAUGCAGACACUUAAGCAAAUUAAGAUUUCAUACCUAAAGCAAAUUAGGAUUCUUUUGACCCUGCAAGUUACAAUUUCACUCCCCAUGUAAUAGUAAAAAUUUGUACACAUAUUUAUAGCAAAUUAAUAUUUCAUACCUCACAAUAUUUAUCAUAACCAUCAAUCUUUAGAAACCACAUGCAGACUUGUUAAACUGUUUAUGGCGCAAAAUAACAGGGAAAUUAGAACAGAUUUUUAAGAAUGAGCGACUAAAUAUUUCAAUGGCAACUAAAAUUACACAUCUUGGAAAUCUGAAACUCAAGUACUCAGAAUGAAUGUGCCUCUUCACAACAAUUAAACAAGCUGGGAACUUUAGUGCAAAUGCUUUUUCAUAAUCUUCAAUUGCAUAAGUCAGUUAGAAUCAAUCUUUCUUAAUCUUUCAAUUCACAUAUGACAGCCUGAUAACACAAGGAAACACUAUUAGUGAAUUGUCAACUGCGACAAAUUUUGGGUAAAAAAUAUCAACUGUAGUUAUCUGCAUAACAUAUAGUGUCAACACCAAAUUCCUUCUUGAUCCGUGGAAGCAUUUCAGCCCACAGACGGUUUGCUUUGUCAAUAUAUAUCAAGCUUUGUAGCUUUUAAGAAAUUGCAGGUGAAAGACUUGGAAUUUUCGAUAGCAACUCAGGAUUCUAUAUUUAAACGAUGGUGUUUGAUGACUUGCUGAUACAAAAGACAUUGCCCCAAGCACUUUUUUACAGGAGCUAAAAUCAAGCCAGUCACUUCCAUUUGUUGCAGUUUUAAUGCAGAAAGAAAAAAAGGGGGGGGGGGAAUCUGCAAGAUAACACUUGUAGUACCGCAUGUUCGCAGAAGCAGAGUUAAAUAUGCUUAAUUUCUCACUCACUCCAAGAACUUUCAUUCUCCCAUAAUUCACUCAAAUGAAACUUUCAUUGGAAGGUCCAAUUAUUAAGGAUUUAGCAUCACUUCAUAUGCUCAACAAUUCAAAUUUAAGGAUGUUAUUUCACAAAAUGGAGGACUCUAUUUGGCUUGUGAACAAUCUUCCUCACCAUCAUCAUCAUUGUCGUACCAGUUGCACUGAACAAUCCUCAUUCUGACAUUUGCCCCAAUUAUCUGAUUACACAAGAAUCCGAAACAACUGUUAGAAAUUUUAAUCUUGAUAUAUAGCCAAAAUGGUGAAUAAGAUGAUGUACUUGAUAAUAAAAACUUGAUUUAAUAAAUAAUUAAGGGGCCGAUAACAAGCACAGAAUCUCAUCGUGUGGGGAAAGCCUUGACAACAGAAGAUGGUGCUUUCAUUCAAGCCGAUAACAAGCCACUAUAUAUGCAGUUAUCAUCUUCAAUUUGCUCAUCUUUGUCUACAGUAUUGCUUCUGCGUUAACUUAAUUAGCGUGCAAGCCACCUGAAAAUGGUUUUAAAUACUGAGAAAAAGUUUGAAUUCGAACAAGUUAAUCAAAUAUGAUGACAGAAAACACAAAAGUAAAAUAACCAAAAGAAGUAGAAAUAUACUUUUGUUAGAUUUAGAGCAUAAUUCUUCUGUCAAGUUCAUUUCCAUUAGCCUUGUUUCUGUGAGUGCUCAAAUGCAAUUCCUCAACGCUCAAGAUAGUUUCCGCGGACCUGAAAAACUAGUUGUGGCCAUAAGGAACUUCAAAAUUAGAAAAGAUUCAGAAUGAGUGACUAAAUAUUUUAAUCAAAACUAUUUAAACAUACACUAAUAUACCUCUACGCAACCAAGGAUGUAUCGGAUUAAACUUGCACUCUUCGAGUGAGUGUUGACUCCAAAAAUAGAAAGAUCAGAGAUGAAUAUUAAGAAUGGAAAGACAGGUUGUGAAAGAGAGAAGAGCCAAGAGAAAUAGAAAGAGAUAUUUUAUUUCUUCAUACCCCACACGAAUUCGUUCUGCUCUACAUAUAUUCCUCUGUCUAAGACGUUAGCAAAAAUAUUACAGCUCAACAACUUCUAACAGAAAAUAUGACAAUAAAAACAAACCAGCAAUCAUAAGGUACUAGCAAUUUCAUUACACGACAUAAUCCUUAAACCACCCAAGGGCUCUUCUAACUCGUUUGCUUGCGUACCGUUCCUCAUGAGCUAAUUCUUCCUCAACCUGUGAUGUGGCUUCCUUCAUGGGCUGUUCAUAAUUGGACUCGUUGUUGGGCUGCCAUUCUUGUAAGUAAUCUGGUUGAUCCGAAUGAAUGUGGAAGGUUGUAUCAUUCCCUCCAUCUUCAAAACUCACCUUGUCCUCAAGGUGAAAAUCGGGAUAAAGUUUACAGAAUGUUUCAAACUCUUCCCAAGUAGAAUUCUCAGGGGAAUUGUCUUGCCACUGGACCAGAACUUGACAGCAUUGCUUUCCUUGGUUAAGCACGGUUCGAAUAGCACAAACUGGAGCAGGUAAAUAUAAUGGCUAAUUAUGCAUACUUGUUGAUGGCAAGGAAUGGGAAGCAGGGUUUUGAGAAUCAAGGAAGGGUUUGAGAAGUGAAAUAUGAAACACUAGGUGGAUCUUAGAACCCCUGGGCAAGUCAAGUUUAUAAGCUCCUGGACCAACUCGAGCUAGCUCAUGGAAAGGGCCAUAAUACCGUUUAGCUAGCUUUUGACAAGAACGAGUUGCCACUGUAUUUUGGCAGUAUGGCUGAAGCUUCACUAGAACUUGGUCCCCAACAGCAAACUGAGCUUCAUGUCUAUGAGCAUUAGCUUUUUGAAUCAUGCGAUGUUGAGCUUGGCGUAAAUUCUCUUUCAAAGAACGGAGUAAUGCAUCCCGUUCACUUAAUGCUUCAUCAAGAGCUUGGAUUGAAGUAGAGCCCUUUGAGUAAGGAGGGAUGGAAGGAGGUGGUCGCCCAAAAAGAGCCUGAAAGGGAGACAUCUUGAUGCUGCUGUGAUAGGAAGAAUUGUAAGAAAAUUCAGCCCACCCAAGUAGAGAUGCCCAUGAGCUUGGUUUUUCUUGAGUGAAAGCGCGAAGAUACUGCUCCAAGCCACGAUUGACUACCUCCGAUUGCCCAUUUGUUUGUGGGUGAUAGGCUGUACUGUGACGAAGGGUAGUGCCACUUAACUCAAAUAACUUCUUCUGAAAAUUGCUUAAGAACAUAGGGUCGCGAUCAGAAAUAAUAGAGGUAGGAAACCCAUGAAUUUUUAUAACCAUAUCCAUGAAUAAUUCGGCUGUCUUUACAGCAGUAAAUUAAGUGGGAAGGGAUCCGAAGUGUGCCGAUUUAGUAAGGCGAUCAACAACUACCAAUAUCACUGAAAAACCUCGCGAAACGGGAAGGCCAGUAAUGAAGUCCAUAGUGAGUUCGUCCCAAACUAAAGUAGGGAUAAGAAGAGGUUGCAGUGGACCCGCUGGUGCUUGAGUAGAGUAUUUGGUCUGUUGACACACAAGACAUUCGGCUACAAACCGCUCAACAUCCAUACACAUUUUAGGCUAGAAAAAAGUAAAUGCUAAGCGGACCAGCGUGCGUUUGAUGCCUACAUGCCCCGCAAGUGGAGUAGAGUGGAAUUCAGCCAAUAGAACUUCUUUCAAAGAUGAUGAUGAGUUGAUAUAAUAGCAAUUGCGGUAAAAAAGAAAUCCAUUAUAUAGCGAAUAAUCCCUUGAAAGAGUUCCCGCAGCAAAUUGUUGAUGAAGGGCAAUCAUAUCCGAGAGAGUGGAAUUUUCUAAGUUUAGAGUUGCUAACAACUCAAACAAAGGACGACUAAGAAGAGGCAAACAAGAAGCAGUCACGGUUGAUGUGUCCGCACCAGCUUCCUCAUGAACUCGUGAUAAAGCAUCGGCUGCAAGAUUGGUACAGCCCGGUUUAUAUUCAAUGCGGAAGUGAUAGCCUAAUAAUUUUCUGAUGUAGAUUUGCUGAUCUGGAGUUUGAACUACCUGCUGUAGAAGUUCUUUAAUGCUUUUAUGGUCAGUUCGGAUGACAAAAAAUCUGCCCAAUAAGUAUUGUCGCCACUUGUGCACUGCCUCAACAAUAGCAGUUAAUUCCUUGAUGUAGGUAGAAGAAGCACGAAGUCGAGGGCCUAAUUUCUUAUUGAAGUAAGAUAUGGGGUGCCCGGAUUGCAUAAGCACAGCCCCUAUACCCACAUUAGAUGCAUCAGUUUCAAGGAUAAAGUCAGCAUCAAAAUCUGGUAGCCGUAGCACAGGGGCUUCCACCAUUGCCUUCUUAAGAGCGUCAAACGCUUCAGCUGCUGUUUGUGUCCACUGGAAGGCAUCUUUACAAAGUAAAUCAGUAAGGGGGGCUGCUAAAGACGCAUAUCCAUGAAUAAAUCACCGGUAAUAACCCGUUAAACCCAAAAAACCUCGAAGUUGUUUUGUAGUCUGAGGAGUCUGCCAAUAAACCAUAGCUUCAAUUUUCUAAGGGUCUGCCCGCACACCAGAGGCCGAAACAAUGUGGCCCAAGUAAUCAAUCUUUUCUUGGCAAAACAAGCAUUUGGAGAGCUUGACAAAGAACUGGUGAAAAUGAAGGCACACCAAUACUUGUUGAAGAUGCCACAACUGGUCCUCUGCUGUAGCACUGUAAACCAAAAUGUCAUAAAAAAAAACAAUCACGAAUUUACACAAAAAAGAAGCGAAAAUCUAGUUCAUAGUAGCUUGGAAGGUAGAAGGUGCGUUUGUUAAACCAAAUGGCAUGACAAGGAACUCGUAGUGGCCCUCAUGAGUGCGAAAGGCCGUUUUAUAAAUGUCGCGGUGGUGCACGUGAAUUUGAUGGUAACCAGCCUGUAAAUCCAACUUGCUGAAAACUGCUGCCCCGCCUAACUCAUCAAAUAAUUCGUCGAUAGUCGAAAUGGGAAAUUUAUCUUUGAUUGUCACGGCAUUUAAAGCUCUGUAAUCAACACAGAAGUGAUAAGUUCCAUCUUUUUUUUUAACCAACAAGACCGGUGGCGAAAAUGGACUAUGACUCGCUUGAAUGAUGCCUUGUUCUAACAUUUAACGGACAAGUUUUUCCAUCUCAUUUUUUUUUUGGAAAUAAGGGUAGCGAUAAGCGUGGACAUUUAUUGGAGUGGUAUUUGGGAGGAGAUGGAUUUUAUGAUCAAUUGUGCGAUGCGGCGGCAGUGUAGUAGGUGGAAAAAAUAAGUUGCGGUAGCUGUGUAGGAGGUCGAUGAAGGGUUAAGUUAAAUUUGCACGUAAUUCGAAGGAAGAACUCUCUGGAUUACUUGCCGAUUCCUCCCCAAAUGCAGGUACCUAUUGCAGAGCAAACACGCUAUAAAUAUCCGCAUGGUGGACUAAAGAUUGCAACUGAUUAAAGGUGAUUAGGGAGGGAGUAGUGGCUAAAUCGCCUCGAAGAGUCACUGGUGCCCCAUUCCAACAAAAUUCCAUAGAUAGGGCAGAGUAAUCAUGCGAGACACGGCCCAAGAGUUGCAGCCAUUGGAUUCCCAGCACCACAUCAGGCCCUUCAAUUGGCAGAACAAAGAGAUCUAAGGUGAACACAGUCCCCUGCAACGUGAGAGCAACUUGAGGGCAAAAGUAUUUGCACACCAAAAAAUCCCCAUUGCCAAUAUAAACACGGAAGGGUGCUGUUGGUUGUAUCGGUAAGCCCAUACUCUCUGCCAUUGUUAGUUUGAUAAAGUUAUGGGUACUCCCACUAUCGAUCAACACUUGAAAACUGUGAGAACCAACUUCACCAAUCAAAUGGAGUGAGCAGGGAUUGAUCUGACCCGCCAAAGCAUUCAAACUGGAAAUAUCCCCUGUUAUGACCUCUUCAACCGACUCUGGUGGCAACUCUUGCUCAAAAGAAGUAGGUUCAUUAUCAUCCGUACCUAUAAGGAGCAAAAAGUUACUGCGACAGUGAUGAUUAGCGCUAUAUUUCUGAUCACAGUUAUAACACAAGCCUUUUUCACGCUUGUCACGGAGCUCCGCUGGAGUGAGGCGACGAAUUGGUAAGUUGGGUGUGGGAAGAAAUGGUGGUAACGUGUUUAGUUUAGGGGGUGGAGGAGUAUUUUGUGAAUGAGAUGGUACGUGGACCAUACCAACUGAAUGAUUCGGUUGUGUUGAAGCAAGAGGAUACAGUUGAGGCUGAAAUUUGUGUGACGGGGAGUUUGUGGUAGGUGUGGGUGCUGUGUUGUUCCAUUUUGUCAAAAAGCGGUGUCCUUGUUUGGCCUCUUUAGCACGUGCUUCAUAGGCCCGAGCUAAUGCAAAUGCUUCAAUCAGAGAAGAGGGCCGAGCAAAAAGCAACUCACGACGAAUAUUGGGUUUCAAUCCCGUGAUAAAAAAACUUAUCAGAAGUGGCUCGGAGAUUCUAGUCACUCGAUUCAUUAAAUCUUCAAAGGCGGUCUGAAAUUCAGUCACCGUUGUAGUUUGGGAUAACUUGGAUAAAUUUCCUUGAGGAUCUUCAUAGAGAGAGGCACUAAAACGAUGUUUAAGAUUCUGUAAAAAUGCUUUCCAGGUUGUAAGCAAAUUAUUCAUCUUCAUUCAUUGAUACCACGCUGCUGCUCAUCCUUCCAUAUGAAAAGAAACAAUCCACAAUUGAAGAGUUUCUGGUGUACCAUGAAAAUCAAAGAACUCCUCAAUUCGGAAAACCCACCCGUUUGGGUCAGAUCCAUCAAACUUAGGAACCUCCAUCUUCAUAGAACGGAGCACUGGGGAUAUCUCAACACCACUGGAAUUUGCCUCAGUAGAAGAAGAUAUUGGGUGUGGUUGAUUAGGAGCUCGACCCGUGUUAUUUGAAGACCCCUGGAUCUGUGAACGCAAAUCGUCAAGGCGAGAAUCUACUGUUGCCAUAUAUUGUUGCAGCGUUUGAUGCAACGACAAUGUUUGGCUCUCGAACUAUUCUUGAAUUGUUUUUAACAGUUCAGAGUCCGUCAUGAUGAUAGCAAUGAACAAUGAAAGCACCAAUGAUACACCUCUACGCAACUAAGGAUCUAUCGGAUUAAACUUGCACUCUUCGAGUGAGUGUUGACUCCAAAAAUAUAAAGAUCAGAGAUAAAUAUUAAGAAUGGAAAGACAGGUUGUGAAAGAGAGAAGAGCCAAGAGAAAUAGAAAGAGAUAUUUUAUUUCUUCAUACCCCACACGAAUUCGUUUUGCUCUACAUAUAUUCCUCUAUCUAAGACGUUAGCAAAAAUAUUACAGCUCAGCAACUUCUAACAGAAAAUAUGACAACAAAAACAAACCAGCAAUCAUAAGGUACUAGCAAUUUCAUUACACGACAUAAUCCUUAAACCACCCAGGGGCUCUUCUAACUCGUGUGCUUGCGUACCGUUCCUCAUGAGCUGAUUCUUCCUCAACCUAUGAUGUGGCUUUCUUCAUGGGCUGUUCAUAAUUGGACUCUGUUAGAGUGCAAUUUAUGCACUAGUUUUGCAUUGUUUACUUCCCUUAAUAUCGAUGUUUUGCACUUAAUAAUAAUGAUUUACUUGUGUUUUACUUUUGUAGGUGCAAUUCUAUUGAUUCGUGAUAAAAUUGAGUUAUAAGAUGAUGUUUAAAGAUGAUUGUUCUCUUGGAGAAAUUAAGAGAGUCAGAAGAACUUUAUUGAUAAGGCAUGGGCGCGUGCUAUCAACUGCGGACCUGCGGCUUUUAGUUUAACGUGUUUUGUAUUUUUGGCUAUUUUUGUAAUUACGAAUUUAAUAUUUAAGAUAUUAGUAUUUUAUUUUAAAUAGAACUCUAAAAGAGAAGAGAGAGAGAGAUUUUAAGGAGGAAUCUAUUGUGAAAGAGGGGGAUUUUUGGAUUGGAGAAAAAGAAACCCUAGAUCUAAUUUUUCUCUUCUCUCUAUGAGGAACUAAACCCAUUUUUCUGGUUGAAGGUUAAUGAAGCUUUGAUUCAUCACUACUGUGAGAUCUUUCUUGUGCUUUAAUUGUUUUAUUACUUUUUGGGUAUUUGUUUAUUCUCUAAAUUAUUUUCAUGAUUAUGUUUGUUAAUUAGGUAAUUGGCCACUAUUUAAUUAUCAACUUAAUCUAUUGUCAAUUAAAGGAUUCAUCGUAUGAAGAAUUUGAUGUUUGUGACAAAUAACAUAGCAGAGAGUUGUGUUGUGAGAAUAAACAAUCUAAUUUAAAUGAAUCAUCAUAUGUGUUGAUUAGGAUUUGGGUCUCUCUGGUUUCUUAGGCUGUCAAUUGAUUAAAUUCUAUGAUCGUAUCUAGGGUUGUCUAUUGAUUAGGGAAAUAACCAACGGUCGUACCUUGGUUAUCGACUAGUUAAGGAGAGAUUGGCUAUUAGAGGGUCUCAGUAGCUAUAACCGAUCUAUUCAUAAGUAAUAAUAAUAAUCUAUAUUUGAAUCAAUGAUCAGUAGUCGAAUCAAGCUGAGUUAAUUCCUUCAACCAGAGCUUUCUCCAAUUUGAAUUACAACUUUAAUUUGCAUUCUUGUUUAUUUCAAUUUGAUUUUUAUUAUUGUCAACAAUUCCCCCAUUUUACGUUUUAUGUUUCAAAAGGAUUUAAAUAAUUACCGAUCUCUGUGGACACGACCCUGCUCAAUCACUAUACACAAUUUAUUUAGAGUAUGAAUUUAUUUUUGUUGGCUUCGACAUCCAUCAGACUCGUUGUUGGGCUGCCCUUCUUGUAAGUAAUCUAGUUGAUCCGACUGAAUGUGGAAGGUUGUAUCAUACACGCCCUGAAAAUCUGAAACUGAAUUACUCAAAUGAAUAUGCCUCUUCACAGCAAUUGGUUGAAACUUUACUGCAAAGACUUUUUGAAACCCUUGAAGAUGAUACUCUACCUGAUAACACAAGGAAACACAAUCAAUAUAAGAAGAUGAUUUUACGAAAAAAUGAAAGCUUGCCGUUAUUGGCAGAGCUCUACUCAAAUUUAAUGAGAUAUCUCUUAGGAGGGAGAGCUCUAAUAAUAUAUAAAGCCAAAAAUCUGAAAAUGUCUAACACUCAUCAAAUUGGCUUGUGAAGAAUUAAUCUUCCUUGCCAUCAUACAUGCCAGGUGUGGUGAACAAUCUUCAUUCUGACAUUUGCUUUAAUAAGCUGCUUAGUAUCCUUAACUUGAUAACUUACACAAACAAAAACUGUGAAAAUAGGUAGAGAAAAAGGUUAUGGAAUAAUUCUCUAUUUCAUAUCUUCAUGAGACUGUACGCAGAAUAUUACACACUGAUUUCUAGGAAGCAAUAACUUUAUAUUUACACCAAAUAUACACCUAAAUAUAUAAGGAAAACCAAAUCAAUUUGAUUGGGUCAACCUUUCAACACUCCCCCUCAAGCUGGUCUAAAAAUGUCUUUCAUGGCCAGCUUGCAAACCAAUUUCUCAAAAUGUUUCUUAGGUAGUCCCUUGGUGAAUAUAUCAGCAAUCUGCUCAUUUGUAGGAAUAUAGGGCAUGCAGACCAAACCACUGUCUAGUUUUUCUUUUAUGAAGUGUUUGUCCACUUCAACAUGUUUAGUUCGGUCGUGGAGUACUGGAUUAUGUGCUAUUGCAAUGGUAGAUUUGUUGUCACAAUAUACUUUCAUAGGUAGUGAAUUACUUGCCUUAAGUUCUUCAAGAAUUUUUUUGAUCCAAAAACCUCACAAAUUCCUAGAGCUACUGCUCUAUAUUCUGCCUCUACACUACUUUUUGCUACCACAGUUUGUUUCUUGCUGCGCCAAGUGACCAAAUUUCCUCCAACAAAGGUGCAGUAACCAGAAGUGGAUCUUCUAUCGGUUACACUACCAGCCCAGUCAGCAUCAGUGUAGACUUCUACUUGUAGGUGCCCGUUUUUUCUGAACAAAAGACCUUUACCCGGAGAUCCUUUUAAGUAUCUAAGGAUUCUAUAUACAGUUUCAAAGUGUUCUGGUCUUGGAGCAUGCAUAAACUGGCUGACUAAGCUCACUGCAAAGGCUAUGUCCGGGCGUGUAUGUGAAAGGUAGAUUAAUCUACCUACAAGGCGUUGGUACCGAUCUAUGUUGGUCACAUCUUCAAUUUUAGCUGGCUGUAAUUUCGUAUUAGGAUCUAUGGGUGUCUCGGCUGCUUUACAUCCGAGUAGACUUGUCUCUUCAAGCAAAUCAAGAACAUACUUGCGUUGAGACAUAACAAUCCCAUCUUUUGAUCUAGCAAACUCCAUGCCCAAAAAAUACUUCAGGUUGCCUAAGUCUUUGAUUUCAAAGUCACGUGCAAGCACUUUCUUUAAUCUGCAAAUCUCAACUAAGUCAUCACCAGCCAAAAUUAUAUCAUCUACAUAUACAAUUAACACGGCUAAUUUCCCUUCAAUAGAAUGUUUGUAAAACAUUGUAUCAUCUGCCUGACUUUGGGAGUAGUCGUGUCCCUUUAUAACAUUACCAAAGCGUUCAAACCAUGCUCUAGGAGACUAUUUAAGCCCAUACAAAGACUUAUGUAGUUUACACACUUUAUUGCUGCCGUGAUUUCCCUCAAAACCUGGUGGUAAAUCCAUAAAGACUUCUUCUUCUAGCUUCCCAUUCAGAAAAGCAUUUUUAACAUCUAACUGGUAUAGAUUCCAAUCAGAAUGUACAUCCAAUGAGAUAAGGACCCGGAUGGAAUUUAUCUUUGCAACGGGGACAAAGGUUUCUUGAUAAUCAAUUCCAUAGGUUUGAGUGAACCCUUUUGCUACAAGCCUUGCCUUAUAUCUCUCAACACUCCCAUCAGCAUUACAUUUAAGUGUAAACACCCACUUACAACCCACAGUUUUCUUUUCUUUUGGUAAAUCCACAAUCUCCCACGUACCAUUCUUCUUUAGAGCAUUCAUUUCCUCUAAAACUGCUAACUUCCAAUCUGGGUGGUCUAGGGCUUCUUUUAUGGUUUUAGGAAUUGGUAUCUGAGAGAUUUUUGUGGUAAAGGCUCUUUGUUUAUUGGACAACUUUUCAUAGGAAACAUAUCUAGCAAUGGGGUGCUUAGUACAGGUUUGGGUUCUUUUCCUAUGUGUUAUAGGUAAGUCAAGAUCAGGAAAAAAAGUGCUGGAAUGUUUAGGAGAAGAAAUGUUACCUGAAUUUUCUGAGGAAUCAGUGCUUGGAGGCGACGAUUGAGGCUGUACCAAGUUUAUGAGAGGGUCUUUACUGCUGUGAUGAUACUUUCGAGUAUAAACACGAAGCUCUGGUGGUGGAAUUUUAUCUUGUAGUAUUUCUCCCCCUGUCUCGGGUACAUUAACACUUGGUUCCUGUAGUUCAAGGUUUCCUAGGUUUUCAUUAUUAGAAAUAUCAGUUUUUUGAGUUUGAGUUGAAGUGCCCAGAUCAGGUAAAAACAUAUUAGGCAUAGGUGUAGAAGUAUGCCAAAAAUGAUCUUCACUAUUUUCUUUCUCCCCCUGAAGAGAAUUUGGGCCAAAAAAAGGUUGAUUUUCAAGAAAUAUAACAUCCAUACUGACAUGGAAUUUCUUUGUUUAAGGAUUGAAACAUUUGUAACCUUUUUUAUUAGGAGCAUAGCCCAAGAAAACACAUUUUUCAGAUCUAGGAUCCAAUUUAGAUCUAAGAUGGUUAGGAACAUGAACAAAUACAGUGCACCCAAAGACUUUUAACUGAAUAUUGGAGGUAAUCCUACUAGAAGGAUAUAUAAGUGUGAAGUAUUCUAAAGGUGAUUGAUACUUUAAAACACGGGUAGGCAUCCUAUUAAUCAAAUAACAUGCUGUUAAAACAACAUCACCCCACAAAUAUUUAGGAACAUGCAUAGAGAGCAUGAUAGCCUGACUAACUUCAAGUAAAUGGCGGUUUUUUCGUUCCGCAAUUCCAUUUUGUUGUGGAGUAUCACGACAAGUGGAUGUGUGAAUUAUACCCUUUUCCUUACAAAACACCUCUAGAUAAUUAUUAAAAUAUUCAGUACCAUUAUCUGUAUAGAGUAGGCUUAUUUUUGUUUGAAAUUGAUUUUCAACCAUGUUAUAAAAAUCUUUGAAUAACCCCUCAACUUCAGAUUUUUCUCUCAUUAAAUAAACCCAACAAAGCCGAGUAUGAUCAUCUAUGAAUGUUACAAACCAUUUUUUUUCCAAUUAAAGUGUUGAUUUUUGAGGGUCCCCAAACAUCACUAUGAAUUAAAUAAAAAGGUUUUGAGGCACGAUAAGUAAGUGCUUUAUAUGAAACUCGAUGACUUUUAGAUAAAAAACAACUUUCACACUGAAAAGUAGUACAAUCAACAUUUUUAAAUAAAUCUGGAAACAAAUAUUUCAAAUAAGGAAAGCUAGGGUGUCCUAGUCUAAGGUGCCAAAGCAUUAUUUGAUCCCUAGCAGAGUUUGAACUAAUACUACUGCUCAAACCUUGAGCUUGUUUAUUCAUUGAUAAGUAGUCAUCAAAAUAGUAAAGACCUUCUCGCAAACUAGCACUGCCAAUCAUCGUCCCCAAGUCCCUGUCCUGAAAUUCACAAUAGGAGUAAAAAAAGACAGCACAACAAUUAAAAUCUUUGGUUAAUUUACUGCCAGAUAACAAAUUGCAAGAAAGUUUAGGGACAUGUAGCACAUUUUUAAGCUCAAUGGUUCCAGAGAUUUUUAUUGAUCCUUUUCCAGCUAUGGAAGAUAAGCUUCCAUCAGCAACUCUUACCUUUUUGUUACCAGGGCAAGGAUAAUAGGAAUCAAAUAAACUAGAAAUGCUAGUCAUAUGAUCAGAAGCACCCAAAUCAAUAAUCCAUGGUGCAGUAGUUGAGUGGCUAAAUAGAGCAUUAAUAAUACUACCUGUUUGGGCUAGUGAACCACUAGGAGUACUAGGUGGAGGAUUAGAAGUGAGCAACUUUAUGAGAUGGUCAAUUUGCUCCUUGCUGAGAUUUUUUUCUAGAUUCUCCACUUCAUUGGCAGACGCACGGCUAUGCUUGCUGUUUUUCCAGUUUGCAGGCUUUUCGUGGAGUUUCCAGCAAGCCUCCCGAGUAUAGCGUGGUUUAUUACAGUAAUCACACCAUACUCGAGGUUUUUGUUGCUGUUGAGUGAUGGAGCGGGUAGCAUUAGCAUCUGCUGUAACAAGGGCAGAUUUUUCCACAGAGACAACGGAGUUCGUUUUUCCCAACAUAACACCUCGACGACUUUCUUCUCUCCUUACUUCAGAGAAAACAUCCUCAAGAGUAGGAAGUGGCUUUCUCCCAAUAAUUCUUCCUCUUACCUCAUCAAAUUCAACAUUGAGCCCAGCCAGGAACUUGAAGAUUCGCUCAUUAUUGACAAUUUGUUUGUGGUGUUUAAAAUCUUCCAUUCUCUCCCACUCGUAGUCAUUGAAUAAGUCCAGAUCUUGCCACAAUCUCUUUAGAGUAUUGAAGUAUUUUGUUAUACUAUAAUCUCCUUGACGAAUAUCUCUAAGAGCAAGCUGCAACUCAUAGAUCUGGGACUAAUUUCCAUAGUCAGAGUACAUCUGACUCACAUUAUCCCAGUGUUCUUUUGCAGUAGAGUAGCACAUAUAAUUUGCACUAAUGUCUUCAUCCAUGGAGUUGACUAACCACGCCAUAAUCAUGGAGUUUUCGGCAUCCCAAACACCAUAAGAGGGAUCAGAUAUUUCAGGAGCCUUAACAUCUCCGGUAAGAUAACCAAUCUUCCCUCUUCCCCUAAUAUACAUUCUAACCGACUGAGACCAUCUUUGAAAAUUUCCUUCAUUCAGCUGGAUAGUUGUAAUCUGGACAGAAAGAGAUUCAGAAUGGGAAAUUUUUUGUUCUAGUCUUUUUGAGGUGACUGUGGUUUCAGAAGAUUGGUCAGACAUGGUAGGGAAGAGAUUAGAAAGAAAGGGAGCCUAACUCUGAUACCAUGUGAAAAUAGGUAGAGGAAAAGGUUAUGGAAUAAUUCUCUAUUUCAUAUCUUCAUGAGACUGUACACAGUCUUAAUAUAGGGAUACAAGAGACUAAGAAAGGAAAGAAAAAAUUAAAGCAGAAUAUUACACACUGAUUUCUAGGAAGCAAUAACUCUAUAUUUACACCAAAUAUACACCUAAAUAUAUAAGGAAAACCAAAUCAAUUUGAUUGGGUCAACCUUUCAACAAAAGCAACUUUACUAAAGUUUAUUCCUUAAAGGCAAAAUAGUAAAGAAGAUGAUAUAUGCUGAUACAAUAAAUUGACCUGAGUUAUCCUGAUGUCAAGAAUCACAGCACCUCAUGUGGGCAAAAUCAUCGCAAUACAAGAUGCUGAAUUCAAGCAACAUCUUAUCACCUGUAAUUUAAUUAAGACAAUAACUUUCCUCAACUAUUACCCUUCUCAAUUUCAAUGUAUUAUUGGCAACUAAAUUCAUAGGGGACGUAGCUAAUUAAAUGCCCUUUUAACAAUAUCUUCCCCACCUAACAAUUAUUUGGAAAAUCUAAAUGAGAAUCAUGCAUUGAUGGCAUAAAAAAUUGGCCACAAAGCUGCCUAGAAAAAGGCUUUAAAUUCUUAAUGAGACAACGAAUUCGAACAAAUAUGGUGAAUGAAGAGACAAAGGCAUAACACCUCAAGAAGCAAAGCUCUGUUUCUGUAUGUGCUGAAACCAUUGGAAACCCAUGGAAAUGAAUUUCUACGAAUUAGACAUGUCAGCCAAAACAGGUGCUCUGUACGAGCAAAGUAAAAGAGAGUUACAAAAAAUUUUAAGAUAAUUAAACUUUUAAUCACCAUAUAAUUAAUAGAAAACUUUGUACACAAUGAUUUAUUGGAGAUUAAGAUUGUAUACCUAAGUUUUAAUUUCAAACUAAAUAUGCACAACAUGACAUUAGCAUUAGAAGACCGCACCAAAACGUACCGAAUUGAAUGUACCUCUUCGCGGCCAUUGUACAAGCAUUGAAACUUUACCGCAAAAGCUGUUUCAAACGUGAUGCACCUUAGAGAUGCAAGAUAAGAAAUUGUUAUUACAACUAGCAUUGAAACAUGUGUGGAACUGUUAAUGGACCUAAAUAACCUGAAAAUCAGAAAAGAUUAGGAAUGAGUGACUAAGCCUGCUAAUCGCAACUAAACAUACAAACCUUGAAAAUCCAAAAUUGUACUCGAUGAAUGUGCAAUUGCUCGAGCAGGUAACUGUGCAAUUGCUCGAGCAGGUAACUUUACUACAAAGGCUCUUACAAACCCUCAAAGAUGAUAAUCUACAUACCAUGGUAACCUGAAUAAUAAAAAGAAACACAGUGAAUAUUAAAGGGCAUUCUGACAAUGCAAAUUUGUGCAAAUUAACAACUGCGGUUACUUGUAUAAUAGUGUCGAUACCGAAUUCCUUCCUCCAUGGAAGCAUAUGAUCACCCCACAUGUGCUUUGCUCUGUAGCUUUUGAGUACCUGAAAUUGUUAUUACAACCAACCGUGAAAAUUGGGUGAAAAAAUGGUAAUAUUAGCAUAAUUGAAUUUGCUUAUAGAGGAUAAACCGAUCAAAGGAAAAAACAAGAUAGAAAUGAUGAUCUUAGUACCUUAAUAUCAUGUAAUAAUAAUCACCAUGCCUUCCAGGCAGCUAUCCAUCCUCAAUUGAAACAGAGCAGACCUGGCCAUCACUUUCUUCUUCAAAGUCCAGCAACUGAACGUUGCACACAACACCACAGUGGAAGUAGUUCCAACACCAGCCUAAUCCUUGAUUACCCCAAUGUUCUCCAUAGGGUCUUCAAAGUCAACCUAAAAAUAAAAAUGAAAAUGCAAUGCAUUAUUAUUAAGGAUCUAGUGCUUGAGCUUGCUUUGAUAUCAUGGUAUUAGCAAAUUCUGAUAUAGCCAAAAUGGUGAAUAAGAUGAUGUACUUGAUGAGAAAAACUUGAUUUAACAAAUAAUUAAGGAGCCGGUAACAAUCACAGAAUCUCAUCAUGUGGGGAACGCCUUGGCAACAGAAGAUGGUGCUUUCAUACAAGCAAUAGCAACUUUCCAAUUUCAUAAGGUAGUUUAAUGGCACUUUUAAGAACAUUUGUACCAGCCUAACAAUUAUUCAUGGAAAUUAAAAUUCAGAAUCAUGUUAGACUGAGAGAUGAAAUAUAAUAAGCGAUUUGGCCACCAUAUAUGCAUUUAUCACCUUCAAUUUGCUCAUCUUUGUCUAGUGUAUUGCUUCUGCAUUAACUUAAUUAGCUUGCAAGCCACCUUAAAAUGGUUUUAAAUAAAGUGUAAGAGCUCAAAUUCGAACGAAUUAAUCAAAUAUGCUGACAGGAGAAACAAAAGUAAAAUAACCACAAGAAGUAUAAAUAUACUUUUGUUAUAUUCGGAGCAUCUUCUAGCGUCAAGUUCUUUUCCUUUAGCUCUGUUUCUGUUUGUGCUCAAACGCAAUGGCUAAAGGGUCAAGAUAAUUUUAUGACCAUCAAUCUUUUUGCAGCCACAUGCAGACUUGAAAAACUGGUCGUGGCCCUAAGGAACUUGAAAAUUAGAAAAGAUUCAGAAUGAGUGACUAAAUAUUAUAAUCGAAACUAAUUAAACAUACACGCCUAGAAAAUCUGAAACUGAAUUCCUCAAAUGUAUAUGCCUCUUCGCAGCAAUUGCUUGUGGUGGAAACUUUACUGCAAAGACUUUCUCAAACCCUUGAAGAUCACACUCUACCUGAUAACAAAGAAACAGAGUCAAUAUACGAAGAUGAUUUUACUAACAAGUGAGAGCUUACACAUGUUGGAAGGAUAAUGAUUACUCAUAACCCAAAUCCCCAAUACUCCCUAAUAUCUCACUCAAGUGAGUUCGAGCUCCCAGAAUUCACUACUGUGAAACUCUCACAACAAAAUUCUCUUCAAAGAUUCUCUACUCAAAUUUGAUGAUGAUAUCUCUCGAAGGAAGGCAAAAGAAUCUAACACUGAUAAAAUUGGCUUGUGAAGAAUUAAUCUUCCUCGCCAUCAUUCAUACCAGGUGCGGUAACAAUCUUCAUUCUGACAUUUGCCUUAAUAAGCUGCUUUGUAACCUUAACCUGAUAACUCACACAAACAAAAACAACUUGCCUAAAGUUUAAUAUUUAGAGCAGAACAGUAAAGAAGAUGAUAUAUAUGAUACAAAAAUUUCACCUGUGUUACCCUGAUGUCAAGAAUCAUAGCAUCUCAUGUGGGCAAAAUCUUCGCAACACGAGAUGCUUGCAAAAUUGGAGCAGCAUCUUAUCACCUGUAAUUUAAUUGAGAGAAUAACUUUCCCCAACCAUUUCAAUGCAUUAUUGGCAACUAAAUUCAGAGGGUGCUAAUUAAAUACCCUUUUAAAAAUAUCUUCUUAUUCUUCUUCAAUCUAACAAUUAUUUGGAAAAUCUAAAUGACAAUCAUGCAUUGAUGGCAUCAAUAUUUGGCUACAAAGCAGCCUGGAAAGGGCUUUACUCUCUGAAUGAGAGCAUGAAUUCGAAACAAAUAUGAUGAAUGAAAAAACAAAGGCAUAAUACCACAAAAAGUAAAACUUUUUCCCAGGGCUCUCUGUUUCUGUUUGAGCUAAAACCAAUGGAAACCGAUGGAAAUGAAUUUCUAUGAAUUAGACAUAUCAGCCAAAACAGGUAUUCUGUACAAGCAAAGUAAAAUAGGGUUACAAAAAAUUUUAAGAUUGAUAUGAUAAUUAAAAUUGUAAUUAAAAUUUCAGUCACCAUAUAAUUAAUAGAAAACUUUGGACACAAUGAUUUAUUGCAUAUUAAGAUUGCUAUACAAAAUAUAAUAUUAGCAUUACGAGACCGCACCAAAGCAUACCGAAUUGAAUGUGCCUUUUCACAGCCAUUUUACAAGCUUUGAAGCUUUACCACAAAUGCUUUUUCCAACCCGUGAACAUGAUGCACCCGGGAGAUGCAAGCUACGAAAUUGGUACUACAGCAAGCGUUGGAACAUUUGUUAAAAAUGGAAGUUUAAGAAAAUAUGCCAUUGGAUACCUGUCUUCAGGAAUCAAUUCAUCCGUAAUAAUAAUUUUCAAGAAGUAUCAACUGCUUUAAGCUCAUCGACAUCACAGAGAUCUUCAACUAAAAUAGAGCAGAUCCGGCCAUCACUAUCCCUUCUACUGCUCUUUUCCUUUAGAGAAUGCUUGAAUUACAGAAUGCGUGUAAGGCAUUCUUCUUCAAGGUCCAAUGAUCAAACUGUUGGGGAAAAUUAGUUUUUUAAAUUUUUUAUAAAACCUUUUGAAGAUCGCUCUCAUAUAAUAUAUAAGAAUUUGUAUUCUAGAAAUCGUACCUUGAAAAUCCGAGUUGGCUUUUUCCGCUGAAGUGAUUUAGGCUCCUAGAUCAUGAUCCGCCACCACCACUCCUGUUAGAUCACGAUCCAUCACCACCACGCUUGUUAGAUCACGAACUGUCACCACCACGCUUGUUAGAUCACGAACUGUCACCAAUGAUCUUCCAGGUUAUGACUCAGGUUCGAUCUGCACUUGACGUGUGGGCGCCUUUAUCACUACCAAAGCAACUAGCACGAGAAAAAAAUUUUCUCAACAAUAGAGAGAAAAAAAUUUUCUCAACGAUCUUAUUCUCAGAUCUGUAUAAAGUGGCUUCACUCUUUUCUUUAGAGAAAAUAAGUCUUUUAUAUCACCCUUUAGUGAAAACCCUAGGCUCCAAAUAAUCAAAAAACAAAACCCACGUUAUUUGCUUUUUCAAUAGGGGACCCACCUUGUAAAAUAACAUAAGGCCCCUUACACAAAAGCUAAUUAAAUGGAGCCUCCCACUAAAUGAUAUAUUUAGGCUUUUGACCCAAAUAGCUAGUUAUCUUACUUAUUAGUCCAGUAGUGGUGCAGUCAAUUAAAUGAGCUAACCCGGGGAUCAUUUGGGAACAUACAAUAGUGGCUACAAUAAUUAGGCCUAUAAUUAAACUAGCCCAAUUAUUUAAUUCCAAAUCUACUCCACUAAAAGAUUGGAAUUGACUUCCAUUUUUGUAUGCUCGAAUAAUAAUUCGUCCCAAGCCACAUUGAUUUCUUUAUUGCACAAUCAUUUGUACCACAUCGUUAAUUAAAUUGAUAUCUCAACUGUCCAAUCAAUUUAAUAACAUCUUAUUCCUUGAUACUUACUGGUUUUCUCUAAUGAUCAUUUUCAACAUACUAAAUAUGUUGACACACUCUGGCCAGAGAAUUCUAUGAUCAAGUGCCGAAAACCCAUCAAGAGAUGUGUUGUACAAAUUCUAUAUUGUUAAUCUAUAACUCCAAUACUCAUAAAUGCUCCCACCAAGAUACCGGGUAAUCUAGACUACAAGUAUGUGUCAUGCCCAUUGGUAACUCAAAUGGAAUAACAAUUACAAUCAUGAAAUCAUAAUUAACUCAAGAUUAAGAUUACAGUAAAAUCAAUGCCUAUGAGAUUUAAUAAGUCUGACAGUUAUUACAAAGUUAAUUAAAUCUCAUAUGUGAUCCUGUUCAAUGUAGUCGUACUACAUCAAUAAAUUCAUAUAUGAUUAAGACAAAUCAUUUAAUGAAUUUAUUACAGUCUAUACCUAAAUAAAGUGCCCAACUUUAUUUAUCAACUGCGAACAAAAUUUAUUUAAUCAUAAGAUAACUUGUAUUUAUGUCUUCUGUGAAUCCACAUGGUGAUCACAUAAAUACAUAUAAUAUGAUUAAAUGGACUUUAAUAAAAAUAUUAAUGCAAUUAAGAUAUUUGAAUAAAAUACCUCAUUAAUUUUAUUAAUCAGAAAAAAUAUUUAUUACAAUUAAAUAAACACAUAUGCUUUUAAAGAGCAUAUUUUCCCAACACAAACCUUUCACAAUAAAAACAGAGGUAGUAGUUCCUUCGCCAGCCUAAUCCUUGGUCUCAGGAAUGUCCUCAACAGAGUUCUCGAAAUCAAGCUAAAAAUUAAGAAUGAGUUGGAAAACUGUUUAUGGCCCUAAAGAACUUGAAAAUCAGAAAAGAUUAAGAAUGAGUGACUAAACAUUUUGAUCGCAACUAAACAUACAAACCUUGAAAAUCUAAUUUUGAAGUACUCUUAAAUGAAUGAGCAAUUGCAGGAGCUGGUGACAACUAAGGUUACUGUGAAGUGUCUUACAAAUCCUUAAAGAUGAUACUUUACAUACCACGAUAACCUGAUAACACAUAGGAACACAAGGAACAUUAAAGUGUAUUCUGACAAUGCAAAUUUGUGGAAAUUAUCAGCUGUGGUUACCUAGACAAUAUUGCCAACACCAAACUCCUUCCUCAAUUGAAACAUAUGAUCAGCCCACAAAUGCUUUGCUUUGUAGCUUUUGAGAGCCUGAAAUUGUUUUCACAACCAACAAUGAAAAUUGGGUGAAAAUUUUGAUAAUAUUAGCAUAAUUCCAUAUGUUUAUAUAGGAUAAACCGAUCAAAGAAUGAAACAAGAUAGAAAUGAUGAUCUUAGCACCUUAACAUCAUGCAAUAAUAAUCAUCAUGUCUUUCAGGCAGCUAUCCAUCCUCAAUUGAAACAGAGCGGACCCGCCCAUCACUUCCUUCUUCAAAGUCCAGCAACCAAACGUUGCACAAUAACCACAGUGAUAAUCCUUGGUUACCCCAAUGUUCUCCGUAGAGUCUUCAAAGUCAACCUAAAAAUGAAAUAAAAAUGCAAUGCAGAUGGAAAUUGAAAAUUCUAUAAAUUAAAUAAAAUAAAAAUGCAAUGCUUUAGCAUCAUCAUAAUAGUAAAUUUUUAUAUACCUUUACUUCUCUGUUCUUGUUUAUACACAACAAGAUAUCAAUAGAAGAAGAUGGAAAUGAAAUUCUAUAAAAUAAAGCAAGUGAAUUACCAGCAGAACAUUUUAGCAAUCCUUUGGCUAAACUUUUCAUUUUCAUAGUUUUGCUCUCCUGCCUGCAUCAUUAGAACCAAAUUAGCUUGGACCUGCGAAUUGCUAGUGUAGUUCUGACAUUUCCUCGAAUCCCUGGUGAACAUAAUUACACUCGUAUGAAAUAAAACAAAGUGGGCUAAUGUACUACCAAAAACAAUUAUACAAUUACUUUAAAGAAUUAAUGUCACAUAAAUUAUAUAUAUAAAAAAAAUAUGAUUAUCAUUAUACAAGAUAAAAUUGAUAAUUUAGUUUUCAACAUUACUGCAAAUGUAUCACAGAGAUUUUGUCUCUCAAGAAGUUACACAUAACAAAUUUUCGUACAUUAAAAAAUAAAUUACAUUGGGAUUUUCUAUGAUGUUGUAUGAAAUUUUACAAAAGACUGCAUAUUUUUUAGAAGAAAAUAUAAAAAUUUCAAUAGACUAUACUUUUUUUUUAAUUAUUAUUAUAUAACCUUGAUAAUACAAGUUUAAUAGAUUUGAUAACUAGGAAGUUUAAAUUUUAAAUAACUGAAAUUAAAAUAUUAUCUUAAUUAACUUUUGACUUUAUGAAUUAUUGAUUAACUCUAACAGUACAUAUAUAUACCAUGAUUGAUUUUAUAAUUUUUAUAACAGCAUCAUAGAGUGACCCAUUAAAUUAAUGGUUGAAGUAAACAAAAUUCAAUAUGCAAAUCAAAAUAUUAGAAAAAUAUUAUAUAUUCCUGUCAGACAUUGGCAAUAUAUAGAAUUUUAAUUCAAAAUAUAAUUAUUUUUAUUACCGGCGAGUGAUAUCUUACGCCGACAGAAUGAUGUGGGGAAUGUGAGAUAUUUUAUGCCACUUUUCUCCUUUCCCCUCUCUAUAAUGGUUUUCCAGAAGAGGACAUCUGUCAAUAGUCAAUUCCUGCAGCGUCGACGUUCGAAGGAGGUAAUCCGACAGCACCUUUAAUUUGGGGCAAUACCAAAUUCGUAAGGAAGAAAGAUGUGGUCCUGCGAUCUUCUAGAAUGGGCAGUUCUUCUAGAAGAUCACAAGAAUAAAUACUUAGUUCCUACAAAAUUUAACUUUAAGCGACGGACUUUGUCACCAAAAGAAUUUAUGACUGAUUCCUUAGUACCAUUAAUUUCUAGCCACAGGCAUUCUUUGCUACUUACAAACUGAGCAAAAUCAUGUACUAUGUCAUGCAUCUUGAAACUCAUAAUAUUUCUUAAACUCUUGAAAGAAAGAGCGUGCUGCUAAAAUGUUGAAAUACUCUUCUCCAAUCAUCUCCAUUUCUUCGUCUUCUUCUGCAUUAAGGUAAUCUUGAGCCAUCCACAGAUUAAUCAAUUCCUCUUUAUCCAUAUUGCAGUCUUUUGGAAAGACAGUACAAUAUGAGAAACACCGUUUUACCAUAGAAUUGGAGGGUAAAUCGUUAUAACUCAACAACAAAGGAGUCAAAAGACCUUGCCCAAUCUCUUGUACUUUCCACAUUUCACUCCCUAAAAUUCUUUGUCACUCUUUUACUGUACUUUUAGACCGCAAGAGAUUCCCUAUUACCUUUGCAGCAACAGGCAAGCCUUUGCACUUGUGUGCAAUUUUUCGCCCCAUUGGUUCUAAUUUUUCACGAUCCUCAAAAGAACGACCGAAAAAUGCUAACCGCUCGAGCAACGACCAGCAUUCCUCUUCAGCCAAUUGCUCAAUGAAGAUAAUAUUUGUUGAUCCCAUCAUAUGUGCAACUGACUCAUUACGUGUGGUAACCAAAAUUUUACUUCCGUGGAGACCAUUCUUUAGAUAAAGGAAAAAUGGUUCCCAUUUGUUGUAAUCCCCAUCCCAUACAUCAUCUAAAACCAGAAAAAACUUUUUUCCUUCGAUUGAUCUAUGGAUAUGGCUCAUAAGAGAUUGGAAUUCGCUUAAACUAGAAGCUAACUCGCCUAAACCUUCAAUGAUUGCUUUGGCAACCCUAAUCUCCUCAAAAGUGUCUGAUACACACACCCAUAUAACUUUUUCAAAAUUUCUUUUCACCUCAUCAUUAUUAUAGGCCAGUUGUGCAAGAAUAGUUUUACCUAUACCCCCUAAUCCAACUAGUGAGAUGACAUAAAGGCCUUGUUGUUGUUCACUACUUUCACACAACAACUUGCUUAAGAGCUCAUUUUUCUCAUCAACUCUACCGCAAACCUCCCCCUCAUCAAUCAAGGAGGUGGUUCGCACUCGCUCUGGUUUCUUAACAUUGUUGCUCACAUUCUCAACAAAUUUAAACGUAUCUUUUUGGGAGGCAAUAUCAUCUAGCUUUCCAUUGAUUUCCCUAAUCUUGACGGCAAUGUCAUGACGAAGACUAAGUUGUUUGAUACAGCACAAAAGAAGGAGCGUACCUUCUUCUUAUGAGGAGCAAGAGCAAGAGCAUUGUCAUCAUCAACGCCCUCAAUCUGCAAUUUGAGCCUUGCAGUGGUCCACUCCUCCAGCAUGUCUUCCAUGUCGUAAGAUGCGUCUUUGAGCUGAUCCAGCCAAAAAGUAACAGCUUUGUCUUGCUGCAUUUGCCUUUGCUCUGCAUCCUCCAGCACAGCUCGAAUGGCCUGAAGAUUUCUGGUAAGCUUUUUCACUUCUUCUCGGACACCAGUCAGAAGCCUCACCUGUUGUUUCACUUCAUCAGCCGCAACAGAGAUCAGCUGCUCCAGGAGAGAGGAAACGAUCGCAUCAACCAUUCUAACAAAGAAGACGAGAAUUCUAAAGAGUUAUUAGAUGUGCUUUUGUUGCGAUGAUACUGAAAAUGUUUAUACUGCAUAGAAAAUGUUUAUGCUUAUCCCCACCCCACACGUCAAUGAUUGUAGAAUGUUUAAUUUUCCUGAUUCUACUCCACUGGUUAUGAUGCGUAAUUAUAAAUAUUCUCAAGUUAUGUAUGAAAAUAGCACAAAUUUGGACCUACUAAUGAUUUUUAUGAUUUUUGUGUCUUUACUUUUUCAUAAUCUUCUACUGUAAGAGUUCAGAUUUAAUUACUACUUUAAAAACUGAGCAAAAAAAAAUAUCAAGCAUUAAUUAAAAUUCACAAAGGAAUAAAUAACGAAAGAAAAAAAGAUUGGAAAAGUCAUAGAUGUAAAAUAGCACAUUGUUUUUUUAAUAAUCUAAAUAAAAUUAUUAAUAUUCAUGUUAGUCCCUAAAAAAUUAAUAAAUAUAACUAAAAAAAUCUUAUUAGUCUCCAUGAUCAAAAUUUAUUGAAAUAUUUUUAGCCUGGGUUCAAAAAAAAAUAAAUUUCCCAACUUCACACUAGCUAAAUCUAAAAUACACGUUCAUAUAUAGAUAUAUUCUUUCUCGCAGACGUCCGUACAAAAUAAAGUGCGAAUACGACAUUUUCCAGUCUAUCAAAAUGAUUUUUAUUAUUGUAAAAAUAUUAAUAAUAAACUAAAAUAAUAUAUCUACACGUUAUUUCGUCCAGAAAUAUGUAGAGAGAAUAUCUUAAUUUCUAGGGCCCGGCUACGGUGCAACUGUGGUACCGUGCCAUAAUUGCAUCUUACCGUUGGAUGCACUUACAUGGAUGGGGUUCACUGACAUCCAACGGCUGGAUGCAACUAUGGCACGAUACCACAGUUCCACCACAGGUUUUCCCUAAUUUCUAGUAACAUCAUAGUCAAAAUUUUAUCAACAUUUAUGCGAAGGAGUCCCCACUCUCCACCUGGGGGAAUUUGGCAUUUGAUGAAAAAAGUUAUGCUUAUACCCACCCACACGUUAGUGGUUGUAGCAGCAUCUUUGAUUUCCCCGAUUCUACUCCGCCGAUGAACACAUGUUUUGUAGUAACAUCUUUAAAUUCCCACACGUUAGGAAUUUGGCACAUAAUCACAAACUUGUCGCAUCUUUAACGUAUGAGGUUGAUGAAUAUAUUCUUUUCUCAUGUCAAUUUAAAACUCCGAGUGUGUUUCCAACAAUUGCUUUUCUUUUUCUAUUUUUGGAUUUUUGAAUCAUAAUUUUUCAAUUCAAUAAUGGCCUCUUCAAUUAUAAAAUAUGGUAGAAGGGGAUGGGGUGUAGUGUCUAGGCCCCCGCGACAACGGCAUCUUUGGACGUGGGCUUCAUCAUUUCUCCUUUUUUAUUUAAAAAAAAAUUACUUCUUGCAUGAUCUAAUUGGUCUUGUUUCAAAAGAAACAAAAAAAUAAUAAUAAAAAUAACUAAAAUAAAAUAAAAUAAAUCAUAUUCUUUAUCUUAAUUGCUUUCAUUUGUGAUUGACAUGUACUCAUGCAUUGUGUUUUUGUAUAUUUUAUUGAUAUGUUUCCUUAAGGGAUAAACUAAUUAUGUAGCAAAAUUUUAUUAGAGCUAGGAUUAUUUAUAUGUGUUCUAAUACUUUGAACAUCUUACUAUACACUUGUCUAUCAAAUUUUAACAUUAAUUUUUCCUACUCAUUAAAAUAUCAAAAUAGUCAUUGAUAAACAUCUUUCAUUAUUAUUAUUUUUUUUUAUAUAUUGAUAUAUUACAAUUAAAAUUCUAUUCCAAAAUAGUCAUUAACUAGACAUCUUUUAUUAAUGUUCAUUUUUUUAUACACUCAUAUAUUACAAUUAGAAUUCUAUCAAGACUAUCCUUGAUAAUUCUAACAUAGUACAACCAAAAAAUUCUACCCUUGCAAGAUACUAGAGAGAUAUUUAUUCUACUCUUAUUAAUCGAGAGAUAAUUUUACCUCUACCUAAUUUAAUUGGGAGGAAAAUCGAGAGAGAUAUCUAUUCUAUCCUUAUUAAUUGAGAAAUAAUUUUAUCCUUACCCAAUUUAAUUGGUAAGAAAAUUGAAUUCCAACAAUAACUAGGACUCGAACCCAUGCACUUAAGCUAACGUUAAAUGCUUCGACGCAUGGUUAUAAUGUUCUUUAUUUAAAUCCUAAUAAGAGGUGGGACUUGAACUUGUGCCUACAAACAUUGAGUGCUCAGGGCUGCAAAAUUUCACAACUUAAUUUUAAUUCAUGUGGCAUGUGCCCUAUCACAUAAACGUAGAUAAUAAUAAUUAAUACAUUAACAAAAUGAAAAAUAUUAGUUUACAAAAUACAAAUCCUAAUUUUUUGUGUGUGAGAGGGAACCUAAAAAGGGAGAGACUAAACAAAUAUGGUGACAAAUGACAUGUAUUACCAAAACUAAAAACACGAAGUCUAGGCAACUGAAAACAUCUCUGUCAAUUGCAAUGAACAGAUCACAACCCUUCAUAAUUAAUCAAAAUUAAACUUUAAAAAAAAAAAUCACACACACACAAAACAAUCACAACACACUAUUUGUUCUGAUCAUCCCUGCUUUUUCUUAGCGUAGCUCUUGGAAUGAAAAUUAACAAAAAGUGUCAAGAGAGAAGCAUUAAACACAGCAUUGAAGCACCAACCCAAAAUCCCUGACCAUCCAAAUCCCGUAAAAUGAUAAUACAGCAUCAAAACCGAAACAACAAAACUAAACACAAAUUGAACAAUCUGACAAUCAUGAGUGACCAAUCUCUUCCACUUUGGCCGCAACUCCAUCACACACAAUAGAUAGUGCCCGUACAUGAUCACGUGCACACUUGCAUUGGUGACAAGUGCCAUACGAAACAAAGACUGCUUCGUCUGUAACCAAAGGUAGCACAUUACGACGACGGUUGCAUGGUGGUAGACGUGGAGGAACGUGAGCCGUUGGACGGAGUUUUAUUUGAAUCAAUAAGGUGUUUGGCACGAGAGAAAGUGAAAGAAAAUUAAGAAAGAAAAUUUGACUAUGAAGUUUCUGGAACAAUCACAGAUUCUUAUUGAUUAAAGCUGAAAUCAUACAUUAUGAGCGUACUAGUCACUAUUUAUAGUCACACUCAAACUGAUUACAGAAACAAAGCUCAAAGCUGCAAUAUUAACAAACUAAUUAGCCUUCCAAUCAUAACAAGCCAGCUGGACAAUUCGUUACAACUUAUUCAGUGCAAAUAACAGCCCAAUCCAGCUCAGCAACUUAGUUACAAAACAUCAGUCAACUCAGCACCUUCAGCACGUCACCAGCCAGCUCAGCAGCUUCAGCUUAUACUCUUAACAUCCCCCCUCAAGCUCAGCCUAGUGAAGUCAGGGUGAGCUUGUCUCUCAGAUAAUGAAAAGGGUGAUAAGCUAAAGCUUUAGUAAGGAUAUCAGCUGAGUUAUGAGAACUUGGAACAUAACUAACUUGGAAGCUUUUAUUAGAGUUAAAUUUAAGUUCUUGGAACAUAAAUAACCUUUUUCUCGCAAGAAAUGAACAUCAAGUUCUAUGUGUUUAGUUCGGGAGUGGAAUUUAGGAUUACUUGCUAAGGCAGCUGCACUUUGGUUAUCACACCAAAUCAAGAGAAAUGCCAAUUUCAGCCAACAAGGACUUGACUGUUUCUGUAUAAACAUCAAAUUCAGUAAAAAAAGUUGUUAUCUAAUGACAAAAGAAUUUGUCUAAAAUUCCAAUUGAACGCAUAUUAAGUAUUUAAUACCAAGUAAAAUCUGAGAUCAAAGGAAAUUCUAAUAUGACAUCUAAUAGCUAAGUAGAAAAUAAAUAUAUUUAAUGAGGGUAUCUGUGAGAAGAAAACUGAUUUUCUAUUCAGAUAUUUUAUCAUUUAGAUAAAAUUGAAGAGAUUUUACUUUUUCUAUUCAGAUAAAAAUGUCUUACAAUAAAACUCCACGUAAAUUUUUCAAUUUAGCGAUAGCAUAUGGAUCCGAUCCAUUUCUUGUCUAUAUGGCGGAUAAGUUUUAUUAUCGGGUAGACAAAAGCAAAAGCCAUUAUCUUACUAAUUCAUUUGGUCUAUUGAAACUCCAAGAUCUAAUUCAAAGAGCGCGACUCAAAUAAUGGCAAUUAGUAAUUUAUUACAUCUGCAGUUAGACACUUUGUUUGAGAAAAAAGAAUAAAAUCAGUUCCAUAAUGAUUUUAAUUACAAUAAAUAUCAUACUAUGGUCUAUGGACACGCCUCAUAUUACAAAGAAAAUACGUGAAAUAUGAUUAAGGGAUAAAGCUUUCGACAACCAUUUAUAAAAUUGCUUUUGAAAAAUUGUUCUGAUGAAAUGAAAUUAUAUGAAAUUACUAAGAAUUUAAUCUGCCUCUGAAGGAGGAUUAAUUUUAGAUGAUUUUUCUAUUUAUAGCUAUUAUGUAGUCGUUAGAAAUUUCAAAUUUUGAGAAUUUUGCUUGUAGCUACAGGUUGCAGUCAUUUUGAUUUGGAGACUGAUUGAUAAUUAAAGCUAAUGUUGCAAGUAAAAAACAAAAUGAAAAAUAAUUAAAAAAAUAAAAAUCAAGGAGUUAGGCCCAAACUUUAUUAAACUUUUAAUAAAGUCUAUUUCUCAUUUUGUCAUAAUGAAAAAUAAUUAAUAAAAAAUGAAACAACCAGUUUACUUUGACUUUAUUUCACAGAAUAUAAUGUCUGAAAUUUAUAUAUCAUGUAUUCUAGGGUCAAAUCAGUCUUUUUGCACAUAACAUUUAAUAUUUCAUUAAGAAACCGCAAAGAUUAUUUCAAAGCCUUUAGGGUCAUGGUCUCCUCCGGAAGUGGCAAAUUCAGGUUCGGAUCAACCCGAUCAAGUUUCAAUUUGAUUGGGUUGGAAUAUUUGGAUUGGAUCGUAUUGAAUUAAAAAUUCAGGUUGAGUUUGGAUAUGAUCGGAUUAUAAUUAUAUGCGGGCCAUGUCAAGUUUGGAUUAAAAUUAGAUUUGGGUCAAUUAGGCUGAAUUCGAAUAAUGUUCGGAUUAGGGGUAAAUUUUGAGCUUGUUUACUUUUAUUUAUAUUUUUUCAAAUUACUUUAGUCAUUGAAGAUUGUUUUAAUGUAAUCAUCUCAUUUUAGUUCGUUUUUACCAAUUUUCAGCAAAAAAUGAAAAAAAUUACUGCUAUGAAAUCAAAUGAAUAAAAAUUAAAAUAAACUACUAUUAUCGAAUCGAAUCUCCAUCUCUUUGCCCUCUUCUGCAUUAAGGUAACCUUGAGCCACUGAUAGUGUAAUUAGUUCGUCUUUAUACAUAUUGUGGUCUUUUGAAAAGCCUCACUUGUUCCCUUCAUCAGCAACAAAGGAGUUCAGCAGCUCCAGGAGAGGGGAAGCGAAUCAAGCGAUCAAAGAAAAGGAGAAAUAAUUUGAUGAGUUAUUAAGCGUGCUUUUGUUGCGAAAAUACCGAAAGAAAAGGAGUUGUCACAUUCUUUUUAUACUGCAUGAAAAAUGUUUACUCCUAUCCUCUUGUAUAUAAUAGUUUAAAUCUCCAAAAUUUUUCUUUAUUUGAGUUUUAAAAAAGUUAUGUGAAUUUACUGUAAUUAUUUCUUGGGAGUGGGGGUGGAUUUACAAAAAUUGCAGGGUGAAAAUAUCACUACCCUUUUUGUUUAUUAAUUAUUGUAAAAUGCACAUCUUUCAUAUGAACACAUGUUUUUUUUUUUUAAAUUUACCUCCUACUUAGAAUGACAGUCUUUAAUUUUUUUUUUAGAAACGUGAAACAUCAAUUUAAAUUGUUUACAUUAAGAAGACAAUAUGUAUGUGUGUGUGUGUGUAUUCCUUAUCUUUUGAACAAAUAUAAGGACAAAUUGAUGUUUUUACCCUUUAAGAAGUAAAUUAAAGUUUGUUAUUCUAGUUUGGCAUUAAAAGAAGCUUAGCCCUGUAAUAUAUAUCAUGUAGACCAAGGUGACUUCGUCGUGAAUUCUUGUAAUCAAUUUCUUUUGUUCUUUUAUCUAACUAGAAAAGAAAAUUAAGGGGAGCAUUGUCUAUCGAAUUGAGCUUCUCUCAAGAAAAAUACGUACGGAUGAUUUAUAUAUAACCAUUAAAUAUGUUAAGACAUUUUGUUAUUUUUUUAGUCCUAAAAGUAUGAGAGAAAUUAACAUUUUUUGAAUUUAUUUAUAUACCAUAAAUUAAAGAAUGAAAUUAUUUACAAAAUUAUUUCAACUUUCAUGAUUUAAACAAGCAAUCAUCAUUGAUUUCAAUACAAAGAAGUAUUUCGGGUAGAACCGAUUUCUUUACCAAGAUAUGAUGUACAUGUAUUUGGGACUUCUUACUCUAUUAGCUUAAAUAACUACAUAACAAAUAUGACAUAAUCUAAUUGGUCUUGUUAUUGACAUGUACUAAUGCAUUCUAUUUUUGUAUAUUUUAUUGAUAGGUUUCUCUUGAGGUUGAGGAUAAUAUUCACUGUGUGGCAAAAUUUUAUUAAAACUAAGAUUAUUUAUGUUCUAAUACUUUGAACAUCUUAAUAUACACUCAUCUAUAAUAUUUUAACACUAAUUUUUGGAUAAAUUAUAUUUUAACCCCUUAUGAGAUUUACAUAUUUUAAUUUACUCAAAAAUAAAAAAUAAAAACUUCAAUUUACUCUCUAAAAUCUGUUAAAUUUAACUAUCAACCAAUAUUGACUCACUAAAAUACGAUAAUACCCCUGUUAAUUAUAGAAUAACUUAUGUUACUGAUAUAUUUAUGUUGGAAAGAUAUAUCACUUAUAUCCCUACUAUUUCUAAAAUAUAACUAAUUCAAACUUUAUGUGUGUCAUUAAUGAAAAUCAUCCUCUAAUCUAUUUUUUAAAAAAUAAAACAAAACCUCAAUAAUAUAUUUCAUAAAACAAGCAUAUUUCGGAAAGAGCUUGCCUCUUUGGUUGUUUUAAAUAACCAACGUAAUCAGUAGUAGUGCUCUAAUAAUACAUAAACCCAUAGACAUGCCAAGUAUACAUUGAUCCAAGCAAAUGGUUGUUAAUAAUUUUAAUGAUUAGUCUGGUUUUGGGGUUCAUUGAUGAAUUUGGGAAGAAGCUAAAGACUGCUUCGUCUGUAACCAAAGGAAGCACAUAACGACGACGGUUGCAUGGUGGAAGACGUGGAGGAACGUGAGCCGUUGGUCGGAGUUUGACAAAAUGAUCAAAAGGGUGUCUAAGAAUUCGAGUAUUUUGGAGAGGUAGAAGAUGUAAGCGUAGAAGAAGAGGGGGCCAGACGGAGAAAUGGUAGGGGGGAAACAGAGGGUGCAAUCGAGGUGGGGUAAAUGGAGGAUGAUGGAGAGAGUGCAACCAACGGCCAUGAUGACGGACAGGAGGAGGAGGGUAAGGUUAUGGACGGCUGUGAUGGGCUUGAGGAUGUGGGGUCCAAUGAAAGGUGAUGAUGGUGGUGAUGUUGAUGUUGAUGUGUGGUAGAGGAUGAAUGUGAGGGAGAGGUAAGUGAGGAUGGAGAGAAUGAGGAAGUGAGGGGAGGAAGCUAGUGUUUGGUUCUGAGUCCAUGUGAAGUUGAGGAUUUGGGGGUGGUUUAUAGCCAAUAUUGGAGUGUUGCGGUAAUUGAAUAUGAAGCCAUGGCUGGUUUUUUGGGGGAGAAAGAUUUGGAAGAGAUGAUGUUGAGAGGAACGGGGGAGUUUAUAAAGUUUUGGGAUAAUGCGGAGGGUAUUUUGGACAUAUUGUUAUCUUAGCUUAAAUUUUCGGAAAAAGAUAAUCAAUAAUAAGCUCUUUUUUCAUGUCAAUUUAAAACUCCGAGUGUGACUCCAAAAAUUGUUUUCGUUUUUCUAUUUUGGAUUUUAAAUCGUAAAUUUAGUAAAGGAAGUUAAAUCAAGUGAUCACUUUUUUUUUUUAAUGUAAAGCAAUUAUUUUUUUUUAUGAUUUAAGCAAAUAUUGAGCUUCGUACUUUAACGAUAUUAAUAUUUGAUUCAAAAUUUCAUCUACUGAAACUACAAAAAUUAAUAUUUUCUAAUAAAUCAAAACUAAAAUUAAAAGAUGACUCAUUGUCUGCCAACUGUCAUUAAACGAAGCCAUCACCCACGCCAAAAAAAAAAAGUGAUAUAUGCAUUUUAACGUAAUUUCAUACCAACAAAUCAUUCUUUUCUUUCGAACAAUGAUCUCUUUAAUUAUCCAGGGCUUUGUGAUAACGGCAUCUUUGGAUGUGAGUGUCAUUAAACUUUUGGCUCAAUCAGACUUGUGGAUUACAUGCACUCAACGUUGAUAAUAUAGAAAUGGGAGAAAAUUAUGUCAGAAAAAUCAAGUCAGUCAAAUAAGAAUUGUGUAUUUUUGAAAAAGUUGAAAAAAAUGGAUUGACGGUGCAUAAUUUCCUAACUCACUAGAAUUUCCUAAAGUAGGAGUAAAAAAGACUCCAAAGGAACAUGGCAAUUAUUAUUAUCUAGGAAAUAAUUCAUAGCUAAAACAAAAUUAAAUUUCCUAACUCACUAGAAUUUAACUGGAGAAAAAUUGGAAUAUACAACGUUGUAUCACAUAUAGUACUUAGACAUCAAGAAAAGAAUCCAUGUAUCAGUGAACCAUACUUGCCAGGAAACACCAGGCGAAUACCACCACCUGGGGUUUUUAAAUAAAGAUGCCUUAAAAGUAGGGUAUUUAGUUAAAUAUACCCCAUGUUUGAAAAUUAUCUAGAUAUACCUUUUUCUAUGGUACAUUGUCUAAAAUAUCCCUAAAGAAAAAUAUAAAACACACACAACUCACCUCCAACACUCUUUACUUCUCACUCUUUUUAACUCCACACAACAAAAACUCACUCCACACUCAAAAUCACUCACGAACAGCCAAUGCACUGAGAUUUUAAUUUGCAGCUGGGUGCAUUAUUCAUCACAUGAAUAAGGUAUUUGAAACUUUAUUUUUAUUUUGUGUUAUUUAUUUAUUUUGUUGACAUUAUAUUAUUUUUAGGGUUUUGUUUGGUUUGUGAUAAACAAUAAAGCAACUCACAUUUUCAUUAUAUUUGCAUCAUAUGACUGUUAUUUGAUGGAUUUUAUAACUACAUUCGUUAAAACCUGAAGUUGCUGCCAAAAUUUUGUUCUGCACCCCGACAUACACGACAGCAGUCGUGUAUGUAUGGAUUUACACGACAACAGUCGUGUAUGUAUGGAUUUACACGACAACAGUCGUGUAUGUAUGGAUUUACACGACUGUAGUCGUGAAAAUGUGCAAAAGAUUCAAAUUAUUAUGACACCCUAUCAUUUUAUUGGUGCAAAAAAUAUAUUAUUUUCAUUAGAUAUAUCAUUUUACUAUUACUAGACUAUAGUAGUGUGUUUUAAUAAGUUACACGACUACUAUCGUGUACGUAUGAACUUACAUAUUAUAAUUGUACAUAUAUGUAAAAUGUUCCAACUAUUAUGAGAUCCCAACAUUUUAUCAGUGCAAGAAAAAUAUUUUUUAAAGAAGAAAUAUGUCAUUUGACUAUUUAUAGUCAUGUAUUUCUAUAACUUACACAACUGUCAUCAUGUAUGUAUGACUUUUGUCAUGUAUGUAUGUAUGAAUUUACACGAUAGCAGUUGUGCAAGAUUGAAAGAUAUAGUAGUUGUUAUGACACAUAGCAUUCUGUUAGUAUAAAGAUUACAUUUUUUUACUAAACAUAUUCUAUAACUGUUUACUAGACUAUAGUUGUGUAUUUUAGCAAGUUACACAACUAUUAUCGUGUAAACUAGCUAUUUACACGACAGCUGUCGUGUAAAUAGACAGAUAGUUCCACACUUCAUAAUAUACCUUGUUUGAUUUUUUUUUUGUAUAAUCAUCUGUUGUAUUAUUACAUGAAGUGACUUCAGUAUGUGUGCCUAUUAUUCUUUAGAAUCAUAAGAAAUUAUGAUAGCAUCACAAGGUGAAGAAAAGUUACGCCGUAAGUACUGUAGGUGUGGUUCUCAAUGAUAUAAUCGACUAACUUGCAAUGCACCAAUCUCAUUGUCUAACAAUGAGCCCGUAGUUAGACCGAAUGAAACAAAAACAAGCACACAUACUACUAUGAACCUUACAUACUUGUCAUUUUUGUUGUUUUAAUUUCUUUAAUAUCUAAAAUAGUUAGUUGAUAAAUUUCUACCUUUUUUGUCUUGCAGCUGGAUAAACAUGUUGUGUGGCUUAUGUUGUUUUCAAAAGGAGGCGAACGGGGCCUUAUAAUACAUGGGUCGAGUGUUUGGGUUGAGCAUGCAAAUAAUUAUGAUGAUUGUGCAGCAACUUCGAUUAUAUUACGACUUAUUUAUGAUUUGAACAUGUAUUGGAUCUAUGUUGUUUGAUGCACAAUUACUUUUGUUAUUUGUUAAAUUGAAGUAUAAUAUGUUAAAGUCUAUAUUGAUUUUGUUGUCAUUAUAAUGAAUGUUUUAGGUAAUUUUAUGUUCUAUGUCCACUUACCCAACUACAGUCGUGUAUUUUGGCUCUUACUCGACUAUUGUCGUGUAUAUCUGAUUGUACUCAACUAUAAAUGUGAAUCUAUUAAAUACUCGACUAUUGUCGUUUAUUUAUGAAAAUACCCGACUAAAGUUAUGUACCAAUGCAAAUACCAGCUGGUCAUGUAUGUUUGCAAAUGCUCGACUGCAGUCGAGUAUCUGUGAAAAUACUCGACUGCAGUUGUGUACCAAUCCAAAUACCACCAGGUUAUAUAUGUUUGGAAAUAUUCGACUGCAGUCGAGUAUCUGUGAAAAUACCCGACUGCAGUCGUGUACCAAUGUAAAUACCAGCUGGUUAUGUAUGUUUGUAAAUACUCAACUACAUUUGAGUAUCUGUGAAAAUACCCGACUGCAGUCGUGUACUAAUGCAAAUACCAGCUGGUCAUAUAUGUUUGAAAAUACUCGACUGCAGUCGAGUAUCUGUGACAGCUGGUCAUAUAUGUUUGAAAAUACUCGACUGCAGUCGAGUAUCUGUGAAAAUACCCAACUGCAGUCGUGUACCAAUGCAAAUACCAGCUGGUCAUGUAUGUUUGUAAAUACUCGACUGCAGUCGAGUAUCUGUGACAGCUGGUCAUAUAUGUUUGAAAAUACUCGACUGCAGUCGAGUAUCUGUGAAAAUACCCAACUGCAGUCGUGUACCAAUGCAAAUACCAGCUGGUCAUGUAUGUUUGUAAAUACUCGACUGCAGUCGAGUAUCUGUGAAAAUACCUGACUGUAGUCGUGAACCAAUGCAAAUACCAGCUGGUCAUGUAUGUUUGCAAAUACUCGACUGCGGUCGAGUAUCUGUGAAAAUACCUGACUACAGUCAUGUAUUUGGGUUGAGCAUUUCUUGAGCAUAUAUGACCAUUCUAUUACAUCACAUAUAUUAUAUAAAACUAUCUUCUCUGUCAUUAAUAUACUUAAUAAAAAAAACAUAUGUAUGAUGUCAAAUUAACUUUAAUGAUAUCAAAUAUCAACAACAUCCCAUUGUAAUCAUUACAUCUCAUGAUAAGUAAUCCAAAAAAUGACACAUCAAUGAAGUUUUUAAGAGUGGGAGACUACGUAGUUUUUUUUUUCCAAGACCUACUCCAAAAUAAUUUGACAGCCAAUGCUUUUUGAAAUUGUGCAACAUCAUCUUGUUGGCAAUAUAAAUUGACAUCAAGUCAGUGGGCCAGGACCUCCAAGAACUGCAACAAAAAUGCUCCACAAUCACCACUAAAAAAAUUCAUAUAAAUCAAUCGUUAAAUAUGACCAUUGUUGUUGUUAAGUCAAAAAAAUAUAAUUUCAGUUUGUAGUAAAAAUAAUACUUCAAACUUAUUAUCACUGUCGUAAUAUAUUAUCAAUCUAUUAAAUGAUCACACAACAUAAAAGCAACAGAUAUGAGAACGUUUUACAACUUAAAAAUGUUCUAUAUAUAAGACAACAUGACUUUCUUACAACUAGUAUCUACAGGAUCAGCAUAACUAUAUUAUUUCAAGAACAAACCCAUCAAAUUAAAAUAUAUUGCCAAUAACUAUGAACUCAAAUAAUUUUUAAAUGAGUUAUAAACAAAAAUAAGAAAUAAACCAUCACUGCCACAUGACAUAAAAAUCAAACUUUAUGUAUCAAGUAUGUUAACAAUUCCAAAUAAAGUAUAAAUAUUCAAAGAAAAUGUUGAAUUUUUCCAUAACACUCAAACAAUUAAUUUUCAUUAGUUCAAUCUGAUUAAUAAGCUAUUAAGUAUGUGUAUAAUUGUCAAAAACUAAAAACAAGUCUAGGAGGAGUGUAUUAAAGGGCAAUUCUCCAAUAGUUAACUAGUUGGAAAUAUAUACAACAACAUUUGCUGCACAAUAAUAUCAAAUCCUAAAUGCUAUGUGACUUCUUCAAUCAAUAGCCUCACAAUGAGACAAAUUAAUAAAAUGAUCGAACAUUGUUUCAAAAUUCACAAGUCGUUCAAAACACAUUUAUUAAUAGUGUACUAUCAAUAGUUUUAUGCUGAAACAAAUAACAAAUUGUUAAUAAAUUAGAAUUGCAAAAUAAAGGUUCUAUAGCAAAUAAUAGAGAAAACCCAGAUUGUAGCAUAAUGAAUGCAUACGCCGCUGAAGAAAAUUGAUAUAUAAUUCCCAUGGAUGAAGUUCAACUACAAACAACAAGUAAAAUUAUAUAAAGAUCUAAUGCAUAAACUAGUGUAGCCAUAACCGAGUAUUCAUAAGGAUAAUAUUUGUUUCAUCCAAUUCUCUAUGAAUAUUUAAUUAGGAACUCCCACAACCAUUAUUAAAGAGCCAUGAAAUCACUCUCUUCAAUUUCAAAUCCACAAGUUCAUUAAGAACAGUGGUACUCCAAUAACAUCAAAAUGGUUGGUGACCACUCUAUCAAAUCCACACAAUAGCUGAUAUCUCAUGUUUGCAUAUAGUCCAAUGAAAGCACCAUAGCCAGGCUCUUUAGUACUUACAGAUGGGAUUGUCACAGCUAACCUGUCAGACAUCAAAUAUGGCCUAAAUUUACAGAUGGGGUUGUCGCGUUAGUGCUUAGACAGUAAACAUUUGCUCUAGUAGCCUGAUUACACAAGAAAUCGAGACAAGUGUUCAAAAUUUUAAUCUUUAUAUAUAGCCAAAAUGAUAAUGUAUUUGAUAAUACUGACCUGAGUUAAUAAAUACGGGGCUGGUGACAAUCACAGCAUCUCAUCAUGUGGGCAAAGCCUUCGCAACAGAAGACGCUGCUUGCUUUGAAGCAAUAAUAACUUUCCAAUUCCAUAAGGUAGCUUAAUGCCCUUUUAGGAUAUCAGCACCAGCCUAACAAUUAUUCAUGGAAAUUCGAUUUGCAUUUAUCACCUUUAAUUUGCUCAUAUUUGCCUAGAGUAUUGUUUUUGCGUUAACUUAACAAGCUUGCAAGCCACCUACAAAUGGUUUUAAAUAAUGUGUGAGAGUGUGAAAUCGAACAAAUUAAUCAAAUAUGAUGACAGAAGAAACAAAAGCAAAACAACCACAAGACGUAGAAAUUCACUUUUGUUAUAUUUAGAGCAUCUUCUACCGUCUUCUUUUCCUUUAGCUCUGUUUCUGUGUGUGUUCAAACGCAAUGCCUCAAGGCUCAAGAUAACUUUUUGACCAUCAAUCUUUUGCAGCCAUGUGCAGACUUGAAACACUGUAGUGUCCCUAAGUAACUUGAAAAUUAGAAAGUUUCAGUAUGAGUGACUAAAUAUGAUAAUCGAAACUAAUUUAAUAUACACACCUUGUAAAUCUGAAACUAAAUUACUCAAAUGUAUAUGCCUCAUCGCAGCAAUUGCUUGUGGUGGAAAGUUUACUGCAAAGACUUCCUCAAACCCUUGAAGAUCACACUCUUCCUGGCAACAAAGAAACAGAGUUAAUGUACGAAGAUGAUUUUACUAACAAGUGAGAGCUUGCAAAUAUUGGAAGGAUAACGAUUACUCAUAACCCAAAUCCCCAAUACACUCUAUUAUCUCACUCAAGUGAGUUCAAGCUCCCAAAAUUCACUACAGUGAAACUCUCACAACAAAAUUCUAUUCAAAGAUUCUCUACUCAAAUUUGAUUAAGCUGCUUAGAAUCCUUAACCUGAUAACUUACACAAACAAAAACAACUUGCCUAAAGUUUAAUAUUUAGAGGCAGAACAGUAAAGAAGAAGAUAUAUAUUGAUACUAAAAUUUGACCUGUAUUGCCCUGAUGUCAAGAAUCACGGCAUCUUAUGUGGGCAAAAUCUUCACAAUACGAGAUGCUUGCAAAAUUGAAGCAGCAUCUUAUCACCUGUAAUUUAAUUAAGACAAUAACUUUCCCCAACUAUUUCAAUGCAUUAUUGGCAACUAAAUUCAGAGAGCGCUAAUUAAAUAUCCUUUUAAUAAUAUCUUCUUAUUCUUCUCCAAUCUAACAGUUAUUUGGAAAUCUGAAAAGAGGUUCAACAUUUUACAACCAAUCAAAAAUCACUGAACCAUUGGAAAGUGAUUUACGUAUAAUUUUUUUUUCCAAACUCUGCCCAAAAUGAUGAAUGAGAUAGGAUGACACAAGAAACAAAUGUAAAUUGACCGCAAGUAGAAAUAUACUUCUAUUAUAUUUGCAACAUCUUCUAGUGUCAAUUGCUUUUCCUUGAGCUCUGUUUCUGCAUGUGCUCUGUUAAGGAAGUCCAAUAUGCUGAGCUCACAGAGAGUAGGAGUAAGAAGGAGAAGAAGCUUCAGUCUCAGUCAGUCAAACAUUUCAGCAAUGCCAGCUCAUCAGAGUUAGUUAAGCAAGUUGCCAGAUCAGCACAAGAUGGUUAAGCUUGUUAUCAGUCAUUUCGUAUGUGUGUGUAACUGAAUGUAAUUAGCUUAAGCUGUAAUCUUGUGCGUGUAUAUAAGUUUAGUUGAUUCAAUUGCAAAGGUUAAGAAAAAUCAAUAAGAAAUAAAGUGAUCUUCUCUCUGAAAAUAAUUUUCCUAAAAAACAAACAACUCAUUUUCUCUUUCAUGGUAUCAGAGCCAUCCAUGGCUAGUUCCAGUACAAUAAAUCAAAAUUGUUCAAAUUUCAAUCAAAUGCAUUCCACACAAACUUCAUUUACCUUUGCCACAACAGUAAAACUCGAUCGAUCAAACUUCCUUCUCUGGCGCAAACAAGUGAUUACUUCAAUCAGAGGGAAUCGACUUGAAGGAUUAAUCUCAGAAAAACAAAAUGUUCCAGAGCAAUAUGUUUCUCAGUCCCAAGCUGAUGGAUCUGUGGAAAGGAUUGAAAAUCCAGCUUAUGUCAACUGGAGAGCUCAAGAUCAGACUCUACUUAGCUGGCUUCUAUCAACAAUCAGUGAAGGUAUCUUAAGCUUAGUUCUUAACCAUGAAACUUCUUUUGAUGUAUGGAGAUCUAUUGAAAAGCAAUUUGGAGUACAAUCUAAAGCAAAAAUAAUGCAACUUCGAUAUGAAUUAGAUACUCUGAGAAAAGAGUCAAUGUCCAUUGAAGAAUAUUGUUCGAAAAUGAAAAUGCUAGCUAAUAAACUUGCAUGUGCUGGAGAUAACAUAACUGAAAAGGAUUUGCUGAUAAGGACACUAAAUGGACUUGGAUCUGGCUAUCUAGAUCUGGCUUCAAUAAUCACAGCCAAUAAGAUGAGUUAUGAUGAUGCGUAUGCACUUUUACUGACACAUGAAGCUAGGCUGGAACAAAAUCAGAAUCCUCAGGCUAUGUUUAAUGCAAAUUAUAGUAUGAUGAAUACAAAUUAUUCACAUAUGAGAGGUGCUCCUAGGAGAAAUGCUUAUGGUAAUAGUAGUGCCAUUUAUGGACAAUCUGGAGGCAGAGGUCAGAUUUUUGGUCGAGGCAUGUUUUCUGCUUCUUAUCCUAGAGGAUUUCCAGCUGGUGGUAAUACUGCUAGUGGUUUUGGUAGAGGAAAUGUUGCAGGUUUUGGAAGAAAUCAGUUCAUGCAGUCUCAUAGGCACCACAAAUGAGGCAUAUGUUCACUCCUGCUAAUACUUCAAAUGUUUCUGAAUCAAGUGAGCCAUUACCUAUAUGUCAAAUAUGUCAUAAGCAAGGACAUACUGCUGAUGCAUGUUGGUAUAGGUAUGGUGAUGCUUAUUUUUCCUCACCUAAACAAUUUGGAAGAGGAAAAAUGAUGGGAUCUAAGACUGCAUAUAUGGCUAAUUUUGAGCCAUUUCCUUAUCAACCAUCUUCAUUUGAAGAUCCUUAUGAAAUCUCAGACUCUAGCUGUCAGUUCAUGAACUAUUCUCCUGUUUCCUCUUAUCCAUCAGAGGCUUUUACUCUGCCUGAAGCCUAUGUUGCAAAUGUUGAAGGCUCAACUGAUGAAGGGUGGUAUCUUGACAGUGGAGCUACACACCAUAUUACCAACAACAUGGCAAAUAUGCAUGUGAGAGAAGAAUUCAAAGGCUCAGACCAAUUGACCAUCGGCAAUGGACAAGGUUUGAUCAUUACUCAUAUUGGUGAUGCAUGCUUUAACCAUAAAAGUUUCAAAUCUGCCUACAAACACACACCUGUAGCACUCAAGGAUAUUUUGUUAGUUCCCUCAAUUACUAAGAAUUUGAUAAGCAUAUCCAAAUUGACCACUGAUAAUAAUCUUUCCAUUGAAUUUGUUGGCAAUAAUAAUCUUUCCAUUGAAUUUGUUGGCAAUGUGUGUUAUGUAAAGGAUUUACUGAAGGGACAAGUACUUCUGCAAGGUCUUGCUGAGAAAGGAUUGUAUAGGCUGCUGUUAAAAUCAUCAGAGUCAUCACAGUCUCCCUCUUCCUUCGUGUGUCAAGUUUCUUCAAAUCAGCCUCUGUCUAUGUUAUCAACAUGUCAUGUUUCUUUUCCUAUUUCAAAUAAUGUUCAGAAUAAACACUCAAGCUCUAAAGCUUGUUUUCAAACUGAUGUUUCCUCUUGUAAUUCAUUUGUCAAUAAAGUUGAUCUUCUUCAUAGAAGAUUUGGUCAUCCUCAUCAUAAUGUCUUCAUGCAUUUGCUUAAGAAUGAUCAAACUAUUAAUCUCUCAUCUUCUCUUAUUAACCAAGCUGCACAACAAAUAUGUGAUGCAUGUCAAAUGGGAAAAAGUCACAGGUUGCACUUCCCUGUCUCAGAAACCAAAACUUCUCAGGUGCUUGAACUAAUUCACACUGACUUAUGGGGCCCUUCACCUAUCCUUUCUAAAGCUGGUUAUGUCUAUUAUAUCAGCUUUGUUGAUGACUUCAGUAGAUACACCUGGAUUUAUCCAUUAAAAUUGAAAUCAGAAGCCCUACAAGUCUUCAAAUUGUUCAGAUUGCAAGCUGAAAAACAAUUUCAAAGUCCCAUUAAAAUGCUGCAAUCUGACUGGGGGGAGAGUAUAGAGCAUUUACUGAUUUUCUGAACCAAAAUGGAAUCAUGUUCAGACACUUGUGUCCCUAUACACAUCACCAAAAUGGGGUAGUUGAGAGGAAACAUAGGCAUGUUGUUGAGUUAGGACUCACACUUCUAGCUCAAGCUAAAUUACCUUUAAGUUUUUGGUGGGAAGCUUUUCAAACAGCAGUUUACCAUAUUAACAAGUUGCCUUCUACAACUCUGAAAUUCUUUACUCCAUAUGAAAAAUUGUUCAAACAUAAACCAGACUACAAAAUGCUUAAAUGUUUUGGCUGUGCAUGCUAUCCAUAUUUGAGAGAUUAUAACAAGCAUAAGUUUGGCUACCAUUCUAGCAAAUGUAUUUUCAUUGGGUACAACCCUUCUCAUAAAGGGUACAAGUGUUUGCAUCCAUCUGGUCAGGUUUAUAUAGCAAGACAUGUUGUCUUUGAUGAGUCUUCUUUUCCUUAUUCCUCAGAUUCUGCUUUUGCUUCUAAUAAAUCAAACUCAUGUCAAAACUUGUCUUUCACUCCUCAGCAAGUGUAUCAUCUAUCCACUUUGCCAUUAUUCUUAACUUCAGAUGAUAACAGCACUCAUAAUCCUAACUCUGCAAGCUCUACCAGUAGCAGUUCUCAUCAUUCAGUUUCUCCUAAUCAUAACAACAAUUCUCAUCUAUUGUCCCAAACAAACACAUUACCAAUCACUAAUACAGAGCCUAAUACAGAACUUCAUACUUCUUUACCAGUUCAGCCAAUCACCACCAACAGACCUCCCAUUUUUCAAACAUUACCUGAAACAAAUCAAAACACAUUAGCUCCAGAAAACACACAACAAUCCAAAACUCCUUUAAACACACGUCCUAUGACCACUAGAGGUAAGAUUGGCAUUUUCAAGCCUAAGCUCUACAAUGUAGCUCUUGUUCAUAAAGAGCCAGAAUCUGUAGAAGAAGCUAUGCAGAAUCCUAAAUGGUUUGAAGCUAUGAAUGAAGAAUAUAGUGCUCUGCUCAAGAACAAUACAUGGUAUUUAGUUCCAAGAUCUGAUGGUCAGAAGAUUGUUGGAAACAAGUGGGUAUAUCGAGUUAAGCAUAACUUAGAUGGAAGUCUGGCCAAGUACAAGGCCAGAUUAGUUACUAAGGGUUUUCAACAAAUUGCAGGGGUAAAUUACUUUGAAACUUUCAGUCCAGUGGUAAAAUUAGCUACUGUUAUAGUAGUGAUUAGUUUGGCUGUUAUGAAUCAGUGGCAAAAUCAGGCAGGUAGAUGUUAAUAAUGCCUUUCUUAAUGGGGAGUUAACAAAGAAGUUUUUAUGGAUCAGCCAGCAGGUUUGUUGACAGUCAAAAACCAAACUUUGUGUGUAAACUCCAUAAGUGGCCUCAAGCAAGCUCCACGAGCUUGGUAUGAAAAGUUAAGAAGUUGUUUGUUACAGUGGGACUUUGAAAACUCAAGAGCUGACACUUCUCUGUUCAUCAAGAAAACCAGCUCAUAUAUGAUAUUGGUACUGAUUUAUGUUGAUGACAUCUUAAUCACAGGACCAGAUAGUGCAGAACUAGAAUCUUUCAUUGCCAAAUUUAAUGCAGUUUUUGCACUAAAGGAUUUGGGUACUCUCUCUUAUUUUCUGGGCAUAGAAGUCUUAUAUGGUGCAGAUUGCAUUUAUAUGUCUCAAAGGAAAUACAUAAGAGAUCUAUUGACUAAGGUUCAGUUGCUUGAGUGUAAAGAGAUUGACACACCUUUGAGUACUGGAAUUAAGCUGCAAAAGGAAGCUCAAGGAUAUCUAGGCCAAUAUAUUGCUGAUGCUACACAUUACAGGAGCAUUGUAGGAGGGAUGCAAUAUUUGGUUUUAACAAGGCCAGAAAUUGCCUUUGCUGUAAACAAGUUAAGUCAGUAUGUUUCAAGUCCUACAAUGCAACAUCUUAUAGCCUGUAAGAGAGUGCUUAGAUACUUAAAGUCUACUCAAGAUUAUGGACUUAAGUUUGUUCAAAAUGGAGAAAUGAAGAUUACUGGAUUCACUGAUGCAGACUGAGCUUGUGAUUUAGAUGAUCGAAAAUCUGUUGGAGCCUAUUGCAUCUACUUAGGUAAUAAUUUGAUUUCAUGGUCAUCCAAGAAGCAAUCAGUCAUUGCUAGGUCUAGUGCUGAGAGUGAGUACAGGGCCUUAGCUUCAGCUAGUGCAGAGAUCAGCUGGUUACAAUAUUUAUUUUCUGAAAUUGGUUUGUGUUGUUCAGAGAUACCUACUGUCUGGUGUGACAAUACCAGUGCCACUGAGCUUAGCUCAUAAUCCUGUUUUCCAUUCUAGAACUAAACACAUCGAGCUUGACUUACACUUCAUCGGAAACAAAGUGAUUGCAGGGGAGUUAAAAAUUCAGUACAUUCCCAGUGAAGAACAGAUUGCUGAUAUCAUGACAAAACCUCUUUCGUUUGUUCAUUUUAACUAUCUGAGAUCAAAACUCAAUGUGCAGCCUUACCCCUUGAGUUUGAGGGGGGCUGUUAAGGAAGUCCAAUAUGCUGAGCUCACAGAGAGUAGGAGUAAGAAGGAGAAGAAGCUUCAGUCUCAGUCAGUCAAACAUUUCAGCAAUGCCAGCUCAUCAGAGUUAGUUAAGCAAGUUGCCAGAUCAGCACAAGAUGGUUAAGCUUAUUAUCAGUCAUUUCGUAUGUGUGUGUAACUGAAUGUAAUUAGCUUAAGCUGUAAUCUUGUGCGUGUAUAUAAGUUUAGUUGAUUCAAUUGUAAAGGUUAAGAAAAAUCAAUAAGAAAUAAAGUGAUAUUCUCUCUGAAAAUAAUUUUCCUCAGAAACAAACAACUUCAUUUUCUCUUUCAAAAUGCAACACACAUACCACAAGAUAUAAUUAUCAACAGGAUCUCCCUAAGUUACAUGCAUGUAACUUAGCAUUAGCCUUAUCAACAUGAAUCUUUUGCCGCCACAUGCAGCCCAAAACUGUUUAUGGCCAUAAAGAACGGGAUAAUCAGAAAUCAUUAACAACGAGAGAAAUCAUUUUAAUCGCAGCCAAACAUACACACUAAGAAAAUCUAAAAUUUAAUUUCUCCCAAUGAAUGUGCCUCUUCACAGCAAUUGCACUAGCUAAUCCCAGCAGCCUGCGUCAUGGAGCUUCUCCCAAUGAGUGAGUGAGCCUUCAACAAUUAUCACUUAGCUCAAACUAAAAUGAAAUUAUUGUGGACAUCUGAAUUAAAAAUACAUGUAAAAGCAGUUUUCUCAAAGCAAGGUCAAGAUAAGAGAUUAACUCUGCUCCUUAUUUACAUUAAAAAUAACAAACAAUGAAAAACAAAGCUAGAGAAGAACUUACCUGUGCAUUGAGACCAUGUGGGGAAUGUGAGAUGUCUUCUUAUAUUUGUUUUGAGAAACUCCAUCUUCUUCUGAAAGUUCUGACAGUUCUGACAGUUCCCUAAACCCAGGCCAAUACAAUUGCAACAGAAACUGCAUGCAUUAAGCAGCAUCUGAUCAUCUCCUGUUAUUUCAAGAUAAUAAUAACUUAAUUGCAACACUGCAUGCUUCAACCAUUAACCUUUUCAACUUCAACACUUCUUUUGUCCCCCUCCCGAUGCCCUUUUCACAAUUCUAUGAAUCAGAUAAAUCAGCCUUCUUCGCAAAACUAUGAAAAACUUUUCACCGUGUUCCACACAUUCCGGGAUUAGUAUUGAUAACAAACAUUUGAUGAAGACCCUGCCAAUUAAAAUUUCGGUCCCCAUGUAGCAGAAUUUCUUAUUUUUCCUUUGUACACAAAUGCAGACACUUACGCAAAUUAGGAUUUCUUUUGACCCUGCAAGUUACAAUUUCAGUCCCCAUGUAAUAGAAACAUUUUGUACACAUAUUUAUAGCAAACUAAUAUUUCAUACCUCACAAUAUUUAUCAUAACCAUCAAUCUUUAGAAACCACAUGCAGACUUUUUAACUGUUUAUGGCCCAAAAUAACAGGAAAAUUAGAACAGAUUUUUAAGAAUGAGCCACUACAUAUUUCAAUGGCAACUAAAAUUACACAUCUUGGAAAUCUAAAACUCAAGUACUCAGAAUGAAUGUGCCUCUUCACAGCAAUUAAACAAGCUGGGAACUUUAGUGCAAAUGCUUUUUCAUAAUCUUCAAUUGCAUAAGUCAGUAAGAAUCAAUCUUUCUUAAUCUUUCAAUUCACACAUGAGAGCCUGGUAACACAAGGAAACACUGUAAGUGAAUUGUCAACUCUGACAUAUUUUGGGUAAAAACUAUCAACUGUAGUUAUCCGCAUAACAUAUAGUGUCAACACCAAAUUCCUUCCUGAUUCGUGGAAGCAUUUCAGCCCACAGACGGUUUGGUUUGUCAAUAUAUAUCAAGCUUUGUAGCUUUUAAGAAACUGACAGGUGAAAGACCUGGAAUUUUCGAUAGCAACUCAGGAUUCUAUAUUUAAACUAUGAUGUUUGAUAACUUGCUGAUACAAAAGACAUUGCCCCAAGCACUUUUUUACAGGAGCUAAACUCAAGCAAGUCACUUCCAUUUGUUGCAGUUUUAACGCAGAAAGAAAAGGGAGAAAAAAAUCUGCAAGAUACCGCAUGUUCGCAGAAGCAGAGUUGAAUAAUUACAAAAUUACAUUCUUGAUUGCACAGAAAUGAUUACAAAAUUACUUUCCAAUUUCAUAAGGUAGCUUAAUGCCCUUUUAAGAAUAUCUACACCAGCCUGACAAUUAUUCAUGGAAAUUCAAAUUCAAAAUCAUGUUCCUAUGAGAGAUGAAAUGUAAUGAGCGACUUGGCCACUAUAUAUGCAUUUAUCAUCUUCAAUUUGCUCAUCUUUGUCUAGAGUAUUGCUUCUGCGUUAACUUAAUUAGCGUGCAAGCCACCUGAAAAUGGUUUUAAAUUAUGAGAAAGAGUCUGAAUUCGAAAGAAUCAAUCAAAUAUGAUGACAGAAAACACAAAAGUAAAAUAACCAAAAGAAGUAGAAAUAUACUUUUGUUAGAUUUAGAGCAUAAUUCUUCUGUCAAGUUCUUUUCCAUUAGCCUUGUUUCUGUGUGUGCUCAAACGCAAUUCCUCAACGCUCAAGAUAGUUCCUGCGGACCUGAAAAACUAGUUGUGGCCAUAAGGAACUUGAAAAUUAGAAAAGAUUCAGAAUGAGUGACUAAAUAUUUUAAUCAAAACUAAUUAAACCUACACUCCCUGAAAAUCUGAAACUGAAUUACUCAAAUGAAUAUGCCUCUUCACAGCAAUUGGUUGAAACUUUACUGCAAAGACUUUUUGAAACCCUUGAAGAUGAUACUCUACCUGAUAACACAAGGAAACACAAUCAAUAUAAGAAGAUGAUUUUACAAACAAAUGAAAGCUUGCAGUUAUUGGGAGAGCUCUACUCAAAUUUAAUGAGAUAUCUCUCAGGAGGGAGAGCUCUAAUAAUAUAUAAAGCCAAAAAUCUGAAAAUGUCUAACACUCAUCAAAUUGGCUUGUGAAGAAUUAAUCUUCCUUGCCAUCAUACAUGCCAGGUGUGGUGAACAAUCUUCAUUCUGACAUUUGCCUUAAUAAGCUGCUUAGUAUCCUUAACCUGAUAACAUACACAAACAAGAACAACUUUACUAAAGUUUAUUCUUUAAAGGCAAAACAGUAAAGAAGAUGAUAUAUGCUGAUACAAAAAAUUGACCUGAGUUAUCCUGAUGUCAAGAAUCACAGAACCUCAUGUGGGCAAAAUCAUCGCAAUACAAGAUGCUGAAUUCAAGCAACAUCUUAUCACCUGUAAUUUAAUUAAGACAAUAACUUUCCUCAACUAUUAUCCUUCUCAAUUUCAAUGUAUUAUUGGCAACUAAAUUCAUAGGGGACGUAGCUAAUUAAAUGCCCUUUUAACAAUAUCUUCCCCACCUAACAAUUAUUUGGAAAAUCUAAAUGACAAUCAUGCAUUGAUGGCAUAAAAAAUUGGCCACAAAGCUGCCUACAAAAAGGCUUUAAAUUCUUAAUGAGACAACGUAUUCGAACAAAUAUGGUGAAUGAAGAGACAAAGGCAUAACACCUCAAGAAGUAAAGCUCUGUUUCUGUAUGUGCUCAAACCAAUGGAAACCCAUGGAAAUGAAUUUCUACUAAUUAGACAUGUCAGCCAAAACAGGUACUCUGUACAAGCAAAGUAAAAGAGAGUUACAAAAAAAUUUUAAGAUAAUUAAACUUUCAGUCACCAUAUAAUUAAUAGAAAACUUUGUACACAAUGAUUUAUUGGAGAUUAAGAUUGUAUACCUAAGUUUUAAUUGCAAACUAAAUAUACACAACAUGAUAUUAGCAUUAGAAGACCGCACCAAAACGUACCGAAUUAAAUGUACAUCUUCACGGCCAUUGUACCAGCCUAAUCCUUGAUUACACCAAUGUUCUCCAUAGGGUCUUCAAAGUCAACCUAAAAAUAAAAUGAAAAUGCAAUGCAUUAUUAUUAGGGAUCUAGUGCUUGAGCUUGCUUUGACAUCAUGGUAUUAGCAAAUUCUGAUAUAGCCAAAAUGGUGAAUAAGAUGACGUACUUGAUAAGAAAAACCUGAUUUAACAAAUAAUUAAGGAGCAGGUAACAAUCACAGAAUCUCAUCAUGUGGGGAACGCCUUGGCAACAGAAGAUGGUGCUUUCAUUCAAGCAAUAGCAACUUUCCAAUUUCAUAAGGUAGUUUAAUGGCCCUUUUAAGAACAUCUGCACCAGCCUAAUAAUUAUUCAUGGAAAUUAAUAAUCAGAAUCAUGUUAGAUUGAGAGAUGAAACAUAAUAAGCGAUUUGGCCACCAUAUAUGCAUUUAUCACCUUCAAUUUGCUCAUCUUUGUCUAGAGUAUUGCUUCUGCAUUAACUUAAUUAGCUUGCAAGCCACCUGAACAUGGUUUUAAAUGAAGUGUAAGAGCUCGAAUUCGAACGAAUUAAUCAAAUAUGCUGACAGGAGAAACAAAAGUAAAAUAACCACAAGAAGUAGAAAUAUACUUUUGUUAUAUUCAGAGCAUCUUCUAGUGUCAAGUAAAAUAAACGCAAUGGCUCAAGGGUCAAGAUAAUUUUAUGACCAUCAAUCUUUUUGCAGCCACAUGCAGACUUGAAAAACUGGUCGUGGCACUAGGGAACUUGAAAAUUAGAAAAGAUUCAGAAUGAUUGACUAAAUAUUAUAAUCGAAACUAAUUAAACAUACAUGCCUAGAAAAUCUGAAACUGAAUUUCUCAAAUGUAUAUGCCUCUUCGCAGCAAUUGCUUGUGGUGGAAACUUUACUGCAAAGACUUUCUCAAACCCUUGAAGAUCACACUCUACCUGAUAACAAAGAAAGAGUCAAUAUACGAAGAUGAUUUUACUAACAAGUGAGAGCUUACACAUACUGGAAGGAUAAUGAUUACUCAUAACCCAAAUCCCCAAUACUCCCUAAUAUCUCACUCAAGAGAGUUCGAGCUCCCAGAAUUCACUACUGUGAAACUCUCACAACAAAAUUCUCUUCAAAGAUUCUCUACUCAAAUUUGAUGAUGAUGUCCCUCGAAAGGAGGCAAAAAAUCUAACACUGAUCAAAUUGGCUUGUGAACAAUUAAUCUUCCUGGCCAUCAUGCAUACCAGGUGUGGUGAGCAAUCUUCAUUCUGACAUUUGCCUUAAUAAGCGGCUUAGUAUCCUUAACCUGAUAACUUACACAAACAAAAACAACUUGAUUAAAGUUUAAUAUUUAGAGGCAGAACAGUAAAGAAGAUGAUAUAUAUUGAUACUAAAAUUUGACCUGUGUUAUCCUGACGUCAAGAAUCACAGCAUCUCAUGUGGGCAGAAUCUUCGCAGUACAAGAUGCUUGCAAAAUUGAAGCCGCAUCUUAUCACCUGUAAUUUAAUUAAGACAAUAACUUUCCCCAACCAUUUCAAUGCAUUAUUGCCAACUAAAUUCAGAGGGUGCUAAUUAAAUAGCCUUUGAACAAUAUAUUCUUAUUCUUCUCCAAUCUAACAAUUAUUUGGAAAAUCUAAAUGACAAUCAUGCAUCGAUGGCAUCAAAAUUUGGCUACAAAGCAGCCUGGAAAAGGCUUUACUCUCUGAAUGAGAGCAUGAAUUCGAAACAAAUAUCAUGAAUGAAGAAACAAAGGCAUAAUACCACAAAAAGUAAAACUUUUUCCCAGGGCUCUCUGUUUCUGUUUGAACUAAAACCAAUGGAAACCGAUCGAAAUGAAUUUCUAGGAAUUUGACAUAUUAGCCAAAACAGGUGCUCUGUACAAGCAAAGUAAAACAGGGUUACAAAAAAUUUUAAGAUUGAUAUGAUAAUUAAAAUUUCAGUCACCAUAUAAUUAAUAGAAAACUUUGGACACAAUGAUUUAUUGCAUAUUAAGAUUGCUAUAUAAAAUAUAAUAUUAGCAUUAGGAGACCGCACCAAAGCAUACCGAAUUGAAUGUGCCUUUUCACAGCCAUUUUACAAGCUUUGAAGCUUUACCACAAAUGCUUUUUCCAACCCGUGAACAUGAUGCACCCGAGAGAUGCAAGCUAUGAAAUUGUUACUACAGCAAGCCAUUUUACAAGGAAGUUUAUGAAAAUAUGCCUUUGGAAACCCGUCUUCAGGAAUGAAUUCAUCCGCAAUAACAAUUUUCAAGACGUAUCAACUGCUUCAAGCUCAUCCAAUAGAGCAGAUCCCGCCUGACGAACAAGGAGGGCUAUUCUGAUUUUUUCUUGAAUCCCUGGUGAACAUAAUUAAACUCGUAUGAAAUAAAACAAAGUGGGCUAAUGUACUACUAAAAACAAUUACACAAUUACUUUAAAGAAUUAAUGUCACAUAAAUUAUAUAUAAAAAAAUACGAUUAUCAUUAUACAAGAUAAAAUUGAUGAUUUAGUUUUCAACAUUUCUGCAAAUGUAUCACAGAGAUUUUGUCUCUCAGGAAGUUGCACAUAACAAAUUUUCGUGCAUUAAAAAAUAAAAUAUAUUAGGAUUUUCUAUGAUGUUGUAUGAAAUUUUACAAAAGACUACAUUUUUUUUUUAAAGAAAAUAUAGAAAUUUCAUCAGACUACACUUGUUUUUUUUAUUUAAUCUUUAGAAAACAAGUUUAACUGAUUUGAUAACUAGGAAGUUUAAAUUUUAAAUAAUUAAAAUUAAAAUAUUAUCCUAACUAACUUUUAAUUUUUUGAACUAUUGAUUAAAUCUAACAGUAAAUAUUUAUACCAUGAUUGAUUUUAUAAUUUUUAUAACAAUAUCAUAAAGUGACCUAUUAAAUUAAUGGUUCAAGUAAAUAAUUGAAUUCAAUACGCAAAUCAAAAUAUUAGAAAAUAUUAUAUAUUCCCAUCAGACAUUGGCAAUAUACAGAAUUUUAAUUCAAAAUAUAAAUAUUUUUAUUAAUUUCAUUGCAAGCAACAACAGGGUAAAUCAGAGGAGGAGAAAUUACCGUCGGGUGACAUCUGGAUGUGGGGAAUGUGAGAUAUCUUAUGCCGUGACAUCUGGAUGUGGGGAAUGUGAGAUAUCUUAUGCCUGUCUUCUCCUUUCCCCUCUCUAUAACGGUUUUCCAGAAUGGGACAUCCCCAAAUUUUCAAUUCCUGCAGUGCCGUCGUCUGAAGAAGGUAAUCCGGCAGCGCCUUCAAUUUGGGGCAAGACUCAAUCGACAAGAGAGAAAGACGUGGCAUGACGGAGAUGUUUUCCUUCCUCGUAAUCCUGUAAUUCCACUCUUCCAGUUCUGUCAUGACGCUAAUUUCGAGUGAUUUCAAAUUGGGGAAGGCAAUAACUGAUGAUGACGAUGAAGAUGAAGAUGGAUCAUCCUCAGUGCUUUCUUCUAUUCCCAAAAACUCAUUACCCACUCUUUUUACACUUUUCAAAUUGUAUAGGGUGAGUUUUUCCAGAGGUAAUUUUCCCAAAGGAGGCAAAUGCUCACAGUCAAUGCACGAGAGAAGUCUUAAUUCGCUUAGAUUGGUUAGUGAAGUCAACCAUUUGGGAAAAAUGUUGCCUCCGUAGAAUCUAAUCCUUAACUCCUCUACAUUCAAAGGCGGUUGUAAGGCUUCAAGAAGUUGUUCAUCUUUCUCAUUCUUCCUCCUCCCUUCUUCGCCUUCCCCAUCUACAACUCUACCAAACUGAAGACCCAAACGAAGGAGGUUUUUCUUAUUGUAAAGUUGUAACCUCUCAGCCUCAUCUACAUGCGAUACAUUACUUAGCCCUUGUACUCUACAUUCACGAAGGAGUUGAAGAUUUUUCAGAGAUUCAAGCCUACACGUGCUGCCACCAUCAACACCUCCACCCACAACAAACUUUUCUAAUGUUCGAAGACUGGUUAAUUUGGAAAUCCCUAUUGGCAUGUACUUCAACGAACGAGUUUCACCAUUCAGUAAACUCCUCAUGUUCAUUAACUUCCCAAUCCCCUCUGGCAAUUCUCUAAGAUUUCGGCACAGCCUAAUAUCUAGCUUUUGUAAAUUAUAUAAUUCACACAAAGUCUCAGGUAGUCUCUCUAUGACUAAUUCAGACAAAUUAAGAUAUUUUAAAUGUAUCAAUUUUCCAACAUUUUCUGGAAUUUCUCUAAUCCAAUUUGCCUCAGGAUGCGAACCUAAAAGGUAAUAUUGCCUUAUAACUAAUGCCCUUAAACAUGCCAAUUUACUAAAUAACUCCGAAAGGAUGCUAUUAUUAAGAGAUGGGUUGAAAAGAUUUUCAUCAUAAAUUAAUAGGGUAUGCAAUCUAUUAAGUCCAUGAAUGGACAUAGGAAAUGAAGUGCCUCCUUGAAAAUUUAACCCUAAGUGACGGACUUUGUCACCAAAAGAGUUUAUGACUGAUUCCUUGGUACCAUUAAUUUCUAGCCACAAACAUUCUUUGCUACUUACAAAUUGAGCAAAAUCAUGUACGAUGUCAUGCAUCUUGCAACUCAUAAUAUCAUCGUCAUUUUUCUGAAAUUCUUGAAAGAAAGAGCGUGUAGUUAAGAUGUUGAAAUACUCUUCUCCAAUCAUCUCCAUUUCUUCGUCUUCAUCUGCAUUAAGGUAACCUUGAGCCAUCCAUAGAUUAAUCAAUUCCCUUUUGUUCAUAUUGUAGUCUUUUGGAAAGACAGCACAAUAUGAGAAGCACCGUUUUACCAUAGAAUUGGAGGGCAAAUCAUUAUAACUCAACAACAAAGGAGCCAAAAUACCUUGUCCAAUCUCUUCUACUUUCCACAUUUCACUCUCUAAAAUUCUUUGCCACUCUUUUACUGUACUUUUAGAGCGCAAGAGAUUCCCUAUUACCUUUGCAGCAAGAGGCAGGCCUUUGCACUUACAUGCAAUUUUUCGCCCGAUUGGUUCUAAUUUUUCACAAUCCUCAAAGGACCUACGUAGAAAUGCUAUCUGCUUAAACAGUAACCAACAUUCCCCUUCACCCAACUCCUUGACAGGGAUAAUAUCUAUUGAUCCCAACUGCAGUGCAACUGACCUAUCACGUGUGGUAAUUAGAAUUUUACUUUCAUGGUGGCCAUUCUUUAGACAAGAAAAGAAUGGGUCCCAUUUUUUGUAAUCUCCAUCCCACACAUCAUCUAAAACAAGAAAAAUUUUCUUCCCUGUAAUAUAUUCCUGAAUCUGUUUCAUAAGAGAUUCGAAUUCGCUUAAACCAGAAGCUGACACGCCUAGACCUUCAAUGAUUGCUUUGGCGACCCUAAUCUCCUCAAAAGUGUAUGAUACACACACCCAUAUAACUUUGCCAAAAUUUCUUUUCACCUCAUCAUUAUUAUACGCCAAUUGUGCAAGAGUGGUUUUACCUAUACCCCCCAACCCAACUAGUGAAAUGACAUGAAGGCCUUUUUGUUGUUCACUACUUUCACACAACAACUUGCUUAAGAGCUCAUUUUUCUCCUCAACUCUACCGCAAACCUCUCCCUCAUCAAUCAAGGAGAUGGUUCGCACUCGCUCUGGAUUCCUAACAUUGUUACUCACAUUCUCAACAAAAUUAAACCUAUCUUUUCGAGUGGCAAUUUCAUCUAGCCUUUUACUGAUUUCUCUAAUCUUGACAGCAAUAUGAUGACGAAGACUGAGUUGUUUGAAACCACCAAAGCAGUUUGAGGCAGCAGGAAAGAAGGAACAUACCUUCGUCAAAAAAGUAACAAAAGCACUGUCGUUAUCAUCAUCAUCAUCAUCAUCGCCUCCCUCAUCAAGCUGCAAUUUCCGUGUUUCAGUGAUCCACUCGUCCAACACAUCUUCCAUGUCGUAGGAUGCGUCUCUGAGCUGAUCCAGCCAAAAAGUAACAGCUUUGUCCUGCUUCAUUUGCCUCUGCUCUGCAUCUUCCACCACAGCUUGAAUGGCUUGAAGAUUGGUGGUAAGCUUUCCCACUUCUUGUUCGACACCCGUCACAAGCCUCCACUUUUCUUUCACCUGAUCUUGAGCAAUGGAUUUCAGCUGGUCCAAGAGAGAGGAAACGAUCGCAUGAGCCAUUCUGAUAUUAGAUCAAAUGGUAAAUGCAGCAAUUGCUUUUCUUGCUAAAAUGCUCCGAGGAAUGGAUCCACUUUUCAAUAUAGCUUUAACGUAUGGAUCCAAUUUCUCAUCUAUAUGGCCUUUUAUUAUCAGGUAGGGCGAAGCCAUUUGGUCAUUUGAAAAAGUUGUGAUUCCGUUUUAGUCCAUUAUGUCACGACAAAAAGAGAAUUGUUAAAUAUAACAUUCUCAAAUUAUUUUGUGGUAGUCGGGGCCCAUGCCCGUGGAAACGAGAAAAAAUAAAACAAAAGUUGGAAAAAUCAUGCAGCCGACCCUUUUUUCUAUCUGAUUGCGCAAUAUUAGGUAUAAAACAGAGAAUUAUUGCAAUUUUUUUGGAGUGUGGCCCCAAUUUGAAAUAGAAAUAUUGUCUAAUUGCUCUUCAGAUGUGAAAAGUGCAGGCGUCGAACAGCUACUUGUCUUCAAUAAUUCAUAAGAUGAAAUGGAUGAUUACUGUCUUGGCCGGCCUGCCAAUGAGAUAGAUGAAAGUCAUCUUGCAAAAAAUUAAAAUAUUGAAUUCCCCUAAUUGGAAUUGGGGCCAUGUAUGGUGUAUAAAAUAGCAUUAAACAACAAACACAGACAACAAUUAAUGCUAUUUUAUACACCAUACACGGCCCCCAUUCCAAAUUAAAAUAUUGACAUUAGUUGCGUUUUCAUCUUGUCUUCAAUAAUUAACAAGAUGAAAGGAAUCCAAACGCACGAUGAACGACCUGUUUUACUCUUUGGCCUUAUCUGUGAAUGACCUGUUUAGACUUCAAAUUUUUCCCGACGGUGGUUCACCGAUAUUAUUCCCUGAAAAUAAAAUCAGACUGUGCUUACAGUUACCCCCUUGCAAACAGAAAAUUGAGGGGGAAUUUUUUUUUUUUCUGGAUCCCAAAGAAAUUAGAAAGAGAAAACUGAAAUUUAGUUGUAUUUAGUCACUAAUUUUUCAUGACUAAAUUGCAGAUCCUCAGUCUCAUUAGUUCUUCACUAUCGUCAAGCAAGCUCUAAUUAUUAGGGGCGGAAAAAGGUAUAUGGUCAUCAGUCCCAACUCUCUCUCUACAAGUGACAUUAACAUUUCGUUUUGACAUUUUCUUUCUACACAUACAAAUCGCAACUCUCUUUUCCUCUUAGAUUCUAAUAAAACAGGUAAUAAAUUGCUGAGAGUAUCCAUCUCAAGCUUAAUUAAACUUUGAGGACCAAUUCUGUCAUAGAACAAGCAUUAAAAAAAAAAAAUCUAAUUGGGUUAAAAUAAUUAUAAAUAAAUUACUUUAAACAAUAAAAAAGAAUUAAAUUUUAACUCAAGUAUAAUUUGAAAUUUUUUAUUCUUUAUUGUGUAGUUAUUGAUCUAAUUGCAGAUUAAAUUCAUUUAAAAUUUCAGAAUUUAUCUGAUUGCGCAAUAUUAGAUAUAGGCAAAUGCGACUUCAUCGAUCAUCGGGUCAUUUUAAACAGCAGUGGUUCUGUGAUUAAUAUUUUUCUUUUAUUUAAUUAAGAAAAGGAAGAAAAGAUAGCACAUGUUAUGAUUAUUAUGAAUUUUCCAUCCCUUAUAUAAAUUCUCAAAUUUAUUUAAAUUGUGAGUCAUAGAAGGAUAUUACCUAAAUUAUUUUAUCAGGCCAUGUUCAUAUACUAGGAUUAAGUACGAAAUUGGACUAAUUUUGUGAUUAAAUAUUUAUCUCAUGUUUGUUAAACUUAAUUGAAUUGGACUCAGGGACUAAAUUUAAGUUUAAUCCUAAAAUUAUGGGAUUAAUAAUUCUAAUUUACACAUGGUUUUAGUUGGGAUAAAAUUAAAGAAAAAAAGUUAUCUAUUUAUGAGACUUUAAUUCCUAUCAUUACUGUUUAUUUAUACUUAAUAUUAAUUAAUUUUUUAAUUUAUAAUUUACUUAAAAAUUAUUUUUAUUUAUUAUCUAUCAUCUGAUUAAAUUGGAACUUUACUUGUACCAACUCUUGAGAUUAAUUUUUCAUUAUUUGCAUAUUUGAUAAUUUGUGAAUAAAAUUAACCAUUUAAUAAUUUAUAGCAUUAUUGAUUGUAUUAAAUUUAAUAAUCACUAAUAUAAUAUUAAAAAUAUCAUGAAAAUUAACAACACCAUCAAUUAAUUGAUUUUAUAUAUUUUUUAAAUAUUUGAUAAGAAUUUGAUAAAAAUUAAUUAAGUAUUUAAAUUUUUAUUCAUUUUUUAUUUGUUUAUUUUAUUAUGAAUACCCAAUAACUUACAAUAUAAUUAAUUUUCUUAUUCAGACUACUCAGAAUCAACUCCUAUAAAAUUUCUCACAUUAUAAGCAACAAAAUAUUUAUAAACUACUACAAAAGGCUUAGAUCAAUACACCGAUGAGCCUUCUGAAGUUAUAUAUAAUAUAUUAAUUGUUGAUCUAGAAUAGUCUUAGUAGAUAGAUUUUUUUAAUUAUAAAUAAUCAAUAAAUUUUUUAUCGUUUAAUAGGUAUUGAUGUAAUUUCGCCGGAUCAUAUGAAUCCAUUAUGAAUUUCAGCGGAAAUUUGAAUGUAUUCUGGACCGUGCAAGUGAAAUUUCAGAUAAAAUCAUCUCCUGACAAUUUAUUUAUUAUUUUCGGGUGCUGCUCCUGUAACUUUAUUAUGUCAUGACAAACUUCAAAAUCUAAUUUAGAGUGCAACUCAAAUAAUUGUAAUUAGUAAUUUAUUACAUCUGCAGUCGGAUUUUUGUUGAUAAAAAAAAAAAAGAGAAUAAAAUCAAUCCCAUAAUGAUUUUAAUAAAUAUCAUACUACAAAGAAAAUAUGCGAAAGAUAUCUAAGGAAUAAAGCUUUUCCACAAUGAUUUAUAAAAUUGCUUUUGGAGAACGGUUAUGAAAUUAUAUCAAAUUACUAAAAUUUAGUUAACCUCUCAAGAAGUCUAUUUCUCAAGUUUAAAAUUCGAAUGUCAAAAAAGAUAAAAUGUUAAAAAAAUAUUUUAAAUAUUAUCCACCCUUUCACUAUUUUAAUAUACAAAAAGAAGAAUUACUUAUUUUUAACAUAGCAACCGGGGGCAUAAUAUAUCUGAUGGAUUUUUCUAUAGAACAAAGCUUAUUAUAUCUCCUAUUAAAAAUGUCAUUUUUUUGUUAGGAAAAAGACAUUUAUAUCCCCAAAGUUAGGAGAAAUGGAUACCAACGCUCCUAAGUUUUCAAGAAAAGAUACUAAAACUUCUUUCUUACUACAAUACCCUUUACCUUUAUUAUCCCAAAAAUUAACUUUAAUUUUUUUAUAGUAAAGAGAAAUAUAAUAUUAAAAUAAAUGUAAUAAUUUAUACAUUUUAAAAUAAUUUCAAUAUUUAAAAAUAUUUUAAUAUUUUACAAUCUAUUAAUAUAUUUUAUUAUGUUAUAGUAAAUUUUAUGAUAAAUGUAAACAUAAUAUUAAAAUAAAUGUAUUAAAAUUUAAAUUAUUAUGUAAAAUAAUAAUUUUAACAUUAUUAGUAUGUGAGAGUUUUUUAAUUGUAAAAUGUAUUUAAUGCAAAUAUUUAUUUAAAAUCUCUACAAUAAAUACAAAUAUAUUAUUAAAUAAAUAUAUUAAUUUACAUAUUUAAAUUUAUUUAAAUAUUUUAAUCUUAUUAAUCUACAACAUAGAUUACAUUAUUUAUAUAAUAUUUGUAUUUAUUCAUUUGCAAGUUAAAUUUUUCGGGAUACUAAAGGUAAAGGGUAUUAUGGUCAAAAAGGAGUCUUGAUGUCCUUUUUAGAAAACUUGUAGUAUUGGUGACUAUUUCUCCAAACCUUAGAGAUAUAAAUACCCUUUUCCCUUUUUCAUUUUAAGCAAGUGGCAAACUAAAGAUUAAACUGUCAUAAAUUCACAAAAUAUUCACCACAAUAGUUGUAGGAAAUUUCUUCUUCCCUAAGUGGAAAAUACAAAAAAAAAAACAUAAUUGGCAAUUUCACUAGCAAAACUAAUAUUUUAUUCCAUAUCAGGGGCGGAGCUCAGGGUAAAUCUUCAUGAGGCCCAAGUUCAAAUUUCAAGUGUUAGUUGGGGAUUAAUUUUAUUCAGUUUUUUCUAUUUAUAGCUAGUAUGUAGGGUAUUCCAAAAUUUGAGAAUUUUGUGACUGAUAAUUGAAACUAUUGUUGCAAGAGAAAACAAAAUGAACAAAAUAAAAAUCAAAGAGGUAGGCCCAAACUUACAAACUUUUAAAAAAGGCUAUGAAAAAUAAUUAACAAAUAAAAAUCAAACAAUCAGGUUUAAUUGAUUUUAUUUCACAAAAUAUACAAUUAAAGUUUCAUUAUAUGUAUCAAGUUUAUGUAUCAAGUAUUCAAGGGCAAAUUAGUCAUUUUAUACCUAAUUUUGAAUAUUUCAUUUAAAAACCUCAAAAAAAAUUUCAAAGCUUAUAGGGUGAUGGUCCCCUCUAGGAGUGCACAAAUUUGGGUUUGGAUCAACUUGAUUGGGUUUUAGGUUGAUUGGCUUGGAAUAUUCGAAUUGGAUUAGAUCAAAUCAAAACUUUGGAGUUGAGUCUAGAUCGGAUCAGGUUAUAAUUAUAUGAGGCCGAGGUUGGGUUUGAGUUAAAUUUGAAUUUGGGUCAAUUAUGAUGGAUUCAGAUAAUGUUCGGAACAAGGGUAAUUUUGGGCCUUUUUUUGUUUUGAUUCUUUUUCAAAAUUAUCUCAUUUUAGUUCAUUUUUACAAAUUUUAAACUAAAAAAAUGAAAACUACUACUAUGAAAUCAAAUGUACAAAAAUUAAAAUAAACCAAAAAUAAUAUUGUUAAAUUAUGCUAUCCAGGGGUUAUUGGUUAUUAUAAAAAAGUAGGACGUAAAUGAUAUAUAUUGAUUACAGUAUGGGGGAAAAUUGUCAUUCUCCCUCUAUAUAUAUAUAUAUAAAGAGUGGAUAUGGGGCCUUUUAAUGCUUUAGCUUAAGAGCAAAAGUAAAAGAUUAUAAAGAAAAGGAUGUAUAUGUCAGCAAGAGACUUCGUAUUACCUUUGCAUUAAGAGGCAAGCCUUUAAACUUGUAUGAAAUUUUUUUUUUUUGAUUGGUUCUAAAUUUUCAAGAUCCUCAAAGGACCGCCAAAAGCAUACUUGCUUAAACAGUGACCAACAUUCUCUUUUAGCCAAUUCUUUUACUGGGGCUGAGAGAUCAAAGGCAACAUUAUUGGGGCCGAGCGAUUACUUAAUUUGACAUAAAUUAAGAGUAGACGCCGGCUAAUGAAAAUUACAUGCCAACUAAAGAUAUUGUCUUGAACAAAUUGGCAUAAUAAUUUAUGCCAACGCUUGAUAUGAAAGCUUUGUUGGAACAAAUUGGCAUGAAUUAUAUUUUAUCUCUCUUUCUUCAAGGUAUUAGGUAAUUGCCCUAUCCCAAAAACAAAGAAAAAAGAAAACAAGUAUUAGGUAAAUGCAUGUGAAUUAGACAUUUGGCCUCCGGGAUCAUAUAUUUAUAUUAAAGACAACCAUAUAACCACAAAGACAAUGAAAAGUCUAAAAAUUAUUGUUCAAUUUCUAAUUCCUCGCAAGUGCGAAAGGAAACAUUUUCCAAGAAUAAAACUAAGAUGCAUUUCUAGGAAUAGUUUUCCAACUGAUCUAUAUUUUAUAAUAUUUUAAGAUUUCUUCAUUUUUUUUCAAAAGAAAAAUUUAAUUUAAGAUUAAGCUCAUUAAAAAAUUAACAUCAUUAUAGAUUCAUUCAAAAUAUUAUAUGUGCAUAAAUACAGAAAUUCAUGUGACAAUUGCGAGGGGUACUCGGGUUUUAAUGAUCUUUUUUAUCUCAAUUAAUUAUUGGAAAAUUUUAUUCAUUUUUUUUUAAAUCCUGAGCAAGGUCAACUCCUAUAUGCUUUUGUGCGUAUGUACGUGUGCUUGUGUGUAUGUGUAAUAAUUACAAUAUUGUCUGGUUAAUCCACAAUUUCAUCAGCAUCAUUAAUCCAUAGUGAGUUGAGAAAUAAGCCAUGAAUAAGUGCUUGAGAAGUUCAAAGAUAAAAUAUUUAUUCUGACACAAAACGUCGAAUGAUAUAAAAUGUUGAGAACUAAUAAUAGUUUAGUGUUUGGUUUAAGUUUCAUGAAUUUUGUGCCAAAUAUGACGUUGUAAGGUACAAGAAUGUCAGGCGUACUUCGCCGAAGAAUGGAUUAGGAGGGACGACGGAUAGGAACUUGAUUUACAAACUCAAAGCUACCAAAGUCUCUUCGGCGGGGAAGUUUUACCACAUUUUGUGCGGUGAGUCGAUAGACCCAAUAGGAUAAUGAUUGAUAAAAUGAAAUAAAAUUAAUGUUUAUACCUAGAUUGAGAUAUAAAUUUAUUAUCCAACUUAUGUAUUAUAUAGAGAGAGAAAUGACGGGUUGGCCGACAUCGAUUGUGGAAGAGGCUGAUAAUGACUUCAUAAAUGUGAGGGAAUAUCUCUCUCUUUGAGCUAGCUUUUGAAGUCGAGAGAAGCCCAAGACCAUCUAACAUUAGUAUCAAAGCUCAGGUUCACCAACAACUCAACCAACAAUCUAAUAGGGAGAAUGGAUGUUUAUGCUUCCAACCCAAGGCCCGAUGAGUGAGGGGAGAUUGUUGGAUUUAUCCCACAUUGGUUGUGGGAGGAGUUCGUGGUGAUUUCAUAAGUGUGAGAAAAAAAAUCUCACUUAUUGAGCUAACUUUUGACUUUUGAGGUUGAGAUAAGCCCAAGACCACCUCACACGAAAAUUGUAUAGUGUUGGAAUAAAAAUUCUACUACCAAUAGUGGGCCGAUUAUUGACCAUUAAGCUUAAAUAUUAAAAUAUUCAUCCUAAAUAUCGAGAUUCGUCAUGAAAAAAAAAAAAAAAACUUCUCAGUUUUGGUAACAACUCAAAUAGUCUAGGAGUGGAAAUUUUUUUGAAUGAAAUACUUAAGCACAAAUAUUCUCUAAUCACUUGAUGUUUUAGACUUUAUAAAAAAUACACGACCACAUUUUUUUUAUAACAAUUCCACCUGAUGUUUACAAAAUAUAUCAUUUCUACACUAUUGUCAUCACGCCGUUAGAAUUUUACUGAUGUCAGAAUGAUAAACUUGUCAUUGGACUCUUAACGGACAAAAACGACGUCGUAUUUAAAGAAGAAUUAUAUAAUCCCAUCUGCUUGAAACUUUCUACAAUGACAAGACAUAACUAGUAACGGACAACCUGCUGUGCCAGUCAUUUUUCUCCUUCGAUUGGGAUCGUCGAUUUCUUUACUAAAAUCAACGAGUGAAUGAUUAUCAGCAUCAGGAGCCAAAGAAGGCAAACCGCCACAUUUUUUUUCGCUGUGGUCCUAUAAUUUAGGGGUCGGCAUGGGUUGGUUUGGGUUAGAUUUUAAGUCAACCCAAACCAAACUAUAAAAAUUUAGAUCCAACCCAAACCAACGCAAAUAUUUUUAACUCAACGCAAACCAAACCAUUUAGCUUUGGUUUGGGUUUGGUUUGAAUUUUAUUAUCAAAAUAAUUUUUAUUUUAAUAAAAUUUAAUUAUAUCAAAAUUAUAAUAAUUAUUAAUUGUUAUUAAUUAUUAAAUUGAUAUUAAAAUAUAAAAAAUAUAGUGGAUAAAAAUUAUAAAUUUUACAAUAACUUAAUCCUUAAAUUAAAGAAUACUAGAAAAUCAAAAUAAAUUUUAAUCACAAAAAUUAUUAUUUCUCAAUAAAUAAGAACGUACACUUUAAUAAUAAACUUUCACAAACAUGACAUUAACAAUCAAAUAAUAAAUUUUGCCACUUGUUGUUUAUUUAAGGGUAAAAGCUCAUUUAGUCCUUAUAUUUUAAGAUUAGUAUCCAUUUAGUCCUUGUAUUUUAAAAAUACCUCAAAACAUCCAUGUCGUUAAAGUAUUGAUACCCCUACCGUUACUUUUUAUUUCUUUUGGCUUACUUUUACAAUAUUACCCUUUUAUAAUAAUUUUUUUAGACAUUAAUAAAAAGAAAAUAAUUAAAUUACCAAUUUAACCCUAAAAAAUAAAAAAAAUUAUAUUAAUUUUUAAUUGUCAAAAAUUGUAUGCAAACUACCAAGUGUGCAAAUGGUGCUUGCAAAAAAAUUAAUAUAAUUUUUUUAUUUUCUAGGGUUAAAUUGAUAUUUAAUUAUUUUCUUUUUAUUAAUAUCCAAACAAAAAAAUUAUUAUAAAAGGGUAAUAUUGUAAAAGUAAGCCAAAAGAAAUAAAAAGUAACGGUAGGGGUAUCAAUACUUUAACAGCAGGAAUAUUUCGAGGUAUUUUUUAAAAUAUAGGGACCAAAUAGACACUAAUCUUAAAAUACAUGGGCUAAAUGAGCUUUUACCCUUUAUUUAAUUAUGCAAUAUUUAUUUUUAUUUAUCGUUUUGGUAAUUUUGCGUUAUGUUGUCUACUUAUAUGCUUAAUUUUAGGGAGAUUGCCACUUUCCUCCCUACAGUAAUCAACAUAUAUCAUUUUUCCCCCUUCUGUUUUUAUAAUGGCCAAAAACCCCCCUAAUAGUAUAAGUUUACAAUAUUACCCUUAUUUUCAACUACUUUUUUAUUUAUAUUUAUUAUAAAUUAAAUAAAUCACAUGAAUAAAAACUAAAUAAAAAAUAAAACAUUAAAAUAAGAAAUAUAUGUUUUGAUAUGAACAAAAAAAUUAAUAAUAAAAUUUUUUUAUACUUAUUUAUUUUGUGAAAAUUUUCUUAUAAUAAAUAUAUAAGAAAAUUAUUAGUAAAAUGAUAAAAAAAAUUAUUAUAAGAAAACUUGAAUGACAAAUAAAAAUUUAUUUUAAGAUAAAUAAUAAAAUAUUUUACCUAUUUGUGUUCAUUUAUUUUGUUUUCAUUUGAAAAUUUUGAGUGUUAGGGUUUUGUUCAUAACCCAUGGGUAAACCAUACCCAACCCAUAAUGAAAUUGUUUUUUAUAUAAAACCUACAUCUAACCCAUUUUCAUGAUUUACCCAACCCAAACCAUAAUUUGGUUUGGGUUUGGGUAAACCCAUGGGUUGUGGGUUUAUGCCCACCCCUACUAUAAUUUAUUGAAAAAAUCAACGAUUGCCCCAAAAUAACAAAGCUAAAUUAACACAACAUACAACACAGUAUCAAACUACCACCAAAUUUUAUCACUUAACCAAUAAACUAAAAAAUUCAAGGUUUAAAAAAAAUUUGAAAGUUUAAAAUUCUUAAACGACUUGAUAAUAAGCCCCAAUCCGCCAUCGCCACGAUCCACGGGUACAGGUACCAGAUUAAAGUGCGUUUUCCCUUGAGCUCUCUUUUAAUUAUUUUAGUUUUAAUUCUGAUUUUUUAUUUUAUUUAUUAUUUAAUAUCUAUAUUGCAGUCAUCUAUUUUUUUUCGUUAUUAAAUUAGGGCAAAUUAGUUAUUUUAUGUUAAGGGUAGAAUAAUCAUUUACAUUUAGGGUAAAAUAAUCAUUUUCUCAGUAUUUUGUUAAAUUCUCUUACGCUGGUAUGACGGAAGUAGAGCAAUGAUGCACUUUAAACAUUAGGAACUGUGGGAACGAGAACAUUUUUUAAUGAAAUACUUAAUAAUUAGCAACUCAAAAUAUAUCAUUUGUAAUGAACUAUUUAAUUUGCAAUUUCUUUAGUUUUGGAUGGCAACUCGGGAUUCUUCAUUUAAACUAUGACGAUUUAUAACUUGCGGGUACACAAGACAUUGCUCCCACCACUUUUCACAGAAGUAAAAAUCAAGCCAAUCGCUUCCAUUUGUGGCAAUUUUAUCGGAGAAAGAAAAAGGAAAAAAAAAAUAAAAAGAAUUUUGUAACUACUUAACUUUGCCGAAGCAGAGUUAAGUAGUUACAAAAUUGCAUUCUUGAAUGUACAGAAAUGAUAUGCAGCAAAACCAAGCAUAAAGAAAUAAGAAGAUAAUGUUAUAUGGUACGGCUAUUAGCCUAUGUCAUAGUAAAAGACAUGAAGAAAAUUUUACUAAGAAAUGGGUGUGUACAAAUAUUAAAGGAAAACAUUCACCGACGACCCAAAUCGCAGAUAUGUGCUUAAUUUUCUUACUCACUCUAAGAACAUUCAAUCUCCGAAAAUUCAUUCAAAUGAAACUUUCAGAAAGACUUAAUAUUAAGGCUUUAGCAUCACUUCAUAUGCUCAACAAUUCAAAUUUGAGUAUGAUAUUUCUCAAAAUGGAGGGCUCUACUUGGCUUGUGAACAAUCUUCCUCACCAUCAUCAUCCUUGCCAUACCAGCAGCACUGAACAAUCUUUGUUCUGACAUUUGCCCUAUUUAUCUGAUUACACAAGAAUCCGAAACAACUGUUAGAAAUUUUAAUCUUUAUAUAUAUCCAAAAUGGUGAAUAAGAUGAUGUGGUUGAUGAUAAAAACCUGAGUUAAAUAAUUAAGGGUCCGGUAACAAUCACAGCAUCUCAUCAUGUGGGGAAAGCCUUCGCAACAGAAGACGGUGCUUGCAUUCAAGCAAUAAUAACUUUCCAAUUUCAUAAGGUAGCUUAACGCCCUUUCAAGAAUAAGUGCACCAGCCUAACAAUUAUUCAUGGAAAUUCAAAUUCAGAAUCAUGUUAGUAUGAGAGAUGAAGUAUAAUAAGCGACUUGGCCACUAUAUAUGCACUUAUCACCUUCAAUUUGCUCAUCUUCGUCUAGAGUAUUGUUUCUGCUUUAACUUAAUCAGCUUGCAAGCCACAUAAAAAUGGUUUUAAAUAAUAAGUGAGAGUGUGAAUUCGAACAAUUAAUCAAAUAUGAUGACCGAAGAGACAAAAGUAAAAUAGCCACAAGAAGUAGAAAUAUACUUUUGUUAUAUUUAGAGCAUCUUCUACUGGCAAGUUCUUUUCCUUUAGCUCUGUUUCUGUGUGCGCUCAAACGCAAUGCCUCAAGGCUCAAGAUAAUUUUAUGACCAUCAAUCAUUUGCAGCCACAUGCAGACUUGAAAAACUAGUCGUGGCCCUAAGGAACUUGAAAAUUAGAAAAGAUUCAGAAUGAGUGACUAAAAUAACUUAAUCGAGACUACUUAAACAUGCACGCCUUGAAAAUCUGAAACUGAAUUACUCAAAUGAAUGUGGUUGAAACUUUACUGCAAAGACUUCUUGAAACCCAUGAAGAUGAUACUCUACCUGAUAACACAAGGAAACACAAUCAAUACAAGAAGAUGAUUUUACAAACAAAUGAGAGCCUAUAAUUAUUGGGAGAGCUCUACUCAAAUUUGAUGAGAUAUCUCUCAAAAGGGAGAGCUCCAAUACUAUAUAAAGCCAAAAAUCUAACACUCAUCAAACUGGCUUGUGAACAAUUAAUCUUCCUCGCCAUCAUACAUGCCAGGUGUAGUGAACAAUCUUCAUUCUAACAUUUGCCUUAAUAAGCUGCUUAGCAUCCUUAACCUGAUAAAUUGCACAAACAAAAACAACUUUACUAAAGUUUAUUCUUUAAAGGCAUAGCAGUAAAGAAGAUGAUAUCUGUUUAUGCUAAAAAUUGACCUGAGUUAUCCGAAUGUCAAGAAUCACAGCGUCUCAUGUGGGCAAAAUCAUCGCAAUACAACAUGCUGAUUUCAAGCAACAUCUUAUCACCUGUAAUUUAAUUAAGACAAUAACUUUCCUCAACCAUUACCCUACUCAAUUUCAAUGUAUUAUUGGCAACUAAAUUCAUAGGGUAAGUAGCUAAUCAAAUGCUCUUUUAACAAUAUUUCUCCAAAUAACAAAUAUUCGGAAAAUCUAAAUGACAAUCAUGCAUUUAUGGCAUCAAAAUUUGGCUGCAAAGCUGCCUGGAAAAGGCUUUAAAUUCUUAAUGAGGGCAUGAAUUCGAACAAAUAUGGUGAAUAAAGAAACAAAGGCAUAAUACCGCAAGAAGUAAACCUUUUCCUCAGACUUCUGUUUCUGUUUGUGCUGAAACCAAUGGAAACCGAUGGAAAUGAAUUUCUAUGAAUUAGACACAUCAGCCAAAACAGGUACUCUGUACAAAGAAAGUAAAAGAGAGUCAUAGAAAAAUUUUAAGAUAAUUAAACUUUCAGUCACCAUAUCAUUAAUAGAAACUUUGUGCACUACGAUCUAUUGCAGAUUAAGAUUUGUAUACCUAAGUUUUAAUUGCAAACUAAAUAUACACAACAUUAUACCAGCAUUAGGAGGCCGUACCAAAAUGUACCGAAUUUAGUGUGCCUCUUCACAGCCAUUGUACAAGCAUCGAAGACUUUACCGCGAAAGCUGUUUCAAACGUGAUGCACGUUAGAGAUGCAAGAUAUGAAAUUGUCAUUACAAGAAGCAUUGAAACAUGUGUGAAAACUGUUUAUGGACCUAAAAUAACUUGAAAAUCAGAAAGAUUAGGAAUAAGUGACUAAGCAUUUUAAUUAAAACUGAGCAUACAAACCUUGAAAAUCCAAAAUUGUACUCCGAUGAAUGAGCAAUUGCACGAGCAGCUAAAUUUACUGCAAAGGCUCUUACAACCCUUGAAGAUGAUACUCUACAUACCUACACAAAGAAACACAGUGAAUAUGAAGGGUAUUCUGACAAUGCAAAUUUGUGAAAAUUAUCAACUCUGGUUACCUGCAUAAUAGUGCUAACAUCGAAUUGCUUCGUCAAUUGAAAUAUAUGAUCAGCCCAAAGAUGCUUUGCUUUGAGGCUUUUGAGAACCUGAAAUGGUUAUUACAACCAACAGUGAAAAUUGGGUGAAGAACUGAUAUUACUAGCAUAAUUCCAUAUGCUUACAGAGGAUAAACCGAUCAAAGAAAGAAACAAGAUAGAAAUGAUGAUCUCAGCACCUUAAUAUCAUGCAAUAAUAAUCAUCAUGUCUUCCAGGCAGCUAUCCAUCCUCAACUGAAACAGAGCAGACCCAGCCACCACUUAGUUUUCAACAUUGCUACAAAGUACCCCAGAAAUUCAGUCCUCAAGAAGUUUCACGUAACAAAUUAUCGUACACUGAAGUAAAUAGUUAUAUUCAAUACAAAAAUCAAAAUAUUAGAAAAUAUUGCACAUUCCUAUGAGACAUUGGCAAAAUAUAGAAAUUUAAUUCAAAAUUUAAUUAUUAUCAUUAUUAUUAUUAAUUUCAUUACAAGUAACAAUGAAGCAAAACAGAGGAGGAGGAGAAAUUACCGGCGGGUUAUAGUAAGUGCAACCGUUCGAGAAUUUAAAACUCGAUGUGGGGAAUGUGAGAUAACUUAUGCCAGUCUUCUAGAAUAGGACAUCCCCCAAUACUAAAUUCCUGCAGUGUCGUCGUUUGAAGGUGGUCAUCUGGCAACACCUUUAAUUUGUGGCAAUUCAUAAUUUGCAAGGAAGAAAGACGUGGCAUGAUGGAGAUGUUUUCCUUCCUCGUAACCAUGUAAUCCCAACCUCCCAAUUCUUCCAUGUCCUAAAUUUUGAGUGAUUUCAAUUUGGGGAAGGCAAUAACUGAUGAUGAUGAUGAAGAUGAAGCUGGGUCAUCAUCACUACUUUCCUCUAUUCCCAAAACCUCAUUACCCACUCUUUUUACACUAUUCAAAUUUUGCAGGGCGAGUUUUUCCAGAGGCAAUUUUCCCAGAGGAGGCAAAUGCUCACAGUUAAGACACCCGUGAAGAAAUAAGUUCCUUAGAUUGGUUAGCGAAGUCACCCAUUUGGGAAAAAUGUUGCCUCCAUAUAAUAAAAUCCAUAAUUCCUCUACAUUCAAAGGCGGCUGUAAGGCUUCAAGAAGUUGUUCAUCUUUCUCAUUCUUCCUCCUCCUUUCUUCAUCUUCCCCAUUUACAACUUCACCUCCUUCUUCUUCUUCAUAUCCCCCAUCCUCACCUUCAUCUUCAUCCUCUUCUUUAUCUUCCCAAUCUACAACUUCAAACAAAAGAUACAAACAAAGGAGGUUUUCCAUAUUUUUGAGUUCUAAUCUCUCAGCCUCAUCUAUAUGUGACAAAUUACUCAGCCCUUCUAUUCCACAUUCUCGAAGGAGUUGAAGAUUUUCCACCAUCAACACCUCCACCCACAGCAAACUUGUCUAAUGUUCGAAGAUCGGUUAAUUUGGAAAUCCCUAUUGGCAUGUACUUCAACGAACAAGUAAGACCAUUUAGCAAACUCCUCAUGUUCUUUAUCUUCCCAAUCCCUGCAGGCAAUUCUCUUAGAUUUCGACACCCCCUAAUAUCUAGCUUUUGUAAAUUAUGUAAUUCACACAAAGUCUCAGGCAGUCUCUCUAUGUGUAAUUCAGACAAAUUAAGAUAUUUUAAAUGCAUCAAUUUUCUGACAUCUUCUGGAAUUUCCUAAUCAAAUUUGGGUCAGGACGAAAAAGCAAGAACGAUUGCCUUAUAACUAAUGCUCUUAAACACGCCAAUUUACUAAAUAACUCAGGAAGGAUGCUACUAUCAAGAGACGAAUUGUAAGGACUUUCAUCAUCAAUUAGGAGGGUACGCAAUCUAUUAAGUCCAUGAAUGGACAUAAGAAAUGAAGCGCCUCCUUUAAACUUUAACCCUAAGGGACGGACUUUCCCACCAAAAGAGUUUAUGACUGAUUCUUUGGUACCAUUAAUUUCCAGCCACAAACAUUCUUUGCUACUUACAAAUUGAGCAAAAUCAUGUACUAUGUCAUGCAUCUUGCAACUCAUAAUAUCAUCAUCAUCAUUUUUCUCAAACUCUUGAAAGAAAGAGCGUGCUGCUAAAAUGUUGAAACACUCUUCCCCGGUCAUCUCCAUCUCUUUAUAUUCUUCUACAUUAAGGUAACCUUGAGCCAUCCAUAGUGAAAUUAGCUCCUCUUUAUACAUAUUGUAGUCUUUUGGAAAGACAGCUCAAAAUGAAAAAUAUCGUUUUACCAUAGAAUUGGACGACAAAUCAUUAUAACUCAACAAUAAAGGAGUCAAAAGACCUUUCCCAAUCUCUUCUGCCUUCCACAUUUCACUAUCUAAAAUUCUUUGCCAGUCGUUUAUUGCACUUUUAGAACGCAAGAGAUUCCCUAUUACCUUUGCAGCAAGAGGCAGGCCUUUGCACUUGCGUGCAAUUUUUCACUCGAUUGGUUCUAAUCUUUCACAAUCCUCGAAAGAGUGACUGAAAAAUGCUAAUCGUUUGAACAACGACUAGCAAUCCUCUUCAGUCAAUUGCUCAAUGAAGAUAAUAUUUGUUGAUCUCAUCAUACUUGCAACUAACUCAUUAUGUGUAGUAACCAAAAUUUUACUUCCGUGGAGACCAUGAUUUAAAUAAAGGAAGAAUGGUGCCCAUUUCUGAAUUUAUUUUUAUGCUGUAAAAGGAUCAAAUUACUCACAAAGUGAUUUUAGCUUUCAUGAUAUAAACAAAUAAUCAUCAUUUAAUUUCAAUAGAAAGAAGUAUUCUAGGUAGAAUAUUGACUUCUUUAGCAGGGACUUCUUACUCUAUUAGGUUAAUAAUGCAUCAAUUGUCACGUCAUUAAUUUUAGAUUUUAAACUUUUUUUUUAAUGGAAAGUACCUUCAUUUCAACUCAAACAAGAAAAUAAGUACAACAAGUGGGGAGGGUAUGAACCCAUCCAAACAAUAGUUUCGAGCAUCUCUAGAGCUAGCUUAGCUAAAGAGUGGGCUAUCGCAUUACAAGAUCAAUGAGCAUAUUGGACACAAACUGAGCUAAAGCUCUUCGAAAUUCUCUGCACAUCUGAAAUGGUCCAGAAGAUCUCGGAUCUGCAGCCCCGCUUGUUGUUAACUAACUUAACAACCUCUUGAGCAUCUGAUUCCUCAAUCAAAGACUCUAUACAAGCAUUCCUUGCAACUUGAAGCCCCCAUUUGAUUGCUUCUGCCUCUGCAAAACACACAUCACCAUAGACCUUGGAAACUUUGACUACAACUGCAAUCACAUUCCCAGCUUCAUCACGAAUUACAGCCCCUAGACCUGCAAUUUGCUUCUCCGAAUUGGUGGCAGCAUCUACAUUAACCUUAAAAAAUCCUUUUUGGGGAGGAUUCCAGGCCUUUAGCAUCAGAGAUCUUUGGUUGCCUAUAUGAGUAGCAGCUGGAAGCUGGGUUCUUCGGUAGGCUUCCAGCACAGCUUCAACCUUAGAGACUAUCACUUGGGGUCUUUCUUUUACUCUUUUGAAAAUCCAUUUGUUUCGAGCAUUCCAUAUCAUCCAUAAGAUCGAAACCAGUAGCUUAAUAUCAUCAUUACUCCUUCUCAGCUUCAGCCCAAUCAACAAGCUUAGAAUGUCUUGAUCAACACAAUCCUUCAAAUCAUUCUCAAAUCUGGUAAUUUUCUAGAUUUUCUUCACCAUCUUACAGCCCACUAAAGUAUGCAAAACUGUUUCCAGCUUGUUGUUACAAAUCUGACACACAACCUCCUAAAUCACCUUCCUUUUCCAUAGAUUUUCGGUUGAAGGAAGAAGAUUUUUUACAGCCCUCCAAGCAAAAAUCCUGAUCUUCUCCGGUAAGGUGAGAAACCAUAUUGUAUUCCAUUGGUUUUGCUCAGUUGCUGAACUUGUCGGCCUAGCUGGAAAAUUCAUAUUUAAAGUAAUCUGAUAGCCACUCUUAACUGAGUACUGGCCUUUUCUAUCAUAGUGCCACAUUACUUCAUCCUUCAUUGGUCUCCUUGGCAAGGGAAUUUUAAUUAUUACUUCCACAUCUAUUUUGGCAAAGUGCCUGUGAAUCAGCCCUUCAUUCCACCCAUGCUUUGCAUUUAUUAACUCAGCAACUAAAGCAUCAUCUGGCAAGCUUGGUUUAUAAAUCGGUUUGAAGGUCAGGGGUCUGAGCAGCCAAUUCUCUUUAUGAAGCAGGAUGCUUUGGCCAUUUCCAAUCCUCCAUCUUGAACCCUUGGAUAUGACUUACCGUCCCCAUAAAAUGCUUCUCCAAAUAAAAGAGGGGUUUGAGCCAAGUCUUGCCUUCAUAAAAUCUUUGUGCUGGAAAUAUCUCGCCUGCAGAGUUCUUGCCACGAGGGAGUCUGGAAAUUGCAGGAUCUUCCAACCUUGUUUGGCUACUAGUGCUUGGUUGAAACUUGAGAACUCUCUGAACCCUAUUCCUCCUCUGCACUUAGCCAGACUUAGGUUGUUCCAUCUCGACCAGUGGAUGGCCUUCUUAUCGUUCCCUGAUCCCCACCAGAAUUUUGCUAUUAUUCGCUGAAUGUCAUCACAUAUGCCCAUGGGAAUCUUGAAAACGCUCAUUGCAUAUGCGGGAAUAGCUUGAGCAGCCGCCUUAAUCAAAACCUCUUUGCCUCCUAUUGAGAAAAUUUUGUUCUACCAACUAGAAACUUUAUUAUGGAUCUUUAGCUUGAUAUCAGUAAAAAAACUACUUCUCUUUCUCCCGAUCAUAGAUGGCAAGCCUAAGUAUUUUUCGUGUCUUGAAACAAUGUUGAGCUGGAAGAUGUCUUUGAUUGUUGCCGCUUGCCCAGCCUGAAUAUUGCCGCUGAGAAACAUUGAAGAUUUGUCGAGAUUGAACAACUGGCCUGAGGCUGCAGAGUAGCAGUCGAAGAUUCUCUUCAGAUUUUGGCAAUCAGUAAUUGAGGCUCUAGUGAAUACUAGGCUAUCAUCCGCAAAUAAGAGGUGAGAGAUUUUAAGCUCCUUCCCAAAUGACAGCCCAUGAAUAAGCCUCUGGUGCUCUGCUUGUUGGAGAAGAAAGGAGAAGGCUUCAGCCCCAAUAAUGAAUAAAUAUGGAGAUAAGGGGCACCCUUGUCUGAGGCCGAAUCACCCUGCUUACAGCACCAUUUAUAAUCACUGAGGAUGUGACUGAGCUUAUACACCUCAUGAUUAGGCUGAUCCAAUUCUGCAAGAACCCGAGGGACUUCAUUGUUUGUUCAAAAAACUCUCAUUCCAGCCUAUCAUAUGUUUUGCUCACAUCAAACUUCAAUGCCACCAUGCCUUUUUUUCUUCCUUUACAAUGUCUUAUCUUAUGGAGGCACUCAUAUCCUGCAAUAAUAUUAUCGGUGAUUAGCCGAUUAGGAAUAAAAGCACUUUGCAUUGGCAAGAUAAUUUUGGGUAGUACAUGUUAAGCCUAUUAGCUAUUGCUUUAGCAACAAUCCUAUAAAUAACAUUGCAUAGACUAAUAGGCCUAAAAUCGGUAACUUUUCUAGGCUUUUUUUUUUUUAGAAUUAAAGCGAUAUAGGUGUGAUUGAGUUGGGCUACAUCACCUUGCUUAUUAAGGAUGUGGAGGCAUGUUGAGAGGACUCCUUGCUUGACCGUUUGCCAGUGCUUUUAGUAGAACACUGCUGGCAAGCCAUCCGAACCCGGUGCCUUUGUUGGGCAAAUUUGUGUCAAUGCUUCCACAACUUCUUUGGGUGUGAAUGGCAUCUCCAAGAAAUCAUUCAUCUCACUAGAAACUCUUUGAGAUAUUCCUAACAGCACAGCUGCUAUUUGAGCUUGAUUAGGCUUGGAUGUAAUGAACAAAUUUGUGAAGUAUUUGUUGAACUCAUGCUCCACUUCUUCGGCAUUUUCAAUCCAACUUCCAGCUACAUUUUCGAUCCCCCAGAUUUGGUUCUUCUUUUUCCUUGAGGAUGCCUUGUGAUGGAAAAAUUUUGUGUUCUUGUCCCUUCCCUUGAGCCAAUCCGCCCUUAGCGUUGUUUCCAGAAAAUUUCCUCGUCGGCUAACAUGUUUUGGAUUUGUCUUUCCACCUCUUUAAUCUUAUUCCCAUUGACAUACUGAACCCGAUUAAGCUUGAGGCUUCGGAGUUGUUUCGUUAGUUUCUCAAGCUUUUUUGGUCUCCCUCGGAAUUCUUUUUUGCUCCACCGAAUUAGCCUGGCCAUAGAUAUCUUUGCCACUUUUUGAAACAACGAAACAGGAUUCUCAAUAUUCCAGCUUCCCUGCAAGCUCCACUCUUCCUCAACGAUUUCCGUACAAGCAUCGUAAGGGCUGUUAACAUAAAUUAUUCUUUAUUGAUUUUGAUGAUAACAAACAUGAUUAAGAUUGAUUAAUCGUUUUAAAAGCUCAACAUAAUUUUCAUCUAUUUUGACAAGUUUCAUAAAGUAUUUUUAUAAAGAUUUGGAGACAAAACAGUCAUCUUGCAAAAUAGUUCACUGCAGCAGUUUUUGUGGAUAACGGCGAUCCGACAUGUGUAGUAAACGGCUCACCGAUUUCAAGCAGAAAUGGAGAUUAGCCUCUGGACCAAAACGGCGAACCGACAUAUGUGAUAAACGGCUCGCCGAUAUCAACCAGUAGCCUCUGGACCAAAACGGCGAACCGACAUAUGUGAUAAACGGCUCGCCGAUAUCAAUCAGUAGCCUCUGGACCUAAACGGCGAUCCGAUAUCUAGAUAACGGCGAUCCGACAAUUUGAAAAAUCAGCCCAACGGUCAUAUUGACCAGUCAAACGGCAAUCCGACAUCUAGCUAACUCAAUAACGGCUAGUUUUCAGCAGCAGCUAUAAAUAAGCUCAUUCAAAUUCAAACAAAGAUUGAUCACAACACAGCCAUUGAGCAAAUAUUCGAGAAUACAAUCUUCAUAGAGCUUAAAACACAUUCUCUCUUCAUCUAUUCACAAAUUGGGCAUUGAUUUGUAAUCUUUUACUUUGAGUGAUUGUAAGUGUUGGGAUACACUUGGGUUAAGAGAUUGGGGAUAAUCUCUUGUUGUAAAGGUUUAUUGACACCUUGGAAGUCAAGUGUAAGCAUUUGAAGCCUUGGAGGCUUGCUUAGUGGAAUCCUCAAGCCCGGAAAGCUUGGAGGCGUGGACGUAGGCGAGGUUAGCCGAACCACGUAAAAAUCUCGGUGUUUGAAUCCCUCUUCCCUUAUCUUUUUAUAUUGUGAUCAUCUUAAUUGUCAUUGCUUUGAAUUUGAUUUAUAAUUGUAUUAAGUUUUUCUUCAAUAAAUUGAAUAAUUUUUUUUGAAACCCGAUUCACCCCCCCUCUUCGGUUGCAUACUUGUAUUUCAAGGGCUCCACAUAUCUUCGUAGUGGAUCCGAGUGGCUCGUCUUUGGUUAAAAUUCAUCUCACGGCCCCUUAUUUGAACUUCCAUCACCAUCGGGCAAUGAUCAGAGGUCGAAGUGUCAAUAUUAGUAGCUACAACAUCCAAAAAAAUGUCUCUCCAUGAGCUAUUACAAACAAAUCUAUCUAGCCGUUCCUCCACAAAAGUGGGGCUGAACCUUCCAUUACUCCACAUAAAAGGGUACCCCUUGUAACUAAUUCUCUUGUUAUCAGAGCCUCAAUUGGUAUCAGAGCCUCAUUCUCUUGUUAAGACUUAAUCGUCUAGAGUAAAAGAUCCAUGGCAACCCUAAAUGACUCAACCUUUAGAGAAGGGCAAUCCACAACUAGACCACCAUUUUUCGAUGGUAAUGACUAUGCUUAUUGAAAAACUAGAAUGAGAAUCUAUUUGCAAGCAUUAGAUUAUGAAAUUUGGGAAGUUGUUUGUGAUGGUCCAUUUAUGCCUAUGUUCAAAGAUGAAGUAGGAGAUGAUAUUCCUAAACCAUCGAGUCAAUGGAGUGAGUUAGAAAAGAGAAAGAUGUCUCUAAACUCCAAGGCUAUGAAUGCUUUGUUUUGUGCCCUUGAUAAGAAAGAAUUCCAUAGAGUAUCUAGUUGUGAAAGUGCACAAGAAAUAUGGAAUAAACUUGAAGUUGUCUAUGAAGGGACAAGUCAAGUUAAAGAGUCUAAAAUCAGUAGAUACACUCGUCAAUAUGAGCUGUUCCAAAUGGAACAAAAUGAGAAUGUGUAUUCUAUGUAUACUAGAUUCAUAGACAUAGUGAACACUCUAGGUGCCUUGGGGAAGACCUUCUCAAAUAGUGAGAAAGUUAAGAAAAUCAUUAGGUCACUUCCAAAAGAAUGGAGACCUAAAAGAACUGCCAUUGAAGAGGCUAAAGAUUUAAAUAUUUUACCUCUUGAUGAUUUAAUUGGUUCUCUCAUUUCAUAUGAAGAGGAUUUAGCUACAGAAAAAGGACAUGAGGAGAAGAAGAAAAGCAUUGCUCUCAAAGCUUUAAAAUAUGAGAGUGAUGGGGAGAGUGAACCGGAUGAUGAAGAGCUAGCCAUGCUAGCAAGGAGGUUCAGAAAAUUCUUCAAGAAAACCGGAGAGCGAAGAAAUUUCAGAAACUUCAAGAACCAUAGGGAGAAGAAGGAGGCAAUAGGGAGAAGAAGGAGGCAAUCACAUGCUAUGAAUGCAAGAAGCCUGGACAUAUAAGAUCGGAGUGCCCACUUAUCAACAAACUCAAGAAGAAAGCAAUGGUUGCAACUUGGGAUGAUAGUGAGGAAGAAUCAAGUGAUGAAGAAGGAUCGCAAGAAGUAUCAAACCUAGCACUCAUGGCAAUAGGAGGGAAUGAUGAUCUCAAUGAGGUAAGUGAUCCCACCUAUGAUGAAUUGUAUGAUGCUUUUAAAGAUUUGCAUGAUGAGUUGAUGAAGAUUGGUAAAAAGAAUGUAUGUCUUAAAAAGGAAAUGGCAAAGCUUAAAAAUGAAAAUGAAUCUCUAAAUGCAAGAAUUGUAUGCCUAGAAGUAGGGAACAAAACAUUGCAUGAUGAAAUUGCAUUAUCAAAUGAGAAACCUAGCAUCUUGCAUGAGCAUUUAGAAUCACACAUAGAUGAGUUGAAAAAUGAGAAUGAAAUGCUUAAGAAAAAGAGUAAUGAAAUGAAAUUGUUUUGAAAUUUACAAAUGGGCAAAAGAUGUUGGAAAAUAUGCUUAACUCACAAAAAUGUGUUUUUGAUAAAGGAGGACUUGGAUAUAAGCCUAACUUGAAGCAAAAGUAUUAUAAGAAUUAUUUUGUUAAAGCUACCUCCACAAAUGAUCAUAAGAUUGUAUGUCACUAUUGUAAUCAAAAUGGUCACAUGAAAUAUAGAUGUCCCGUGAAAAGGAAUGCAUAUUAUGGUGUCAAAUGCAUUUGGGUUCCAAAAGGAACCGUUGCUAACUCUCAAGGACCCAAAAAGCUUUGGGUACCUAAAACUUGAGAUUUUUUUUCUUGUAGGGAUUGAAGAAGAAGAAAAAUAAAUGGUACUUGGACAACGGUUGUUCAAGGCACAUGACCAGAAACUAUGCAUGGUUCUCAAGCUUCACCAAAGUUGAAAAUGGUGGAGACGUAUCUUUUGGAGACAACUCAAAAGGAAAAAUUCUUGGAAUUGGAAAUGUUGGUAAAGUCUCUUCAACUCUAAUUGAGAAUGUAUGUUUGGUUAAGAACUUGAAACACAACUUAAUUAGCAUUAGUCAAUUAUGUGACAAAGGUUAUAAAGUUAUCUUUGAUAAAUUUAGUUGUGUUAUUGAGAACUCAUGUGAUGGCAAAACCUUAUUUGUUGGAAAUAGAUGUGGUAAUGUUUAUAUCAUUGACAUAGAAUGUGCAUCUACUCUUGAUAAAUGUUUUUCGGCAUUGCAUGAUGAUUGUUGGUUAUGGCAUAGAAGGUUAGGACAUGCAAGUAUGGAUUUGAUUUCAAAAAUUUCGAAAGAUGAUUUGGUUAAAGGUCUUCCGAAAAUUGGUUUUCAAAAGGAUAAGAUUUGUGAAGCUUGUCAAUUUGGAAAACAAAUUAAAACUUCUUUCAAGAAUAAAAACCAUAUUUCUACUUCAAAACCACUUGAACUUCUUCACAUAGAUCUUUUUGGGCCAUCUAGAUAUGCAAGUCUAAAUGGCAAAUAUUAUGCAUUUGUGAUAGUGGAUGAUUAUUCUAGAUAUACAUAGGUAUUAUUCUUAGCCAAUAAGGAUGAUGCUCUUGAUGCUUUUAAAGUGCUUUGUAAGAAAUUACAAAAUGAAAAAGGGCAUGGUAUUGUAUGCAUUAGGAGUAAUCAUGGAGGAGAAUUUGAAAAUCAUGCAUUUGAGAGUUUUUGCAAUAAUCUAGGCAUUGAGCAUCAAUUUUCAUCACCUAGAACUCCACAACAAAAUGGAGUUGUUGAGAGAAAGAAUAGGUCUAUUCAAGAAAUGGCUAGGACCAUGUUAAAUGAAAAUGCAUUACCAAAAUAUUUUUGGGCCGAAGCCGUCAACACCGCUUGUUAUGUUUUAAAUCGGGUGUUGAUUAGACCUAAUCUUAAUAAAACUCCAUAUGAGCUUUGGAAAGAUAGAAAACCCAACAUUGGCUAUUUUAAAGUUUUUGGAUGCAAAUGUUUUGUUUUGAACACAAAAGAUAAUCUUGGUAAAUUUGAUCCAAAAUCUGAUGUUGGUAUUUUUCUUGGUUAUUCAAUUUCAAGCAAAGCUUAUAGAGUCUAUAACAAAAGAACUUUAGUUGUGGAGGAGUCCAUGCAUGUUACGUUUGAUGAAUCUAACCCCUCUUCUGCGGAGAAAGGAGUUGCUAAUGAUGAUGCAGAUGGAGAGUUACAAGAAGAAUCAUCAAAAGAGAAUCAAGAGAAUGCACCACAAGAAAAUCAAGAGGAUAGGCAAGAAGAACAAACCAAUACGGAGCUGGAGCAACAAGAAGGUAUUUCUCAAACACUCCCCAAGGAGUGGAGGUAUGUCUCUUCUCAUCCUAAAGAUGUAAUUUUAGGAGAUCCUUCACGAGGUGUUACAACUAGAUCAUCUCUUAAGAAUACUUGUGAGCAUAAUGCAUUUAUCUCUCAAAUUGAACCCAAAUCCUUUGCGGAUGCGGAAAAUGAUGAAUCUUGGAUUAUGGUAAUGUAAGAGGAGUUAAAUCAAUUUGAAAGAAACAAUGUGUGGGAAUUAGUUCCUAAACCGGAACAUCAAUCUGUCAUAGGCACUAAAUGGGUAUUUAGAAAUAAGAUGGAUGAAUCCGGGGUGGUUGUAAGAAAUAAAGCUAGAUUAGUGGCUCAAGGUUACAACCAAGAAGAAGGAAUUGAUUUUGAUGAAACUUUUGCACCCGUUGCUAGACUAGAAUCAAUUAGAAUGUUGUUGGCAUUUGCAUGUCAUAAAGAUUUCAUCUUAUUUCAAAUGGAUGUGAAAAGUGCUUUCCUAAAUGGGUAUAUUAUGGAAGAAGUGUAUGUAAAACAACCCCCUGGUUUUGAAAAUGAAAAGUUUCCAAAUCAUGUUUAUAAGUUGCUUAAAGCCUUGUAUGGAUUAAAACAAGCACCUAGAGCAUGGUAUGAUAGACUUAAAAAUUUCUUGCUAGAAAAUGAUUUUUCUAUGGGUAAAGCAGAUACUACUCUAUUUGUUAAGCAUAAGAACCAAGACAUACUUAUUGUUCAAAUUUAUGUUGAUGAUAUUAUUUUUGGUUCUACUAAUGAGUUGUUGUGUAAAGAAUUUUCAUCGUGUAUGAGCAAAGAAUUUGAGAUGAGUAUGAUGGGAGAGUUGAAGUACUUCCUUGGACUUCAAAUCAAACAAAACGAGGAAGGAAUUUUCAUAAAUCAAGCCAAGUACGUAAAAGAUCUACUCAAACGAUUCGGCAUUGAUGACUCAAAGACCAAAAAUACACCAAUGAGCACAACAACCAAGCUGGACAAAGAUUAAAAAGGCAAAGAAGUGGAUAUCAAAAUGUAUCGAGGUAUGAUCGGAUCCCUACUUUAUUUGACUGUAAGUAGACCCGAUAUCAUGUUUAGUGUAUGUUUGUGUGCAAGAUUUCAGUCUUGUCCCAAGGAAUCUCAUUUGCUUGCUGUUAAAAGAAUUUUCCGUUAUUUGAGUGGAACCAUAGAUUUUUGCCUUUGGUAUCUUAGGGGAACUCAUAUAGAUUUAACAUGUUAUUCGGAUGCGGACUUUACCGGUUAUAAAGUGGAUAGGAAGAGCACUAGUGGUACUUGCUAUAUUCUAGGACACUCUCUUGUUUCAUGGUUUAGCAAAAAACAAAAUUCUGUCGCACUUUCAACUACCGAGGCUGAAUAUAUAGCUGCCGGAAGUUGUUGUGCACAAGCACUUUGGAUGAAACAAACACUUAGAGAUUAUGGCAUUAAUCUUGAACAAAUUCCUAUUAAGUGUGAUAAUACUAGUGCUAUUAAUCUUUCAAAGAAUCCCAUUCAACACUCUCGAACCAAGCAUAUAGAAAUAAGACAUCAUUUCUUGAGAGAUCAUGUUCUAAAGAGAGACAUUGCAUUAGAGUUUAUUUCUACGGAAAAAUAACUUGCCGAUAUUUUUACAAAACCACUUUGCGAAGAACAAUUUUCCAAAAUUCGGCAUGAACUUGGGAUAAUGAUUUUUUCACAUUAACAUCUUUAUUCAUGCUAUUGAGUCUAUUAACAUUGAUUGAUCUAUGACUUGAUGCUUUAAUAUCUAUGGAAUGCUCAAUCGUAAUAUACAUGAGAUGUGUAUGGAUAUUUGAAAAUGUAUGAAUUAAUUGUUGCAAUACAUAUAUAUAUUCAAGAAUUAUGCAUUGAACUGGCACUCAAAUCAUUUUGGAUCAAUAAAAUGAUCUUGAAAUGUAUUGAUAAGUAGCCAAAUAUCAAAAUACAUGUGCGAAAUCAUAAGUUGUAGAAAACGGAUUGCCGUUAUUUCAAUAAACGGCUAACCGUUUUGGGCAGAAACAAUGGAAAAUUUUCUAUACGCUAUCGGUUCGCCGAUAACUAUCUAUCGGCUCGCCGUCCUGAUACAAAAAAAUUUGAGGAGACUCCCUGGACCCUAUCGGCUCGCCGUUAUGUAUAUAAACGGCUCGCCGUUUUAAUGAAAUUUUUGGAGGACUCUCUGGACUCUGUCGGCUCGCCGUUUUCUCUAUAACGGCUCGCCGUUAUCACGCGUAAAUUGAACAGUCCUUCGUCUUCCUCCUCAUUUCGGCUUCUCUUUCUCUCUCUCUCUCACUUCAACUCGCGGCUGCACCAGUUCUCUCCUCUCAAAUCCAUCACUUUUCUUGUCAUUUUUCACCAAAUUGAAGCAUUACAAACCACUUCUAUCAUCUCUAGCACCUUUUAACCGAUUCAAAUCCUUCUUUUUCUUCAAAUUUUGAAAAAUCUCAUCUUGAAACCCUAGAACCAGCCGAAUCUCAUUCGUUCACUUUGACCCAAAUUUCUUCAUCUUUCCAACUACUUUUCCAUCCACAAUCACUAUCUCCUCUCUCACACUUCGUUUCCACCGAUUUUUUUUUUCUCUAUGGCGGAACGACCCCAAAGGCGUGCUCGAACCAAGCACACUGCUCAGCGACGCUCUAGUCCCCCCAGGUCUCCUCCUCAAGACUUUGAGAGUCUUCAUUUUCCCGAUGCUACCUCUGCUCAGCGAUUUCGUGAGAAAUUCAUGGGUAAACCCGUAACUCCCUCUUUUUCUCUUAACAUCUCGGAGUUUUCGGAUAUUACUGUUUGUGGUAACUCCAUUACUCAAAUGCUUAAUCAUUGGCAGCAAGCAUUAAGUAUUGAAGAACCUAUUUAUGAAAAUCUAGUUCGAGUCUUUUAUUCUAGGGAAAUUUACACUCGUCCGCCUGUUUGUUUUGCCUUUUUCAAAAAUACACAAACACUUUUUUUUUUUUCAGUGCGCCACCUGAAGUUUGCUUUUUGUUGCAUUUUUCCACUUCCGUCUAAUUUUCGUUAGUGGAUUUAACGGAAUGUUAACGAAAUGACCUUUUUACCCCUCAAAAUUACAAUUUAACCCAAAAUAAAUGGAAAUUGGAGAUAAAUUGGAUGUAUUUAAAUUUUUUCAAAGGUGGAUGCUAGAAAUUAGAGGAAAAUAGUGUUUGUUGCUUGCUAAAUUUAGAAAAUUUGUAUUUAUUUUUUUGAAAGAGAAAAAAUAAAUACAAAUUUUCUAAAUCUAGCAAGUAACAAAUACUAUUUUCCUCCAAAAAAAUAAAUACAAAUUUUCUAAAUUUAGCAAGCAACAAACAUUAUUUUCCUCCAAUUUCUAGCAUCCACCUUUGAAAAAAAAUUAAAUCCAUCCAAUUUAUCUCCAAUUUCUAUUUAUUUUGGGUUAAAUUGUAAUUUUGAGGGGUAAAAAGGUCAUUCUGUUAAAUUUGCUAACGGAAAUUAGACGGAAGUGGAAGAAUGCAACAAAAAGUGAACUUCAGGUGGCGCGCUGAAAAAAAAAAAGUGUUUGUGUAUUUUUGAAAAAGACAAAACAAACAGGUGGACGGUUGUAAAUUUCCCUUUAUUCUAACAUAGAAUUCUCCUCUACUCGUCGUGACGAGCUUCAUACAUUUGUAGGAGGAAUUCGUAUUGAACUAGAUGAACCCGAAUUAUGUAGUAUUCUCGGAAUUGCUUAUGGAGGGUUAGAUCUGUACACCGCUAGGAAAGAACUUUCUUUUAGUAAUUUUCGUCAUGUGGAUGGUGUACGGAACAUUUGUCGUCGUCGGGAUCUUUCCGAUGACAUCUGCUCUCUGUCCUUCAGGUCUCAACUCCUCCCUUUUCAGAUUCGAAUUCUUCACAUUAUUCUCCAACACAUGGUCACUCCUAGACAGGGUCACACUGAUGAGGUCACUAGGCUUGAUAUUGGUCUAUUAGAUUCUCUUAUCCGUCGACGCCAUGUGAGCCUAUCCUACACUAUUAUGUGCCAUAUGUUGUCCACCCCUAAAGUCUCCAAUCGAUCUCUUCCUUAUGGCAGCAUCAUUACUAAAAUCUUGAACCACUUUCAUGUUCCUAUCGUCGAGCCUGUUUUUCUCGAGACUCGUAAGCUCGGACGAGAAAUUAUUUCUGCCAUCGGAUUCUUUAAGAAGCGUGGGAAAUGGGAUAAGACCACAUCCUCUAAAAACGAAGACACACUGCUUGCACCAGAGGAUGAUCGCAUGUUGAAUGACGUCUACUCUGAGGAUGAGCUACCUGAUUUCCGUCUUGGGGCUAGACCGCGUGUUCCACGCCGGGCAGCUGCACCAGCAGCACCUGCAACACCUGUAGCACCAGCAGCACCUGCAGCACCAGCAGCAGCUGCAUCUCAGGAUGACGAGCCUACCGAGACUGUCGUCCCUCCUGCGGCAUCAGCUGUUCCUGAGGAUCGCUUCCAGCAGCUUCUCGACCGAGUGGAUGCCCUGUCCCAGUAGCAGCAGCAGCUUCGAUCUAAUUUUGCAACCUUUCGGGAGCAAAUUUCUGAUCAGCAGAUAGAGUUAAUUGCAGGACAGCGUCGCAUUCUCGGCUAUUUUGGAUAUGACCCCGGCAGCUCGUCUUCCCAGCCCCCAUCUUAGAUUUCUCUGCCCCUCUGACAUUCGCACAGACAUCUUUCAUUUCAUUUUCCAUAUGUGUAUGAUAUUAUUUGUGUUCUGUGUGUUAUGUGUUUUGUGAUUAUGCUUUUGAUAUUUCUUGUUGGACAUAUGCACUUAAUUUCUGUUUGGGUUGUUUUUGGUGUUAUAUUGAUUAUAUUGCUCAUUCUAGAAGUGUGAAUUUGUUGGUAUGGAGGUUGGUUGAUAUGGUGGUAUAUUUAUAUGGAAGUAUUUUUCUUUUUAACUCUGUGUGUUGUUGAGGAACUGCUCAUAUUUCAGAGGAGACUCUGCCCAAAUUUCUCCAAACAUAAGUCAUUCGUCGCGUAUCUUUCUUUUUGAUGAUGAAGGGGGAGAGAAAUUGGCAAAAUGCAAAAUUGGUUUUGGCAAAAUAGUAUUGGCAUGCAUGUGUUUACUGGCAUAAUUUUUUUUUUUUUCAAUCUGUCGUGUUUAAAAUUUUGAGAUUAACAGUUGAAUUUUUUUUAACAAGGGAGUUAACAAGUCUUUCAAAAUUUCACUUAGGGGGAGCACAUAUUUAGGGGGAGCAAAAAUUGCACAAGUAUUUUCUUGAAAAGUUUGUCAUCAUCAAAAAGGGGGAGAUUGUUAACAUAAAUUAUUCUUUAUUGAUUUUGAUGAUAACAAACAUGAUUAAGAUUGAUUAAUCGUUUUAAAAGCUCAACAUAAUUUUCAUCUAUUUUGACAAGUUUCAUAAAGUAUUUUUUUAAAGAUUUGGAGACAAAACAGUCAUCAUGCAAAAUAGUUCACUGCAGCAGUUUUUGUGGAAAACGGCGAUCCGACAUGUGUAGUAAACGGCUCACCGAUUUCAAGCAGAAAUGGAGAUUAGCCUCUGGACCAAAACGGCGAACCGACAUAUGUGAUAAACGGCUCGCCGAUAUCAACCAGUAGCCUCUGGACCAAAACGGCGAACCGACAUAUGUGAUAAACGGCUCGCCGAUAUCAACCAGUAGCCUCUGGACCAAAACGGCGAACCGACAUAUGUGAUAAACGGCUCGCCGAUAUCAACCAGUAGCCUCUGGACCAAAACGGCGAACCGACAUAUGUGAUAAACGGCUCGCCGAUAUCAAUCAGUAGCCUCUGGACCUAAACGGCGAUCCGAUAUCUAGAUAACGGCGAUCCGACAAUUUGACAAAUCAGCCCAACGAUCAUAUUGACCAGUCAAACGGCGAUCCGACAUCUAGCUAACGGCGAUCCGACAGUAUGCAGAAAGUCAAUAACGGCUAGUUUUCAGCAGCAGCUAUAAAUAAGCUCAUUCAAAUUCAAACAAAGAUUGAUCACAACACAGCCAUUGAGCAAAUAUUCGAGAAUACAAUCUUCAUAGAGCUUAAAACACAUUCUCUCUUCAUCUAUUCACAAAUUGGGCAUUGAUUUGUAAUCUUUUACUUUGAGUGAUUGUAAGUGUUGGGAUACACUUGGGUUAAGAGAUUGGGGAUAAUCUCUUGUUGUAAAGGUUUAUUGACACCUUGGAAGUCAAGUGUAAGCAUUUGAAGCCUUGGAGGCUUGCUUAGUGGAAUCCUCAAGCCCGGAAAGCUUGGAGGCGUGGACGUAGGCGAGGUUAGCCGAACCACGUAAAAAUCUCGGUGUUUGAAUCCCUCUUCCCUUAUCUUUUUAUAUUGUGAUCAUCUUAAUUGUCAUUGCUUUGAAUUUGAUUUAUAAUUGUAUUAAGUUUUUCUUCAAUAAAUUGAAUAAUUUUUUUUGAAACCCGAUUCACCCCCCCUCUUCGGUUGCAUACUUGUAUUUCAAGGGCUCCACAUAUCUUCGUAGUGGAUCCGAGUGGCUCGUCUUUGGUUAAAAUUCAUCUCACGGCCCCUUAUUUGAACUUCCAUCACCAUCGGGCAAUGAUCAGAGGUCCAAGUGUCAAUAUUAGUAGCUACAACAUCUGAAAAAAUGUCUCUCCAUGAGCUAUUACAAACAAAUCUAUCUAGCCGUUCCUCCACAAAAGUGGGGCUGAACCUUCCAUUACUCCACAUAAAAGGGUACCCCUUGUAACUAAUAUCUAAACGAUCACAGUCUCGGAGAGCUUCUCUAAAAUCAGUAAUUAAGCUUAACUGCCUCUCAUUUCCCCUACUCUUCUCCAACGGAUGAAGGAUCUCAUUAAAGUCUCCGAAGCAUGACCAAGGGGUGGAAGAUAAACCCGAUAACCGCCUCAAUAAUGUCCAUGUAUGCUUUCUCUGUCUCAUGUCUGGGUGACCAUAAACCCCCGUACAUCGAAUAAGCUUCCCAUUUUCCAUCACUAUCUUAGCAUCAAUGUGAUGCUAAUUGAAAGAUUUAAUUUGCACUUUUAUUUCAGACUUCCAAAGUAAGGCUAGACCACCUCCUUUUCCGAUACUACUCACAGCAAAGCAAUUUUCAUAAUUUAGUUUUCUACUGACCUCAUUCAUAUGCAUAGUCUUCAGCUUCGUUUCACAUAAAAAAAAACUAGGCGAAGACCGUGCACUUGGAGAAUUUUCUUGAGAGCUAGAUACAUUCGGGGAUUCCCCAGACCCCGAAUGUUCCAACUGAGUAUUUUCAUGGCUUCCGGCGGGGGCUGGUAGCCAACCCCGCCGAUAUCUCCUCUAAGCUUAAAGCUGUAAGCUCCAUUUCCUCUGUUGCUAACAGCUCCCAGUGCAACUUGGUUUGUUCUGCUAUCAAAGAAAGUUUCUUCAUUUCCGAAUGGCUUGGGUCAUCCACUUUAGUUUUCUUUAGCUUCGAGUUUGGCCCUGCUGCCUCGCUAUUUGGCCUUUUAUGAGUUCUUAGGCCCAAGCUUGCUCCCCCUUCAUUUUUUGUGGCACGUGCCUGCCUCUUCCAUUUGUUUUUGUUUAACUGAGUUUGGGAUUUAUCGGCCUCGGCAUAUAUUUUCGUUUCCUCAGCUUCCUCUUGGGCUGCAUUUGAGCCCAAAUUCUCCUUGUGUUUCUCGGCCCUGACUACUUCCAUUUUUUCCCCCUCAAUUGAGUUUACAUUUCCCGCCUCAAUUCUCAAAUCUCUAGGGACUGUUACAUUGCCAGUACUGCCUCCCUGCAUUUCGCCGUUAGCCUGCUUCGUAGCCAUCAUUUCUGUCACGCUCUUCAUUAAAUGUUGUUCACCCACCCACUCCACCUCUCUAGUCCUAUCAAUCUCCUUAGUUUGACCCAUUUCCUCCUCCCUGGAUCCUAACCUAUUUUUGUCAGCUGGUUUCACUUGCUCCUGCUGGAGCUGUUGGGACUUAUCAUGGAAUUUUGAACUUGUCGAUUUUUCAGUUCUUUCACCUCUGUUCUACCAUCUUUCUUUGCCUCGGUAUUUCCUUGAGCGUCCCCUGAUUAUGAGUGCUUUCAUCCACAUCCCAAAUGAGAGAUCUUCUUUUGGUUGGCCUUGGUAUUGAGCACACUCCUUGAAUUGAUGACCGAUAAUGCCACAGCAGAAGCAAAAAUUUGGCAAGCAUUCAUACACCACUAGCAUUGGAAUAUCUGUCUUGCCCUCUUGUUUUAGGAAUAAGAUUUUCUUCAAUGGCUGUGUUAUGUUGAUGAAAAUCCUGAUUCUUGCAAAUUCCCCAAAGCAAUCCCCAUUCUCAUCUGUUUCAAUUUCUUCCACUUUUCCUAUCAUUCCCCCGAGCUCUUGCAGAAAGUCCCUCUCCAUACACGCAAUUGGAAUAUUGCGUAUCUGCACCCAGAAGGGGACGUGAGUAAAAUUUUGCUUUGAAACCUCUCCAAUAUCUGUUGGCUCGGUGAGGACAAUCAACGCCCUAUCAAAAUGCCACGAGCCUCUAGCUAGAACUCUUCUUUUAUCAGCUUCUUCCGCGAAUUUGAACAUAAAUAUAUUAUUUCCCAGACUCUCGAUCUUAACCUCUUUAAAAGUUCGCCAUACCUGCUGUAAAGCAACUUUAAGCCCUUCUCUGUUAACACCUCUUGAUAGGAGUACCUUACCCAUCAGGCAUCCUGCUAACACUUGCCCUCUUUGUUCUUUCAUGUUUACUCCCAAUGACAUUUUGCUUUUGUCUUCCUCUCUAAUCGUGAUUGCUUUGCACUUACGGAUUAAUUCUUCAGUGUCCAUGGAGUUAUUACAAGGGAGAGAUUUGAUAAUAAUAAUCACCUAACAAGAAGACCCUGCGAAAUAAACCCCUCACCUACUCUGCUCUAGCCUUUACUGCACUUCAACUGGAAAAACUUACGUAACGUAACUAAUCUAACUUCAAACUAGAAAACAACACUCACUCUCGGAGUGACCAUGUGGGUCAUACAGGCCCCUCAAAGUACUUCCAUUCAUGAGGCUGUAUCGGAGAGAGAGAGCUCUCGUGAAGGAAGAUUCUAAGUGAUCUGACAUUCUAAACUUUAUAUUCAAACUUUGUAAGAUCAUCAUUUCUCCUUUUUUAUUUAACAAAAAAAUUAACUUCUUGCAUGAUCUAAUUGGUCUCGUUUCCUCUCAACAACGUUUUCUUUAAAACACACUUUUAAAGCCAAUCUCUACAUCUCUCGGAAAACUUUUCCUCCCCAAACUCCUCAUCUCUUCCUCACCAAAUCUUUGGAGGCAAAAAUCUUUCUUGCCUUCUCCAGUGGAUUCUUGGUUUUUUUUUUUUGGUUGCACCCACCUCUUCCUUAUGAUUUGAGGAUGGGUGUCUUGUUCUGGCCUUCUUCACCCUAAGCUGGUUGUUCUAGUUCAAUUUUCUCCUCCUUUGGUUUUGAGGAUGGCUGCUAUGCGUCCAUUCAGAUCUUGAUCUGUGAUGGUAAUAAUGUACCUGUUAUGGUGAUAAUGUUGGUUUAAUUUCUAAUUUCCAGUACAUAACCCUUCAACUUUUAGAUCUCGAGUCUAUGUUUCUCAUGUUUGUAAAGUUAGAGGGUGUGAAUCAAUUUUAACGAUAAAUCUAUUUUGCUACUAGCUGGAAAGCAUAAAUAUGGUGGUGGAGAUUAUUUCGAAAGAGCCAUGGAAUCCCAAAUGGAGCUUGAAUUAUAUGUGCAGUACGAAUGGAAGUGUUUCUUCCUAUUCUUUAAUAAAAUUUUAGGGGUUAAUUCAAUUGAUUACUGUAAUAGAUCUCUGUAACUAAACAGAUCUCUGUAUUUUGAUCUUUAUAAUGUGAACUAGUGAUGUACUGCAAGUAGUUGUAUUGUUGUUAUUUUUUUAAUGAAAUAUUAAUACUUUCCUAUCAGAAAAAUCUUAAAAUUUUAGCUUUAAUUCAGACAAAAUAAAGGAAAAAGAAAAAACCAGCAAUGUACUUUAAAAGGGAGCAAAAAGGGAAUAACAAGAAGAGCUUGUUAAAGAAAGAAGCUGAGAGAGUCAGUGGGUUGGUGAAUGAUGAUAUUGUUGUUGUUGUUGUUGUUACUAUUAUUUAUGUCGUAAAAGCAUAUGCAGAGAGAGGCAGAGCAACCCAAUAAAAUCGCAUGGUUAAUAUUAGUUGGUUUUAUGUUGGAGUUGAUCCAACCUAGCCAAAGCCUUAUUUAAAUCCGAACAAAUGGUGGGACUUGGACUUAAGACUUGUUUCUACAAACAUUGAGUGUUUAGCUGCUGCAAAAUUUCAUAACUUAAUUUUAGUUGAUGUGGCAUGUGUCCUAUCACAUAAAUGUAGAUAAUAAUUAUUAAUACAUUAACAAAAUGAAAAUUAUUAGUUUACAAAUUACAAAUCUGAAUUUUUUGUUUGUGAGAGGGAAUUCAAAAGGGAGAGACUAAACAAAUGUGGUGACAAACGACAUGUAUUACCAAAACUGAAAAUACGAAAUCUAGGCAACUGAAAACAUCUCUAUCAAUUGCAAUGAACCGAUCAAAACCAUUUAUAAUUAACCAAAAUCAAACUAAAAAAAAAAUCAAAACUACUAUUUGUUUUGAUCAUCCCUGCUUCUUCUUCUUAGCAUAGCUCUUGGAAUAAAAAUUAACAAAACGUGCCAAAAGGGAAGCAUUAAACACAGCAUUAAACCCAAAAUCCCUGCGCAACCAAAUCCCGUAAAAUGAUAAUACAGACUGCUUCGUCUGUAGCAGUCUGUGUUAUCAUUGGUUAUUGAUAAUACAUUGGUUAUUGAUAUUUUGAGGUUUUAAUCUUAAAUAAUAAUAACAAAAGAAUAAAAUUUUAUCAAGAUUUAACGAAAUAAGUUGUAGCUUAAUAAUUGGUAAAUUAGGAAUGUCAACCAAAUAUCGUCAAAAUAAAUAAUAAAUUGUCGAGUUGAGAAAAUUUAUUUGAAUAAUUUUUAUUUUUUUUUUGUCUAUCAUUGUAAAUUUAAAUAGGGACAAACUUGUGGGGUGCCAAUAUUACCACUCUUAAUACUAUACAUAACAUUCUAAAAAAGAAAUUAGAGCGGUGAUAACCCUUUUUUUUCAAUUAACUACAUCCUUUUUUUCUGAAAUAUCCUUUUUUUUGCAUUGGUCACAAACAAAGACUGCUUCGUCUGCAGCCAAAGGUAGCACAUUACGACGACGGUUGCAUGGUGGUAGACGUGGAGGAACCUGAGGCGCUGGAUGGAGUUUGACAAAACGAUCAAAAGGGUGUCUAGGAAUUCCAGUAUUUCGAAAAAGGUAGAAGAUGUAAGCGUAGAAGAAGAGGGGGCCGGAGGGAGAAAUGGUGGGGGGGAAACAGAGGGUGUAACGGAGGUGGGGUCAGGGACGGAGCCAGCAUGGGACGAGGUUGGGCACAGGCCCCAGCUGGCUUUUAAUUUUUUUUUAUAAUUAUAGUAAAAAAUUGUAUUUUAUUGUUAUUUAUGAAAAAUGCCCCAGCUGAAUUGUAAAAUUUGAAAUUGACUCCAAUAAUUUUAAAAUAUUUCAUAUUGUCCCUAGUUUAAAUUUCUAAUUAUAAAUAAUUUAAUUAGUUAUUAAAAUUUCAUGAAACUUGAUUAAAGAUACGAGAACAAAUAUUAAAAUAAAAAACAAUCAUAAGAAAAUGUUAGUAUAAUGAUUAAUGGACCAAUCUUUAAUCUUGUUAGUAUAAUGAUUAAUGGACCAAUCUUUAAUCUUUUUUAUUUUUUAUUCAAGUAAAAUCAAUUAUUUAAUCUUUCAACACUGAACCAUAAGUUGUCAAUCUACCUAAUUCUAAUUUUUAAUUUUCUAAUUAAUCUUUUGUCUAGUUUUAAAAUUUAUAAUUUUAUCAUGCAUUUCAUAUUUGUUCUGUGUUGCAAUAUAUGAAUAUUUUUGUUAUUAUUAAAAGAUUUUAAGAGCAAAACAAGUAAUAACCUAGUCUUGUAUAUUGAAAAAUAUUUUUUUGCUUAUAUUGAUAAUGCAUUAUUUUCAACUCAUAAAAUUUUAUUGAGGAGUUUUCACGGAGAACCAUUGUAAUAAGUAAAUUUAUUAUCAAUGAAUAUUAUAGUUGUAAUGUUAUGUAUUGCUAUCUAAAUUUUUAGAAAUGUAUUAUACUUUAAAUAUAGUUUCAAUUAGAUUCAUACAGAUGCACUUUAUAAGGAGCACAAUUGUACAUGUAGCAAGCUCCCAUUUGGAGUUUAUGGGGUCCAUAAUACAGUUUCCUAAAUAAAGACUUAUCGCAUGAGCAAUCCCACAUUCGAGUCAUGUUUAAUUUUAAAUGUGCCCUGGCUCGAUCAAAAUCCUAGCUACGUCCGUGGGUGGGGUGAGUGGAGGAUGAUGGAGAGGGUGCAACCAACAGCCAUGAUGAGGGAGAGGAGGAGGAGGGUGAGGUUAUGGACGGCUGUGAUGGGCUUGAGGACGUGGGGUCCAAUGAGAGGUGAUGAUGAUGGUGAUGUUGACGUUAAUGUGUGGUAGAGGAUGGAUGUGAGGGAGAGGUAAGUGAGGAUGGAGAGAAUGAGGAAGUUUAGGGAGGAAGCUGGGGUUUGGUUUUCAGUCCAUGUGAAGUUGAGGAUUUGUGGGUGGUUUACAAGCCAAUGUUGGAGAGUUGAGGUGAUUGAAUUUGAAGCCAUGGCUGGUGUGUUUUUUUUUUUUUUUUUUGGUGGGGGGGGGGGGGGGGGGGGGAGAUUUGGAAGAGAUGAUGUUGAGAGGAGCGGGGGAGUUUAGAAAGUUAGGGAUAAUAUGAGGGUAUUUUGGGCAUAUACUGAUGUCUUAGCUUAAAUUUUGAAAAAGAAAAUAAUAAUAAACUCUUUUUUCACAUGAAUUUAAUACUCCGAGUGUGUUUCCAAGAAUUGUUCUUCUUUUUCUAUUUUUGGAUUUUGAAUCAUAAUUUUUCAAUUUAUUAAUGGCUCUUCAAUUACAAAAUAUGGAAAGAGGGGAUGGGGUGUAGUGCCUAGGCAUCUGUGACAACGGCACUUCUGGACGUGGGUUUCAUUAUUAUUAUUAUUAUUAUUAUUAUUUGGCUAUUUCUGCUCAAUCAAACUUGUGGAUUGCAUGCACUCAACGUGGAAUGGACGCAAUGGAUUUGCUGGGAUCACCCAAGCCGAAGAAGCAUGAACCUGGGACCAAUUUGUUGACAAAAAUUUAGGCAUAAAAUAUACAAAUCAAAGUCGAGUAAGAUUUAAGUAUAAUUGGGGAAUGUCUUCUACGGUGAAGUACAUCGAGUAAGGACUUCUACAAUCGCGCUAGAAAGUACAACUAAAAUCCGGUAAGUGUUUCGUAGAGCAUAAUUUUUAGGGUCCAACGUUAAGAGUAUUUUGUAAACAUUUAUAAUUAUUACUUAAAUUGAUCUAAUCUCAUACUCCAUUAUAGAAAAAAAAACUAAAAUAUCUCUAAUAAUUUUAUCAAAAUUAUUAUUUAACAAUCAUAUUUACUCUAUAAUAUCAACGUUUAUAUUAUAAUUAGAGCUAAUACUAAACAAGGACUCGAAUACGAUCAAGUAAUUAAAAGUUUUAGCUUUUUGGUAUUGCAAGAUGAUUCAAACUUAAACUAGCGAUCAAAAGUCUAUCAAAGAAAUCACAAAGACGCUUUUUUUGACAAAUCCGCAUUAGAAUUUGCAAAAUUUAACAAAGAGAGUGAAUAAGAUUCCAAAGUAAAUCAACUUUAUUAAGAAUUUUACUGGAGAAAAAUUGGAAUAUACGAAGUUGUAUCACAUAUGAUAUUUAGACAUCAAGAAAAGAAUCCAUCUAUCAGUGAACUAUACUUGCCAGGAAACACAGUGAAUACCACCACCUCCCUACUAGUUCUUCCCCUUCAACAGAGUCGACAUUCCCUUGUUUGAUGCCAAGGAGCCCAAGCCCGGAGACAAUGGCAUUCUUUGAUAUCAACCGCUUUGGGGACUUUUGAGUUGAGCUAUUGACAUCCUGAGACAGCCUGUGCCUUCUUCAAAAGGUCAUCUGACUGAAGUAGCGGAUCCGCUUCCACUCCUAGCCAAGCAAGCUUUGAUCUUUCUCCUAAUUGGACAUUAAAAACCCUGCAUGGAAUCCAUUUGAGAAGUUGAACAAUAGACAAAGUCCAACAUAUGUAGGUAGUAAAGAAGAAUUUGGACGGCAAUUACUGAUUGUUUACGCACAGGGCUGAACAAAUGGGUAUAUUAAGGCACUUAAAAGUUAGAACAAUAUUCACCACUUGUAUUUCCUUAGAGAACUAUCUCAGAGUUCAGUUAAUUUAAAACCUUCGAGAUAUAAUUAUCAUCAUCAAUCUUUUGCAGCCACAUGCGGUACUUGGAAAACUGUUUAUGGCCCCUAAAGAACUGGAAAAUCAGAGAACAUUAAGAACAAGAGACUACUAAUUUUGAUCGCGACCAAGCGUACACACUAUGAAAAUCUAAAAUUGAAUUACUCCGAAUGAAUGUGCCUCUUAACAGGAAUUGCACAAGCUAAUCCUUGCAGCCUGCGUCAUGGAGCUUCUCGCAAUGAGUAAGUGAGCCUUGAACAGUUAGCUCAAACUAAAAUGAAAUUGCUGUGGACAUGUGAAUUAAAAAUAGAUGUAAAAGCAGUUUUCUCAAAGCAAGGACAAGAUAAGAGAUUAACUCUGCUUCUUAGUUACAUUAAAAAUAACAAACAAUGAAAAAACAGAGCUAGAGAAGAACUUACCUGUGCGUUGAGACCACGUGGGGAAUGUGAGAUAUCUUCUUAGAUUUGGUUUGAGAAACUCCAUCUUCUUCUGAAAGUUCUGACAGUUCCCUAAACCCAGGCCAAUACAAUUGCAACAGAAACUGCAUGCUUUAACCAGCAUCUGAUCAUCUCCUGUUAUUUCAAGACAAUAAAAACUUAAUUGCAACACUGCAUGCUUCAACCAUUAACCUUCUCAAUUUCAACACUUCUUUUGUCCCCCGCCCAAUGCCCUUAUUAGAGUGAGUGAGAAAUUAAGUACAUAUCAGUGAUUUGGGUUGUUAGUGAAUGUUUUUCUUUAAUAUUGUUAGUGAAUGUUAGUGAAAGGUGAUGAUGGUGGUGAUGUUGAUGUUGAUGUGUGGUAGAGGAUGAAUGUGAGGGAGAGGUAAGUGAGGAUGGAGAGAAUGAGGAAGUGAGGGGAGGAAGCUAGUGUUUGGUUCUGAGUCCAUGUGAAGUUGAGGAUUUGGGGGUGGUUUACAAGCCACUAUUGGAGUGUUGCGGUAAUUGAAUAUGAAGCCAUGGCUGGUUUUUUGGGGGAGAAAGAUUUGGAAGAGAUGAUGUUCAGAGGAACGGGGGAGUUAAAGUUUUGGGAUAAUGCGGAGGGUAUUUUGGACAUAUUGUUAUCUUAGCUUAAAUUUUAAGAAAAAGAUAAUCAAUAAUAGGCUUUUUUUUCAUGUCAAUUUAAAACUCCGAGUGUGAUUCCAAAAAUUGUUUUCGUUUUUCUAUUUUGGAUUUUAAAUCGUAAAUUUAGUAAAGGAAGUUAAAUCAAGUGAUCACUUAUUAUUAUUAUUAUUUUAAUGUAAAGCAAUUUUUUUUUUUUUUGUGAUUUAAGCAAAUAUUGAGUUGCGUACUUUGACAAUAUUAAUAUUUGAUUCGAAAUUUCAUCUAUUGAAACUACAAAAAUUAAUAUUUUCUAAUAAAUCAAAACUAAAAUUAAAAGAUGACUCAUUAUCUGCCGACUGUCAUUAAACGAAGCCAUCACUCACGCAAAAAAAAAAAAUGAUAUAUUUAUUUUAACGUAAUUUCAUACCAACAAAUCAUUCUUUUCUUUCGAACAAUGACCUCUUUAAUUAUCCAGGGCUUUGUGAUAACAGCAUCUUUGGACGUGAGUGUCAUUAGACUUUUGGGUCAAUCAGACUUGUGGAUUACAUGCACUCAACGUCGAUAAUAUAGAAAUGGGAGAAAAUUAUGUCAGUAAAAUCAAGUCAGUCAAAUAAAAAUUGUGUAUUUUUGAAAAAGUUGAAAAAACCAGGUUGACAGUGCAUAAUUUUCUAACUCAGUAGAAUUUCCUAAAGUUGGAGUAAAUAAGACUCCAAAGGAACAUGGCAAUUAUUAUUAUCUAAGAAAUAAUUCAUAGCUAAAACAAAAUUAAAUUUCCUAACUCACUAGAAUUUAACUGGAGAAGAAUUGGAAUAUACAACGUUGUAUCACAUAUAGUAUUUAGACAUCAAGAAAAGAAUCCCUGUAUCAGUGAACCAUACUUGCCAGAAAACACCAGGCGAAUACCACCACCUCCUACUAGUUCUUAGGUGUCUCAGAGUUUGAGGACGACUUCCAUGCUAUGUCUCUUCGACAGGCAGCAAAAUUGGGCAAUUGACUGCAUCAACUCCAAGAAAUUUAUGCAGUCACCUUCCUCCGGACUAUCUUGUUUGACGCCAAGGAGCCCAAGCCCAGAAACAAUGGCACUCUUUGGCAUCAACCACCUGGGGACUUUUGAGCUGAACCAUGACAUCCUGAGAUGGGCUGUUGUGUAAGCCUUCUUCAAAAGGUCAUCCGUUGAUCUUUCUCCUAAUUAGACCAUCAAAACCCUGCAUGGAAUCCAUUGGAGAAGUUGGACAAUAGACAAACUCCAACACACACAGACAGUAAAGAAGAAUUUAGACCGCAAUCACUGUGGCUGAACAAAUGGGCCUAUUAAAAGUGGGAACCAUAUUCACCACCCGCAUUUCCUUAGAGAACUAUAUCAGAAUUCUGUAAAUUUGAAACUAUUCUUACAUAUUUAACUGUAAAACAAGAGAAAUUGUACUUCCGUAGCAAAGUCUCACUAUUGGUAAGUAUCUGGACUUGGAAAGGAUGCUAGUUGAUUAAGUAAAGGAAAAUUGAAAUCAGACUUUGAGGUGAUAGAUCUAUAUCCACUUUUAUAGGAACCGCAUUAACAUCAUAUGAGACAAUUAAACAAAUAACCCAGUCAAAGUUCAACAAACAAAACAUUAAAACAAGAGUAAUUUGGUCUAUCAAUGUAUAUUUAGAGAUGUCGAUCAAUAGACAAAUACGUAAACGAGAGACGGAGAGACCUCAAAGCCGUGCUUAAGAACAGUGCUACUCCAAUAACAUCAAAAUGGUUGGUGACCGCUCUAUCAAAUCCACACAAUAGCUGAUAUCUCAUGUUUUCAUAUAGUCCAAUGAAAGCACCAUAACCAGGCGCUUUAGUACUUACAGAUGGGAUUGUCACAGGUUGUUAACAUAUAUGUUUCCAUAAUAUUGAUUUUGAUGAUAACAAACAAGAUUAAGAAUGAUUAAUCUUUUAAGCUCAAAUUAUUGAAAAAUAUAUUUUAAAUAAAUCAUUAUUUUUACAUUAUAAAUGUUUUAUAUUUAAUGGAAAAAUGAUUUUAUGAAAUUGAUUAUUUUUAUUCUUUUUAAAUAAAUCAUUAUUUUCACAUUAUAAAUGUUUCAUAUUAAUGGAAAAAUGAUUUUAUAAAAUUGGUUGUUUUUCAAAGUUUAUGGUUUAAUUAAAAGAAUUUUAAAAACUUUGAAAUAAAGAAGUAUUGCUUGAAAUUUUGGUAAAAGACUUAUUUGAAAAGUGUCAUUGUAUUGUGGGCUAUAUCAUAAUUUCAUAAAGUUUUGGAAAUAGUAAGUAUUAUUUAGAAAUUCUGAAAUUAGAUUUAUUUGCAAAGUUUUAUAACGUUUUGGGCCAUAGUACAGUUAUAUAAAAUUUGAGGGUCAAACUGUUAUUUUACAAAAUAGUUCACUGUAGCAGUCACUGUAGAAAACGGCGAUCCGACAUUUGGUUAACGGCUCGCCGACUUCGAACAUAAUUGAAGAUUAGUCUCUGGACACUAACGGUGAUCCGACAUCAGUUAACGGCGAUCCGACAAUUUGAAAAAUCAGCCCAACGGUCAUAUUGACCAGUCAAACAGCGAUCCGACAUCUAGCUAACGGCGAUCCGACAGUGUGCAGAAAGUCAAUAACGGCUAGUUUUCAGCUCCAACUAGAAAUAAGCUCAAUCCAAUUCAAACAAGAAGAAUUCCAACGAUCAUCAUUGAGCAAAAUAUUGAGAAUACAACUUUCAUUGAGCUUUAAAUCUUUGUAUUCAUCUCAUUCAUUCACACAUUGAGCUUUCACUUGUGAUCAAACACAUUGUGUGAGAGAGAUUCAUUUGUAAUCCUUUUUGUAAAAUCAAGUUAAAAGAUUGUAAGUGUUGGGAUACACUUGGGAUAAGAGAUUGGGGAUAAUCUCUUGUUGUAAAGGUCCAUUGACACCUUGGAAGUCAAUUGUAAGCGUUUGAAGCCUUGGGAGGCUAGCUUAGUGAAAUCCUCAAGCCCGGUGUGCUUGGAGGCGUGGACGUAGGCGGGGAUUGCCGAACCACGUAAAAAUCCUUGAGUUUGCUUUCUCUUCCCUUACUCAUUUAUUAUUGUGCUUUUAUUGAAUUUAUUGUUUUCGAAUUUGUUAAGGCAUUAGAUUGGAUUUGUGUGUGGUUUGCCUAGGAUAAUUUUUAAAAUCCCAAUUCACCCCCCCUCUUGGGUUGCCUAGUUAGUAUUUCACAGGUAACCUGUCAGACAUCAAAUAUGGCCCAAAUUUACAAAUGGGAUUGUCGCGUUAGUGCUUAGACAGUAAACAUUUGCUCUAGUAGCCUGAUUAAACAAGAAAUCGAGACAAGUGUUCAAAAUUUUAAUCUUUAUAUAUAGCCAAAAUGAUAAUGUAGUUGAUAAUACUGACCUGAGUUAAUAAAUACGGGGCUGGUAACAAUCACAGCAUCUCAUCAUGUGGGGAAAGCCUUCACAACAGAAGACGCUGCUUGCUUUGAAGCAAUAAUAACUUUCCAAUUCCAUAAGGUAGCUUAAUGACCUUUUAGGAUAUCAGCACCAGCCUAACAAUUAUUCAUGGAAAUUCGAUUUGCAUUUAUCACCUUUAAUUUGCUCAUCUUUGCCUAGAGUAUUGUUUUUGCGUAAACUUAACAAGCUUGUAAGCCACCUACAAAUGGUUUUAAAUAUGUGCGAGAGUGUGAAUUCGAACGAAUUAAUCAAAUAUGAUGACAGAAGAAACAAAAGCAAAACAACCACAAGACGUAGAAAUAUAUUUUUGUUAUAUUUAGAGCAUCUUCUACGGUCUUCUUUUCCUUUAGCUCUGUUUCUGUGUGUGUUCAAACGCAAUGCCUCAAGGCUCAAGAUGUUAGGAAAUUAGUGGGUGAAGCAGGACCGCAGCUAAAGUAAAAUUGGAAGAAAAAUAAAGAACAAGCACAAUAGAGGACACUAGAAAUUACUUGGUUCGGCGUUUAGCCUACGUCCACGGGUGAAAACAAAAGGAAAAUAUUAUACUAGUGAAAAAGAGUUACAAGUACUGUAGUAUUUUAGCUCACUACCUAAAACCCCAAUACACCCAAACUCUCAAAUUACUAGACUCUUAAAAUCACUCUCUAAAUAAAGAAAAGAACUGAAGAACUCGAUGAUUUACAAAUGAAGGGAGCCAGCAUUUUUAUAGCCAAAAUUGGUUACUGUUUAUUUAAUAUUUUAUUAUUAUUAUUAUUAUAUUAAUUUUUCUUUUCUUUUCCUUCUUCGGCCUGACAUCUCUUUUUCUUCCCUCUUUCUUCUUUUUCCUUUUUUUCUUUGGUUUCUUUCUUUGGGCGGCACCUCUUUUUUUUUUUUCUUCUUCAAACUGCUUCUUUUUCCAUUUUCCUUUUCAAGCAUUUUGGCUGGCCCAUUUUCAACAUUUCUAGAAGAGUGGUGCCCCAUAUUCAACAUUUCUCUCACUUAGAGAUUUGAUUGAGAAUCAAUCAAUCUCCACACCAUCCUUUCUGUUUCGCCAUAGUCAUGUUACCUACGUUUCUGCUAGGCCACAAGACGAUCUACUCCAGACAAACUUGUCAGUAUUGAUUGGCUUGAUCAUAACAUCUGCUAGGUUCUCUUUCGUAUGGAUUUUCUAUAAAUCUACACUUCUGUCUUCCACUACUUCUCGAACGAAGUGAUACUUAACUCCUAUGUGCUUUGUCCUGGAAUGAAAGGCUGGAUUCCUUGCAAUGUGCAAGGCACUCUGACUGUCACAAAACACAUGAAUUUUCUGUUGUUUCUGCCUGACCUCCUCCAAUAAUCUUUGUAUCCAAAUAGCUUCCUUGCAAGCUUGUAUAGCUGCCAUGUACUCUGCUUCUAUUGUAGAUAAAGCCACAACGGUCUGCAGUUUUGAAACCCAGCUUACAGCUGCUCCUGCAAGUGCAAACACAUAAUCAGUAGUGGAUUUCCUUUUAUCAAGGUCUCUUACAAAAUCUGAAUCCACAUAGCCCCUGACAGUAAACUCUGAUCUUCCAUAACAUAAUGUAACAUCUGAGGUUCCUCUGAUGUAUCUCAAAAUCCUCUUCGCAGUUAUCCAAUGCUUUCCACCAGGAUUCGUCAUGUAUCGACUAAUUGCUCCCACUGCUUGUGCAAUGUCUGGUCUUGUACAUAUCAUAGCGAACAUCAAACUUCCCACUGCUGAUGCAUACGGUACUCAAGACAUCUCCUUCCUCUCUGCUUCAUUGCUAGGACACAUACUUGAGGAUAAUUUGAAAUUAACAGGAAGUGGGGUAGAAAUUGACUUACAAUCUUGCAUGUUGAAGCGCCGCAAGAUUUUCUUCAAGUAAUUCUUCUGUGAAAUUCAAAUCUUCAUGUUAUUUCUGUCUCGGUGAAUUUGCAUCCCUAGAAUCUUGUUUGUUGGUCCCAAGUCCUUCAUUUCAAACUCCUUAGCCAAUUAUGCCUUCAAUUCUUAGAUUCGAUCUUUAUUGGGGCCUGCUACCAACAUGUCAUCCACAUACAAUAGCAAAAUAAUGAAAUCAUUAUCUUCAAACCUUUUGUAAUAUGCACAAUGGUCUGAACUGAGUUUGUUGUAUCCAAGGCUCAUGAUGAAGGAAUCAAAUCUCUUAUACCAACACCUCGGCGCCUGUUUGAGACCGUAUAGAGAUUUGUUCAACCUGCAAACCAAGUUCUCGUUUCCUGUUUCUGCAAAACCUUCUGGUUGUAGCAUAUAUAUUUCUUCUUCAAGUUCUCUAUGAAGAAAUGCAGUUUUCACAUCUAACUGCUCUAGAUGUAAGUCAAAUGUAGCACACAUCGCCAAGACUACUCUGACUGUCGUGAGUCGAACCACCGGCGAAAAUAUCUCGUUAAAGUCAAUACCUUCUUUCUGAGCAUAUCCUUUCACCACCAAUCUCACACGAUACCACUCCGCUUGGUCAUUGCCAUCACGUUUGAUCUUGUAGACCCAUUUGUUUCCAAUGGCUUUUCUUCCAUGUGGUAGUGGUACAAGUUCUCAUGUUUUAUUCUUGUGUAGAGCUUCAAUUUCUUCCUGCAUUACUAUCAUCCACAAAGUAACAUCUGAGCUUUCUAAAGUUUCAUGAAAAGUUGAAGGCUCUCCAUCCUCUGUUAGAAGACAGUACGCAACAUUAAUCUCUGUGACAUACUCUGAGUGCCACGCCGGUAGUCGUCUCUCACGAGUUAACCUACGAACUUCUAGAGCCUCGGACUCGACCGGUUCUUGUUAUUCGUGCUCUGGUGCUGUUUCAGAAGAAUCUGAAUCUUCUGGAUUAUUUUCCACAUAUACUGGCACAAUCUCUGACUUUUCUUUUGCAGUGCCAUCAUCCUUAUCUCUCCUUUGCAAUUGAUCUUCUAUAAAGAUAACAUCUCUGCUGAUGAUGAUCUUGUGGGUAGUGGGGUCCUACAGAUGAUACCCCUUUACUCCAUCAGCAUACCUCAAGAAGAUACAUCUUCUAGAUUUUGCAUCCAACUUUGUUCUUUCUUGGGCAUUGUACAUCACGUACACAUGACAUCCAAAUGCAUGUAGGUAGGAAUAAUCAGCUGACUUUCCAGUCCACAUCUCCAUCGCUGUCUUCAGCCCAAUUGUUGUAGAUGGCGACAGAUUUACUAUAUAACAAGCAGUUUUGGUUGCUUCUGCCCAGAAUGAAUUGGGUAGACCAGCAGUCCUCAACAUAGCUCUUAUUCUAUCUGUAAGAGUUCUGUUCAUCCGCCCUGCCACUCCAUUUUGUUGAGGAGUGUAUGCCACUGUGAACUACCUCUGAAUACCUUCUUGCUUACAGAAAGUAAGAAACUCGCCGUCUGUAUACUCUCCACCAUUAUCUGUCUUGAAGCACUUGAUCUUUUUACCAAAUUCAAGUUCCACCCGCGCUUUAUAUUCUUUAAAUACUAGAAAUACAUCUGACUUUUUCUUAAUUGGAUACACCCAACAUCUUCUGGAAUAAUCAUCAAUGAAAGUCACCAUCCCCUGGAUAUAUCCGGUGAUUCCCAAACAUCAGAAUGAAUCAAGUCUAAAAUGCAUUUACUUCUAACAACGGAUCUACUGAAUUUUAAUCUAUGUUGCUAACUGUUGUGCAAAUUUUAAUGUACUCGCAAGCGCACGAAUCUAUUGUAGUAUAGACUAAUGGUGACGAGUGUCGAUCCCACGAGGAGGUGGAUUUCAAUUGUAUAUAGAAUUAAUUUUGUAAAUGGGUGGUUGGAUUUGUGGUGGAAAUGAUUUGGAAUAUGCUAAAACUUAAAUUAAAAUGGCGAGAAUAAAUUCUGAAAUUGAAAUUGAAAUGACGAGAAUAAAUUGAAGCGAAGAUCUAUUGAAAUGACGUACUUGGGUAUCUGGAUCCGUAUCAACAUGCAUCAUGGGCUAAAUAAUCCGUAUUAAUGCCAAUUAAAUCAUGAGGGGGGAAUCCACACCUCAUGAACCACGCUCUAAUCAAUAUGGUGCUAAGGGCUUAUCGUGCCAAAUAAUAAUAACCUUUGUACUAGAGGGCCGGUGAAACCAAGGCGGUACUAGACAAGAUUAGUAUUAUUUGUCGACGAGAAGUCAAAACAUCCACAAAAAUUAGAGGGGAAGAGAAAGUAAAUUUACCAAAUAAAGCCCAUGACACAUGUUGAGACUUCACCUUCAACCCAAGCUUGAAAGAAAAUUAGCCACUCAUAAUUGAACUAGGGGCAAAAUGAAAAUUUAUUAAAAUACGAAGAAAAUACAAGAUGGAGAGAGAAUUACAGAAAAUGGAUCCCAAAAAUGGAUUCAGAGAUAUCAAAUUAGGGGGGGAAGGCCCCCUUUUUAUAGAUACAUGGAGUAAAUCAUGGCCAUCGGAUUAAAAACAGUUUGGACGCUCAGGAUUGCGCCACGUCAUCAGUCAACAGUCCACGGUUUGACCACGCGGAUGAACAGUAACACGGUUUUGACCCGGAUGAACAGUAACGCGGUUUGGUUGAAAAUAAUCCUGUGUAAUGCAUGCACCGUACGCGAGAUUUUUCGUCCACUGAUAUGCUGCCACGUCACCAUCAACAGUACAUAAGAAUUUUAGUCCAACAGGAUCGUGACACCUCAUCAGUCAAUGCCACAUCAUCGGUCAAUGCCACGUCAUCGAUCCGUCUAUGUGAACAGUGUCGUGAAAAGUAACAUAUACAGUACCGUAUACGUGAAUAGUACCGUACAUGUGAAUAGUGCCAUUUUUCCUUUUAUGCUCCUCCUAAGGUUUUCGACCGUCCUGAGUUCAAAAGUGAUGUCCGUUUUACCGUCUGAUCUCUCCUUUAUUGUGAAAUGACUAUAAUGCCCCUAAAAUACAUAAAAUACUUAAUUAAAAUAAAACACAUGUAAUUAAAUCACAAGAAGGUUAAAUACAUAAAAGUAAGGGUUGUUAGUAAGACUUGAAAUGUAAAAUGACAGAUUUCUCCUUUAUAAAUAUGCAUUUUCUAACACUCAACACACCCCCCAACCAGCUUAUUGCUAGUCCCUAGCAAAUAAAGCGAAAAUAAAAUUCAAAUCCAAAAUGAUUUUUUUUUUUUUAAUAAAAACACUCAUAUUUAUUCAAUCAGAUUAAUGAUAGCACUCAAAUAAAAGUAUAAGCAUUAUCUCCAGUCUAAAGCAACAUCACACCCACAUCAACCAUUCACAUGAAUCAGCCUAGUAGACUUUGUUAUAGCUACUUUCAAGAAUGACAUGUCAAACCCCAAAAUCUCACUGGAAGUAGUGACACUCUCACAAAGAAAUUAAAACCCAAUAAAAAUAGUCACUCCAAUGAAUGGUAAUUGAGAGAGAAAAUAAUAAAGAAGUGAUAUCACAUGCUCUCACCAAGAUGAAAUAAAUAUGCCCUCAGCUUAGAAAUAAUACGAUCUCAAGUCAAAUAAAAUGUUAGUCAACCCACUUUAUUUAUCUUUUUUUUUUUCUUUUUUUUUUUAUUAUGCAUCAUUACAUCUUUUUAGCCCAUUUAACUAGCUUCUACUUCAAACUAUAGUUCCCUAAAAUCAAGAAGGACUUUUAUUAGGACGUAACGUAGGCUAGGAAUAUGGCUAACAAAGAAAGGAAAUAAGGAAAAUAAAGUGUAUGUUUGAGAAAAAUGCAGAAUUAUUUUUUUUUUUUGGAAGUUGCAAGGUGGAUUUCACCUAUUAUUGUUAUUUUUAUUCUUUUGAAACAACAACUUUUGUUUUUGUUUUUUUUUUCUUUUUGCUUUUAUUUGGCAUAACUUCACUGAACAACAUAAUUAUUUACAUUUUCUCAAACAUAAAUAGGUGAUGGAACUUAAAAGACAUUGGGUAAUACUCCAAAUCGGAGUGGGUCAAGAUGAUAAGUUGACAAAGAAAAGGUUUUUGUUCUUUUUUUUUUUUUUUUUUUUUAAAGGCUCAAAAGGGGUAACUAUGGAUAUUUAAUAAAAGGGAUGGCUAGAAAGGCUCAAACGGAUCAAAGAUGGCCUUUCCAUCGUCUUUUAGGGCUCUAAAUAAUCAUCCAUAUCUACUAGUUAGAUGGGCCUCCCAAUGUAGCAACACAUAAUUUUUUUUUUAUUUUACAAUUUUUUUUUUUAAGGGUUAACUCAAAAGAAAUCUAGAGAUCGUAUAUACAAUAAUAAACUGCUAAGCUGUAUAAAGAAUGGGCAAAAGGGUUACUCUCCAAGAAAAAUGAUAGGCUCAAAAGCUCACUUGGUACUUAUUAUGACAUGUUCAUUCCUUCAAGCAACUCAUAUUUGUCUCCGACAUCAACAUGUAAAGUAGCAAACAUAGUGUAACAUCACUUCAGACUAAAGAUAAUACAAAUACUAAAAUUUGAAAUUCAUCAUGUCAUCCAAUGUUAACACAAAUCACAAUUUUUUUUUUUAAAUUUGAAACAACAUUCUACCCCCCAACCUAUUCUAAACAUGAAAGGAAAAUAUGCAUGCAAAAAUGUGAAAAUGAUGUAGAAAAAUUAAUUAGAAAAAAAAAUUUUUUUUUUUUUUAACUAAGAAGAUGCGUUUCUAGAGGCACGACACUCCAUAUUCAGCCAUCUUCGACUCAAAAAUUGGAAAAUAUAUAUUUAUAAAGGAGAAAGAGGAAGAAAACAAUUUUUUUUUAAACGAUGAAGAUGCGUUUCUAGAGUAACUACACUCCAUAUUCAGCCAUCUUCAACACAAAACGUUAGCAACAGUUAGUUUCUACAACAAAAAAUCAGUAAAAACUUAACCAAGAUUCCACAAUUGUCGACUAUUCCCUCCCCCCAACCAGAACGAAACAUUGUCCUCAAUGUUUGAAAGGAACGAAGUAGAGUUUAGAAGACAUCACCUGGGUGGUGCAACACAGAAGAAAAUAUUUACAGGCGGAGAGUUAAAUCUAAUUUGUACUUCUUACUGCGGCUACUGUUACCAUCAUUAUUUGGUCGCUCCAACACAAAGGUCCAGGGGUCUGGCUCCGGUUUAUAAGCUUGUAACAUAUCAAGUAGCUCAUUAGCAGUGUGAGCACAAAUAAAGAGUUUUUUCACAUUAGAAGGAAUGAAAUAGUUUUUUAUUGCAUGGUUAAGAAAUGCGAUAAAGCCAUCAUAAAAGUUAUUGACAUUUAACAAACCGAUGGGUUUCUGGUGAAUGUACAGAUGGGCCCAAGAUGAUAGUGUGAUAAGUGCCUCUAGUGUUGCAAGAUCUCCUGGAAGGAAAAUAAAAGCAUCAGCGUGAUUAAGCAUUUCGGUUAUUCUUUCUUGCAUACCUGAGACGACUAACUCUUCUCCAGUUGAUGAGUUAGACGAACUGCCCAAUGGUUUUAGGACUCUUGGGAUGAUGCCUAAUGUUGAGUGUUAGAAAAUGCAUAUUUAUAAAGGAGAAAACCGUCAUUUUACAUUUCAAGUCUUACUAACAACCCUUACUUUUAUGUAUUUAACCUUCUUGUGAUGUAAUUACGUGUGUGUUAUUUUAAUUAAGUAUUUUAUGUAUUUUAGGGGCAUUAUAGUCAUUUCACAAUAAAGGAGAGAUCAGACGGCAAAACGGACAUCACUUUUGAACUCAGGACGGUCGAAAACCUUAGGAGGAGCAUAAAAGGAAAAAUGGCACUAUUCACAUGUACGGUACUAUUCACGUAUACGGUACUGUAUAUGUUACUGUUCACGGCACUGUUCACAUAGACGGAUCGAUGACGUGGCAUUGACCGAUGAUGUGGCAUUGACUGAUGAGGUGUCACGAUCCUGUUGGACUAAAAUUCUUAUGUACUGUUGAUGGUGACGUGGCAGCAUAUCAGUGGACGAAAAAUCUCGCGUACGGUGCAUGCAUCACACAGGAUUAUUUUCAAUCAAACCGUGUUACUGUUCAUCCGCGUGGUCAAACCGUGGACUGUUGACUGAUGACGUGGCGCAAUCCUGAGCGUCCAAACUGUUUUUAAUCCGAUGGCCAUGAUUUACUCCAUGUAUCUAUAAAAAGGGGGCCUCCCCCCCCUAAUUUGAUAUCUCUGAAUCCAUUUUUGGGAUCCAUUUUCUGUAAUUCCCUCUCCAUCUUGUAUUUUCUUUGUAUUUUAAUAAAUUCCCAUUUUGCCCCUAGUUCAAUUAUGAGUAGCUAAUUUCCUUUCAAGCUUGGGUUGAAGGUGAAGUCUCAACAUGUGUCAUGGGCUUUAUUUGGUAAAUUUAUUUUCUUUUCCCCUCUAGUUUUUGUGGAUGAUUUGACUUAUCGUCGACAAAUAAUACUGAUCUUGUCUAGAUACCGCCUUGGUUACACCGGCUCUCUAGUAUAAGGUUAUUAUUAUUUGGCACGAUAAGCCCUUAACACCAUAUUGAUUAGAGCGUGGUUCAUGAGGUGUGGAUUCCCCCCUCAUGAUUUAAUUGGCAUUAAUACGGAUUAUUUAGCCCAUGAUGCAUGUUGAUACGGAUCCAGAUACCCAAGUACGUCAUUUCAAUAGAAUUCUCUUCAAUUUAUUCUCGCCAUUUCAAUUCCAAUUUCAGAAUUUAUUCUCACCAUUUUAAUUUAAGUUUUAGCAUAUUCCAAAUCAUUUCCACCACAGAUCCAAUCAACCAUUUGCAAAAUUAAUUCUAUACACAAUUAAAAUCCACCUCCUCGUGGGAUCGACACUCGUCACCAUUGAUCUAUACUACAAUAGAUUCGUGCACUUGCGAGUACAUUAAAAUUUGCACAACAAGUUUUUGGCGCCGUUGCCGGGGAGGUAAGUAAUUUUAAUUCAUAGAAUUAAUUUUUGUGAAUAAUUCCAUUUAAUUGUUUUCUUGUAUUUUUUAUUAUUUAAAAAAAAAAGAAAAAAAAAGUAAAUCUAUAUUUAAAGGUUAGUAUUUCUUUUCUUUUUCUCUUCUUUAAAAUUCUGUAAUUUAAUUUUCAAUUUAUUUUUUCUUUGUAAGUUUUGUUUAUUUUAUUAAUUUAAUUUUUAGUUAAUUUAUUUCACGUAUUUAUUUUUGUGUAUUUUUAUAGAAAGGUUGUAACAGCGUAAUAAGGUUAGUAUCGUAAUUUCUCCCUCUUCUUUAUUUUUAUUUGUUUUGUUCUCAUCUUUAUUUUUUAUUUGUUUUGUUCCCAUCUUUAUUUUUUUUGUUUUGUUUGCAUCUUUAUUUUUAUUUUAUUUAUUUUGCAUGCAUGGUCGUAGGUCAUUAUUACCUAAUCUUGAACCUAUAGACCUUGAACUAGAAAAAACACUUCGCACACAAAAACACAUUAAAAAUAAAUUUGGAAUGGAUUUACAAGCACCACAGGAGAGGCCAUUUAAGGACUAUUUUAGUCCCUUAGCUAAUUUGAGCACAUCAUGCAUAAGAUACCCAAAUGUAGCUGCUAGGAGUUUUGAAUUAAAACCUAGUGUGCUAAAUUGUCUCCCCACAUUCUAUGGCCUAGAAAAUGAGGACCCAUAUAAUCAUCUGAAUGAUUUUCAUGCCAUUUGUCAAACUUUUAAAUAUGAAAAUUUUUCAGACGAUGAUGUUAAACUUAGAUUAUUCCCAUUUUCUUUAAAGGAUAGAGCUCGUUCAUGGUUAAAUACUUUGCCUGCUAAUAGCAUUGCAUCAUGGGAACAAAUGGUUACAAAAUUUCUAAAUAAAUAUUUCCCAGUGCAUAAAACCAAUUCUAUUCGCAGGGAAAUUUCAGAGUUUAAACAAAGAGAGGACGAGCAGUUUUUCGAAACUUGGGAGCGAUUCAAUGGGCUACUCUUGAAGUGUCCACAUCAUGGGUACGAGAAAUGGCACCAAUGCCAAUACUUUUUGGAAGGGUUAUUGCCAAAUGUGCAAGAAUGGCUAAUGGCAACAAGUGGAGGAGAGCUAAUGUCAAAAAGCGCAACAGAGAUUUGGGAAUUCUUCCAGCGACAAGCGGAUAAUUCCCAACAACGGAGUCGAUCACUCAGGAAUACUAGAAGAAUUAAAGGAGUGAAUGAGGUUCAAAUUGGCGAGUCAACUUCGGGAAUCAAAGAAGUCAAGGAGAUGGUUGAAGGUCUUGCUCGACAAAUAGCAUCGUUGUCGACUGCUAAAUCAACAGAGCCACAUGACCAUGACUCAUACUCAGAUCAAGCCAAUGCCAUAGGUGUAAUGAGAAAGCCAUCUAAUUACAACCCAUACUCCAACACAUAUAACCCUGGAUGGAGAGACCACCCCAAUUUUUCAUGGUCUCAAGGAUUUCAACAGAAUGGACCAGCAGCUCCAGCUCCACCAAUGCAACAAAUUUCUCAAAAUCCUCAAGCCUCUCAGCCACCAUUCAGACCAUACAAUCAGAACCAGAACUACUCUCAACCCAGACCAUGGGAGGAUGCAUUCCAGAAUUUCAAGAAUGUUACUCACUCCACGAUUGAGCAACAGAACCGCACCAUUGAUGGAUUACGAAAUGAGUUGAGAGCAGGCUUCAACUCACAAGCCCAAUCAGUUUCAAGCCUUGAGAAGAUGGUGGGACAACUUGCUUCUUCAGUUCAGACCUUGGCAAUGACUGUUGAGAAAGGCAAGUUUCCAAGUCAACCAGUGCCUAAUCCUAAAGGAGUACAUGAAGCAAGUACCAGUUCACCACAGCAGCAUGGAGAGGUCAAAGCAGUCAUGACCUUGCGAAAAGGAAAGGAAGUCGACAACAAAGUGGAGAUGCCGGUGACAAAAGAAAAUCAAAUUGUACCUGUGAAUGUUGAGGACUCACCACCGGAGGAAAAAGAAGAAACCAACCCACGAGAAUAUGUUCCUAAAGCUCCAUUUCCUCAGAGGUUAGCGAAAGGAAAGAAGGGAAAAUCCACAGGUGAGAUUCUCGAAAUCUUCAAACAUGUAAGUGUUAACAUCCCUUUACUUGAUGCUAUUAAACAAGUUCCAUCUUAUGCCAAGUUUCUUAAAGACCUUUGUACUAAAAAGAGAAAUAUGCAUGUUCAAAAGAAGGCCUUUUUAACAGAAAACGUUAGUUCUAUACUCCAAUAUAAAAUUCCUCUAAAAUGCAAAGACCCAGGCUCCCCCACUAUCUCAUGUAGUAUAGGGAACCACACAAUUGAGAAUGCUUUGUUGGAUUUAGGAGCUAGUGUAAAUCUGUUGCCUUAUUCAGUAUUCGUGAAACUUGGACUGGGAGAAUUACACCCAACUCCAGUGGUGUUACAGCUUGCAGAUCGGUCCACAAAAAUACCUCGUGGUAUUGUGGAGGACGUGCUUAUCCAGGUAGACAAGUUUUAUUUUCCUGUUGAUUUCAUUGUAAUUGACACUCAACCAAUACAGGAUUCAAGGAAGCACAUCCCCAUUAUCCUAGGCCGACCUUUCUUGGCAACUGCGGAUGCUCACAUUCAAUGCAGGACUGGAAAUAUGCAGUUGUCCUUCGGCAACAUGACUAUGGAGCUAAAUAUUUUCAACAUUGCCAAACAACCUCACAGUGCAGAUGAUGGAAUUGUUGAUGUGGAUUUAAUAGAAACAAUAGUCGAUAAUACUUUUAUUUCAAAUCUUAGUGAUGACCCUUUACAGACAUGCUUAACUCACUUUGGUUUGGAUUUUGAUAUUGACAGAUCAGUUGAUGAGGUCAACGCUCUACUUGACUCAGCACCAUCCAUGGACACUAAUAAAUGGAAGUCAAGAGUUGAACAACUAGCACCAUCAGAGAAGAAACUCAUCCCAUCAUCAGAAUCACCACCGAAACUCGAGCUCAAACCAUUGCCCAACACAUUGGAAUAUGCAUUUUUGGGAGAAGAAAGUACUCUACCGGUAAUCAUCUCAUCAUCCUUAAAUGACGAACAAAAAGGUAAGUUGUUGGAUGUUUUAAAAGAGCACAAAGGAGCAUUAGGAUGGACCAUAGCAGACAUUAAAGGUAUAAACCCAGUAGACUGCAUGCAUUACAUUCACCUUGAUGAAAAUGCUAAAACUACUAGGGAGAUGCAACGUCGGUUAAAUCCUAAUAUGAAAGAAGUUGUUAGAACAGAAGUCCUUAAGCUAUUAGACGCAGGUAUCAUUUACCCAAUUUCUGAUAGUUCAUGAGUCAGUCCUGUACAAGUUGUCCCCAAAAAGUCAGGAGUCACAGUAGUUACCAAUGCUGAUAAUGAAUUGAUACCAACUAGAGUAACUACAGGAUGGCGUGUAUGCAUUGAUUAUAGAAAGUUGAAUUCUGUCACACGUAAAGACCAUUUUCCUUUACCAUUUAUUGAUCAAAUGCUCGAUAGAUUAGCAGGCCAUGAAUUUUAUUGCUUUCUAGAUGGCUACUCAGGAUAUAAUCAGAUUCCCAUAGCACCAAAAGAUCAAGAGAAAACUACUUUCACUUGCCCUUUUGGCACUUUUGCAUAUAGGAGAAUGCCAUUUGGAUUAUGUAAUGCACCUGCUACAUUCCAACGAUGCAUGUUGAGCAUUUUUUCUGAUAUGGUUGAACGAUUCCUUGAAGUCUUUAUGGAUGAUUUUUCUGUCUUUGGUGACUCGUUUGAUCAAUGUUUACAUCAUCUAAUGCUAGUUCUGCAGAGAUGUAUCGAGAAGAACUUAAUCUUAAAUUGGGAGAAGUGCCAUUUUAUGGUAAAACAAGGUAUUGUUCUCGGUCACAUCAUUUCGAGCAAAGGUAUUGAGGUUGACAAAGCCAAGGUGGAUCUCAUUUCUAAUCUUCCUCCACCUAAAACAGUCAGAGAAGUAAGAUCUUUCCUUGGACAUGCUGGUUUUUUAUAGACGUUUCAUUAAAGAUUUUAGCAAAGUUUCUAGACCCUUAUGCAAUUUACUUGCUAAGGAUGUACCUUUUAUCUUUAAUGAUUCAUGUCUUAUGGCUUUUGAAAAAUUAAAGCAAUUGUUGACAUCAUCACCCAUCAUUCAGGCCCCAAACUGGAGCUUACCAUUUGAGCUUAUGUGUGAUGCAUCUGAUUAUGCAGUAGGAGCAGUUUUAGGACAAAGAGUUGAUCGAAUUCCUCAUGUUAUUUACUAUGCUAGUAUGACAUUGAAUGAUGCACAGUUGAACUAUUCAACUACUGAAAAAGAAAUGCUAGCAGUAGUGUUUGCAUUGGAAAAAUUUCGAUCUUAUCUCAUUGGUUGUAAAAUAAUUGUGUUCACAGAUCAUGCUGCUCUUAAAUAUCUUCUCACAAAGAAAGAUGCAAAAGCUAGACUAAUUCGUUGGGUGUUACUUUUGCAGGAAUUUGACUUGGAAUUCAAAGAUAAGAAAGGGACAGAAAAUGUUGUGGCGGACCAUCUCUCUCGUCUCCACUUUGACACAAUUACAGAACCAUUACCAUUGAAUGAGUCAUUUCCAGAUGAACAAUUAAUGAAUGUGGAAGUAUUACCUUGGUAUGCUGAUAUAGUUAAUUAUCUUGUUACAGGUAAACUUCCAGAGCAUUGGACCAAGCAAGACAAGGCUAAAUUCUUUGCGGAAAUAAAGAAUUUCUUUUGGGAUGACCCGUAUUUGUUCAAGUAUUGUGCAGAUCAAAUUGUUAGGCGAUGUGUCCCAGAAAGUGAAAUUCAGAAUAUCCUGUCAUUCUGCCAUGCACAAGCUUGUGGAGGCCACUUCAGUGCUAAGAAAACAGCGACUAAAGUUUUACAAUGUGGUUUCUAUUGGCCAACUAUAUUUCGAGAUGCUUACACUUUCUGUUCUUCAUGUGAUAGGUGUCAACGAAUGGGGAGUAUUACACGAAGGAACAUGAUGCCACUAAAUCCAAUUUUAGUGGUUGAGAUUUUUGACGUAUGGGGUAUCGACUUCAUGGGACCCUUUCCCCCUUCUUUUGGCCAUCAAUACAUAUUGGUUGGUGUUGACUACGUCUCGAAAUGGGUAGAAGCAAUUCCAUGUAGGACCAAUGAUCACAAAGUGGUGAUAGGAUUUUUGAAAAGCAACAUUGUUUCACGCUUUGGAUUCCCUCGAGCGAUAAUCAGUGAUGGUGGUGCCCACUUUUGUAACAAAACAUUCAAAGUUCUUUUGACAAAGUAUUCAAUCACACACAAAGUGGCGACCCCGUAUCAUCCGCAAACCAGUGGCCAAGUUGAGAUCUCCAAUCGAGAAAUCAAGCACAUAUUAGAAAAAAACGGUGAGGCCAGACAGAAAAGAUUGGUCAUUAAGACUUGAUGAUGCAUUAUGGGCAUAUAGAACGGCUUUCAAGACCCGAUUGGGAUGUCACCUACAGGCUAGUGUAUGGAAAAGCUUGCCACCUACCUGUGGAACCGAGCAUCGUGCAUAUUGGGCCAUCAAGAAAUUCAAUUUUGACAUGCAGCAAGCCAGCUCAGAAAGAAGAUUACAACUGGCAGAACUUGAAGAAAAUUCGCAAUGAUGCAUACGAAAAUGCCAAGAUUUACAAGCAACGAAUGAAAGUCUUUCAUGACAAGCACAUUAUGAGAAAAUCGUUCACUCCAGGUCAGAAAGUGCUUUUUAUUCAAAUUCUCGUUUGCACCUAUUCCAGGUAAGUUACGCUCCUCGAUGGUCUGUCCCUUUAUUGUUCAUACUAUUUUUCCACAUGGGGCAAUUGAAAUUAAAGACCCAAAGAACGGUGUCACGUUUAAAGUUAAUGGUCAAAGAUUAAAGCCAUAUCUAGAGUACCAACCACAUGGAGAAGACACCGAAAUAAAUUUGAGUGACCCACCAGAUUUGAAUUGAUUUUUUUCUUUUUGUUGAUUUGAUUUUUCUUUCUUUCUUUUUAUUAUUCUUUUGCUAAUUGAAAUUAUUUUUGCAUAAGUGUGUUUGUUUUACCAUUAAGUUUUCUUUUUUCUUAUCAUUGUUAAUCAUGAGUACCAUACUUAGACCGUUCCUCCUGAACAUUCUUAAACCACUUCAACGUGUCAAAACUCAUCUCAAAAAGCAGAUUCAAUUUUGUAAAACACAACGCAUUUGGGCUCUACAACCACCAGAGUUAGUAGCCUAUGUUGAGGGUUUAGAACGCCAACUCAGAGACAUUGAAGAAGUGUUUACGACAUCCAGUUGGAGCUUGAGGUAAAUUCAAUAAGAGGACGAUUUUAAUUUUCUUUGUGUGUUUUUAAUUUGUUUUUUCUGUUGUGUGCUUUAGUUUGUUACCCCGGUGAAAUGGCGGAUAACGGUACUCCGUGACAAUCAAGUCGGUUACUUCAGUUUCCCACAAUAACUGACAUUCUGAGGUGAAAGUAUGGACAGAAACGAGAUUCUAGCGAAGCUUCACAAGCGAUUCCCUUCACUUCCUCAGAAUGCCCUCCUUACAAUCUAUAAAGCCCGGUCUGAACGCAUGCGAUUGCUCAUGAAGAAUAACAUACCUGCUGACAUCCGUUGGUUAAUCGAGGCUAAAGUACGAUCGGCAGGUGAGUUACCUCCAAAAUUUAUUGCAUUCAUGCUUGGUUGUGGUAAAGGAAAUUAUGCAAAAGAAAACGACGAGCUCGAAGAAUUUCUGUUGCUUGUCAUAAGUGUGCCAGAAUGAGUUGCGAUAGAAACCCAUGUUCUUUAGGAAUGGUGUCUGAUAACAGGGAAGAUAAGAUUCAAUUCAUUAGGGAUGGCUUGAAUAAGGAGUCAUUGGAUGAUAUCCUUUUGUCUCUUGAAACGCAUCCCAGUGGAUAUGUGCAAGGAGCGAUUCUCCAGUUAUGGCCAUUAUUCCAGAAAGAGCAUACACGAUAUAGUCUCGGGAAUCUGACUAUAAACGACCCUGUUUGCCAGUUUAUAAGAAAACUGGAUGGGAAGCCCAUCCUCGACCCAUAGAGGCGUUUCAAGCCGUUUCUGGACGUAAAACCAGAGGAAGAUGUGAGCCACAGUCGCAACUACGUGUAAAUAUCCUUUUACUUUACUGUUAUUUAUUUCAUUUCACUAUUGUUUAUCGUUUGCAUUAUUGCCUUUAAUAAUUUUAUUACUGUUUGCUUUUUCCUUUUUACUGUUCCUUUUUGACUCGCGAGCCACGUGCUUUACGCGUUAUUUGACACUGACAUUCAAAAGAAGGCCUUUUUAACAGAAAACGUUAGUUCUAUACUCCAAUAUAAAAUUCCUCUAAAAUGCAAAGACCCAGGCUCCCCCACUAUCUCAUGUAGUAUAGGGAACCACACAAUUGAGAAUGCUUUGUUGGAUUUAGGAGCUAGUGUAAAUCUGUUGCUUUAUUCAGUAUUCGUGAAACUUGGACUGGGAGAAUUACACCCAACUCCAGUGGUGUUACAGCUUGCAGAUCGGUCCACAAAAAUACCUCGUGGUAUUGUGGAGGACGUGCUUAUCCAGGUAGACAAGUUUUAUUUUCCUGUUGAUUUCAUUGUAAUUGACACUCAACCAAUACAGGAUUCAAGGAAGCACAUCCCCAUUAUCCUAGGCCGACCUUUCUUGGCAACUGCGGAUGCUCACAUUCAAUGCAGGACUGGAAAUAUGCAGUUGUCCUUCGGCAACAUGACUAUGGAGCUAAAUAUUUUCAACAUUGCCAAACAACCUCACAGUGCAGAUGAUGGAAUUGUUUGAUGUGGAUUUAAUAGAAACAAUAGUCGAUAAUACUUUUAUUUCAAAUCUUUAGUGAUGACCUUUACAGACAUGCUUAACUCACUUUGGUUUGGAUUUUUGAUAUUGACAGAUCAGUUGAUGAGGUCAACGCUCUACUUGACUCAGCACCAUCCAUGGACACUAAUAAAUGGAAGUCAAGAGUUGAACAACUAGCACCAUCAGAGAAGAAACUCAUCCCAUCAUCAGAAUCACCACCGAAACUCGAGCUCAAACCAUUGCCCAACACAUUGGAAUAUGCAUUUUUGGGAGAAGAAAGUACUCUACCGGUAAUCAUCUCAUCAUCCUUAAAUGACGAACAAAAAGGUAAGUUGUUGGAUGUUUUAAAAGAGCACAAAGGAGCAUUAGGAUGGACCAUAGCAGACAUUAAAGGUAUAAACCCAGUAGACUGCAUGCAUUACAUUCACCUUGAUGAAAAUGCUAAAACUACUAGGGAGAUGCAACGUCGGGUUAAAUCCUAAUAUGAAAGAAGUUGUUAGAACAGAAGUCCUUAAGCUAUUAGACGCAGGUAUCAUUUACCCAAUUUUGAUAGUUCAUGGAGUCAGUCCUGUACAAGUUGUCCCCAAAAGGUCAGGAGUCACAGUAGUUACCAAUGCUGAUAAUGAAUUGAUACCAACUAGAGUAACUACAGGAUGGCGUGUAUGCAUUGAUUAUAGAAAGUUGAAUUCUGUCACACGUAAAGACCAUUUUCCUUUACCAUUUAUUGAUCAAUGCUCGAUAGAUUAGCAGGCCAUGAAUUUUAUUGCUUUCUAGAUGGCUACUCAGGAUAUAAUCAGAUUCCCAUAGCACCAAAAGAUCAAGAGAAAAUACUUUCACUUGCCCUUUUGGCACUUUUGCAUAUAGGAGAAUGCCAUUUGGAUUAUGUAAUGCACCUGCUACAUUCCAACGAUGCAUGUUGAGCAUUUUUUCUGAUAUGGUUGAACGAUUCCUUGAAGUCUUUAUGGAUGAUUUUUCUGUCUUUGGUGACUCGUUUGAUCAAUGUUUACAUCAUCUAAUGCUAGUUCUGCAGAGAUGUAUCGAGAAGAACUUAAUCUUAAAUUGGGAGAAGUGCCAUUUUAUGGUAAAACAAGGUAUUGUUCUCGGUCACAUCAUUUCGAGCAAAGGUAUUGAGGUUGACAAAGCCAAGGUGGAUCUCAUUUCUAAUCUUCCUCCACCUAAAACAGUCAGAGAAGUAAGAUCUUUCCUUGGACAUGCUGGUUUUUAUAGACGUUUCAUUAAAGAUUUUAGCAAAGUUUCUAGACCCUUAUGCAAUUUACUUGCUAAGGAUGUACCUUUUAUCUUUAAUGAUUCAUGUCUUAUGGCUUUUGAAAAAUUAAAGCAAUUGUUGACAUCAUCACCCAUCAUUCAGGCCCAAACUGGAGCUUACCAUUUGAGCUUAUGUGUGAUGCAUCUGAUUAUGCAGUAGGAGCAGUUUAGGACAAAGAGUUGAUCGAAUUCCUCAUGUUAUUUACUAUGCUAGUAUGACAUUGAAUGAUGCACAGUUGAACUAUUCAACUACUGAAAAAGAAAUGCUAGCAGUAGUGUUUGCAUUGGAAAAAUUUCGAUCUUAUCUCAUUGGUUGUAAAAUAAUUGUGUUCACAGAUCAUGCUGCUCUUAAAUAUCUUCUCACAAAGAAAGAUGCAAAAGCUAGACUAAUUCGUUGGGUGUUACUUUUGCAGGAAUUUGACUUGGAAUUCAAAGAUAAGAAAGGGACAGAAAAUGUUGUGGCGGACCAUCUCUCUCGUCUCCACUUUGACACAAUUACAGAACCAUUACCAUUGAAUGAGUCAUUUCCAGAUGAACAAUUAAUGAAUGUGGAAGUAUUACCUUGGUAUGCUGAUAUAGUUAAUUAUCUUGUUACAGGUAAACUUCCAGAGCAUUGGACCAAGCAAGACAAGGCUAAAUUCUUUGCGGAAAUAAAGAAUUUCUUUUGGGAUGACCCGUAUUUGUUCAAGUAUUGUGCAGAUCAAAUUGUUAGGCGAUGUGUCCCAGAAAGUGAAAUUCAGAAUAUCCUGUCAUUCUGCCAUGCACAAGCUUGUGGAGGCCACUUCAGUGCUAAGAAAACAGCGACUAAAGUUUUACAAUGUGGUUUCUAUUGGCCAACUAUAUUUCGAGAUGCUUACACUUUCUGUUCUUCAUGUGAUAGGUGUCAACGAAUGGGGAGUAUUACACGAAGGAACAUGAUGCCACUAAAUCCAAUUUUAGUGGUUGAGAUUUUUGACGUAUGGGGUAUCGACUUCAUGGGACCCUUUCCCCCUUCUUUUGGCCAUCAAUACAUAUUGGUUGGUGUUGACUACGUCUCGAAAUGGGUAGAAGCAAUUCCAUGUAGGACCAAUGAUCACAAAGUGGUGAUAGGAUUUUUGAAAAGCAACAUUGUUUCACGCUUUGGAUUCCCUCGAGCGAUAAUCAGUGAUGGUGGUGCCCACUUUUGUAACAAAACAUUCAAAGUUCUUUUGACAAAGUAUUCAAUCACACACAAAGUGGCGACCCCGUAUCAUCCGCAAACCAGUGGCCAAGUUGAGAUCUCCAAUCGAGAAAUCAAGCACAUAUUAGAAAAAACGGUGAGGCCAGACAGAAAAGAUUGGUCAUUAAGACUUGAUGAUGCAUUAUGGGCAUAUAGAACGGCUUUCAAGACCCCGAUUGGGAUGUCACCCUACAGGCUAGUGUAUGGAAAAGCUUGCCACCUACCUGUGGAACUCGAGCAUCGUGCAUAUUGGGCCAUCAAGAAAUUCAAUUUUGACAUGCAGCAAGCCAGCUCAGAAAGAAGAUUACAACUGGCAGAACUUGAAGAAAUUCGCAAUGAUGCAUACGAAAAUGCCAAGAUUUACAAGCAACGAAUGAAAGUCUUUCAUGACAAGCACAUUAUGAGAAAAUCGUUCACUCCAGGUCAGAAAGUGCUUUUAUUCAAUUCUCGUUUGCACCUAUUCCCAGGUAAGUUACGCUCUCGAUGGUCUGGUCCCUUUAUUGUUCAUACUAUUUUUCCACAUGGGGCAAUUGAAAUUAAAGACCCAAAGAACGGUGUCACGUUUAAAGUUAAUGGUCAAAGAUUAAAGCCAUAUCUAGAGUACCAACCACAUGGAGAAGACACCGAAAUAAAUUUGAGUGACCCACCAGAUUUGAAUUGAUUUUUUUCUUUUUGUUGAUUUGAUUUUUCUUUCUUUCUUUUUAUUAUUCUUUUGCUAAUUGAAAUUAUUUUUGCAUAAGUGUGUUUGUUUUACCAUUAAGUUUUCUUUUUUCUUAUCAUUGUUAAUCAUGAGUACCAUACUUAGACCGUUCCUCCUGAACAUUCUUAAACCACUUCAACGUGUCAAAACUCAUCUCAAAAAGCAGAUUCAAUUUUGUAAAACACAACGCAUUUGGGCUCUACAACCACCAGAGUUAGUAGCCUAUGUUGAGGGUUUAGAACGCCAACUCAGAGACAUUGAGAGAAGUGUUUACGACAUCCAGUUGGAGCUUGAGGUAAAUUCAAUAAGAGGACGAUUUUAAUUUUCUUUGUGUGUUUUAAUUUGUUUUUCUGUUUGUGUGCUUUAGUUUGUUACCCCGGUGAAAUGGCGGAUAACGGUACUCCGUGACAAUCAAGUCGGUUACUUCAGUUUCCCACAAUAACUGACAUUCUGAGGUGAAAGUAUGGACAGAAACGAGAUUCUAGCGAAGCUUCACAAGCGAUUCCCUUCACUUCCUCAGAAUGCCCUCCUUACAAUCUAUAAAGCCCGGUCUGAACGCAUGCGAUUGCUCAUGAAGAAUAACAUACCUGCUGACAUCCGUUGGUUAAUCGAGGCUAAAGUACGAUCGGCAGGUGAGUUACCUCCAAAAUUUAUUGCAUUCAUGCUUGGUUGUGGUAAAGGAAAUUAUGCAAGAAAACGACGAGCUCGAAGAAUUUCUGUUGCUUGUCAUAAGUGUGCCAGAAUGAGUUGCGAUAGAAACCCAUGUUCUUUAGGAAUGGUGUCUGAUAACAGGGAAGAUAAGAUUCAAUUCAUUAGGGAUGGCUUGAAUAAGGAGUCAUUGGAUGAUAUCCUUUUGUCUCUUGAAACGCAUCCCAGUGGAUAUGUGCAAGGAGCGAUUCUCCAGUUAUGGCCAUUAUUCCAGAAAGAGCAUACACGAUAUAGUCUCGGGAAUCUGACUAUAAACGACCCUGUUUGCCAGUUUAUAAGAAAACUGGAUGGGAAGCCCAUCCUCGACCCAUAGAGGGCGUUCAAGCCGUUUCUGGACGUAAAACCAGAGGAAGAUGUGAGCCACAGUCGCAACUACGUGUAAAUAUCCUUUUACUUUACUGUUAUUUUAUUUCAUUUCACUAUUGUUUUAUCGUUUGCAUUAUUGCCUUUAAUAAUUUUAUUACUGUUUGCUUUUUCCUUUUUACUGUUUCCUUUUUGACUCGCGAGCCACGUGCUUUACGCGUUAUUUGACACUGACAUGUUACCUCAUUCACAGCUGUGAUCCACUGUCACCAAGAUUCUUAAAUGUGAUUUACUUUUUGUCAAGCACUCACAAAUUGUUUUUGAGAAAUAUUCCAAUGGCAGCUACUCCCAAUAGACAAUUCAAGAACAUUUGUGUGCUUUCUGGAUUUACCUAUGGCAAACAUAAAGAGUUCGUGGAGGCAGCCAUAGAUCUUGGUCGAAGCAUAGCAGCGAGAAAAUUACACUUGGUGUAUGGAGGAGGUAACCGAGGGUUAUCAAAAAUGGUUUCAGAAGCAGCUUUUAUCAGAGGAAGUCAAGUGUUAGGCAUCAUCCCAAGAGUCUUAAAACCAUUGGGCAGUUCGUCUGACUCAUCAACUGGAGAAGAGUUAGUCGUCUCAGGUAUGCAAGAAAGAAUAACUGAAAUGCUUAAUCAUGCUGAUGCUUUUAUUUUCCUUCCAGGAGAUCUUGCAACACUAGAGGCACUUAUGACACUAGCAUCUUGGGCCCAUCUACACAUUCACCAGAAACCCAUCGGUUUGUUAAAUGUCAAUAACUUUUAUGAUGGCUUUAUCGCAUUUCUUAACCAUGCAAUAAAAAACUAUUUCAUUCCUUCUAAUGUGAAAAAACUCUUUAUUUGUGCUCACACUGCUAAUGAGCUACUUGAUAUGUUACAAGCUUAUAAACCGGAGCCAGACCCCUGGACCUUUGUGUUGGAGCGACCAAAUAAUGAUGGUAACAGUAGCCGCAGUAAGAAGUACAAAUUAGAUUUAACUCUCCGCCUGUAAAUAUUUUCUUCUGUGUUGCACCACCCAGGUGAUGUCUUCUAAACUCUACUUAUUUCCUUUCAAACAUUGAGGACAAUGUUUCGUUCUGGUUGGGGGGAGGGAAUAGUCGACAAUUGUGGAAUCUUGGUUAAGUUUUUACUAAUUUUUUGUUGUAGAAACUAACUGUUGCUAACUUUUUGUGUUGAAGAUGGCUGAAUAUGGAGUGUAGUUACUCUAGAAACGCAUCUUCAUUGUUCGAAAAAAAAUAAAAAUUCUUUUUCUUUAUUAAGUUUUGAUGUUCAUUUUUCUUCUUCUUUUUAUUUUCUCCUCUAUAAAUAUACAUUUUCCAACUUUUGAGUCGAAGAUGGCUGAAUAUGGAGUGUAGUGCCUCUAGAAACGCAUCUUUAAAAAAAAAAAAAAAAAAAAAAACCAUUUUCUUUUCCUAUCAUUUUAAGUGUAACUUUUCUAAUUAGUUUUUCUACAUCAUUUUCGCAUUUCUGCAUGCAUAUUUUCCUUUCAUGCUUAGAAUAGGUUGGGGGUAGAAUGUUGUUAAAAAAAAAAAAAAAAAAAAAAAAAAUUUGUGUUAUUUGUUUUAACAUUGGAUGACAUGAUUAAUUUCAAAUUUUAGUAUUUGUAUUAUCUUUGGUCUUAAGUGAUGUUACGCUAUGUUUGCUACUUUACAUGUUGAUGUCGGAGACAAAUAUGAGUUGCUUGAAGGAAUGAACAUGUCAUAAAUAAGUGCCAAGUGAGUUGUUGAGCCUAUCAUUUUCUUGGAGAGUAACCCUUUUGCCCAUUCUCUAUACAGCUUAGCAGUUUAUUAUUUUAUACACGAUCUCUAGAUUUCUUUUGAGUUAACCCUUUAAAAAAAAAAUGGUAAAAUUAAAAAAAAAAGAAAAAAGAAAAAAAAUGUGUGUUACUACAUUGGGAGGCCCAUCUAACUAGUAGAUAUGGAUAAUUAUUUAGAGCCCUAAAAGACGAUGGAAAGGCCAUCUUUGAUCCGUUUGAGCCUUUCUAGCCAUCCCUGUUAUUAAAUAUCCAUAGUUACCCCUUUUGAGCCUUUAAAAAAAAAAAAAAAAAAAAAAAACCUUUUCUUUGUCAACUUAUCAUCUUGACCCACUCUGAUUUGGAGUAUUACCCAAUGUCUUUUAAGUUCCAUCACCUAUUUAUGUUUGAGAAAAUGUAAAUAAUUUUGUUGUUCAGUGAAGUUAUGCCAAAUAAAAGCAAAAAGAACAAAAAAAAACAAAAACAAAAUUUGUUGUUUCAAAAGAAUAAGAAUAACAAUAAUAGGUGAAAUCCACCUUGCAACUUCCAAAAAAAAAAAAAAAAAAAAAAAUUUGCAUUUUUCUCAAACAUACACUUUGUUUUCCUUAUUUCCUUUCUUUGUUAGCCAUAUCCCUAGCCUACGUUACGUCCUAAUAAAAGUCCUUCUUGAUUUUAGGGAACUAUAGUUUGAAGUAGAAGCUAGUUAUAUGGGCUAAAAAGAUGUAGUGAUGCAUAAUAAAAAAAAAAAAGAUAAAUAAAGUGGGUUGACUAACAUUUUAUUUGACUUGAGAUCGUAUUAUUUCUAAGCUGAGGGCAUAUUUAUUUCAUCUUGGUGAGAGCAUGUGAUAUCAUUUCUUUAUUAUUUUCUCUCUCAAUUACCAUUCAUUGGAGUGACUAUGUUUAUUGGGUUUUAAUUUCUUUGUGAGAGUGUCACUACUUCCAGUGAGAUUUUGGGGUUUGACAUGUCAUUCUUGAAAGUAGCUAUAACAAAGUCUACUGGGCUAAUUCAUGUGGAUGGUUGAUGUGGGUGUGAUGUUGCUUUAGACUGGAGAUAAUGCUUAUACUUUUAUUUGAUUGCUAUCAUUAAUCUGACGGAAUAAAUACGAGUGUUUCUAUUAAAAAAAAUAUAUAUAUAUUUUAAAUUUGAAUUUUGUUUUCGCUUUAUUUGCUAGGGACUAGCAAUAAGCUGGUUGGGGGGUGUGUUGAGUGUUAGAAAAUGCAUAUUUAUAAAGGAGAAAACCGUCAUUUUACAUUUCAAGUCUUACUAACAACCCUUACUUUUAUGUAUUUAACCUUCUUGUGAUGUAAUUACGUGUGUGUUAUUUUAAUUAAGUAUUUUAUGUAUUUUAGGGGCAUUAUAGUCAUUUCACAAUAAAGGAGAGAUCAGACGGCAAAACGGACAUCACUUUUGAACUCAGGACGGUCGAAAACCUUAGGAGGAGCAUAAAAGGAAAAAUGGCACUAUUCACAUGUACGGUACUAUUCACGUAUACGGUACUGUAUAUGUUACUGUUCACGGCACUGUUCACAUAGACGGAUCGAUGACGUGGCAUUGACCGAUGAUGUGGCAUUGACUGAUGAGGUGUCACGAUCCUGUUGGACUAAAAUUCUUAUGUACUGUUGAUGGUGACGUGGCAGCAUAUCAGUGGACGAAAAAUCUCGCGUACGGUGCAUGCAUCACACAGGAUUAUUUUCAAUCAAACCGUGUUACUGUUCAUCCGCGUGGUCAAACCGUGGACUGUUGACUGAUGACGUGGCGCAAUCCUGAGCGUCCAAACUGUUUUUAAUCCGAUGGCCAUGAUUUACUCCAUGUAUCUAUAAAAAGGGGGCCUCCCCCCCCUAAUUUGAUAUCUCUGAAUCCAUUUUUGGGAUCCAUUUUCUGUAAUUCCCUCUCCAUCUUGUAUUUUCUUUGUAUUUUAAUAAAUUCCCAUUUUGCCCCUAGUUCAAUUAUGAGUAGCUAAUUUCCUUUCAAGCUUGGGUUGAAGGUGAAGUCUCAACAUGUGUCAUGGGCUUUAUUUGGUAAAUUUAUUUUCUUUUCCCCUCUAGUUUUUGUGGAUGAUUUGACUUAUCGUCGACAAAUAAUACUGAUCUUGUCUAGAUACCGCCUUGGUUACACCGGCUCUCUAGUAUAAGGUUAUUAUUAUUUGGCACGAUAAGCCCUUAACACCAUAUUGAUUAGAGCGUGGUUCAUGAGGUGUGGAUUCCCCCCUCAUGAUUUAAUUGGCAUUAAUACGGAUUAUUUAGCCCAUGAUGCAUGUUGAUACGGAUCCAGAUACCCAAGUACGUCAUUUCAAUAGAAUUCUCUUCAAUUUAUUCUCGCCAUUUCAAUUCCAAUUUCAGAAUUUAUUCUCACCAUUUUAAUUUAAGUUUUAGCAUAUUCCAAAUCAUUUCCACCACAGAUCCAAUCAACCAUUUGCAAAAUUAAUUCUAUACACAAUUAAAAUCCACCUCCUCGUGGGAUCGACACUCGUCACCAUUGAUCUAUACUACAAUAGAUUCGUGCACUUGCGAGUACAUUAAAAUUUGCACAACACCUAACACUUGACUUCCUCUGAUAAAAGCUGCUUCUGAGACCAUUUUUGAUAACCCUCGGUUACCUCCUCCAUACACCAAGUGUAAUUUUCUCGCUGCUAUGCUUCGACCAAGAUCUAUGGCUGCCUCCACGAACUCUUUAUGUUUGCCAUAGGUAAAUCCAGAAAGCACACAAAUGUUCUUGAAUUGUCUAUUGGGAGUAGCUGCCAUUGUGAUACUUCUCAAAAACAAUUUGUGAGUGCUUGACAAAAGAUAAAUCACAUUUAAGAAUUUUGGUGACAGUGGAUCACAGCUGUGAAUGAGGUAACAUGUCAGUGUCAAAUAACGCGUAAAGCACGUGGCUCGCGAGUCAAAAAGGAAACAGUAAAAAGGAAAAAGCAAACAGUAAUAAAAUUAUUAAAGACAAUAAUGCAAACAAUAAAACAACAGUGAAAUGAAAUAAAAUAACUGUAAAAUAAAAGGAUAUUUACACGUAGUUGCGACUGUGGCUCACAUCUUCCUCUGGUUUUACGUCCAGAAACGGCUUGAACGCCCUCUAUGGGUCGAGGAUAGGCUUCCCAUCCAGUUUUCUUAUAAACUGACAAACAGGGUCGUUUAUAGUCAGAUUCCCGAGACUAUAUCGUGCAUGCUCUUUCUGGAAUAAUGGCCAUAACUGGAGAAUCGCUCCUUGCACAUAUCCACUGGGAUGCGUUUCAAGAGACAAAAGGAUAUCAUCCAAUGACUCCUUAUUCAAGCCAUCCCUAAUGAAUUGAAUCUUAUCUUCUCUGUUAUCAGACAUCAUUCCUAAAGAACAUGGGUUUCUAUCGCAACUCAUUCUGGCACACUUGUGACAAGCAACAGAAAUUCUUCGAGCUCGUCAUUUUCUUGCAUAAUUUCCUUUACCACAACCAGGCAUGUAUGCAAUAAAUUUAGGAGGUAACUCACCUGCUAAUCGUACUUUAGCCUCGAUUAACCAACGGAUGUCUGCAGGUAUGUUAUUCCUCAUGAGCAAUCGCAUGCGUUCAGACCGGGCUUUAUAGAUUGUAAGGAGGGCAUUCUGAGGAAGUGAAGGAAAUCGCUUGUGAAGCUUUGCUAAAAUCUCAUUUCUAUCCAUACCUUCUCCUCAGAAUAUCAGUUAUUAUGGGAAACUGAAGUUAACCGACUUGAUUGUCACGGAGUACCGUUAUCCGCCACUUUACCGGGGUAACAAACUAAAACACACCAAAAAGAAAAACAAAUUAAAACACACAAGGAAAAUUAAAAUCGUCCUCUUAUUGAAUUUACCUCAAGCUCCAACUGGAUGUCGUAAACACUUCUCUCAAUAUCUCGGAGUUGGCUUUCUAGAUUCUCAACAUAGGCUACUAACUCUGGUGGUUGUAAAGCCCAAAUGCGAUGUGUUUUACAAAAUUGAAUCUGCCUUUUGAGAUGAGUUUUGACACAUUGAAGUGGUUUAAGAAUGUUCAGGAGGAACGGUCUAAGUAUGAUACUCAUGAUUAAAAAUGAUAAGAGAAAACUUAAUAGUUAAACAAACAAACACACUUAUGCAAAAAUAAUUUCAUUUAGCAAAAGAAUAAUAGAAAGAAAGAAAGAAAAAUCAAAUCAGCGAAAAGAAAAAAAAAUCAAUUCAAUUCUGGUGGGUCACUCAAAUUUAUUUCGGUGUUUUCUCCAUGUGCUUGGUACUCUAAAUAUGGCUUUAAUCUUUGACCAUUGACUUUAAACGUGACACCGUUCUUUGGGUCCUUAAUUUCAAUUGCCCCAUGUGGAAAAACAGUAUGAACAAUAAAUGGACCAGACCAACGAGAGCGUAACUUACCUGGGAAUAGGUGCAAACGAGAAUUGAAUAAAAGCACUUUCUGACCUGGAGUGAACGAUUUUCUCAUAAUGUGCUUGUCAUGAAAGACUUUCAUUCAUUGCUUGUAGAUCUUGGCAUUUUCGUAUGCAUUAUUGCGAAUUUCUUCAAGUUCUACCAGUUGUAAUCUUCUUUCUGAGCUGGCAUGCUGCAUAUCAAAGUUGAACUUCUUGAUAGCCCAAUAUGCACGAUGCUCGAAUUCCACAGGUAGGUGGCAAGCUUUUCCAUACACUAGCCUGUAGGGUGACAUCCCAAUCGGGGUCUUGAAAGCCGUUCUAUAUGCCCAUAAUGCAUCAUCAAGUCUUAAUGACCAAUCUUUUCUGUCCGGCCUCACCGUCUUUUCUAAUAUGUGCUUUAUUUCUCGAUUGGAGAUUUCAACUUGGCCACUGGUUUGCGGAUGAUUAGGGGUGGCCACUUUGUGAGUGAUUGAAUACUUUGUCAAAAGUGCUUUAAAUGCUUUGUUACAAAAGUGGGCACCACCAUCACUGAUUAUUGCUCGAGGGAAUCCAAAGCUUGAGACAAUGUUGCUUUUCAAAAAUCCUAUCACCACUUUGUGAUCAUUGGUCCUACAUGGAAUUGCUUCUACCCAUUUCGAUACAUAGUCAACAGCAACCAAUAUGUAUUGAUGGCCAAAAGAAGGGGGAAAGGGUCCCAUGAAGUCGAUACCCCAUACGUCAAAAGUCUCAACCACUAAAAUUGGAUUUAGUGGCAUCAUGUUCCUUCGUGUAAUGCUCCCCAUUCGUUGACACCUAUCACAUGAAGAACAGAAAGUGUAAGCGUCUCGAAAUAUAGUUGACCAAUAAAAACCACAUUGUAAAACUUUAGUCGCUGUUUUCUUAGCACUGAAAUGGCCUCCACAAGCUUGUUCAUGACAAAAUGAAAGGAUAUUCUGAAUUUCACUUUCUGGGACACAUCGUCUAACAAUUUGGUCUGCACAAUACUUGAACAAAUACGGGUCAUCCCAAAAGAAAUUCUUUAUUUCUGCAAAGAAUUUAGCCUUGUCUUGCUUGGUCCAAUGCUCUGGAAAUUUACCUGUAACAAGAUAAUUAACUAUAUCAGCAUACCAAGGUAAUACUUCCACAUUCAUCAAUUGUUCAUCUGGGAAUGACUCAUUUAAUGGUAAUGGCUCUGUAAUUGUGUCAAAAUAGAGACGAGAGAGAUGGUCCGCCACGACAUUUUCUAUGCCUUUCUUAUCUUUGAAUUCCAAGUCAAAUUCCUGCAAAAGUAAUACCCAACGAAUUAGUCUAGCUUUUGCAUCUUUCUUUGUGAGAAGAUAUUUAAGAGCAGCAUGAUCUGUGAAUAUAAUUAUUUUACAACCAAUGAGAUAAGAUCGAAAUUUUUCCAAUGCAAACACUACUGCUAGCAUUUCUUUUUCAGUAGUUGAAUAGUUCAACUGUGCAUCAUUCAAUGUCAUACUAGCAUAGUAAAUAACAUGAGGAAUUCGAUCAACUCUUUGUCCUAAAACUGCUCCUACUGCAUAAUCAGAUGCAUCACACAUGAGCUCAAAUGGUAAGCUCCAGUUUGGGGGCUGAAUGAUGGGUGAUGAUGUCAACAAAUGCUUUAAUUUUUCAAAUGCAACAAGACAUGAAUCAUUAAAGACAAAAGGUACAUCCUUAGCAAGUAGAUUGCAUAAGGGUCUAGAAACUUUACUAAAAUCUUUAAUGAAACGUCUAUAAAAACCAGCAUGCCCAAGGAAAGAUCUUACUUCUCUGACUGUUUUGGGUGGAGGAAGAUUAGAAAUGAGAUCCACCUUGGCUUUGUCAACCUCAAUACCUUUGCUUGAAAUGAUGUGACCGAGAACAAUACCUUGUUUUACCAUAAAAUGACACUUCUCCCAAUUUAAGACUAAGCUCUUCUCGAUACAUCUCUGCAGAACUAAUGUUAGAUGAUGUAAACAUUGAUCAAACGAGUCACCAAAGACAGAAAAAUCAUCCAUAAAGACUUCAAGGAAUCGUUCAACCAUAUCAGAAAAAAUGCUCAACAUGCAUCGUUGGAAUGUAGCAGGUGCAUUACAUAAUCCAAAUGGCAUUCUCCUAUAUGCAAAAGUGCCAAAAGGGCAAGUGAAAGUAGUUUUCUCCUGAUCUUUUGGUGCUAUGGGAAUCUGAUUAUAUCCUGACUAGCCAUCUAGAAAGCAAUAAAAUUCAUGGCCUGCUAUCUAUCAAGCAUUUGAUCAAUAAAUGGUAAAGGAAAAUGGUCUUUACGUGUGACAGAAUUCAACUUUCUAUAAUCAAUGCAUACACGCCAUCCUGUAGUCACUCUAGUUGGUAUCAAUUCAUUAUCGGCAUUCGUAACUACUGUGACUCCUGACUUUUUGGGGACAACUUGUACAGGACUGACCCAUGAACUAUCAGAAAUUGGGUAAAUGAUACAUGCGUCUAAUAGCUUAAGGACUUCUGUUCUAACAACUUCUUUCAUAUUAGGAUUUAACCGACGUUGCAUUUCCCUAGUAGAUUUAGCAUUUUCAUCAAGGUGAAUGUAAUGCAUGCAAUCUACAGGGUCUAUACCUUUUAUGUCUGCUAUGGUCCAUCCUAAUGCCCCUUUGUGCUCUUUUAAAACAUCCAACAACUUACCUUUUUGUUCAUCAUUGAGGGAUGAUGAAAUGAUUACCGGCAAAGUACUUUCUUCCCCCAAAAAUGCAUAUUCCAAAGUGUUGGGUAAUGGUUUGAGCUCGAGUUUCGGUGGUGAUUCUGAUGAUGGGAUGAGUUUCUUCUCUGAUGGUGCUAGUUGUUCAACUCUUGACUUCCAUUUAUUAGUGUCCAUAGAUGGUGCUGAGUCAAGUAGGGCAUUGACCUCUUCGACCGAUCUGUCAAUAUCAAAAUCAAAACCAAAGUGAGUUAAGCAUGUCUGUAAAGGAUCAUCACUAAGGUUUGAAACAAAAGUGUCAUCAACUAAUGCUUCUAUUAAAUCCACAUCAACAAUUCCAUCAUCUGCAUUGUGAGGUUGUUUGGCAAUGUUGAAGAUGUUCAGCUCCAUAGUCAUGUUGCCGAAGGACAACUGCAUAUUUCCAGUCCUACAUUGAAUGUGAGCAUCCGCAGUUGCCAAGAAAGGUCGGCCUAAAAUAAUGGGGAUGUGCUUCCUUGAAUCCUGUAUAGGUUGAGUGUCAAUUACAAUGAAAUCAACAGGAAAAUAAAACUUGUCUACCUGGAUAAGCACGUCCUCCACAAUACCACGAGGUAUUUUCGUGGACCGAUCUGCAAGUUGUAACACCACUGGAGUUGGGUGUAAUUCUCCAAGUCCAAGUUUCACAAACACAGAGUAAGGCAACAAAUUUACACUAGCUCCUAAAUCCAACAAAGCAUUCUCAAUUGUGUGGUUCCCUAUACUACAUGAGAUAGUGGGGGAGCCUGGGUCUUUGCAUUUUAAAGGAAUUUUAUGUUGGAGUAUAGAACUAACGUUUUCUGUUAAAAAUGCCUUCUUUUGAACAUGCAUAUUUCUCUUUUUAGUACACAGGUCUUUAAGAAACUUAGCAUAAGAUGGAACUUGUUUAAUAGCAUCAAGCAAAGGGAUGUUAACACUUACCUGUUUGAAGAUUUCAAGAAUCUCACCUGUCGAUUUUCCCUUCUUUCCUUUAGCUAACCUCUGAGGAAAUGGAGCUUUCGGAACAUAUUCUCGUGGGUUGGUUUCUUUUUUCUCCUCUGGUGAUGAGUCCUCAACAUUCACAGGUACAAUUUGAUUUUCUUUGGUCACCGGCAUCUCCACUUUGUUGUCGACUUCUUUACCUUUUCGCAAGGUCAUGACUGCUUUGACCUCUCCAUGCUGCUGUGGUGAACUGGUACUUGCUUCAUGUACUCCUUUAGGAUUAGGCACUGGUUGACUUGGAAACUUGCCUUUCUCAACAGUCAUUGCCAAGGUCUAAACUGAAGAAGCGAGUUGUCCCACCAUCUUCUCCAGGCUUGAAACUGAUUGAGCUUGUGAGUUGAAGCCUGCUCUCAACUCAUUUCGUAGUCCAUCAAUGGUGCGGUUCUGUUGCUCAAUCGUAGAGUGAGUAACAUUCUUGAAAUUUUGGAAUGCAUCCUCCCAUGGUUUAGGUUGAGAGUAAUUCUGGUUUUGAUUGUAUUGUCUAAAUGGGGGCUGAGAGGCUUGAGGAAUUUGAGGAAUUUGUUGCAUUGGUGGAGCUGGAGCUGCUGGUCCAUUCUGUUGGAAUCCUUGAGACCAUGAAAAAUUGGGGUGGUCUCUCCAUCCAGGGUUAUAUGUGUUGGAGUACGGGUUGUAAUUUGAUGGUUUUCUCAUUACACCUAUAACAUUGGCUUGAUCUGAGUAUGAGUCAGGGUCAUGUGGUUCUGUUGAUUUAGCAGUCGAUAACGAUGCUAUUUGUCGAGCAAGACCCUCAACCAUCUCCUUGACUUCUUUGAUUCCCGAAGUUGACUCGCCAAUUUGAACCUCAUUUACUCCCUUAAUUCUUCUAGUAUUCCUGAGUGAUCGACUCCGUUGUUGGGAAUUAUCCGCUUGUCGCUGGAAGAAUUCCCAAAUCUCUGAUGCACUUUUUGACAUUAGCUCUCCUCCACUUGUUGCCAUUAGCCAUUCUUGCACAUUCGGCAAUAAUCCCUCCAAAAAGUAUUGGUAUUGGUGCCAUUUCUCGUACCCAUGAUGUGGACACUUCAAGAGUAGCCCAUUGAAUCGCUCCCAUGUUUCGAAAAACUGCUCGUCCUCUCUUUGGGUAAACUCUGAAAUUUCCCUGCGAAUAGAAUUAGUUUUAUGCACUGGGAAAUAUUUAUUUAGAAAUUUUGUAACCAUUUGUUCCCAUGAUGCAAUGCUAUUAGCAGGCAAAGUAUUUAACCAUGAACGAGCUCUAUCCUUUAAAGAAAAUGGGAAUAAUCUAAGUUUAACAUCAUCGUCUGAAAAAUUUUCAUAUUUAAAAGUUUGACAAAUGGCAUUAAAAUCAUUCAGAUGAUUAUAUGGGUCCUCAUUUUCUAGGCCAUAGAAUGUGGGGAGACAAUUUAGCACACUAGGUUUUAAUUCAAAACUUCUAGCAGCUACAUUUGGGUAUCUUAUGCAUGAUGUACUCAAAUUAGCUAAGGGACUAAAAUAGUCCUUAAAUGGCCUCUCCUGUGGUGCUUGUAAAUCCAUUCCAAAUUUAUUUUUAAUGUGCUUUUGUGUGCGAAGUGUUUUUUCUAAUUCAAGGUCUAUAGGUUCAAGAUUAGGUAAUAAUGACCUACGACCAUGCAUGCAAAACAAAUAAAAUAAAAAUAAAGAUGGGAACAAAACAAAUAAAAAUAAAGAAGAUGGAGAAAUUACGAUACUAACCUUAUUGCGCUAUUACAACCUUUCUAUAAAAAUACACAAAAAUAAAUACGUGAAAUAAAUUAACUAAAAAUUAAAUUAAUAAAAUAAACAAAAAUUACAAAGAAAAAAUAAAUAAAUUGAAAAUUAAAUUACAGAAUUUUAAAGAAGAGAAAAAGAAAAGAAAUACUAACCUUUAAAUGUAGAUUCACUUUUUUUUUUUAAUAAAAAAUACAAGAAAACAAAUAAAAGAAAUUAUUCACAAAAAUUAAUUCUAUGAAUUAAAAUUACUUACCUUCCCGGCAACGGCGCCAAAAACUUGUUGUGCAAAUUUUAAUGUACUCGCAAGCGCACGAAUCUAUUGUAGUAUAGACUAAUGGUGACGAGUGUCGAUCCCACGAGGAGAUGGAUUUUAAUUGUAUAUAGAAUUAAUUUUGUAAAUGGGUGGUUGGAUUUGUGGUGGAAAUGAUUUGGAAUAUGCUAAAACUUAAAUUAAAAUGGCGAGAAUAAAUUCUGAAAUUGAAAUUGAAAUGACGAGAAUAAAUUGAAGCGAAGAUCUAUUGAAAUGACGUACUUGGGUAUCUGGAUCCGUAUCAACAUGCAUCAUGGGCUAAAUAAUCCGUAUUAAUGCCAAUUAAAUCAUGAGGGGGGAAUCCACACCUCAUGAACCACGCUCUAAUCAAUAUGGUGCUAAGGGCUUAUCGUGCCAAAUAAUAAUAACCUUUGUACUAGAGGGCCGGUGAAACCAAGGCGGUACUAGACAAGAUUAGUAUUAUUUGUCGACGAGAAGUCAAAACAUCCACAAAAAUUAGAGGGGAAGAGAAAGUAAAUUUACCAAAUAAAGCCCAUGACACAUGUUGAGACUUCACCUUCAACCCAAGCUUGAAAGAAAAUUAGCCACUCAUAAUUGAACUAGGGGCAAAAUGGAAAUUUAUUAAAAUACGAAGAAAAUACAAGAUGGAGAGAGAAUUACAGAAAAUGGAUCCCAAAACUGGAUUCAGAGAUAUCAAAUUAGGGGGGGAAGGCCCCCUUUUUAUAGAUACAUGGAGUAAAUCAUGGCCAUCGGAUUAAAAACAGUUUGGACGCUCAGGAUUGCGCCACGUCAUCAGUCAACAGUCCACGGUUUGACCACGCGGAUGAACAGUAACACGGUUUGGUUGAAAAUAAUCCUGUGUGAUGCAUGCACCGUACGCGAGAUUUUUCGUCCACUGAUAUGCUGCCACGUCACCAUCAACAGUACAUAAGAAUUUUAGUCCAACAGGAUCGUGACACCUCAUCAGUCAAUGCCACAUCAUCGGUUAAUGCCACGUCAUCGAUCCGUCUAUGUGAACAGUGUCGUGAAAAGUAACAUAUACAGUACCGUAUACGUGAAUAGUACCGUACAUGUGAAUAGUGCUAUUUUUCCUUUUAUGCUCCUCCUAAGGUUUUCGACCGUCCUGAGUUCAAAAGUGAUGUCCGUUUUGCCGUAUGAUCUCUCCUUUUUUGUGAAAUGACUAUAAUGCCCCUAAAAUACAUAAAAUACUUAAUUAAAAUAAAACACAUGUAAUUAAAUCACAAGAAGGUUAAAUACAUAAAAGUAAGGGUUGUUAGUAAGACUUGAAAUGUAAAAUGACAGAUUUCUCCUUUAUAAAUAUGCAUUUUCUAACACUCAACACUAACUUGUAACACAAUACUCGCAAAAUGGUAAACUUACCAAUUUGAGCCCUGGAAGCAAUUUUCGCUCAGAGAGAAUCCUCAAACCUUGUUAUGACAUGUGGCGAAGUUUGAGAUGCCAUAUUAUCAUUGACUCUUCUCCAUUUGAUGCGACACACGCAUCAGCCUCCUGUAGUGUUUCUCCUUUAAACAUGAAUAGAUUAGCACCGAUCUUUUCUGCCUUCAUCAAUACAAGCACGCCUUUAACGAUCUUCAUAAUUCCAUUCUCCACAUGAGUUUUGUACCCAUGACUAUCCAUUUGUCCCAAAGACAAUAGAUUUUUCUUCAGGUCGUUGACAUGUCGUACCCCCCCCCCCCCAAUUGUGCGAAUUAUACCAUCAAACAUUUUUAUUUUGAUAGUACCAAUAUCAGCGAUCUCCAAGGCAUGAUCAUCUCCUAUAUAUACAAAUCCUCCUGAGAUAGGUUCAUAUGUGUGGAACCAUUCUCUCCGAGAGGUCAUGUGCCAGGUAGCUCCUGAGUUUAUAAGCCAGACAUCAGAUGUCGUUUUCUGCCUUUUGAAAUAGUUGUUGCCUCGCUGUAGAGAAUUUCACCAUCAUCUGAGGUACUUGCUACACACCCUUGAGCAUUUGAUGACUCAGGUUCUUUGCCAUCUCUUCUCUUCUGGUUACUCCAACACUCUUUCUUGAUGUGCCAUUUCUUGCCACAGUUAUAGCAUUUAACAUUCUUCUUACUUCUGGAUUUUGAUCUACCAUGAUUGUGAAUCCCACUAGGGCCACAUUCCGUUGAUCUCCCUCUUGUCACCGAUAGCGCCUUCGCUUGCUGCGAACUUGCUUGUUUGUUUUCCUUAUUUUUCUGCCUGCUCUCCUCAUUUAAUACGGAGGCUGCAACAUCGUCGAAAACUAGAUUGUCUGCUGGAUUGUUGUUCGUCAGGUUGAUGAUGAGUUGAUCAUACGAAUCUGGUAGACUUUGAAGUAGAAGCUCUGCACGUUCAUUUUCCUCUAUAUUAUGACCCAUCGUUGUGAGUUGUGAAAAUAGAGUUUUCAAGGUGUUAAUGUGGUCGGUCACCAUUGUAGAUUCCGCCAUUCAAAGAGCAUAGAGUUUCCUCUUCAAGAAGAUUUUGUUGUGUAGUAACUUGACCUCGUACAAUUUUGUAAGAGUAUCCCAUAUUUCCUUCGCUGUAUUUUUCUCUGCCACACUGGAUAAUACUCCAUCUGCAAGUGCCAAGUGUAGAUCAGAAAUGGCGUUACCAUCUACCUCAUUCCACUUGUCAUCAGUUAUCUCCAUGGGCCUUUCUACAAUUACUGCCAAGCAAUUAUUUUUCCUCAAUACAGCUUUCAUCUUCAUUUUUCACAACGAAAAAUUAUUUCCGUUAAACUUCUCAAUUUCAUACUUUGCCACCAUUUUGUUGAUAAAUACCGCACACAAGCUAGUGUACCACCUUGAAUAGUUGUGAGUAUGUGUGAGAAUGCACAGCAGGAAAGUUCCCAGGAAAGACUGGAGGGGUCACAAUGGUGCCACUUAAAACCCAGACUCCUUAAGCUCUUAUCGCCUUUGUGACAGAACUUUCUUAGACAUGUACAAAACCACACAAUUGUUUUACUCACACCACUAUUCCCUGCUUUGCACCGCAAAAUUAUUGGAUCGCUCCCACCGUUUCACGUGAAUAGUACCAUAUACGUGAACAGUACCAUAUACAUGAAUAGUACCCCUUAUGUGACAGUACCCGACUCUAAAAAUACAACCAAUAGCUUUGAUACCACUGUUAGGAAAUUGGUGGGUGAAGCAGGACUGCAGCUAAAGUAAAAUUGGAAGAAAAAUAAAGAACAAGCACAAUAGAGACACCAGAAAUUACGUGGUUUGCCUUUUAGUCUAUGUUCACGGGCGAAAACAGAAGGAAAAUAUUAUACUAGUGAAAAGGAAUUACAAGUACUGUAGUAUUUUAGCUCACUACCUAAAACCCCAAUACACCCAAACUCUCAAAUCACUAGACUCUUAAAAUCACUCUCUAAAUAAAUAAAAGAACUGAAGAACUCAAUGAUUUACAAAUGAAGGGAGACAACAUUUUUAUAGCCAAAAUUGGCUACUGUUCAUUUAAUAUUUAAUUAUUAUUAUUAUUUUAUUAAUUUUUCUUUUCUUUUCCUUCUUCGGCCUAGCAUCUCUUUUUCUUCUCUCUUUUUUCUUUUUCCUUAUUUUCUUUGGUUUCUUUCUUUGGGCGGUACCUCUCAUUUUUUUUUCUUCUUCAAACUGCUUCGUUUUCCAUUUUCCUUUUCAAGCAUUUCGGUUGGCCCAUUUUCAACAUUUCCAGAAGAGUGGUACCCCAUAUUCAACACAAGAUAAUUUUAUGACCAUCAAUCUUUUGCAGCCAUAUGCAGACUUGAAACACUGUAGUGUCCCUAAGGAACUUGAAAAUUAGAAAGUUUCAGAAUGAGUGACUAAAUAUGAUAAUCGAAACUAAUUUAAUAUACACGCCUUGUAAAUCUGAAACUAAAUUACUCAAAUGUAUAUGCCUCUUCACAGCAAUUGCUCGUGGUGGAAAGUUUACUGCAAAGACUUCCUCAAACCCUUGAAGAUCACACUCUUCCUGGCAACAAAGAAACAGAGUCAAUAUACGAAGAUGAUUUUAUUAACAAGUGAGAGCUUGCAAAUAUUGGAAGGAUAACGAUUAGUCAUAACCCAAAUCCCCAAUGCCUUCUAAUAUCUCACUCACUUGAGUUCAAGCUCCCAAAAUUCACUACAGUGAAACCCUCACAACAAAAUUCUCUUCAAAGAUUCUCUACUCAAAUUUGAUUAAGUUGAUUAGAAUCCUUAACCUGAUAACUUAAACAAAAACAACUUGCCUAAAGUUUAAUAUUUAGAGGCUGAACAGUAAAGAAGAAGAUAUAUAUUGAUACUAAAAUUUGACCUGUAUUAUUCUGACGUAAAAAAUCACGACAUCUCAUAUGGGCAAAAUCUUCACAAUACGAGAUGCUUGCAAAAUUGAAGCAGCAUCUUAUCACCUGUAAUUUAAUUAAGACAAUAACUUUCCCCAACUAUUUCAAUGCAUUAUUGGCAACUAAAUUCAGAGGGCGCUAAUUAAAUAUCCUUUUAAUAAUAUCUUCUUAUUCUUCUCCAAUCUAACAGUUAUUUGGAAAUCUGAAAAGAGGUUCAACAUUUUACAACCAAUAAAAAAUCACUGAACCAUUGGAAAGUGAUUUACGUAUAAUUUUUUUUUUCCAAAUUUUGUCCAAAGUGAUGAAUGAGAUAGGAUGACACAAGAAACAAAUUUAAAUUGACCGCAAGUAGAAAUAUACUUCUGUUAUAUUUGCAACAUCUUCUAGGGUCAAUUGCUUUUCCUUGAGCUCUGUUUCUGCAUGUGCUCAAAUGCAACACACAUACCACAAGAUAUAAUUAUCAACAUGAAUCUUUUGCCGCCAUAUGCAGCACUUAGAAAACUGUUUAUGGCCAUAAAGAACGGGAAAAUCAGAAAUCAUUAACAACGAGAGAAAUCAUUUUAAUCACAGGCAAACAUACACACUAAGAAAAUCUAGAAUUGAAUUUCUCCUAAUGAAUGUGCCUCUUCACAGCAAUUGCACAAGCUAAUCCCAGCAGCCUGCAUCAUCGAGCUUCUCCCAAUGAGUGAGUGAGCCUUGAACAGUUAUCACUUAGCUCAAACUAAAAUGAAAUUAUUGUGGACAUCUGAAUUAAAUAUACAUGUAAAAGGAGUUUUCUCAAAGCAAGGUCAAGAUAAGAGAUUAACUCUGCUCCUUAUUUACAGUAAAAAUAACAAACAAUGAAAAACAGAGCUAGAGAAGAACUUACCUGUGCAUUGAGACCAUGUGGAGAAUGUGAGAUAUCUUCUUAUAUUUGGUUUGAGAAACUCCAUCUUCUUCUGAAAGUUCUGGCAGUUCCCUAAACCCAGGCCAAUACAAUUGCAACAGAAACUGCAUGCUUUAACCAGCAUCUUAUCAUCUCUUCUUAUUUCAAGACAAGAAUAACUUAAUUGCAAGUUUACAACAUUGCGUGAUUCCACCAUUAACCUUUUCAAUUUCAACACUUCUUUUGUCCCCCGCCCGAUGCCCUUUUAAAAAUUCUAUGAAUCAGAUAAAUCAUUCUUCAACCCCAAAUUCCUUCCGAAUCCGUGGAAGCAUUUCAGCCCACAGACGGUUUGCUUUGUCAAUAUACAGCAACUCAGGAUUCUAUAUUUAAACUAUGAUGUUUGAUGACUUGCUGAUGCAAAAAACAUUGCCCCAAGCACUUUUUUACAGGAAUUAAAAUCAAGCCAGUCACUUCCAUUUGUUGCAGUUUUAAUGCAGAAAGAAAAAGGGGCAAAAAAAUCCGCAAGAUGCCACUUGUAAUACCGCAUGUUCGCAAAAGCAGAGUUAAAUAAUUACAAAAUUACAUUCUUGAUUGCACAGAAAUAAUAUAUAGCAAAACAAGCAUAAGGAAAUAACAAUAUAAUUUUACAUUUUUCAGCUUUUGGACUACGUCACAGUCAGAGACGUGAAGAGAAUUUUACUAAGAAAUAAGAGUGUACUAAUAUUAAAGAAAACAUUCACUAAUCGCUAAUAUAUGCUUAAUUUCUCACCCACUAAGAAUGUUCAAUUCACUCAAAUGAAACUUUCACAAGAAAGUCUCAUUAUUAAGGCUUUAGCUUUACUUCACAUGCUCAACAAUUCAAAUUUGAGGAUGAUAUUUCUCAAAAUGGAGGGCUCUAUUUGGCUUGCCAACAAUCUUCCUCACUACUAUCAUCCUUGCUAUACCGGUUGCACUGGACAAUCUUCAUUCUGACAUUUGCCCUGUUAACCUGAGUACACAAGAAUCCAAAACAACUGUUAGAAAUUUUAAUCUUUAUACAUAGCCAAAAUGGUGAAUAAAAUGAUGUACUUGAUAACAAAAACCUGAUUUAAUAAAUAAUUAAGCGGCCGAUAACAAGCACAGAAUCUCAUCGUGUGGGGAAAGCCUUGACAACAGAAGAUGGUGCUUUCAUUCAAGCAAUGAUAACUUUCCAAUUUCAUAAGGUAGCUUAAUGCCCUUUUAAGAAUAUCUGCACCAGCCUGACAAUUAUUGAUGAAAAUUCAAAUUCAGAAUCAUGUUCGUAUGAGAGAUGAAAUGUAAUGAGCAACUUGGCCACCAUGUAUGCAUUUAUCACUUCAAUUUGCUCAUCUUUGUCUAGAUUAUUGCUUAUGCGUUAACUGAAUUAGCGUGCAAGCCACCUGAAAAUGGUUUUAAAUAAUGAGAGUCUGGAUUCGAAUGAAUUAAUCAAAUAUGAUGACAGAAAAUACAAAUGUAAAAUAACCACAAGAAGUAGAAAUAUACUUUUGUUAGAUUUAGAGCAUAAUUCUUCUGUCAAGUUCUUUUCCAUUAGCCUUGUUUCUGUGUGUGCUCAAACGCAAUUCCUCAACACUUAAGAUAGUUUCUGCAGACCUGAAAAACUGGUUGUGGCCCUAAGGAACUUGAAAAUUAGAAAAGAUUCAGAAUGAGUGAAAAUCUAAUUAAACAUACACGCCCUGAAAAUCUGAAACUGAAUUACUCAAAUGAAUAUGCCUCUUCACAGCAAUUGGUUGAAACUUUACUGCAAAGACUUUUUGAAACCCUUGAAGAUAAUACACUACCUGAUAACACAAGGAAACACAAUCAAUAUAAGAAGAUGAUUUUACAAACAAAUGAAAGCUUGCAAUUAUUGAGAGAGCUCUACUCAAAUUUAAUGAGAUAUCUCUCAGAAUGGAGAGCUCUAAUAAUAUAUAAAGCCAAAAAUCUAACACUCAUCAAAUUGGCUUGUGAACAAUUAAUCUUCCUUGCCAUCAUAAAUGCCAGGUAUGGUGAACAAUCUUCAUUCUGACAUUUGCCUUAAUAAGCUGCUUAGUAUCCUUAACCUGAUAACUUACACAAACAAAAACAACUUCACUAAAGUUUAUUCUUUAAAGGCAAAACUGUAAACAAGAUGAUAUAUGCUGAUACAAAAAAAUGACCUAAGUUAUCCUGAUGUCAAGAAUCACAGAACCUCAUGUGGGCAAAAUCAUCGCAAUACAAGAUGCUGAAUUCAAGCAACAUCUUAUCACCUAUAAUUUAAUUAAGACAAUAACUUUCCUCAACUAUUAGCCUUCUCAAUUUCAAUGUAUUAUUGGCAACUAAAUUUAUAGGGGACGUAGCUAAUUAAAUGCCCUUUUAACAAUAUCUUCCCCACCUAACAAUUAUUUGGAAAAUCUAAAUGACAAUCAUGCAUUGAUGGCAUAAAAAAUUGGCCACAAAGCUGCCUAGAAAAAGGCUUUAAAUUCUUAAUGAGACAACGUAUUCGAACAAAUAUGCUGAAUGAAGAGACAAAGGCAUAACACCUCAGGAAGUAAAGCUCUGUUUCUGUAUGUGCUCAAACCAAUGGAAACCCAUGGAAAUGAAUUUCUACAAAUUAGAUAUGUCAGCCAAAACAGGUACUCUAUACAAGCAAAGUAAAAGAGAGUUAACAAAAAAUUUUAAGAUAAUUAAACUUUUAGUCACCAUAUAAUUAAUAGAAAACUUUGUACACAAUGAUUUAUAUGAGAUUAAGAUUGUAUACCUAAGUUUUAAUUGCAAACUAAAUACACACAAAAUGAUAUUAGCAUUAGAAGACUGCACCAAAACGUACCGAAUUGAAUGUACCUCUCAACGGCCAUUUUACAUGCAUUGAAAGUUUACCGCAAAAGCUGUUUCAAACGUGAUGCAUCUUAGAGAUGCAAGAUGAGAAAUUGUUAGUACAACUAGCAUUGAAACAUGUGUGAAAACUGUUAAUGGACCUAAAUAACUUGAAAAUCAGAAAAGAUUAGGAAUGAGUGACUAAGCCUGCUAAUCGCAACUGAGCAAAUUAUUGAAGAAAUAUAUAUCUCAUUUUCUCUUCUUUUAUAAUAGGAUUACAUAAUACAUUUAUAGAUUCUAAACUACAUAACGUGCAAGAGUAGGAAAGUAAACAACUGCAGACCAAGAAACUAGGAAACAAACUCUAUCAAAAAACUGAAAUUCUAUCCCUAUCUUUUUUCUUUUCUAUCCCUAUCUUUUUUCCUUAAAAAUAGGAUAGAAAACAUGUGACUUUUCCACACUCCCCCUCAAGCUGGUUCGAAAAUAUCAAUCAUUCCUAGCUUGCUAGUUAGUGACUCAAAGCUUGAUUUAUGGAGUCCUUUAGUAAGAAUAUCGGCUAGCUGCUUUAUUGUUGGAAUAAAGGUCAUGCAUAUCAAACCACUUUCUAUUUUCUCCUUGAUAAAAUGACGAUCCACUUCAACAUGUUUAGUUUUGUCAUGAUGAACAGGGUUAUGAGCAAUGUUUAUUGCUGCCUUGUUGUCACAAUACAACUUCAUAGGAACAUCAAUAAUAAUCUUUAAUUCUUCAAGUAGCUUCUUUAACCAAAAAAGUUCAAAAAUACCAUGUGCUACUGCUCUAAAUUCAACUUCGGCACUACUUCUUGCAACCACUGAUUGCUUCUUACUCCUCUAAGUUACCAAGUUUCCUCCCACAAAUGUGCAAUACCCUGAAGUUGACCUUCUAUCAAUAACAGAUCCAGCCCAAUCUGCAUCAGUAGAUACUUCAACUUGCAGAUCGUUAUUUUUCUUGAAUAGCAGACCUUUUCCUGGAGUUUUUUUCAGGUACUUAAGAACCUUGUAAAUAGCUUCCAAGUGCUCUUUACAUGGAGAGUGCAUAAAUUGACUAAUAACACUUACUGCAAAGGCUAUGUCUGGCCUAGUAUGAGACAAGUAUAUCAACUUACCAACCAACCUUUGGUAACUUUCUCUAUCCACUGAUUUUCCUUCAAUUGCAUAUCCCAAUUUGUGAUAAGGAUCAAUAGGAGUGUCUCCAGGUUUGCAUCCCAACAUGCCAGUUUCCUUGAGCAAGUCUAAAGUAUAUUUCCUUUGAGAAACAAAAAUGCCUUUACUGGAUCUUGCAAUUUCCAUGCCCAAAAAGUAUCUUAAGGGUCCAAGAUCCUUUAUCUCAAAUUCUCUAGCAAGAACCUUCUUGAGAUUUUCCAUUUCUAUUACAUUGCUUCCAGUCAAGAUGACACCGUCUAUAUAUACAAUGACGAUCACAACACUACCAUCAGUGAAGUGUUUAAAAAACAUUGUAUGAUCUGCUUGACUCUGUAAAUAUCCAAAGCUACAAACAGAUUUGGUAAAUCUAUCAAACCAAGCUCGAGGAGAUUGUUUUAAGCCGUAAAGUGAUCUCUUCAGCUUGCAAACUUUUUCAAUACCAUAUUCAUUCUCAAAACCUGGUGGUAGAUCCAUAUAUACCUCCUCUUCAAGCUCUCCAUUAAGGAAUGCAUUCUUAACAUCUAACUAUUGUAAUUGCCAUCCUAGGCUUGCUGCAAGAGACAACAAAACCCGAAUGGAAUUCAUCUUUGCCACGGGAGCAAAUGUUUCUUGGUAGUCAAUGCCGUAUGUUUGUGUAAAACUUUUCGUGACGAGCCUAGCUUUGUACCGCUCAAGUGACCCAUCUGCUCUGUAUUUAACUGUAAAAAUCCAUUUGCAACCCACUGGUUUUUUUCCUUCUGGUAACUUGACUAGUUCCUAAGUUUUUUUUUUUCUAGAGCUCUCAUCUCUGCAUACACAGCAUCUCUCCAUUCUGGAAUAGAAAGAGCAUCUUGUACAGAUUUUGGAAUUACUAUAACAGACAGGUUAGCUGUAAAAGCUCUAAAAAAUGGAGAUAAUCUAUGAUAUGACACAUACUUAGAAAUUGGAUGAAGAGUACAAGACCUAGUUCCUUUCUGUUGUGCAAUUGGAACAUCUAGAUCAUUUGUAGUUUCUAAAACAGAUUCUAAAAUGUUACCGGCAAGUUCCAAGUUGCCUGUGUUUGGAUCCGAGUCUUGGCAGUGAGGAGAGGAAUGAUGAUUUGACCUUUUCGAAUUUCGUCGUGUGUAGACUUAAAGCUCUGGUUCUAGAACUCUCUCUAAUGAUUUUUCAUUAUUCACAAUUGAUGGCAUUGUAGAAGGAACACGAGUUACACAAGACAUAAUAGGCAUUGGAAGAGAAAAUUCCCAAAAAUGAUCUUCCUGAGUAUGAUCCUCCCCCUGAAGAGAAGUGUUGAGUGUUAGAAAAUGUAUAUUUAUAAGGAGAAAAUCAUCAUUUUACACUUCAAGUUUUACUAACACCCUUACUUUUAUGUAUUUAACUUUCUUUUGAUUUAAUUCCGUGUGUUUUAUUUUAAUUAAGUAUUUUAUAUAUUUUAGGGGCAUCAUAUAUAUUUCACAAUGAACGAGAGAUCAGACUGCAAAACAGACAUCAAUUUUGAAUUCAGGACGGUCAAAAACCUUAGGAGGAGCAUAAAAGGAAAAAUGGCACUAUUCACAUGUACGGUACUAUCUACGUUACUGUUAACGAUAUUGUUCAUAAAGACGGAUCGAUGACGUGACAUUAACCGAUGAUGUGGCAUUGACUGAUGAGGUGCCACGAUCCUGUUGGACUAAAAUUCUUAUGCACUGUUGAUCGAUGAUGUGGCAGCAUAUUAGUGGACCAGAAAUCUCGCGUACGGUACAUGCAUUACACGGGAUUAUUUUCAACCAAACCGCGUUACUGUUCAAGCCGGGUCAAACCGUGUUACUGUUCACCCGCGUGGUCAAACCGCGUACUGUUGACUGAUGACGUGGCGCAAUCUUGAGCGUCCAAACUGUUUUUAAUCUAAUGGCCAUUAUUUACUCCAUGUAUCUAUAAAAAGGAGGCCUCCCCCCCUAAUUUGAUAUCUCUGAAUCCAUUUUUGGGAUUCAUUUUCUGUAAUUCCUCCAUCUUGUAUUUUCUAUGUAUUUUAAUAAAUUCCUAUUUUGCCCCUAGUUCAAUUAUGAGUAGCUAAUUUUCUUUCAAGCUGGGGUUGAAGGUGAAGUCUUAACAUGUGUCAUGGCUUAAUUUCGUAAAUUUAUUUUCUUCUCCCCUCUAAUUUUUGUAGAUGAUUUGACUUUUCGUCGACAAAUAAUAAUAAUCUUGUCUAGAUACCGUCUUGGUUUCACCGGCUCUCUAGUAUAAGGUUAUUAUUAUUUGGCACGAUAAGCCCUUAAUACUAUAUUGAUUAGAGUGUGGUUCAUAAGGUGUAGAUUCCCCCCUCAUGAUUUAAUUGGUAUUAAUAAAGAAUAUUUAGCCCAUGGUGCAUGUUGAUACGGAUCUAGAUACCCAAGUACGUCAUUUCAAUAGAUUUCUCUUCAAUUUAUUCUCGCCAUUUCAAUUCCAAUUUUAGUAUAAUCUAAGUCAUUUUCACCCUAAAUCCAACCACCCAUUUAGAAAAUUAAUUCUACACACAAUUAAAAUCCACCUCCUCGUGGGAUCGACACUCGUCACCAUUAAUCUACACUACAAUAGAUUCGUGCACUUGCGAGUUCAAUAAAAUUUGCACAACAAGUUUUUGGUGCCGUUGCCGGGGAGGUAAGUUAUUUUAAUUUGUAGAAUUAAUUUUUGAGAAUAAUUUCUUUUAUUUGUUUUCUUGUAUUUUUUUCUUAUAAAAAAAAGAAAAAUAAAAAUGAAUCGACAUUUAGAGGUUAGUAUUUCUUUUCUUUUUCUCUUCUUUAAAAUUAUGUAAUUUAAUUUUCAAGUUAUUAUUUUUUUCUUCUUUGUAAUUUUUGUUUAUCUUACUAAUUCUUUUUAAUAAAUUUAUUUUACGUAUUUUUUUGUGUGUUUUUAUAGUAAGGUUGUAAUAGCGCAAUAAGGUUAGUAUCGUAAUUUCUCCUUCUUUUUUUAUUUUUAUUUGUUUUGUUCUCAUCUUUAUUUUUAUUUUAUUUGUUUUGCAUGCAUGGUCCAAGGUCAUUAUUACCUAAUCUUGAACCUAUAGACCUUGAACUUGAAAAAACACUUCGCACACACAAACAAGUCAAAAAUAAAAUGGAUUUGCAACCACAGGAGAGGCCAUUUUAGGACUAUUUUAGUCUCUUAGCUAAUUUGAGCACAUCAUACAUAAGAUACUCAAAUGUAGCUGCUAGGAGUUUUGAACUAAAAUUUAGUGUGCUAAAUUGUCUCCCAACAUUCUAUGGCUUAGAAAAUGAGGACCCAUGUAAUCAUUUGAAUGAUUUUCAUGCUAUUUGUCAAAAAUUUAAAUAUGAGAAUUUUUCAGAUGAUGAUGUAAAACUUAGACUAUUCCCAUUUUCUUUAAAGGAUAGAGCUCGUUUGGCUUAAUACAUUGUCUUCCAAUAGUAUUUCAUCAUGGGAACAAAUGGUACCAAAAUUUUUGAAUAAAUAUUUCUCAGUGCAUAAAACCAAUGCUAUUCGUAAGGAAAUUUCAGAGUUUACCCAGAGAGAAGACGAGCAGUUUUUCGAAACAUAGGAGAGAUUCAAUGGGCUACUCUUGAAGUGUCCACAUCAUGGGUACGAGAAAUGGCACCAAUGCCAAUACUUUUUGGAGGGAUUAUUGCCGAAUGUGCAAGAAUGACUAAUGGCAACAAGUGGAGGAGAGCUAAUGUCAAAAAGUGCAUCAGAGAUUUAGGAAUUCUUCCAGCGACAAGCGGAUAAUUCCCAACAACGGAGUCGAUCACUCAAGAAUACUAGAAGAAUUAAGGGAGUGAAUGAGGUUCACAUUGGCAAGUCAAGUUCAGAAAUCAAAGAAGUCAAGGAGAUGAUUGAAAGUCUCGCUCGACAAUAGCAUCGUUAUUGACUGUUAAAUCAACAAAGCCACAUGACCAUGACUCAUACUCAGAUCAAGCCAAUGCCAUAGGUGUAAUAAGAAAACCAUCAAAUUACAACCCAUACUCCAACACAUAUAAUCCUGGAUGGAGAGACCACCCCAAUUUUUCAUGGUCUCAAGGAUUCCAACAGAAUGGACCAGUAGCUCCAGCUCCACCAAUGCAACAAAUUCCUCAAGUUUCUCAAGCCUCUCAGCCACCAUUUAGACCAUACAAUCAAAACCAAAACUACUCUCAACCCAUACUAUGGGAGGAUACAUUCCAGAAUUUCAAGAAUGUUACUCACUCCACGAUUGAGUAACAGAACCGCACCAUUGAUGGACUACGAAAUGAGUUGAGAGCAGGCUUCAACCCACAAGCUCAAUCAGUUUCAAGCCUCGAGAAGAUGGUGGGACAACUUGCUUCUUCAGUUCAGACCUUGGCAAUGACUGUUGAGAAAGGCAAGUUUCCAAGUCAACCAGUGCCUAAUCCUAAAGGAGUACAUGAAGCAAGUACCAGUUCACCACAACAGCAUGGAGAGUAAAAGCAGUCAUGACCUUGCGAAAAGGAAAAGAAGUCAACAACAAAGUUGAGAUGCCGGUGACAAAAGAAAAUCAAAUUGUACCUGUGAGUGUUGAGGACUCAUCACCGAAUGAGAGAGAAGAAACCAAACCACGAGAAUACAUUCCGAAAGCUCCAUUUCCUCAGAGGUUAGGGAAGGAAAGAAGGGAAAAUCCACAGGUGAGAUUCUUGAAAUCUUCAAACAGAUAAGUGUUAACAUCCCUUUACUUGAUGUUAUAAAGCAAGUUCCAUCUUAUGCCAAAUUUCUUAAAGACCUUUGUACUAAAAAGAGAAACAUUCAUGUUCAAAAGAAUGCAUUUUUAACAGAAAACGUUAGUUCUAUACUCCAACAUAAAAUUCCUCUAAAAUGCAAAGACCCAGGCUCCCCCACUAUCUCAUGUAGCAUAUGGAACCACACAAUUGAGAAUUCUUUGUUGGAUUUAGGAGCUAGUGUAAAUCUGUUGCCUUAGUAUUUUUGAAACUUGGACUUGGAGAAUUACACCCAACUCCAGUGGUGUUACAGCUUGUAGAUCGGUCCACGAAAAUACCUCAUGGUAUUGUGGAGGACGUGCUUAUCCAAGUAGACAAGUUUUAUUUUUCUGUUGAUUUCAAUGCAAUUGACACUCAACCAAUCCAGGAUUCAAGGAAGCACAUCCCCAUUAUCCUCGGCCGACCUUUCUUGGCAACUGCGGAUGCUCACAUUCAAUGCAGAACUGGAAAUAUGCAGUUGUCCUUCGGCAACAGGACUAUGAAACUGAACUUCUUCAACAUUGCCAAACAACCUCACAAUGCAAAUGAUGAAAUUGUUGAUAUGAAUUUAAUUGAAGCAUUAGUUGAUAACACUUUUCUUUCAAACCUUAGUGAUGAUCCUUUACAAACAUGCUUAACUCACUUUGGUUUAGAUUUUUAUAUUGACAGAUCGGUCGAUGAGGUUAACGCCCUACUUGACUCAGCACCAUCCAUGGACACUAAUAAAUGGAAGUCAAGAGUUGAGCAACUAGCAUCAUCAGAGAAGAAACUCAUCCCAUCAUCAGAAUCACCACCGAAACUCGAGCUCAAACCAUUGCCCAACACUUUGGAAUAUGCAUUUUUGGGAGAAGAAAGCACUCUACCGGUAAUCAUCUCAUCAUCUCUCAACGAUGAACAAAAAGGUAAGUUGUUAGAUGUUUUAAAAGAGCACAAAGGAGCAUUAGGAUGGACUAUAGCAGACAUCAAAGGUUUUCAAGACCCCGAUUGGGAUGUCACCCUACAGGCUAGUGUAUGGAAAAGCUUGCCACCUACCUGUGGAACUCGAGCAUCGUGCAUAUUGGGCUAUCAAGAAAUUCAACUUUGACAUGCAGCAAGCCAGCUCAGAAAGAAGAUUACAGCUGGGAGAACUUGAAGAAAUUCACAAUGAUGCAUACGAAAAUGUCAAGCAACGAAUGAAAGUCUUCCAUGACAAGCAAAUUAUGAGAAAAUCAUUCACUCCAGGUCAGAAUAUUUGUGUGCUUUCUGGAUUUAACUAUGGCAAACAUAAAGAAUUCGUUGAGGCAGCCAUAGAUCUUGGCCGAAGCAUAGUAGAGAGAAAAUUACACUUGGUGUAUGGAGGAGAUAACCGAGGGUUAUCAAAAUUGGUCUCAGAAACUGCUUUUAUCAGAGGUAGCCAAGUGUUAGGCAUCAUCCCAAAAGCCCUAAAACUUUUGGGCAGUUUGAUUGACUCAUCGAUUGGAGAAGAGUUAGUCGUCUCAGAUAUGCAAGAACAAAUAACUAAAAUGCUUAAUCAUGCUUAUGCUUUUAUUUUCCUUCCAGAAGAUCCUGCAACACUAGAGGCACUUAUCACACUAGCAUUUUGGGCCCAUCUGCACAUUCACUAGAUACCCAUCGGUUUGUUAAAUGUCAAUAACUUUUAUGAUGGCUUCAUCGCAUUUCUUAGCCAUGCAAUAAAAAAUUAUUUCAUUCCUUCCAAUGUGAAAAAAUUUUUUAUUUGUGCUCACACUGCUAAUGAGCUACUUGAUCUGUUACAAGCUUAUAGACCGGAGCCAGACCCCUGGACCUUUGUGUUGGAGCGUCCAAAUAAUGAUGGUAACAGUAGCCGCAGUAAUUAGUAUUAAAAAUUGUUUAAUUAUCAAGCGAUAAUAUGUUAUUUUAUGCUUAUGUUAUAAUUUAUAUUUGUGUUUAUGUAAUAUAUUAUGAAUUAUUAAUUAUGUGUUCAAUAUAUUUAAUUUUGUGUAUUUUUAUGUGUUUAUUAGGAAAAUAUUAAUUUCACGUACUUCGAGGCUCCAAACAAAUAAACGGAGGUCAAAUUUAGAUUUCAGAGGUUCGAAAACCUUAAGAUCAGUCAAGAUCGGCUUAAAAUUGGGCUUGUGUAAAAAAAAGUUGACUUUUCCUGUUGACCGAGCACUGAUUGGAUGAUGAAAUGAGCUUACAAUAGAUAUGAGUGCAUGGGAUAGCUGGCAAUCUUGACUAAAUCUCAACCGUUCAUGAUUCAAUGGUCAUGAUUGUGCCCCGUGGCAAUGGUUGGUGAAGCAAGUUGGAGGAUCCGAAUCUUUGUAUUCGGGUCGACCCGAUCCACCCAUUAACCCGCCAAAUCUCAACCGUUCUUUGGGCAAAUCGGACGAGUCAAAUGAUACCACGUGUGAUGUUGACUUUUGAAGUUUGAGCAGCCAUUGGAUCUUGAUCUAAGGGUUGUGAGGAGCACAUGCAUGAAGCCUAUGAUGGACCGCAAAGCACUGGAUUAUGAAUUUAUUUUUCUAUAAAUAGAGCCUUAUUUUUAUGUUUUAAUCAUCUCUCUACAACUCUCUUCUUCUCAAAUUAUCUCCAUCUCCUUGUAAUCUUGAUUUCCAGGUGUGUUUUUAAUAUUUUAUAUAAUUAUUUUUAUAAAUAAAAUUAGUUUUAUUUCCAAUUUUAGUUGUUUUUAUUUCUUUUAAUUAUAAGUAAUUCAAUUUUAUUACUUCUUUUUAUUUUAAUUAUGCUUAACUAAAUAAUAUUAAUUAGGGGAAGGUGAAACUCUUAGGAAAUAAAUAUGAUUUAAGCAAAUUCUAUUCUUAAUUUUAUAAAUUAAAUUAUUUUCUAUUUAAUUUUAUACAUAUUUUAUAUUUUGAAAUUUUGAUUUAUUGUAGACAAACAAAUGAAUUUGGCACAAUAAAUUCUUAAUAUCUUAAUAUAAGGUAUGGUAAAAUGGUAUUUUGACUUAUUGUAGACAAAUUAAAUUUUGGCACAAUAAAUACUUAAUCCAUCAUAAAAUUAAAGGGAAAAUAACAAUAAUUUAUAUAAUUAAUCUUUUGGGCAAUAAUGUAAAAAAAAAGGGCAAAAAGAAUUUAUUAAGUUUUAUUUACUUCUAAGAGUUGAUCCAUAACCCUAACUAGUUCAAUUUCAUAGUUUCAUUUAAAUUAAGUUUUUUGUAUUUAAGUUUUAAUUUCAAUUUUUAGUUAAAAUAAAGUAAACUAAUUAAAUCUUUUCUCUGUGGAUCGACCUCGAACUCACCGAGUUAUAAUACAACAAGACACUUUUAUACUUGAGAGUUAAAAAUUACUUUUAAGUUGUGUCAAGUUUUUGGCGCCGUUGCCGGGAAAAGUUUUUAUUUUGCUUUAUUUUUUUGGUUUUUGAUUUUUCUCUUUAUGUAAAUUUUCGUUUGUCCCCUUUUUUUUUCUUAAAUUCUCUUUUGUCCUCAUAUCUUUCAUAAUUCUCGUUUCACCCCAACAAGCCCAUUUCUAGCCCAAUUUCUAGUAAUUACAUUCUGACCCCAACAUCUUUCAGUCGUUUCAUUUUCAUCCCAAAUUGCUAAUUCUAAACUUCUAAAAAUUACAAUUUGACCAUAAAAUUAAAAAUAAUUUGCAAUAGAAUCCCUAGACGAUUCCUCAAAAUAAUUAAGACUUGGACAUACUUUGGACAUAUUUGGACUUAUUUUGGACUUAAUUUGGACCAAACUAACUUUAACUACUAACUCUAAUUACUAACUCUUAACUUACUAACUGCUAACUCCUAACUUUUUUUUAAUUUCAUUUAUUUAAUUUUCUGCAUUUAUUUUAUUUCGUAUUUAUUUGUUUAUUUUUGCUUUAUUGGUGGGUUUAACCACCAAACUAACUACUAACUACUAACUCUUAACUUUUAUUUUCAGUUAUUUAAUUUUAAGAAUUUAUUUAAUUUUGCUUUUUUUUUAAUUGGUGGGUUCAACCACCAUUUUUUUUCUUUUUCUUUUUCUUUCUCUUGCAUUUAUUUUAUACGUAAUUUAUUGUUAAUUGGUGGGUUCAACCACCAAAAUUGUUAUUUAAUUUUCUUUUGUACACUUAUAUUAUUUGCUUAUUUUUUAUUUAUUUUUUUAUUUUAUUAUCAAUUUGUGUAAAUAUUAUCUUUAUAACAUAACCAUUGCAUGAGGCGUUGGUCUCGAUCUUCAAGUGAGAAUCAAGGAUGGAUGAGAAUCAAGGCGAAAACGUUUUGGGCAAACUUAAUCCUCAAAUUGAUCAGGGAGACAACCAAUCUCAACAUGGGCAUGAUCAGAAUCAACCAAGGACUCUGAGAGACUACAUGAAUCCAACCAGAACCGGAGCACCGUCGUGUAUAGUAUUUCCUCCAGAAGCAUCUCGAUUUAAUUUUAAACCAGGUAUUAUCCAACUUUUACCAACAUUUCAUGGUUUAGAAUCUGAGAAUCCGUACUUGCAUCUAAGAGAUUUUGAGGAAGUUUGUAAUACAUACACGGACCAAAAUUGUAGCAUGAACAUAAUUAAAUUAAAACUUUUUCCUUUUUCAUUAAAAGAUAAAGCUAAAACUUGGCUACAAAACCUUAGAUCUGGAUCAGUAAGAACUUGGAAUAACAUGUAAGAACAGUUUUUGAAAAAAUUCUUUCCACCUCAUAGAACAAAUUCUUUUAAAAGGCAAAUCACUUCUUUCACUCAAAAAAAUGGAGAAACAUUAUACCAAUGUUGGGAUAGGUUUAAAGAGUUGCUUAACAUAUGCCCACAUCAUGGUUUUGAAACUUGGCGAUUGGUCACUUACUUCUACGAGGGCUUAAUACCCCAAAGUAGACAGGUUGUUGAAAUGAUGUGUAAUGGUGAAUUUAGGGAUAAAAAUCCUGAAGAUGCACUAGAUUACCUUGACCAAUUAGUUGAAAAUGCACAACAUUGGGAUACUGUUGGAACUUUUGAAUUGACAAAUAAGCAACAAUUAUCUCCAUCUAGUGGAGGAAUCCAUAACCUUAGGGAAGAUCAUGAUUUACAAGCAAAAUUUGCAUCCCUAGUUAGGAAAGUUGAAGCUUUGGAGUAUAAAAAGAGUGAUCAAGUAAAAUAUGUUCAAGAAAUUAUAUGUAACAUAUGUAAUUCGAAUGAUCAUUUCACUCAAGAGUGUCCCACUUUGCCUGCACUUAAAGAAUGUCUAAAUGAUCAAGCUAAUGUCAUUAACACUUUCAAUAAACCAAACCCAUAUUCACAGACUUAUAAUCCUGGUUGGAGAAAUCAUCUGAAUUUCAGUUGGAGGAAUAAUAAUAAUGCACAAUCUUCACAAGCACCACCUCUACAAAAUUUUCAAAAUCCUCAGCCUUAUGCACCAUAUGUUCCACCACCCUGGAAAAAUCUGGAAGACACAAUACAUUUAUUCAUCAGAAAGCAAGAUGUUAUUAACAAUCAAAAUGCACAAACUUUUUCUGAUUUGAAAGAUACUCUUGCUAAAAUUGCUUCUGCACUCACCAUUCAAGAAAAAGGAAAAUUUCCAGCCCAACCACAACCAAAUCCUAAAAUUCAACAAAAUCCACUCACAGACCAAGUCAAGUCAGUUAUAACUCUUCGUAGUGGUAAGGUUGUUGAUAGACCUAUGCCUGAACCUUAUGAAAAUGAUGAAAAUUCAAAGGGUAAGGAAGGACUAAAUGAACUUACACCUAGUGAAGAAAUAACUAGUGUUCCAUCUGAACCACCAUUUCCGCAUGCAUUGAAUAAACCAAAGAAAUCAAACCACUCUUUUGAAAUUUAUGAAAUCUUUAAGCAAGUGAAAGCUAACAUUCCUCUAUUAGAUGCAAUCAAGCAGGUUCCUUCAUAUGCCAAAUUUUUAAAGGACUUGUGCACUAUUAAGAGGAAAUUGAAGGUAAGAAAGAGUGCUUUCAUGGCCGAACAGGUAAUUACAAUUUUGUUUACUAAUAAUAAGUUGAAAUAUAAAAGAUCCUGAUUGUCCUACUAUUUCUUGUAUUAUUGGUAACCACAUAAUUGAGCAUGCUUUACUAGAUCUUGGUGCUAGUGUUAAUUUACUUCCAUAUUCAGUUUAUCUUCAACUUAAUCUUGGUGAGUUAAAAUCAACUUCAACUACAUUUUUACUUGCCGAUAGAUCAGUUAAAGUACCAAAAGGAAUAGUGAAAGAUGUUUUAGUAUAAGCUGAUAAAUUUAUUUAUCCUGUGGAUUUUAUUAUCUUGGAAACUGAACCUGUUGUGAAUAAUUACAAACCAAUUCUUGUAAUUUUAGGUCGACCAUUUUUAGCAACUGCUAAUGCUUUGAUUAAUUGUAGGAAUGGUUUAAUGAAUUUAUCCUUUGGGAAUAUGACUUUGGAAUUGAAUGUUUUCAACAUGUGCAGGCAACCUAAUGAAGAAAAUAAGAAUGAAGAUGAUACUGAUGAACAAAAGGAAUUGUUUGAAUCUUGUAUCGAGGAAAAUAUUCAAAAAGGGGAUUUUUCUAAACUCUCAAAUGUUUGUUUAGUUAAUUCAAUUGAGUCAAAUAAGCAACUUGAACUUAAUAUUUCUAAUAUAAAUUCGUUGCUUGAUUCUGUGCAGACUUCACAAAAUUAUGAUGACGAGCCAAAAUUUGAGGAGCUUGGAAGUAUUGAAAAGACAGAACAACAAGAAGUGCCUAAAAUGGAAUUGAAACAUUUGCCUGAAGGAUUGAAAUAUGCUUUUCUUGGAGAAGAACAAACUUAUACUGUUGUGAUUUCUUCUAUUUUAACAAGCGACCAAGAAGGUAAGUUACUAAAUGUUCUUAAAAAGUAUAAAAAUGCAAUUGGAUGGACUUUAAAUGAUAUUAAAGGCAUUAAUCCCCUAAUCUGCACUCAUAGAAUUAAUUUGGAAGAAAAUGCUAAAACAUGUCAACAACCUCAAAGAAGAUUAAACCCACACAUGAAAGAGGUAGUCAAAACAGAAGUCUUUAAAUUGCUUGAUGUGGGAAUUAUCUACCCUAUUCUUGAUAGUAAGUGGGUAAGUCCUACACAAGUAGUGCCAAAAAAAUCUAGAAUCACUGUUGUUAAAAAUGAAAAAGGUGAAUUAAUUCCAAUACGAAUUACAUCUAGUUGGCGCAUGUGCAUUGACUAUAGAAAAUUAAAUGAAGCCACUAGAAAAGAUCAUUUUCCAUUACCAUUCCUUGACCAAAUCUUAGAAAGAGUAGCAGGACAUCCCUACUACUGUUUUUUAGAUGGAUAUUCGGGCUAUUAUCAAAUUCCUAUAGCACUCGAGGACCAAGAAAAGACCACAUUUACAUGUCCAUUUGGAACAUUUGCAUUUAAAAGAAUGCCAUUCGGGCUUUGUAAUGCUCCUGCAACAUUUCAAAGAUGUAUGUUAAGCAUUUUUUGUGAUAUGGUUGAACAUUGUUUAGAGGUCUUUAUGGAUGAUUUGAUUGUGUUUGGGAAUUCUUUUAAUGAUUGCCUCGAUAAUUUGGAUAAAGUUUUAAAAAGAUGUGUUGAAAAAGAACUCGUGUUGAAUUGGGAAAAAUGUCACUACAUGGUUACUUCUGGAAUUGUUUUGGGUCAUGUUGUUUCUAUUAAAGGAAUUGAAGUUGACAAAGCAAAAAUCGAAGUCAUAUCUAAAUUGCCACAACCAAAAACAGUUAGAUAUGUGCGAUCUUUUUAGGACAUGCAGGAUUUUAUAGGAGGUUUAUAAAAAACUUUAGUGCCAUAUCUAAACCACUUUAUAACCUCUUAUUAAAAGAUGCAUCGUUUGAAUGGAAUGAUGAUUGCCAAAAAUCUUUUGAAAAAAUAAUUUGUCUUUUAACAUUUGCACCUAUUAUGCAAUCUCCUAAUUGGUCUUUGCCAUUUGAAUUAAUGUGUGAUGCAAGUGAUUUUGCUGUUGGUGCUGUUUUAGGACAAAGAAGGGAUGGUAAGCUUUUUGUGAUUUAUUAUGCGAGUAAGACUUUGGAUAGUGCUCAAAUGAAUUAUUCUACAACUGAAAAAGAAUUACUUGCUGUGGUAUUUAUAUUAAACAAAUUCCGUUCAUAUUUGCUUGGCUCUAAAUCUGUUGUGUUUACUGACCACGCUGCUGUGAGAUAUUUGAUGAGUAAACAGGAUGCCAAACCGAGACUAAUUCGUUGGAUUUUGUUACUACAAGAAUUUGACCUUACCAUCAAAGAUAAAAAGGGUGCUAAAAAUGUUGUUGCUGAUCAUCUAUCAAGACUCGCAUAUGAAUUCUGCAAUGAUAUAACACCUAUAAAUGAUUCUUUCCUUGAUGAAUUUUUAUUUUCUGUUACUUCAAUGCCAUGGUAUGCUAAUAUUGUUAAUUUUCUUGUUAUAGGUAAAAUACCUUUGCAAUGGAAUGCUCAAGAGAAGAAGAAAUUUUUUGUUGAAGUAAAGAAAUUUUAUUGGGAUGACCCUUAUUUGUUCAAGUAUUGCCCAGAUCAAAUUUUUCGGCGAUGUAUUCCUGAUAAUGAGAUAAGUAGUGUCAUUAAUUUUUGUCAUUCUAAAGCAUGUGGUGGUCACUUUUCUUCAAGAAAAACUACUGCUAAAAUUUUACAGUGUGGAUUAUUAUUGGCCUACUAUGUUUAAAGACACAUAUGAAUUCUGCAAAAGUUGUGAAAAAUGUCAAAAAUUGGGAUCAAUUACAAAAAGAAACAUGAUGCCCUUAAAUCCCAUACUUGAAAUUGAAAUAUUUAACUGUUGGGGAAUUGAUUUCAUGGGUCCAUUUCCAUCAUCUUUUAGAUUUGUGUAUAUAUUAAUUGCAGUUGAUUAUGUCUCAAAAUGGAUUGAAGCAAUUUCUUGUCGAAAUAAUGAUAUUAAAACUGUGAUUAAAUUUUUAAGAGAAAACAUUUUAAGUCGAUUUGGAAUCCCUCAAGCCAUUAUCAGUGAUGGAGGUAAGCAUUUCUGUAAUAAGUCAUUUGAGUCUUUAAUGAAGAAAUAUGAAAUUACACAUAAAAUUGCUACCCCUUAUCAUCCUCAAACAAAUGGUCAAGUUGAAUUAGCAAAUAGGGAGAUAAAACAAAUUUUGGAAAAAACAGUUAACCCAAACCGAAAAGAUUGGUCUCUUAGACUUAAUGAUGCACUUUAGGCUUACCGUAUUGCAUUUAAAACGUCAUUAGUAAUGUCACCCUAUCAGUUAGUUUAUGGUAAACCUUGUCAUUUACCUGUUGAACUUGAACAUAAAUCACUUUGGGCUAUUAAAGCUUUUAAUUCAAAUUUGGAUGAUGCUGGUAAUGUGCGAAAAUUGCAAUUGAAUGAACUUGAGGAAUUAAGGAAUGAUGCAUAUGAAAAUUCAAGAAUUAUUAAGGCAAGAAUAAAAGCAUUUCAUGAUAAAAGAAUUUUUCGAAAAACAUUUGAGAUUGGUCAAAAAGUGUUGCUUUAUAAUUCUCGUCUUCAUUUAUUUCCAGGGAAGUUAAAGUCAAAAUGGAAUGGUUCAUUUGUUGUAAAAAAUGUAUAUUCACAUGGGGCCAUAGAAAUUGAGAAUCCAAAGAAUGGUGUCACAUUUAAAGUUAAUGGUCAAAGAUUAAAAUCAUAUCUGGAACAUCACCCACAUCACGAGGACACCGAAAUUAAUUUGGGUAACCCACCAGUUCUUGAUUAAGUCUUUAAUGAUUUAUUUUAUUUUAAUUUUUUUGUUUUACAUUCUUUUACUGUUUCAUUGUUUGAUUUUUUUUCUUUUUCUCUCGAUUGAUGCACUGUACAUAGUUUUUGUUUAACAUUAUUUUUCUUGUGUAAGCGUGUUUGUUUGACAGUUGUACAUUCUCUCAUCAAUUUUCAUUUUACAUCAUGAGCACCUCAAUGAGAAAAUUCUUGUUUGCACAUCUUAAAAGAUUUCUGCAUAUAAAAUUUCACUUAAGAGGCCUGAUACAAAGCUGUAAAUCACAUCCACUUUGGGAUCUGCAACCACCAGAAUUCGUGUCCUAUGUUGAGGAUCUAGAGGGACAACUUAGAACAUUAGAGAGUGGCAUAUAUGAAUUUUAAAUGGAGCUUGGGUUAACUCAAUGAGAGGACGAAUGUAAGUUCAUUUUCCUUUUAUAUUGUGUGCUUCUUUUUGCUCGCUUUCACGCUUGAUUUGAUUUUACAAAUUUGAUUUUGGUGUGUUUUGAUUUAUUUUCCCGUAUAAAUGGCGGAUAACGGUACUCUGUGACUUCUUAAGUCGGUAUCUUCAGUUUCCCACAAUAACUGAAACCCCAAAAUCAAACAUAGAAGAAAUACAACAUAAACUCCAUAAGCAUUUUCCCUCUCUCCCUCAGAAUGCCCUCAGGAAAAUUUACAAAGCUCGUUGUGAACGACUGCGUUUGUUAAUGAUCAAUGGCAUUCCUUCUGACAUUCGUUGGUUAAUUGAAGCAAAGGUCCAAUUAGCAGGUGAGUUUUCUGGUCCAUUUGUUUCUUACAUGGCUGGUUUUGGUAAAAGUACGUUUGCUAAGAAAAGGAGAGCUAAACGACUUGGCUCAAAAUGUCAUAACUGUGUAAGACUUGGUUGCAAACGACCAGAUUGUAAAUCUUUAGGAAUGGUUUCUGAUACUCGUGAAGAUAAAAUUAAAUUCGUUAAAAAUGGCAUGUGUAAAGAAUCGUUGGAUGAUAUCUUACGAUCUCUUGAGACGCAUCGAAGCAGAUUUGUGUAACGUGAGAUUUAUAAUUUGUGGAUACUAUUCUAAAAAUAAAGUGCACAGUUUAGUCUUGGGAAUCUGACUCAAAAAGACCAUGUUUGCCAGUUUAUAAGAAAACUGGAUGGGAAGCCGAUCCUUGACCCAUAGAGGGCGUUCAAGCCGUUACUGGACGUAAAACCAGAGAAAGAUGUGAGCCACAAUCACAACUACCAGUAAAUAUCCUUUCACUUCACUGUUAUUUUACUUUACUGUUAUUUUAUCAUUUGCAUUAUUGCAUUUAGUGAUGUGAUUUUGUAUUUAAUAAAUAUUUGGUUUCUUUUACUGUUUACUUUUUCUAAUUAUUAUUUUCUUUUCACCGUUUGUUUUUGAAUUAUUGAGCCACGAGCUUUACUCGUCAUUUGACAAAUAUGCCAACCCAUUUACAGCUAUUUCUUAUUAUUUAUAUCACCAAGAUCUUUAAAUAUGAGCUCAUUUUUCAAACACUCAUAACUUGUUUUUGAAAAAUUUGUCCAAUGGCAGCAUCUUCGAGUAAACAAUUCAAAAAUAUUUGUGUGCUUUCUGGGUUUCAUUAUGGAAAGUACAAAGAGUUUGUUCAGGCAACUGUAGAUCUUGGUCGUGUCAUAGCAGAGAGGAAACUGCAUAUUGUAUAUGGAGGAGGUGAACGAGGGUUAUCAAGACUUGUCUCAGAAGCUGUUUUUACCAGAGGAAGCCAAGUACUCGGCAUUAUCCCAAAACCCAUGAAACCGCUAGUGUGCAUGUCUGGUCUACCAAUUGGAGAAGAAUUAGUGGUAUCAAGUAUGCAAGAGAGAAUAUCUGAAAUGAUGAAUCAUGCUGAUACUUUUAUUUUCUUGCCAGGAGAUCUUGCAACUUUUGAGGCACUGAUUACAUUUGCAUCUUGGGCCCACUUGAACAUUCAUCAAAAACCCAUCGGUUUGUUAAAUGUUACUAAUUUUUAUGAUGGCUUGCUAACUUUUAUUAACCAUGCAAUAAAGAAUCAUUUUGUUCCACAUUCUUUGAAAAAACUCUUUAUCUCUGCUUCUACUGCUAAUGAGUUACUUGAUCUUUUACAAGCUUAUACACCAGAGCCAGAUCCAAAGACUUUUGCACUGAAUUGGUCGACUGAUGAUGGUAGCAGUAACAGUAGCAGUAAUAAGAAGUGCGAUUUAGAUUUAACUCUCCGUCUGUAAAUAUUUUCUGUUGUAGUGUUCAUGUGUUGUCUUCUAAACUCUUUCUCUUUCCUUUUAAAACAUUAAGGACAAUGUCUUUUUCAGGUUGGGGGGAGAGAAUAGUUGAUAAUUGUGGAAUGUCUUAGUCCUGGUGAUGUGUUUACAAAAAUAAAAAUAAAAAUUUUUUUUUCUGUAAAGACUAACUUAGGACAAAUUUGAGUCGAAGAUGGCAGGAUAUAGAGAAUGUAGUACCUCUAGAAACGCAUCUUCUUAAUCUUAAGGGUGUUAUUAAAAAAAAAAUUGAAUUUCUCUUCAUCUUUGUUAUCUGCUUGUAAGCUUCUGCAUCAAGUUCAGGUGAGAUCUCCUCUUCUUCUUCUUUUAUUAUUCUCUUUUAUUUUUAUUUUUUUUGCAUAUUUGUAAAAUUAUAAAAUGUUAAGAUAAUGUUUAGAUUAGGUUGUGGGGUGGGGAUAAUUGACGAAUGUUUUAAAUAUGUGGGGUGUGUUGUUUUUCACUUUUCUCUUUUCUUUUCUUUGUUGAAAAAAAAACAAAAAAAAAACAUUUUUAUUUUGUCUAGGAUGGCCGUGUAAAGAGUCACGACUUUUGAGACGCAUCCUAAUAGUCUUGUUGUAUUAUAUUUUGAUUUUGAGAUUCAUAGUAAAUUAUUUUUGUUCCCUUUUCUUUGAAUUACUCGAAUUUGUGAACUCUCCAAUUGGUUAUUAAGUUAUUUAAUUGUUUACUCAUUUAACAGGUAUUAUUGAAUCAUUCUUGAUGCAGCGGAAGUUUAAUGUUCAAAAUAUUCCGUUGAUUCUAGAGAAUACCAGAAUAAAAGAACAGCUAAAUUCACGUUGAUUCAAAAGAAUACCGCGAACUUAGGGAUUUAAGACUCAUUGAUUCCGCAGAAUACCGAGAAUUAACUGUUCAAAUACUCACAAAGAGAUUUGAAAAUUGAAAUAUUAUUGAACUCAAAAUUCUGCCUCUAUAGGCUACAAGAGGGAGCUAUUUAUAGUAGUAGUAAUUAUCCUAAUUUAUGAAGUAAAAACAAAAUCCUAAAUUGAAAGAGAAACAAAAUUCUAAAUUAGAAAGGAAUUUAAAAGUCUUAAACUUUAGUUAAUAAGGAAACUAAUCCUCGUAUAAUAUAGAUUCCUACUCUUCAUCAAUUCUUUACACACACACACUAUGACACAUACUAGUGGGUUGUAAGUUAAAAUUUUACAGCAUUUAGUUCUUUUGAUUUAUUAGGAAUAGUAUCUAAGGUAGUAGAAAGUGUAUAUUUCCAAAAAAAAAAAAAGUAGAAAAAAAUUGUUUUUAAUUUUUCCAUGUCUAGAACCCGAGUAAUUAAGUCCAUAGGGGUGCUUCAACACCUAGUGUCCUAAAGUCAACUGGUCUAGGAGUCACUGACCUAAAGCUCACUACAUGGGUAAUAGAUAUAUUGUUUGUUUAUUAGAAACCCGAGUAAUUAAGUCCGUAGGGGUGCUUCAACACGUAGUGCCAUAAGGCCAACUGGUCUGGGAGUCACUGACCUAAAGCUCGCUACACGGGUUAGAAAUGUAAUAUUUUAAAAAUAUGUGUGAAUAAUAUAUUGCUUAAAGAUAUAAUUUCUAAUGAAUUUUGGAACGAAAAUGUUGUUUUUCUUUUAAUGAAGCCUCAUAAGUAUUGUGUUAAUUACUUGAGCACAAAAGAAGGUUUAAUGAUAUUUUAGAUAAUGAGUGAACAUCAAUGUGGUAAAGAAAUCUGGGAGAGUUCAUUUAUUUAGUAAUUUGAAGGAUGGAUGAACAACUAUUAACUUGCAUGUGAAUUUUAUAAAUCUUAAUUUAAUAUAACGCUUUAAUUGCUAGAGGGCUAGCAAUAAGCUGGUUGGGGGGGUGUGAUUAGUAUUAAAAAUUGUUUAAUUAUCAAGCAAUAAUAUGUUAUUUUAUGCUUAUGUUAUAAUUUAUAUUUGUGUUUAUGUAAUAUAUUAUGAAUUAUUAAUUAUGUUUUCAAUAUAUUUAAUUGUGUAUUUUUAUAUGUUAUUAGGAAAAAUAUUAAUUUCACGUACUUCGAGACUCCAAACAGAUAAACGGAGGUCAAAUUUAGAUUUUAGAGGUCCGAAAACUUUAAGAUCAGUCAAGAUCGGCUUAAAAUUGGGCUUGUGUAAAAAAAAUUAACUUUUCCUGUUGACCGAGCACUGAUUGGAUGAUGAAAUGAGCUUACAAUAGAUAUGAGUGCAUGGGAUAGCCGGCAAUCUUGACUAAAUCUCAACUGUUCAUGAUUCAAUGGCCAUGAUUGUGCCAUGUGGCAAUGGUUGGUGAAGCAAGUUGGAGGAUCCGAAUCUUUAUAUUCGGGUCGACCCGAUCCACCCAUUAACCCGCCAAAUCUGAACCGUUCUUUGGGCAAAUCGGACGAGUCAAACGAUGCCAUGUGUGAUGUUGACUUUUGAAGUUUGACCAGCCAUUGGAUCUUGAUCUAAGGGUUGUGAGGAGCACAUGCAUGAAACCUACGAUGGACCGCAAAGCACUGGAUUAUGAAUUUAUUUUUCUAUAAAUAGAGCCUCAUUUUUAUGUUUUAAUCAUCUCUCUACAACUCUCUUCUUCUCAAAUUUUCUCCAUCUCCUUGUAAUCUUGAUUUCCAUGUGUGUUUUUAAUAUUUUGUAUAAUUAUUUUUAUAAAUAAAAUUAGUUUUAUUUCCAAUUUUAGUUGUUUUUAUUUCUUUUAAUUAUAAGUAAUUCAAUUUUACUACUUCUUUUUAUUUUAAUUAUGCUUAACUAAAUAAUAUUAGUUAGGGGAAGGUGAAACUCUUAGGAAAUAAAUAUGAUUUAAGCAAAUUCUAUUCUUAAUUUUAUAAAUUAAAUUAUUUUCUAUUUAAUUUUAUACAUAUUUUAUAUUUUGAAAUUUUGAUUUAUUGUAGACAAACAAAUGAAUUUGGCACAAUAAAUUCUUAAUAUCUUAAUAUAAGGUAUGGUAAAAUGGUAUUUUGACUUAUUGUAGACAAAUUAAAUUUUCGCACAAUAAAUACUUAAUCCAUCAUAAAAUUAAAGGGAAAAUAAUAAUAAUUUAUAUAAUUAAUCUUUUGGGCAAUAAUGUAAAAAAAAGAAGGGCAAAAAGAAUUUAUUAAGUUUUAUUUACUUCUAAGAGUGGAUCCAUAACCCUAACUAGUUCAAUUUCAUAGUUUCAUUUAAAUUAAGUUUUUUAUAUUUAAGUUUUAAUUUCAAUUUUUAGUUAAAAUAAAGUAAACUAAUUAAAUCUUUUCUCUGUGGAUCGACCUCGGACUCACCGAGUUAUAAUACAACAAGACACUCUUAUACUUGGGAGUUAAAAAUUACUUUUAAGUUGUGUCACGCAGUAAGAAGUACAAAUUAGAUUUAACUCUCCGCCUGUAAAUAUUUUCUUCUGUGUUACACCACCCAGGUGAUGUCCUCUAAACUCUACUUCUUUCCUUUCAAACAUUGACGACAAUGUUUCGUUCUGGUUGGGGGGAGGGAAUAGUCGACAAUUAGGGAAUCUUGGUUAAGUUUUUACUAAUUUUUUGUUGUAGAAACUAAUUGUUGCUAACUUUUUGUGUUGAAGAUGGCUGAAUAUGGAGUGUAGUGACUCUAGAAACGCAUCUUCAUCAUUUGAAAAAAACAAAACAAAAAAAAUUCAAAAAAAAUAAAAAAAAUUCAGACAUUUUCUUUUUCUUUAGUAAGUUUUGAUAUUCAUUUUUCUUGUUCUUUAAUUUCUCCUUUAUAAAUAUACAUUUUUAAAUAUUUGAGUUGAAGAUAGAUGAAUAUGAAGUGUAGUGCCUCUAAAAACGCAUCUUCUUAGUAAAAAAAAAAAAAAAACCAUUUUCUUUUUCUAUCAUUUUAAGUGUAACUUUUCUGAUUAGUUUUUCUACUUCAUUUUCACAUUUCUGCAUGCAUAUUUUCCUUUUAUGUUUAGAAUAGGUUGGGGGGUAGAAUAUUCUUUAAAAAAAAUUGUGUGAUUUGUUUUAACAUUGAAUGACAUGAUUAAUUUCAAAUUUUAGUAUUUAUUUUAUCUUUGGUCUUAAGUGAUGUUACACUAUGUUUGCUACUCUACAUGUUGAUGUCGGAGACAAAUAUGAGUUGCUUGAAAGAAUGAACAUGUCAUAAUAAGUACCAAGUGAGUUUUUAAGCCUAUUAUUUUUCUUGGAGAGUAACCCUUUUGCCCAUUCUUUAUACAGCUUAACAGUUUAUUAUUGUAUACACGAUCUCUAGAUUUCUUUUGAGUUAACCCUUAAAAAAAAUUGUAAAAUUAAAAAAAAAAAGAAAAAAAUGUGUGUUGCUACAUUUGAAUGCCCAUCUAACUAGUAGAUAUGGAAGGUUAUUUAGAGCCCUAAAAGACGAUGGAAAGGCCAUCUUUGAUCCGUUUGAGCCUUUCUAGCCAUCCAUUUUAUCAAAUAUCCAUAGUCAACCCUUUUGAGCCUUAAAAAAAAAAAAAAAUUUCUUUGUCAAACUUAUCAUCUUGACCCACUCCGAUUUGGAGUAUUACCCAAUAUCUUACAAGUUCCAUCACCUAUUUAUAUUUGAGAAAAAUGUAAAUAAAUAAUUUGUACAGUGAAGUUAUGCUAAAAAAAAAAAUUGUUAGUUCAAAAAAAAGAAGAAAAAAAUAACAAUAAUAGGUGAAAUCCACCUUGCAACUUCUGAAAAAAAAAAUUCCUCUGCAUUUUUCUCAAACAUACACUUUAUUUUCCUUAUUUCUCUUCUUUGUUAACCAUGUCCCUAGCCUACGUUACGUCAUAAUAAAAGUUCUUCUUGAUUUUACGGAAUUAUAGUCUGAAGUAGAAGCUAGUUAUAUGGGCUAAAAAGAUGUAGUGGUGUAUAAAAAAAUAAUAAUAAUAAAUAAAUUGGGCUGACUAGCAUUUUUAUUUGACUUGAGAUCGUAUUAUUUCUAAGCUGAGGGCAUAUUUCUUUCAUCUUGGUGAGAGCACGUGAUAUCAUUUCUUUAUUAUUUUCUCUCAAUUACCAUUCAUUGCAGUUACUAUUUUUAUUGGGUAUAAUUUCUUUGUGAGAGUGUCACUAUAUCCAGUGAGAUUUUGGGAUUUAACAUGUCAUUCUUGAAAGUAGCUGUGACAAAGUCUACUGGUCUGAUUCAUGUGGAUGGUUGAUGUGGGUGUGAUGUUUCUUUAGAUUGGAGAUAAUGCUUAUACUUUUAUUUGAUUACUAUCAUUAGUCUAAUUGAAUAAACAUGAGUGUUAAAAAAAAAUAUUAUUUUGGAUUUAAAUUUUGUUUUCGCUUUAUUUGCUAAGGACUAGCAAUAAGUUGGUUGGGAGGUGUGUUGAGUGUUAGAAAAUGUAUAUUUGUAAAGGAGAAAAUCGUCAUUUUACACUUUAAAUUUUACUAACACCCUUACUUUUAUGUAUUUAACUUUCUUUUGAUUUAAUUCCGUGUGUUUUAUUUUAAUUAAGUAUUUUAUGUAUUUUAGGGGCAUCAUAGUCAUUUCACAAUGAACGAGAGAUCAGACUGCAAAACGAACAUCAAUUUUGAACUCAGGACGGUCGAAAACCUUAGGAGGAGCAUAAAAGGAAAAAUAGUACUGUUCACAUGUACGGUACUAUUCACAUAUACGAUACUGUCUACGUUACUGUUCAUGACACUGUUCAUAUAGACGGAUCGAUGAUGUGGCAUUGACCGAUGAUGUGGCAUUGACUGAUGAGGUGUCACGAUCCUGUUGGACUAAAAUUCUUAUGUACUGUUGAUCGAUGACGUGGCAGCAUAUUAGUGGACCAGAAAUCUCGCGUACGGUACAUGCAUUACACAGGAUUAUUUUCAACCAAACCGCGUUACUGCUUAAGCCGGGUCAAACCGUGUUACUGUUCACCCACGUGGUCAAACCGCGUACUGUUGACUGGUAACGUGGCGCAAUCCUGAGCGUCCAAACUGUUUUUAAUCCGAUGGCCAUGAUUUACUCCAUGUAUCUAUAAAAAGGGGGCCUCCCCCCUAAUUUGAUAUCUCUGAAUCCAUUUUUGGAAUUCAUUUUCUGCAAUUCCUUCUCCAUCUUGUAUUUUCUACGUAUUUUAAUAAAUUUUCAUUUUGCCCCUAUUUCAAUUAUGAGUAGCUAAUUUUCUUUCAAGUUUAGGUUGAAGGUGAAGUCUCAACAUGUGUCAUUGGCUAAUUUGGUAAAUUUAUUUUCUUCUCUCCUCUAAUUUUUGUUGAAAAUUUGACUUUUCGUCGACAAAUAAUAAUAAUCUUGCCUAGAUACCGCCUUGGUUUUACUGGCUCCCUAGUACAAGGUUAUUAUUAUUUGGCACGAUAAGCCCUUAACACCAUAUUGAUUAGAGUGUGGUUUAUGAGGUGUGGAUUCCCCCCUCAUGAUUUAAUUGAUAUUAAUAAAGAAUAUUUAGCCCAUGACGCAUGUUGAUACGGAUCCAGAUACCCAAGUACGCCAUUUCAAUAGAUUUCUCUUCAAUUUAUUCUUGCCAUUUCAAUUCCAAUUUUAGUAUAAUCCAAGUCAUUUUCACCAUAAAUCCAACCACCCAUUUAGAAAAUUAAUUCUACACACAAUUAAAAUCCACCUCCUCGUGGGAUCGACACUCGUCACUAUUAAUCUACACUACAAUAUAUUUGUGCACUGAGUUCAAUAAAAUUUGCACAACAAGAAGUUUUGGGAAAGAAAGACCUAUUUUCAAAAAAUGUAACAUCCAUUGUGACGAAGAAUUUUUUAAACAAUGGAUCAUAACAUUUGUAGCCUUUUUGAGUAGGAGAAUAGCCAAGAAAUACACAUUUUAAAGCCCUAGGAUCAAGUUUGCUCCUGUUCUGUUUAUGAACGUGAACAAAAGCAAUGCACCCAAAAAUCUUUGGUGGUAAAGAUGUGAAAACCUUAGCGAAGGGAUAGAAUUUUGUGAAAACAUUUAAUGGAGACUGAAAAUUAAAGAUUCGGGUAGGCAUACGAUUUAUCAAGUAUGAUGCUGUGAGAAUGGCUUUACCCCAAAACUGUUUUGGCACUUUAUUUGUGAACAUAAGAGAGCGUGCAACUUCUAAUAGGUGUCGAUUUUUCCGUUCAGCAACACCAUUUUGCUGAGGAGUAUCUACACAAGAGAAUUGGUGCACAAUACCAUUUUCCAUGAAAUAAUGACCAAGGGCAGUAGCAAAAUACUCUCUCCCAUUAUCAAUUCUAAAGACUUGAAUUUUUGCUUGAAAUUGUGUUUGAAUCAUGGUAUGAAAGGUUUUAAAAACUGUUGCAGUUUCUGAUUUUUCUUUAAGCAAGUACACCCAACAAACACGAGUGAGGUCAUCAAUAAAAGUUAUGAACCAUUUAGCCCCCGAAAUGUUUGUAACACGAGAGGGUCCCCAAAUAUCAUUGUGUAUAAGAGAAAAAGGUGCAGAUUUUUUAUACGGCUGUGAAGGAAAAGAUGCACGAUGAUUUUUGGACAAUACACAAAUUUCACACUGAAACAAAGAAAGAUUUUUAUUCUUGAACAGUAAAGGAAACAAAUGUUGUAAAUAAGAAAAACUAGGAUGACCUAAUCGGAGAUGCCACAACAUUAUUUCAUCUUCAAUAGAGAAAGUUAGUUCAUUAUUUGCUGACUGAGCUUCUCCACACAAACUAACAUCCUCCUCGAAGUAGUACAAACCAUCUACCUCUCUAGCACUGCCAAUCUUCUUCCCCGAACACAGGUCCUGAAAUUCACAAUAGGAACGAGAAAAUUUAGCAAUGCAAUGAAGAUCCUUGGUAAUUUUGCUAACAGAUAAAAGGUUACAAGACAAAUUAGGAACAUGAAGAACAGAUGUUAACACCAAAUUUGUGGAGAUAGGAAUAGAUCCUUUUCCUGCUACGGAAGAUAGUGAACUGUUGAAUGUUAGAAAAUGUAUAUUUAUAAAGGAGAAAAUCGUCAUUUUACAUUUCAAGUCUUACUAACAACCCUUACUUUUAUGUAUUUAAGCUUCUUGUAAUUUAAUUAUGUGUGUUUGAUUUUAAUUAAGUAUUUUAUGUAUUUUAGGGGCAUCAUAGUCAUUUCACAAUAAACGAGGGAUCAAACGGUAAAACAGACAUGACUUUUGAACUCAAGACGGUCGAAAACCUUAGGAGGAGCAUAAAAGAAAAAAUGGUACUGUUCACAUGUGCGGUACUGUCUACCUUACUGUUCACAUAGACGGAUCGAUGACGUGGCAUUGACUGAUGAGGUGUCAUGAUCAUGUUGGACUAAAAUUCUUAUGUACUAUUGAUGGUGACGUGGCAGCAUAUUAGUGGACCAAAAAACGCACGUACGGUACAUGCAACAUAUGGGAUUAUUUUCAACCAAACCGCGUGGUCCAACUGUGUUACUGUUCAAACCGCGUGGUCAAACCGCAUACUGUUCACGCGUACUAUUGACGCGUACUGUUGACUGAUGACGUGGCACAAUCUUGAGUGUCCAAACUGUUUUUAAUCCGAUGGCCAUGAUUUACUCAAUGUAUCUAUCAAAAGGGGACCUCUCCCCCCUAAUUUGAUGCCUCUGAAUCCAUUUUUUGACUCUGUUUUCUAUAAUUCCUUCUCUAUCUUGUAUUUUCUAUGUAUUUUAAUAAAUUUCCAUUUUACCCCUAGUUCAAUUAUGAGUGACUAAUUUUCUUUCAAGCUUGGGUUGAAGGUGAAGUCUCAACAUGUGUCAUGGGCUUUAUUUGGUAAAUUUAUUUUCUCUUCCCCUCUAGUUUUUGUGGAUGAUUUGACUUCUCGUCGACAAAUAAUAAUAGUCUUGUCUAGAUACUGCCCUGGUUUCACCGGCACCCUAGUACAAGGUUAUUAUUAUUUGGCACGAUAAGCCCUUAGCACCAUAUUGAUUAGAGUGUGGUUCAUGAGGUGUGGAUUCCCGCACUCAUGAUUUAAUUGGCAUUAGUAAGGAUUAUUUAGCCCAUAACGCAUGUUGAUACAAAUGCAAAUACCCAAGUACGUCAUUUCAAUAGAUUUCUCUUCAAUUUAUUCUCGUCAUUGCAAUUCCAAUUUUAGAAUUUAUUAUCGCCAUUUCAAUUCCAAUUUUAGGAUAAUUUAAAUCACUUCCACUACAAUUACAACCACCCAUUUACAAAAUUAAUUCUACACAUAAUUAAAAUCCACCUCCUCGUGGGAUCGACACUCGUCACCAUUAGUCUAUUCUACAAUAGAUUCGUGCACUUGCGAUUCAAUAAAAUUUGCACAACAUGAACCAUCAGCAAUUUUAAUUUUUUGACUACCAGAACAUGGAAUAUAUGAAGAAAAUAAUUUAGAAUGGCUGGUCAUAUGAUCGGUUGCUCCUGAAUCGAUGAUCCAUGGAUCUUGUUUCUCAUAAACAACUCCUAAAGCAGUGAAAUUAUUACCUUUCUGGGCUAAAGAACUAAAGGACGAAGGAUUUGGGAGAGAUUGUGACUGAUUUAGAAACCUGUACAGUUGCUCUAACUGCUCUUUAGUGAAGAGUUGAGAUUUGGUUUCUCCAGUAUUGGUUGUCGGCCGAUUCUCCCCAACAACUUGGAAACCACGACUAUGUUUACCAGAGAAUUUAUUGUUUUUCAGAUUUGGAGGUUUUCCAUGAAACUUCCAACAUGCAUCUCUAGUAUGUCUUGGCUUAUGGCAAUAAUCACACCAAACUCUGUCCUUCUCAUCACUCUUCUUCAAGUUUUUUGUUCCACCAACCAGUGGAGCUUCUGGUGUAACAGAGAUCAAGGUUGAGUUCUCUGCUGAAGAACCUCCCAUCAUCACAUUCUUUCUACUUUCCUCUCUUCUUACAUAAGAAAACACUUCCCUGGUAGAAGGAAGAGGUUCCUUUCCAAGUACUCGCCCACGGACUUCAUCAAGGUCUAAACUCAAACCUGCUAAGAAUUCAAAUACACGCUCUUUUUAUAACAUCUUCUUGUAUUUAGCACUAUCAGCAGCACAUUCCCACUCGCCAUCAUAGUAUUGAUCUAACUCUUGCCAUAAGCCCUUCAAAAUAUUGUAGUAUUUAGUCACUCCUUGACUACCUUGUUUGGUUUCUCACAUUCUGGUUUUUAGAUCAUAAAUCUUAGCAGAAUUUCCCAAAUCAGAAUAGGUCUCGGUGACAGCAUCCCACAAAUCUUUUGCUGUUGGCAGAAACAAGUAAGUUUGACCUAUUUCUUGUUCCAUUGAAUUCACUAACCAUGACAUGAUCAUUGAGUUAUCAGCAUCCCAAGUUUGAAACUUUGGGUCGUCUUCAGUUGGUUCUUUAAUUGAACCAGUAAGGUAACCAAUCUUCCCUUUACCUCUGAUAAACAUCUUCACAGAUUGGGACCACUGAAGAAAAUUUUGACCAUUCAAUUUAUGGGUUGUGAUAUGAAGUGAUGGACUAUCAUUAGAAACAUAACUUGAUGGUCGUAGAUGCCAUUGCAACUGCUCUGAAGAUAACUCAGAAGUUUCUUGGUCGCUAUACUUUGACUUUGGUAUUCAAAUAGAAUUGAAAACUAAACCCAAGAAUCAAAGAGCGGCUAUGAUACCAUGAGAAAAUUAUUGAAGAAAUAUGUAUCUCAUUUUCUCUUCUUUUACAAUAGGAUUACAUGAUAAACAUAUAAAUUCUAAACUACAUAACGUGCAAGAGUAGGAAAGUAAACAACUAACUGUAGACUAAGAAACUAAGAAGCAAACUCUAUCAAAAAAUUGAAAUUCUAUCCCUAUCUUUUUUUCCUUAAAAAUAGGAUAGAAAACAUGUGACUUUUCCACAGCAACUAAACAUACAAACCUUGAAAUCCAAAAUUGUACUCGAUGAAUGUGCAAUUGCUCGAGCAGGUAAAUUUACUGCAAAGGCUCUUACAAACCCUCAAAGAUGAUACUCUGCAUACCAUGGUAACCUGAAUAACAAAAAGAAACACAGUGAAUAUUAAAGGGCAAUCUGACAAUGCAAAUUUGUGCAAAUUAACAACUGUGGUUACCUGCAUAAUAGUCUUAAUUCCGAAUUCCUUCCUCCAUGGAAGCAUAUGAUCAGCCCACAUGUGCUUUGCUCUGUAGCUUUUGAGUACCUGAAAUUGUUAUUACAACCAACGGUGAAAAUUGGGUGAAAAAAUGGUAAUAUUAGCAUAAUUGAAUUUGCUUAUAGAGGAUAAACCGAUCAAAGAAAAAAACAAGAUAGAAAUGAUUAUCUUAGUACCUUAAUAUCAUGCAAUAAAAAUCAUCAUGCCAUCCAGGCAGCUAUCCAUCCUCAAUUGAAACAGAGCAGACCUGGCCAUCACUUUCUUCUUCAAAGUCCAGCAACUGAACGUUGCACACAACACCACAGUGGAAGUAGUUACAUCACCAGCCUAAUCCUUGAUUACCCCAAUGUUCUCCAUAGGGUCUUCAAAGUCAACCUAAAAAUAAAAUGAAAAUGCAAUGCAUUAUUAUUAGGGAUCUAGUGCUUGAGCUUGCUUUGACAUCAUGGUAUUAGCAAAUUCUGAUAUUGCCAAAAUGGUAAACAAGAUGAUGUACUUGAUAAGAAAAACCUGAUUUAACAAAUAAUUAAGAAGCAGGUACCAAUCACAUAAUCUCAUCAUGUGGGGAAUGCCUUGGCAACAGAAGAUGGUGCUUUCAUUCAAGCAAUAGCAACUUUCCAAUUUCACAAGGUAGUUUAAUGGCCCUUUUAAGAACAUCUGUACCAGCCUAACAAUUAUUCAUGGAAAUUAAAAUUCAGAAUCAUAUUAGAUUAAGAGAUGAAAUAUAAUAAGCGAUUUGGCCACCAUAUAUGCAUUUAUCACCUUCAAUUCGCUCAUCUUUGUCUAGAGUAUUGCUUCUGCAUUAACUUAAUUAGCUUCCAAGCCACCUACAAAUGGUUUUAAAUAAUGUGUGAAAGUGUGAAUUCGAACGAAUUAAUCAAAUAUGCUGACAGGAGAAACAAAAGUAAAUAACCACAAGAAGUAGAAAUAUACUUUUGUUAUAUUCAGAGCAUCUUCUUGCGUCAAGUUCUUUUCCUUUAGCUCUGUUUCUGUUUGUGCUCAAACGCAAUGGCUCAAGGGUCCAGAUAAUUUUAUGACCGUCAAUCUUUUUGCAGCCACAGCAAACUUGAAAAAAUGAUCGUGGCCCUAAGGAACUUGAAAAUUAGAAAAGAUUCAGACUGAGUGACUAAAUAUUAUAAUCGAAACUAACUAAAUAUUAUAAUCGAAACUAAUUAAACGCCUAGAAAAUUUGAAACUGAGCAAUUGCUUCUGGUGGAAACUUUACUGCAAGGACUUUCUCAAACCCUUGAAGAUCACACUCUACCUGAUAACAAAGAAACAGUCAAUAUACGAAGCUGAUUUUACUAACAAGUGAGUGCUUACACAUAUUGGAAGGAUAAUGAUUACUCAUAACCCAAAUCCCCAAUACUCCCUAAUAUCUCACUCAAGUGAGUUCGAGCUCCCAGAAUUCACUACUGUGAAACUCUUACAACAAAAUUCCCUUCAAAGAUUCUCUACUCAAAUUUGAUGAUGAUGUCCCUCGAAAGGAGGCAAAAAAUCUAACACUGAUCAAAUUGGCUUGUGAACAAUUAAUCUUCCUGGCCAUCAUGCAUACCAGGUGUGGUGAGCAAUCUUCAUUCUGACAUUUGCCUUAAUAAGCGGCUUAGUAUCCUUAACCUGAUAACUUACACAAACAAAAACAACUUGAUUAAAGUUUAAUAUUUAGAGGCAGAACAGUAAAGAAGAUGAUAUAUAUUGAUACUAAAAUUUGACCUGCGUUAUCCUGUCGUCAAGAAUCACGGCAUCUCAUGUGGGCAGAAUCUUCGCAGUACAAAUGCUUGCAAAAUUGAAGCAACAACUUAUCACCUGUGAUUUAAUUCCAUGCAUAAUACGACCAAAAGUAAAACUUUUUGCCAGGGCUCUGUGUUUCUGUUUGUGCUAAAACCAAUGGAAACCGAUGGAAUGAAUUUCUAGGAAUUCGACAUAUCAGCCAAAACAGGUACUCUGUACAAGCAAAGUAAAAUAGGGUUACAAAAAAUUUUAAGAUUGAUAUGAUAAUUAAAAUUUCAGUCACCAUAUAAUUAAUAGAAAACUUUGGACACAAUGAUUUAUUGCAUAUUAAGAUUGCUAUACAAAAUAUAUUAUUAGCAUUAGGAGACCGCACCAAAGCAUACCGAAUUGAAUGUGCCUUUUUACAGCCAUUUUACAAGCUUUGAAGCUUUACCACAAAUGCUUUUUCCAACCCGUGAACAUGAUGCACCCGAAAGAUGCAAGCUAUGAAAUUGUUACUACAGCAAGCGUUGGAACAUUUGUUAACGAAGGAAGUUUAUGAAAAUACGCCUUUGGAUACCCGUCUUCAGGAAUCAAUUCAUCCGUAAUAACAAUUUUCAAGAAGUAUCAACUGCUUUAAGUUCAUCGACAUCACAGAGAUCUUCAACUAAAAUAGUGUAGAUCCGGCCAUCACUAUCCCUUCUACUGCUCUUUUCCUUUAGAGAAUGCUUGAAUUACAUAAUGCGUGUAAGGCAUUCUUAUUCAAGGUCCAAUGAUCAAACCUUGCACAAUAACAACUGAGGUAGUGGUUCCUUCGCCAGCCUAACCCUUGGUCUCAGGAAUGUCCUCAACAGGGUGCUCGAAAUCAACCUAAAAAUCAAGAAUGAGUUGGAAAACUGUUUAUGGCCCUAAAGAACUUGAAAAUCAGAAAAGAUUAAGAAUGAGUGACUAAACAUUUUAAUCGCAACUAAACAUACAAACCUUGAAAAUCUAACUUUGAAGUACUCUUGAAUGAAUGAGCAAUUGCACGAGCUGGUGACAACUAAGGUUACUGUGAAGUCUCUUACAAAUCCUUAAAGAUGAUACUUUACAUACCACGAUAACCUGAUAACACAUAGGAACACAAUGAACAUUAAAGUGUAUUCUGACAAUGCAAAUUUGUGGAAAUUAUCAGCUGUGGUUACCUGGACAAUAUUGCCAACACCAAGCUCUUUCCUCAAUUGAAACAUAUGAUCAGCCCACAAAUGCUUUGCUUUGUAGCUUUUGAGAGCCUGAAAUUGUUAUCACAACCAACAGUGAAAAUUGGGUGAAAAAAUUGAUAUUAGCAUAAUUCCGUAUGUUUAUAUAGGAUAAACCGAUCAAAGAAUAAAAAAAGAUAAAAACAGAGCAGACCCAGCCAUCACUUUCUUCUUCAAAGUCGCACAAUAACCACAAUGGUAGUCGUUCCACUGCUAGCCUAAUCCUUGGUCACCCCAAUGUUCACCAUGAAGUAUUCAAAGUCAACCUAAAAAUAAAUAAAAAUGCAAUGCAUGUGGAAAUGAAAAUUCUAUAAAUUAAAUAAAAUAAAAAUGCAAUGCUUGAGCUUGAGCUUGCUUUAGCAUCAUCGUAAUAGUAAAUUUUGAUAUAUCUUUACUUCUCUGUUCUUGUUUAUUCACAACAAGAUAUCAAUAGAAGAAGAUGGAAAUGAAAUUCUAUAAAAUAAAGCAAGUGAAUUACCAGCAGAACAUUUUAGCAAUCCUUUGGCUAAACUUUUCAUUUUCUUAGCAUACUCUCCUGCCUGCAUCAUUAAAACCAAAUUAGAUUGGACCUGUGAAUUGCUAGUGUGGUUCUGACAUUUCCUCGAGUCCCUGGUGAACAUAACUAAACUCGUAUGAAACAAUUACACAAUUACUUUAAAGAAUUAAUGUCACAUAAAUUAUAUAUAAAAAAAUACGAUUAUCAUUAUACAAGAUAAAAUUGAUAAUUUAGUUUUCAACAUUACUGCAAAUGUAUCACAGAGAUUUUUUCUCUCAGGAAGUUACACAUAACAACUUUUCGUACAUUAAAAAAUAAAUUACAUUGGGAUUUUCUAUUAUGUUGUAUCAAAUUUUAUAAAAGAGCACAAAUUUUUUAAAAGAAAAUAUAGAAAUUUCAACAUACUACGCUUGGUUUUUUUUUAAUUAUUUAAUCUUUAGAAAACAAGUUUAACAGAUUUGAUAACUAGGAAGUUUUACAUAUUUAUACCAUGAUUGAUUCUAUAUAGAAUUUUAAUUCAAAAUAUAAUUAUUUUUAUUAAUUUCAUUGUAAGCAACAACGAAGUAAAUCAGAGGAGGAGAAAUUACCAGCGAGUGAUAUCUUACGGCGACCACUUGAUGUGGGGAAUGUGGGAUAUCUUAUACCAGUCUUCUCCUUCCCCCUCUCUAUAACGGUUUUCCAGAAUGAGACAUCUCCAAAUUGUCAAUUCCUGCAGCGUCGUCGUCCGAAGAAGGUAAUCCGGCAGCACCUUUAAUUUGGGGCAAUCCCAAAUUCGCAAGGAAGAAAGACGUAGUAUGUCUGUUGUCCUGCGAUCUUCUAGAACGGGCAGUUCUUCUAGAAGAUAACAAGAAUAAAUACUCAGUUCCUGCAGUGUCGUCGAUUGAAGAAGGUAAUCCGGCAGCACUUUUAAUCUGGGGCAAUAAGAAAUCUCCAAGGAAGAAAGACGUGGCAUGAUGGAGAUGUUUUCCGUCCUCGUAAUCCUGUAAUUCCACUCUUCCACUUCAUCAAAUUCGCCAAUUUCGAGAGAUUUCAAUUUGGGGAAGGCAAUAACUGAUGAUGACGAUGAAGAUGAAGAUGGGUCGUCCUCACUGCUUUCUUUUAUUCCCAAAAACUCAUUACCUACUCUUUUUACACUUUCAAAGCCGCGUAGUUCGAGUUUUUCCAGAGGCAAUUUUCCCAAAGGAGGCAAAUGCUCACAGUUUACGCAGUAGAAAAGGCUUAAAUCCCUUAGAUUGGUUAGUGAAGUCAACCAUUUGGGAAAAAUGUUGCCUCCGUAGAAUAUAAUCCUUAACUCCUCUACAUUCAAAGGCGGUUGUAAGGCUUCAAGAAGUUGUUUAUCUUUCUCGUUCUUCCUCCUCCCUUCUUCGCCCUCCCCAUCUACGACUCCACCAAACUCAAGAUGCAAACGAAGGAGGUUUUUCUUAUUGUAAAGUUGUAACCUCUCAGCCUCAUCUACAUGCGAUACAUUACUCAGCCCUUCUACUCUACAUUCACGAAGGAGUUGAAGAUUUUUCAGAGAUUCAAGCCUACACGUAUUGCUACCAUCAACACCUCCACCCACCACAAACUUUUCUAAUGUUCGAAGGCUAGUCAAUUUGGAAAUCCCUAUUGGCAGGUACUUCAACGAACGAGUUUUAUCAUUCAGUAAACUCCUCAUGUUCAUUAACUUCCCAAUCCCUGCAGGCAAUUCUCUAAGAUAUUCGCACUGCCUAAUAUCUAGCUUUUGUAAAUUAUAUAAUUGACACAAAGUCUCAGGUAGUCUCUCUAACCUUAAUCCAGACAAAUUAAGAUAUUUUAAAUGUAUCAAUUUUCUAACUUUUUCUGGAAUUUCUAUAAUCAAAUUUGCCUCAGGAUGAAAACCUAAAAUGUGAUAUUGCCUCAUAACUAAUGCCCUCAAACACGCCAAUUUACUAAAUAACUCCGAAAGGAUGCUACUACUAAGAGGCCGACUGUAAGGACUUUCAUCAUAAAUUAAUAAGGUACGCAAUCUAUUAAGUCCAUGAAUGGACAUAGGAAAUGAAGUGCCUCUUUGAAAAUUUAACCCUAAGUGACGGACUUUGUCACCAAAAGAGUUUAUGACUGAUUCUUUGGUACCAUUAAUUUCUACCCACAAACAUUCUUUUCUACUUACAAAUUGGGCAAAAUCAUGUACUAUGUCAUGCAUCUUACACCCCAGAAUAUCAUCAUUGUCAUCAUCUUUUUCAAACUCUUGAAAGAAAGAGCGUGUUGCUAAGAUGUUGAAAUAUUCUUCUCCGAUCAUCUCCAUUUCUUCGUCUUCAUCUGCAUUAAGGUAACCUUGAGCCAUCCAUAGAUUAAUCAAUUCCCUUUUAUUCAUAUUGUAGUCUUUUGGAAAGACAGCACAAUAUGAGAAACACCGUUUUACCAUAGAAUUGGAGGGCAAAUCGUUAUAACUCAACAACAAAGGAGCCAAAAUACCUUGCCCAAUCUCUUCUACUUUCCACAUUUCACUCUCUAAAAUUCUUUGCCACUCUUUUAUUGUACUUUUAGAGCGCAAGAGAUUCCCUAUUACCUUUGCAGCAAGAGGUAGGCCUUUGCACUUACAUGCAAUUUUUCGCCCGAUUGGUUCUAAUUUUUCACAAUCCUCAAAGGACCUACGUAGAAAUGCUAUCUGCUUAAACAGUAACCAACAUUCCCCUUCACCCAACUCCUUGACAGGGAUAAUAUCUAUUGAUCCCAACUGCAGUGCAACUGACCUAUCACGUGUGGUAAUUAGAAUUUUACUUUCAUGGUGGCCAUUCUUUAGACAAGAAAAGAAUGGGUCCCAUUUUUUGUAAUCUCCAUCCCACACAUCAUCUAAAACAAGAAAAAAUUUCUUCCCCGUAAUAUAUUCCUGAAUCUGUUUCAUAAGAGAUUCGAAUUCGCUUAAACCAGAAGCUGACGCGCCUAGACUUUCAAUGAUUGCUUUGGCGACCCUAAUCUCCUCAAAAGUGUCUGAUACACACACCCAUAUAACUUUUUCAAAAUUUCUUUUCACCUCAUCAUUAUUAUAGGCCAGUUGUGCAAGAGUGGUUUUACCUAUACCCCCUAACCCAACUAGUGAGAUGACAUGAAGGCCUUUUUGUUGUUCACUACUUUCACACAACAACUUGCUUAAGAGCUCAUUUUUCUCAUCAACUCUACCGCAAACCUCUCCCUCAUCAAUCAAGGAGGUGGUUCGCACUCGCUCUGGUUUCUUAACAUUGCUGCUCACAUUCUCAACAAAUUUAAACGUAUCUUUUUGGGAGGCAAUAUCAUCUAGCUUUCCAUUGAUUUCCCUGAUCUUGACGGCAAUGUCAUGACGAAGACUAAGUUGUUUGAAACUACCAAAGCAGUUUGAUACAGCACAAAAGAAGGAGCGUACCUUCUUAUGAGGAGCAAGAGCAAAAGCAUUGUCAUCAUCAACGCCCUCAAUCUGCAAUUUGAGCCUUGCAGUGGUCCACUCCUCCAACACGUCUUCCAUGUCGUAAGAUGCGUCUUUGAGUUGAUCCAGCCAAAAAGUAACAGCAUUGUCGCGCUGCAUUUGCCUUUUCUCUGCAUCUUCCAGCACAGCUCGAAUGGCUCGAAGAUUGCUGGUAAGCUUUUUCACUUCUUCUCCGACACCAGUCACAAGCCUCACCUGUUGUUUCACUUCAUCAGCCGCAACGGAGAUCAGCUGCUCCAGGAGAGAGGAAACGAUCGCAUCAACCAUUCUGACAAAGAAAACGAGAAUUCUGAUGAGUUAUUAGAUGUGCUUUUGUUGCGAAGAUAUGAAAGAAAGGAGUUAUUGCAUUCUUUUAUACUGCAUAGAAAAGGUUUAUGCUUAUCCCCAACCCACACGUCAAUGAUUGUAGAAUGUUUAAUUUCCCUGAUUCUACUCCACUAGUUGUAAUAUUCUCAAGUUAUGUAUGAAAAUAGCACAAAUUUGGACCUACUGAUGAUUUUUAUGUAUUUUUUCAUAAUCUUCUAAAAUACUGUAUCUGCAUGUUAUUUCGUGCAGAAAUAUGGCAUUGGGUGAAAAAAGUUAUGCUUAUCCCCACCCACACGUUAGUAAUUGCAGUAGCAUCUUUAAUUUCCCUGAUUCUACUCCACGGACGAACACAUUUUUUGUACUAAUAUCUUUAAAUUCCCACACGUUAGGAAUUUGGCACAUAAUCUCAAACUCGUCCCAUCUUUAACGUAUGAGGUUGAUGAAUGAAUUCUUUUCUCAUGUGAAUUUAAAACUCCGAGAUUAUGUGCCAAAUUCCUAACGUGUGGGAAUUUUACCUCCUAAGUAAUCCGGCCCACUGCCAAGUGCCAACUUUUUCUCUGUCGAGUUAAUGAUGUUGUUUUGUUUUCCUUGUUUUAAUUAAUGUUGCGGUGAGAAAAAGAUCGAUGUAAAUGGCUAGCCAGGUUUUGCAGAAACCAUGAAUGGUCUUGCAUGCAUGGGUGGCUUUAAGUAUAGGCCAAAAAGAUGGUCGUCUAAGGCCCCAAAUUUUAAAAAAGCUACAAUUUUUUAAUAUUAAUAAUAAUUCUCUUAUUAAUAAAAUCUUUUAAAAAAAUUAUAUGUGUGGUAGAAAAGCCUAUUAGACAUAUCUCUAAUUAAUAAUUAUCCUAUAAUUAAUAUUUUUUUUAUAUAAAAACCUAUAAUUGGUUAUCUUAUUGUUAAAGAGAUAUAAUUAAUAAUAUUGUUUAACCAUUAAUUUAUUCAUUAUUAGUUUUUCUAAUAAAAAUAAGUAAAUUUUUUUAUCUUUUCAACUUCUUAAAAAAAAACUUAAUUAUUCAACAUUAGAAUAUUUGGCUUUGAGUAUUUCUUUUAAUUUCUACUAAAAAUCUUAUAAUCUAAAAAAUUAUAGAUGAAAAAUUUCUUAUUAUCUUCUCUACGAUGAAGAUUAUUACAUGCAUUAGUUCAUUCAAAAAAGAAAAAUAAAAAAUUAGUUACUUGAAAUACAAAGUCCAUAUCCAUUAUCUAAAAUCAGUUCAUAAUCUCAACUUUUUAUGUGCUACCAUUCUAAAUAUUCUAUUUGAAAAUAGUAUUGUUCUCAUUUAUUCGUUUGCUUCUUUUUGUAAAAUUUCUAAUGAUAAAUUUUAGAUUUUGUUUUCAAAAAUUUUUAGAAUCUUCUUGAUUAUUUGUUGAAAUUCAAGAAUAAAAACUGAAAUGGAUUUUCAGUUCUUUAUUGUUUUAUUGAAUAUUGAAAUUACUAAAUAAAAAGAGGUCUCAUAAAAAAAAAAAAAAAAAAAAGUUCGUCUAAGGCCCCUAAUACUAUAAGCCGGCCCUGCUUGCAUGUGACAUAAAGCUUUAUAGCUUAUUCCUCCAUCAACAUUUCAAUGGUUCCAUCUCACGUGCACUUGGCUAUGAAUAAGGUCCAUGCAUGGAUCGAUCGAUUUAGGAGUUUUGGACCAUCUCAUGCUGCAGAGUUAUGUGUCAUGUAUGUGUGUUGACACUUGCCAGUUCAUUUUUGUUAUAAAGAUUAUUGAUACUCAUAAAUGCACUACUUACAAAUCAUAAAUUUUGAGUUUGACACUUUAGUUUCAUUUUGUAAUCCCUACGCUCUUUAAAUAUUUGUAACAAUAUAUUUCAAACUUUAACUCAGACGUAAUGAAUGAAGGGGGAUCCUCUUCUUAUAUAAAUUUUUAUUUUUUAACGUUCAAGUUACAUUUGAUUACGUGUACUUAUUAUCUAGUUUUGACUAUCUAAUUACAUUUGAUUACGUGUACUUAUUAUAUAAAUUUUUUUAAAAAUGAUGGGUUUGGUGAGAUUUUUUACAUCUUGGAUCAGUAGGUCAAGAACAGGCAGGGCAGGGCCUUCUCUGAAGUCAAUCUUGUGAGCAACACCAGCUUUUUGGAUAAUUGGCAGCCCCAAUUCAUAAUUUUCUCUAUUGAUGUCCAUGGCCAAAAUCUGCAACCGAAGCUUAUUCUACUCUUAUUAAUCGAGAGAUAAUUUUACCUCUAAUUAAUUUAAUUGGGAGGAAAAUCGAGAGAGAUAUCCACUCUGUCCUUAUUAAUUGAGAGAUAAUUUUACCCUUACCCAAUUUAAUUGGAAAGGAAAUCGAAUUCCAACAAUAACUAGGACUUGAAUCCAUGCACUUAAGCUAACUUUAAGUUUUUGGACGCAUGGUUAUAAUGUUCUUUAUUUAAAUCCUAACAAAUGGUGGGACUUGAACUUGUGCCUACAAACAUUGAGUGCUUAGGGGCUGCAAAAUUUCAUAACUUAAUUUUAGUUGAUGUGGCAUAUGCCCUAUCACAUAAAUGUAGGUAAUAAUAAUUAAUACAUUAACAAAAUGAAAAAUAUUAGUUUACAAAACACAAAUCCAAAAUUUUUGUGUGACAGGGGAUUUAAAAGGGAGAGACUAAAUAAAUGUGGUGAAAAACGACAUGUAUUACUAAAAUUGAAAAUACGAAGUCUAGGCAAUUGAAAACAUCGGGUUUUUUAUUUAAAUAUCCCCAAUUUGUCCUUAAAUACCAAAUUUAUACUCUAUUAUAUACAUAUACCUUACGAAGAUAGGGAAGGUAAAAAAUAACCUUAAAAAAAUCAAGAAUCCACACAUUUCUUCCUCUCAGUGCAGGAAGAUGUCGAGUACGAAGUCGGGUAAGUCGAGAAUUUAGUUGAGCAAGAAUUGGAGAUAAGUAAGUCGAGUAUAUAAUCCAGUAGGAAAUUGAGUAAGCAUAUUAAAUGAGUCGAGUAUUAAGUGGUCGAGUAUUAAAUAAAAGUCAAGUGAAUUUUUUGAACAAGUCGAGUAAAAUUUAUGUAAUUUUUAAAAAGGUCAAGUAUUAAGUCGGGCAAGUACAUUGGGUCGAGUAUUAAUAUUUUUAAGGAAGUGAAGUCUAGUAAGUUGAGCAUUCAGUCGAGUGAGAAAUGAAGGCAAUUGAAUAAGUCGAGUAUCUAGUCGAGUACGAAGUCGGGUAUGAAGUAUGGUAAGUUGAGCAUUCAGUCGAGUGAGAAGUUAAGGCAAUUGAAUAAGUUGAGUAUCUAGUCGAGUACAAAGUCGGGUAUGAAGUUUGAUAAGUUGAGCAUUCAGUCGAGUGAGAAGUGAAGGCAAUUGAAUAAGUCGAGUAUCUAGUCGAGUACGAAGUCGGGUAUAAAGUAUGGUAAGUUGAGUAUUCAGUCGAGUGAGAAGUUAAGGCAAUUGAAUAAGUUGAGUAUCUAGUCGAGUACGAAGUCGGGUAUGAAGUUUGGUAAGUUGAGCAUUCAGUCGAAUAAGAAAUGAAGGUAAUUGAAUAAGUCGAGUAUCUAGUCGAGUACGAAGUCAAGUCUGAAGUCUGGUAAGUUAAGCAUUCAGUUGAGUAAGAAGUGAAAGCAAUUGAAUAAGUCUAGUAUCUAGUCGAGUAAGCAGAUUGAAUGAGUCGAGUAUUAAUUUUUUGUUGGCAUUUUGUUGAGGUUAUUUUUGUACUUUCUUCGGUUUUUUAAGUAUGUAUAUGUAAAGUUACAGAUUUUAAUAGAUUGAGAUAUAUUUUGGAUGGUACGAGAGAAACGGGGUAUAUCCCACGCAAUUCCUUCGAAAACAUAUCUGUCAAUUGCAAUGAAAAGAUCACAACCCUUCGUAAUUAAACAAAAUCAAACUUGAAAAAAAAAAAUCACACACACAAAACAAUCACAAAAACUAUUUGUUCUGAUCAUCCCUGCUUUUUUUUAGCGUAGCUCUUGGAAUGAAAAUUAACAAAAAGUGUCAAAAGAGAAGCAUUAAACACAGCAUUGAAGCACCAACCCAAAAUCCCAGAGCAACCAAAUCCCGUAAAAUGAUAAUACAGCAUCAAAACCGAAACAACAAAACUAAACACAAACUGAACAAUCUGACAAUCAGUGACCAAUCUCUUCCACUUUGGCCGCAACACCAUCACACACAAUAGAUAGUACCCGUACAUGAUCACAUGCACACUUGCAUUGGUCACAAGUGCAAUAGGAAACAAAGACUGCUUCGUCUGUAACCAAAGGUAGCACAUUACGACGACGGUUGCAUGGUGGUAGACGUGGAGGAACGUGAGCCGUUGGAUGGAGUUUGACAAAAUGAUCAAAAGGGUGUCUAGGAAUUCGAGUAUUUUGGAGAGGUAGAAGAUGUAAGCGUAGAAGAAGAGGGGACCGGAGGGAGAAAUGGUGGGGGGAAACAGAGGGUGUGACGGAGGUCGGGUGAAUGGAGGACGAUGGAGAGAGUGCAACCAACGGCCAUGACGAGGGAGAGGAGGAGGAGGGUAAGGUUAUGGACGGCUGUGAUGGGCUUGAGGAUGUGGGGUCCAAUGAGAGGUGAUGAUGAUGGUGAUGUUGGCGUUAAUUUGUGGUAGAGGAUGAAUGUGAGGGAGAGGAAAGUGAGGAUGGAGAGAAUGAGGAAGUGUGGGGAGGAAGCUGGGGUUUGGUUUUGAGUCCACGUGAAGUAGAGGAUUUGGGGAUGGUUUACAAGCCAAUAUUGGAGUGUUGAGGUGAUUGAAUUUGAAGCCAUGGCUGGUUUUUAGGGGGAGGAAAGAUUAGAAAGAGAUGAUGUUGAGAGGAGUGGGGGAGUUUAGAAAGUUUGGGAUAAUGUGAGGGGUAUUUUGGGCAUAUAAUGUUGUCUGAGCUUAAAUUUUUGUUAAAAAGAAAUAAUAAUAAUAAUAAUAAUAAUAAUAAUAAUAAUAAUAAAUUCUUUUCUCAUGUCAAUUUAAAACUCCGAGUGUGUUUCCAACAAUUGCUUUUCUUUUUCUAUUUUGGGAUUUUGAAUCAUUUUUUUUUCAAUUCAAUAAUGGCCUCUUCAAUUAUAAACUAUGGUCAAAGGGGAUGGGGUGUAGUGUCUAGGCCUCCGUGACAACGGCAUCUUUGAACGUGGGUUCCAUCAGUUUUUUUUUUUUUUUUUGACUAUUUCUGCUCAAAUCAAACUUGUGGAUUUCGUGCACUCAACGUGGAACCCUUUUGAAUGGACGCAAUGGUUUUGGUGGGAUCACACAAUCCGAAGAAGCAUGGAACUGCGACCAAUUUGUUGACAAAAAUUAGGCAUAAAAUUUACAAAUCGAAGUCAAGAGUAAGAUUUAAGUAAAAUUGAGUAACAUCUUGCACAUCGAGUAAGGAUUUCUACAAUCGGGCUAGAAAGUGCAACUAAAAUUUGGUAAGAGUUUCAUAGAGCAUAAUUUUUAAGAUACAACGUUAAGAGUAUUUAGUCGACAGUUAUAAUAUUACUUGAAUUGAUUUAAUUUCAUACUCUAAUAUAAAAAAUUUAAAACAUACUCUUAUAAUAUUACUUGAAUUGAUUUAAUCUCGUACUCUAAUAUAAAAAAAUUUAAAAUUUCUUUACUAAUUUUAUCGAAAGUAUUAUUUGACAAUCCUAUUUAUUACAUAAUAUCAACGUUUAUAUUAUAAUUACCGCUAAUACUAAAAGCUGAUCUCGUAAUUAAAAGUUAAACAAAAACUCGAGUACAAUCUAGUAAUUAAAAGCGCUAUGGUUUUUUGGCAUUACAAGAUGAUUCAAACUUGAACUUGCCAUCAAAAGUGUAUCAAAACAAUCACAGAGACUCUGUUUGACAAAUCUGCAGUAGAAUUUGCACAAUUUGACUGGGUUACAGAGAGUGAAUAAGAUUCCAAAGCAACAGGCCAUUAUUAUUAUUAAGAAAACAAUUCAUCGCUAGAACAAAAUUAACUUUUCUAACUUACUAGAAUUUAACUGGAGAAAAAUUGGAAUAUACGACGUUGUAUCACAUAUAGUAUUUAGACAUCAAGAAAAGAAUCCCUCUAUCAGUGAACUAUACUUGCCAGGAAACACGGUGAAAUACCACCACCUCCCUACUAGUUCUUAGAUGUCUCAAAAGAGUUUGAUGACGACUUCCGUGUUGUACCUCUUCGACAGGCAGCAAAAUUGGGCUAUUGACUAGGAUUAACUCCCAAGAAAUUUAUGCGGUCACCUUCUUCCGGACUAUCCUCUUUCUUCGCACUUUAGGAGCCCGUGCUUCCCCUUCAACAGAGCCGACAUUCCCUUGUUUGAUGCCAAGGAGCCCAAGCCCAGAGACAAUGGCAUUCUUUGAUAUCAACCACUUUGGGGACUUUUGAGUUGAGCCAUUGACAUCCUGAGCCGCCCCGUUGUAAGCCUUCUUCAAAAGGUCAUAUGAUUGAAGUAGCGGAUCCGCUUCCACUCCUAGCCAAGCAAGCCUUGAUCUUUCUCCUAAUUGGACAUUCAAAAAAUCCAUUUGAGAAGUUGAAGAAUAGUGUAAGUCCAACACAUAUAGGCAGUAAAGAAGAAUUUGGACGGCAAUUACUGAUUUUUUAUGCACAGGGCUGAACAAAUGGAGAUAUUAAGGCACUUAAAAGUUGGAACCGUAUUCACCACUUGUAUUUCCUUAGAGAACUAUCUCAGAGUUCAGUUAAUUUAAAACCAUUCUUAUGUAUUUAACUGUCAAACUAGAGAAAUUGUACUUCUGUAGCGAUGUCGCACUAUUGUUAAGGAUCUGGACUUGGAAAGGAUGCAAGUUGAUUAAGUCAAGAAAAAUUGAAAUAAUACUUGGUGAUAGAUCUGCACACUUCAAUAGAAACCACACUAACCUCUUAUCAGACAAAUAAACAGAUUCCCCAGUCAAAGUUUAACAAACAAAACAUUAAAACAAGGGUAAUUUGGUACGUCCAGAAUAGUCUAUCAAUGUAUAUAGAGGUGUAGAUCAAUAAACAAAUACGUAGAAGAGGGAGAGGGAGAGAUAACCUGGUAACAUCAAAAUGGUUGAAGACCGCUCUAUCAAAUCCACACAAUAGCUGAUAUCUCAUGUUUGCAUAUAGUCCAAGGAAAGCACCAAAACCAAGCUGAUCCCAUUCUUGCUUUAUCCCAUCCCGACAGAAACAAACAUUUAUUAGCUUAAUAUGUAAGAUGAAAAUAAAAAGGAAGGGAAGAGUUCCUUUGUUAUGAGAGAAAAAACACACCUCUCCUUAUGAUUCUCCAACUCCCACAAAACAGUGCAACCAAUUGUGGCAGCCUGCUCUAGUAGAAGUUUAUACAAAAAAGCAGGAUCUGCGAGCAUCCUGUGGCAACAGCAGUCAAUACAUAAGAAAUCUGAUGAGAGAUCCAACAUCUUUAAACCAAUCAAACAUCACCGAACCAUUGGAAAGUGUAUACCUAUAAUUUUUUUUUAUCCCCAAAAACUUUGUCCAAGAUAAAUGAAUGUAUAAAUCUCUUCUACUAGUCUAAGCUUUAACUGUUUUCAACUCCAAACUUCUAAAUCCAACACAGAUUCAAAACAGCCAAGAUUAAUGAGCGACAAAGCGAUAAUAACACAAAUCCCAAAGCAAUCAAAAAGCAAAACCCAAAAAAUGAUAAAUUAAAAGUAAUUCCAGGAGCUCAACAAGAAAGACUACCUGCCAAUGAAUGCCCUCGAGAUUCCCUGAGGAAGUGAACGAGAGAUGAACCUAGUAGUUGUUGGUCUGGCAUUAAUAAGACUUCAGAGGAACAUGGCAAUUAUUAUUAUUAAGAAAACAAUUCAUUGCUAAAACAAAAUUAACUUUUCUAACUUAUUAAAAUUUAACUAGAGAAAAAUUGGAAUACACGAUGUUGUAUCUCAUACGGUAUUUAGACAUCAAGAAAAGAACCCCUCUAUCUGUGAACUAUACUUGCCAGGAAAUUAACACCAGGCGAAUACCACCCCCUCCUACUAUUUAUUAGGUGUCUCAGAGCUUGAUGAGGACUUCCAUGCUGUGUAUCUUCGACAGGCAGCAAAAUUGGGCAAUUGACUACAUUAACUCCAAGAAAUUCAGAGGGCGUUAAUUAAAUACCCUUUUAACAGUAUCUUUUUAUUCUUCUCCAAUCUAACAGUUAUUUGGGAAAUCUAAAUGACAGUCAUGCAUCAAAGGCGUCAAAGUUUGGCUACAAAGCAGCCUGGAAAAGGCUUUACCCUCUGAAUGAGAGCAUGAAUUCGAAAAAUAUGAUGAAUGAAGAAACAAAGGCAUAAUACCACAAGAAGUAAAACUUUUCCCCAGAGCUCUGUUUCUGUUUAUGCUAAAGCCAAUGGAAACCGAUGGAAAUGAAUUUCUACGAAUUAGACAUAUCAGCCAAAACAGGUACUCUGUACAAGCAAAGUAAAAGAGAGUUACAAAAAAAUUUAAAUUGAUAUGAUAAUUAAAAUUUCAGUCACCAUAUAAUCAAUAGAAAACUUUGUAUACAAUGAUUUAUUGCAUAUUAAGAUUGUAUAGCUAAAUUUUAAUUGCUAUACAAAAUAUGAUAUUAGCAUUGGGAGACCGCACCAAAAAGUACCUAAUUGAAUGUGCCUUUUCACAGCCAUUGUACAAGCUUUGAAGCAUUACCACAAAUGCUUUUCAAACCCUUGAACAUGAUGCACCCAAGAGAUGCAAGAUAUGAAAUUGUUACUACAGCCAGCAUUGAAACAUAAUAUUAGCAUUAGGAGACCGCACCAAAGCAUACCGAAUUGAAUGUGCCUUUUCACAGCCAUUUUACAAGCUUUGAAGCUUUACCACAAGUGCUUUUUCCAACCCAUGAACAUGAUGCACCCGAGAGAUGCAAGCUACGAAAUUGUUACUACAGCAAGCAUUGGAGCAUUUGUUAAAAGAAGGAAGUUUAUGAAAAUAUGCCUUUGGAUGGAUACCCAUCUUCAGGAAUCAAUUCAUCCGUAACAACAAUUUUCAAGAAGUAUCAACUGCUUUAAGUUCAUCGACAUCACAGAGAACUUCAACUAAAAUAGAGCGGAUCUGGCCAUCACUAUCCCUUCUACUGCUCUUUUCCUUUAGAGAAUGCUUGAAGUACAGAAUGCGUGUAAGGGAUUCUUAUUCAAGGUCCAAUGAUCAAACCUUGCACAAUAACAACAGAGGUAGUAGUUCCUUCGCCAGCCUAAUCCUUGGUCUCAGGAAUGUCCUCAACAGGGUAUUCGAAAUCAACCUAAAAAUUAAGAAUGAGUUGGAAAACUGUUUAUGGCCCUAAAGAACUUGAAAAUCAGAAAAGAUUACGAAUGAGUGACUAAACAUUUUGAUCGCAACUAAACAUUCAAACCUUGAGAAUCUAAUUUUGAAGUACUCUUGAAUGAAUGAGCAAUUGCAGGAGAUGGUGACAACUAAGAUUACUGCGAAGUCUCUUACGAAUCCUUAAAGAUGAUACUUUACAUACCACGAUAACCUGAUAACACAGAGGAACACAAUGAACAUUAAAGUGUAUUCUGACAAUGCAAAUUUGUGGAAAUUAUCAGCUGUGGUUACCUGGACAAUAUUGCCAACACCAAGCUCCUUCCUCAAUUGAAACAUAUGAUCAGCCCACAAAUGCUUUGCUUUGUAGCUUUUGAGAGCCUGAAAUUGUUUUCACAACAACAGUGAAAAUUAGGUGAAAAAAUUGAUAAUAUUAGCAUAAUUCCAUAUGUUUAUAUAGGAUAAACCGAUCAAAGUAUGAAACAAGAUAGAAAUGAUGAUCUUAGCACCUUAACAUCAUGCAAUAAUAAUCAUCAUGUCUUUCAGGCAGCUAUCCAUCCUCAAUUGAAACAGAGCAGACCCGGCCAUCACUUCCUUCUUCAAAGUCCAGCAACCAAACGUUGCACAAUAACCACAGUGAUAAUCCUUGGUUACCCCAAUGUCCUCCAUAGAGUUUUCAAAGUCAACCUGAAAAUGAAAUAAAAAUGCAAUGCAGGUAGAAAUGAAAAUUCUAUAAAUUAAAUAAAAUAAAAAUGCAAUGCUUGAGCUUGAGCUUGCUUUAACAUCAUCAUAAUAGGGAAUUUAUAUAUAUAUAUUUACUUCUCUGUUCUUGUUUAUUCACAACAAGAUAUCAAUAGAAGAAGAUGGAAAUGAAAUUCUAUAAAAAAAAAGCAAGUGAAUUACCAGCAAAACAUUUUAGCAACCCUUUGGCUAAACUAUUCAUUUUCAUAAUCUUGCUCUCCUGGGUGCAUCAUUAGAACCAAAUUAGCGUGGACCUGCGAAUUGCUAGUGUAGUUCUGACAUUUCCUCGAAUCCCUGGUGAACAUAAUUAAACUCGUAUGAAAUAAAACAAAGUGGGCUCAUGUACUACUAAAAACAAUCACACAAUUACUUUAAAGAAUUAAUGUCACAUAAAUUAUGUAUAAAAAAACACGAUUAUCAUUAUACAAGAUAACAUUGAUAAUUUAGUUUUCAACAUUACUGCAAAUGUAUCACAGAGAUUUUGUCUCUCAGGAAGUUACACAACAAAUUUUUGUGCAUUAAAAAAUAAAAUUCGUUAGGAUUUUCUAUGAUGUUGUAUGAAAUUUUACAAAAGACUACAUAUUUUUUAAAAGAAAUUAUAGAAAUUUCAACAGACUGCACUUGUUUUUUAUUUUAUUAUUAUUUUAGCUUUAGAAAACAAGUUUAACAAAUUUGAUGACUAGGAAGUUUAAAUUUUAAAUAAUUGAAAUUAAAAUAUUAUCCUAACUAACCUUUAUGAACAAUUGAUUAAAUUUAACACUACAUAUUUAUACUAUGAUUGAUUCUGUAAUUUUUAUAAUAGCAUCAUAAAGUGACCCAUUAAAUUAAUGGUGGAAGUAAAUAGUUAAAUUCAAUACGCAAAUCAAAAUAUUAGAAAAUAUUGUAUAUUCCUGUUAGACAUUGGGCAAUAUAUAGAAUUUUAAUUCAAAAUAUGAUUAUUUUUAUUAAUUUUAUUGCAAGCAACAACAGAGUAAAUCAGUGGAGGAGGAGAAAUUACCGGCGAGUGAUAUCUUACGCCGACCGCAUGAUGUGGGGAAGGUGAGAUAUCUUAUGCCUGUCUUCUCCUUCCCCUUCUCUGUAACCCCAAAUUGUCAAUGUCUGCAGUGUCGUUGUUUGAAUUUACCACUCGAUGUGGGGAAUGUGAGAUAUCCUAUGCCAGUCUUCUCCUUUCCCCUCUCUAUAACGGUUUUCCAGAAGAGGACAUCCCUGAAUACUCAAUUGCUGCAGCGUCGUCGUCCGAAGAAGGUAAUCCGGCAGCACCUUUAAUUUGGGGCAAUACUCAAUUUCCAAGGAAGAAAGACGUGGUAUGUCUGUUGUCCUGUGAUCUUCUAGAAUGGGCAGUUCUUCCAUAAUUGGACAAUAAGAAAUACUCAAUUUCUGCAGUGUCGUCGAUUGAAAAAGGUAAUCCGGCAGCACCCUUAAUCUGGGGCAAUGCCAAAUCGUCAAGGAAGAAAGACGCGGCAUGAUGGAGAUGUUUUCCUUUCUUGUAAUCCUAUAAUUCCACUCUUCCAAUUCUUCCAUUGCCCCAACGUGGAGUGAUUUUAAUUUGGGGAAGGCAAUGACUGAUGAUGAUGAUGAAGAUGAAGAUGGGUCAUCCUCACUGCUUCCUUCGAUUCCCAAAAACUCAUUACCCACUCUUUUCACACCAUACAGGCCGUAAAGGGUGAGUUUUUGCAGCGGCAAUUUUCCCAAGGGAGGAAAAUGCUCACAGAUAACGCACGAUUUAAGUCUUAAAUCCCUUAGAUUGGUUAGUGAAGUCAACCAUUUGGGAAAUAUGUUGCCUCCGUAGGAUACAAUCCCUAAUUCUUUUACAUUCAAAGGCGGUUGUAAGGCUUCCAGAAGUUGUUGAUUCUUCCUCCUCCCUUCUUCACCUUCCACGUCAAACUCAAGAGAUAAACGAAGGAGGUUUUUCAUAUUGUGAAGUCCUAAUCUCUCAGCCUCAUCUAAAUGUGACACAUUACUCAGCCCUUCUAUUCCACAUUCUCGAAGGAGUUGAAGAUUUUUCAGAGAUUCAAGCCUACACGUACUGAUAUCAUUAACACCUCCGCCCACAGCAAACUUUUCUAAUGUUCGAAGACUGGUUAAUUUGGAAAUCCCUAUUGGCAUGUACUUCAGCGAAGGAGUGCCACCAUUCAGUAAACUCCUCAUGUUCUUUAACUUCCCAAUCCCCGCCGGCAAUUCUCUAAGAUCUUCGCACCACCUAAUAUCUAGCUUUUGUAAAUUAUAUAAUUCACACAAAGUCUCAGGCAGUAUCUCUAUACAUAAUUCAGAAAAAUUAAGAUAUUUUAAAUGUAUCAAUUUUCCGACAUUUUCUGGAAUUUCUCUAAUCAAAUUUGGGUAAGGAUCAAAUAUAAAAUUCCGUUGCCCUAUAACUAAUGCCCUUAAACACGCCAAUUUACUAAAUAACUCCGAAAGGAUGCUACUAUUAAGAGACGGAUUGGAACGACUUUGGAAAUAAAUUAGGAGGGUCCGCAAUCUAUUAAGUCCAUGAAUGGACAUAGGAAAUGAAGCUCCUCCUUCAAAAUUUAACCCUAAGUGACGGACUUUAUCACCAAAAGAGUUUAUGACUGAUUCCUUGGUACCAUUAAUUUCUACCCACAAACAUUCUUUUCUACUUACAAAUUGGGCAAAAUCAUGUACUAUGUCAUGCAUCUUGCAGCUCAUAAUAUCAUCAUCAUCAUCAUCAUCAUCAUCUUUUUUAAACUCUUGAAAGAAAGAGCGUGCUGCUAAAAUAUUGAAAUACUCUUCCCCAGUCAUCUCCAUCUCUUCGUCUUCUUCUGCAUUAAGGUAACCUUGAACCAUCCAUAGUGAAAUUAGUUCCUUUUUUUUUAUAUUGUAGUCUUUCGGAAAGACAGAACAAUAUGAAAAACAUCGUUUUACCAUAGAAUUGGAGGGCAAAUCAUUAUAACUCAACAACAAUGGAGCAAAAAGGCCUUGCCCAAUCUCUUCUACUUUCCACAUUUCACUAUCUAAAAUUUUUUGCCACUCUUUUAUUGUACUUUUAGAGCGUAAGAGAUUCCCUGUUACCUUUGCAGCAAGAGGCAGGCCUUUGCACUUGCGUGCAAUUUUUCGCCCGAUUGGUUCUAAUUUUUCACAAUCCUCGAAAGAGCGACCGGAAAAUGCUAACAUCUUGAACAACAACCAACAUUCCUCUUCAGUCAAUUGCUCAAUGAAGAUAAUAUUUGUUGAUCCCAUCAUACGUGCAACUGACUCAUUACGUGUGGUAACCAAAAUUUUACUUCCAUGGAGACCAUGCUUUAGACAAUGGAAGAAUGGUUCCCAUUUAUUAUAAUCCCCAUCCCAUACAUCAUCUAAGACAAGAAAAAAAAUUUUUCCUUCAAUUGAUCUAUGGAUAUGGCUUAGAAGAGAUUGGAAUUCGCUUAAACUAGAAGUUGACUCACCUAGACCUUCAAUGAUUGCAUUGGCAACCCUAAUCUCCUCAAAAGUGUCUGAUACACACACCCAUAUAACUUUUUCAAAAUUUCUUUUCACCUCAUCAUUAUUAUAGGCCAGUUGUGCAAGAGUGGUUUUACCUACGCCCCCUAACCCAACUAGUGAGAUGACAUGAAGGCCUUUUUGUUGUUCACUACUUUCAAACAACAACUUGCUUAAGAGCUCGUUUUUCUCGUCAACUCUACCACAGACCUCUCCCUCAUCAAUCAAGGAGGUGGUUGGCGCUUGUUUCGGUUUUUUAACACGGUUACUCACAUUCUCAACAAAUUUAAACCUAUCUUUUUGGGAGGCAAUAUCAUCUAGCUUUUCAUUGAUUUCCCUAAUCUUGACAGCAAUGUCAUGACGAAGACUGAGUUGUUUGAAACUACCAAAGCAGUUUGAUACAGCAGGAAAGAAGGAACGUACCUUCUUCUUGUGAGGAGCAAGGGAAAAAGCAUUGUCAUCAUCAACGCCCUCAAUUUGCAAUUUGAGCCUUGCAAAGACCCACUCGUCCAACACAUCUUCCAUGUCGUAGGACGCGUCUUUGAGCUGAUCCAGCCAAAAAGUAACAGCUUUGUCUUGCUGCAUUUGCCUUUGCUCGGCAUCGUCCAGCACAGCUCGAAUGGCUUGAAGAUUGCUGGUAAGCUUUUUCACUUCUUCUCGGACACCAGUCACAAGCCUCACCUGUUGUUUCACUUCAUCAGCCGCAACAGAGAUCAGCUGCUCCAGGAGAGAGGAAACGAUCGCAUCAACCAUUCUGACAAAGAAGACGAGAAUUCUGAAGAGUUAUUAGAUGUGCUUUUGUUGCGAUGAUACUGAAAGAAAAGGAGUUAUUGCAUUCUUUUAUACUGCAUAGAAAAAGCUUAUGCUUAUCCCCACCCCACACGUCAAUGAUUGUAGAACGUUUAAUUUCCCUGAUUCUACUCCACUAGUUUUCAUGCGUAAUUAUAAAUAUUCUCAAGUUAUGUAUGAAAUAGCACAAAUUUGGAUCUAAUAAUGAUUUUUAUGCUUUUUGUGUGUUCACUUUUUCAUAAUCUUCUACUUUAAAAAGUGAGCACAAAAAUAAUAUCAAGCAUUAACUCAAAUUCACAAAGGAAUAAAUGACGAAAAGAAAAAAGAUUGGAGAAAUCAUAUUGGUAAAUUAGCACAUUGUUUUUUUAAUAAUCUCGAUAAAAUUAGUAAUAUUCAUAUUAGUCCCUAAAAAAUAAAUAGAUAUGACUAAAGAAAACUCUUGGUAGUCUCCACGAUCAGAAUUUAUUGAAAUAUUUUUAGCCUAGGUAAAAAAGCAAGUUCCCAACUUCACCGUUAGGUAAAUCUGAAAUCCUUUCUCGCAGACUUUUGCACAAAAUAGAGUGUGAGUACUACAUUUUACGAUCUAACAAAAUGAUUUUUAUUAUUGUAAAACUAUUAACAAUAACCUAAAAUACUUUAUCUGCAUGUUAUUUUUAUUAUUAACAAUAAACUUUUAACAACUUUUAUGCAAAGGAGUCCCCACUCUCUACCUGGGGAAUUUGGCAUUGGAUGCAAAAAUUAUGCUUAUCUUUAAUUUCCCUGAUUCUACUCCACCGAUAAACACAUGUUCUGCACUAACAUUUUUAAAUUCCCACACAUUAGGAAUUUGGCACAUAAUAAUAAAUAUUCUCAAAUUCGUCGCAUCUUUACGUAUGAGCGAGUGUUCUGUCUAUUUCACUUUUCUAUCUUACUGCAAUUUCAAGGCGGCUCAAUCAUAUUUUAGGUCUUAAAUAAAUUGAUUUAAUUAGACUUUCUAAAAAAUUUGAGGUGAAAUAUGUGUAUUAAUUUUAUUAAAGUUUUAUUUAUUUAAAAUAAAUUUCUCUACCUUUCUGAGAUGCAAAAUUAUUAAUCAACUUUUUAUAUUCUAAUUUUGCUAAUAUAUCUUUCUCAAUAGAUAAUAUAGUUAACUUAUUUAAUCUUUCCUAUGACAUGGUUGAUCUUAAAUAAUUUUUUAUCAAUAGCACGUUUUUAGAUUAAGCUAACUUUUCUAUUCUUCUCCUUUUAUGAAGUUUUUUGUAUCAUGAUGCAUAGUUUUUAGUAGACAUUUUUUUUUUCUAAGGAAACAAGAGUAAUCAUGCAAACAAUUAUGCUAGAUAAUUAAAAGCAAACAACCUAUGAGCAGAAUAAUAUUUUUACAAAAAAACAAAAACACCUAAAUAACACAAUUAAUUAAUAAGAGAAUUGGAAGAUAAAACCUGAAAAUUUGAGAAAUUUAACUUUGAUGGAUUGAGGCUUUGAGCAACAAUGAUCAAAAGAAAGUAAAACAAUUAAUUUUCUUUUCUUCCUUAUGCAAAAAGUAAGGUAGAGAAAGUAGUUUUUUCACCAAAGCAAUGAAGGUUUUGUGUUUUUUUUAUUGGAAAAAGAUAUUAAUGGAUAAUAAUUUAAAAAAGGUGUGGCCUUUAUAGAGUUUUAAAUGAAAUAAAUGGAGGAAAUAAAUGGAUUAUAAUUGUUAAUUAUAUUGUUAAAAGGGGAUUUUGUAAGAAUCUAGUAGUUUGUUUAUGGAAAAUAUAGUUAUAAAUAAUAAAUAUAAAUCAAUAAUUAAUAACUAUAAUUUAGGAAUUAAAUUAGAAACCUUCAUUUAUAAUGGGGUCCUAGGUUAAAUGUGGGGUCCUGAACAACCACCUAAAUUAUCCUAAGUUGCCUGAGGUAAGAGCCGCUCCAAACUGUAAUGUCAGGUAGAGGAAUUCAGUUCCCCCAAGGGAUGGAAACGAUGGCAUCAACCAUUUGAUGUUCGAUUUAAAUGCUAAAUUUUACAUUUGCUUUUGUUGCGAAAGUGCUCAAGGGAAAGUAGCUUUUGUGUAUUCAGUCAGAAUGCUCAUUCAAGCAUUUUUGCAUUCUUCUUAUGCUACAUGAGAUAUUUAAUUUUUACCCUUGAGUCGAUGUCAAUGUAAAUGCUUUUAUGCUGCAAAUUAAAGAAAUCCCAAUAGCCGUCACCGUCUCGGGCUAACUUUCCGCUCCACCACAACAAUAAUUGUACAACAUCUGCCCUGUUUCUCUGAUUCAUAAUAAUUAUGCAGAUUACUCAGCACCAACAUUUGUAAAUUUCUUACAUUAUAAGUAACAAAAUAUUUGUAAACUACGACAAAAACUUAAAACAAUCUACCGAUGAACCUUCUGAAGUUAUAUAUAAUAGAUUAACUUAACCUAGAAUAAUCUUAGUGCUGUAACAAUUUCAAAAUAAAUGAUGUUUUAUUAUAAAAACAUGUCCAAGUAAUUGUCCCAUAUAAAAGGUAUCUUUCCACUUAAGAAUGUAUCAUUUCAUAUUGUCAUUUCAUUUGAAAUGGUGAUGGACCAAUUUAGACAAUUGAUUAAAAUCAAAUCUUGAUCCAAUGACCAUAAAUGAAUGGGUAUCAUGAAAAAUGACAAUCCAAAUGGAGGGCACAAGUAUAUUUAUAAAUAGAGGCCAUGUUUAGUGAAAUUCUAGUUAUGCAACCCAAGAGGGGGGGUGAAUUGGGAUUCUAAAAAUUAUUCAAUUUUUAAAGCAUGCAAAUAUAAAACGAAUUUAAAGCAAUAACAAAUAAAUUUAUCACAAUAUAAAAAGAUAAGGUAAGAGAGAUUCAAACAUAAGGAUUUUUAUGUGGUUCGGCCAACCUCGCUUACGUCCACGCCUCCAAGCUUUCUGAGCUUCAGGAUUCCACUAAGCAAGCUUCCAAGACUUCAAAUGCUUACACUUGACUUCUAAGGUGUCAAUAAACCUUUACAACAAGAGAUUAUCCCCAAUCUCUUAACCCAAGUGUAUCCCAACACUUACAAUCACUCAAUUUGAUUUUAAAGAAUGUUACAAAAUAAAUUUCUCUCACACUAUGUGUUUGAUUACAAAUGAAGACUCAAAGUGUGAGUAAAUGAGAUGAAUAUAGGAAUUUAAGGCUCAAUGAAUGUUGUAUGCUCAAGACUUUGCUCAAUAAUAAUUGUUGGAAUCGUUUUAGUUUGAAUUUGAUUGAGCAUAUUUAUUGCUGGAGCUGAAAACUAGCUAUUAUUGACUUUCUGCACACUGUCGGAUCACCGUUUUAAAUAGUCAAUAUGACCGUUGGGCUGAAUUCUUAAAUUGUUGGAUCGCCGUUAUCUAGAUGUCGGAUCGUCGUUAGUGUCCAGAGACUAAUCUUCAAUUCUGUGCAAUGUCGGUUAGCCGUUAUCAAGUUGUCGGAUCACCGCUAGUGUCCAGAGGCUAAUCUUUAGUUCUAUUCGAUGUCGGCGAGCCGUUAUCAAGAUGUCGGAUAGCCGUUUUCUACAGUAACUACUACAGGGAACUAUUUUGUAAAAUAAUAGUUUGACCCCAAAACUUCAGAAAAUUAUACUAUGACCCAACACUUUAUAAAACUUGUUAAAUAGAUCCAUUUAUAGGAUUUGAAACAAUAUUUGUUAUUAUCAAAAUUCUCAAAUCUUUUUCAAUUGAAACCAUUAACAUGAGAAUAACCAAAAAUAUUUCCAUAGAAUAUAAAGUCUUUAUAAAGUGAGAGUGAUGAUUUAAAAGUAUAUGAAAAUUAUUUUGAGCUUUUAAAAGAUUAAUCAAUCUUAAUUAAAUUUGUUAUCAUCAAAAUCAAUAAUAAAGAAAUAUUUAUGUUAGCAAUCUUCCCCUUUUUGAUGAUGACAAACUGUUCAAGAAAAUAUUUGUGCAAUUUUGCUCCCCCUAAAUAUGUGCUCCCCCUAAGUAAAAUAUUUAAGGAAUUUAACUUCCCCUAAAUAUGUGCCCAUCAAUUUUUAAUCUCAUAAAAAAAAAUUUAAAUAGAACAGAUUGAAUCGAUAAAUUAUAUCAUCAAUUUUUAAUCUCAUAAAAAAAUUUUAAACAGAACAUAUUGAAUUGAUCAAUUAUCUCCCCCCUUAAUCAUAAAAAAGAAAUGAGCACAAAAAGAGUAAAAAUGAGAAGUUCAGAGAGUACCCAUGUUGGAAAAAUUUUGGCAGAAUCUCCCCUUAAAAAUGAACAUAUCCUCAACAAUACAAAUAGUUAAAACACUCCCAUAUAUACAUUCCAACUUAUCAACCAACCUCCAUUCCAACGAAUUCAAUAUAAUCAUGAACAAUAACCAAACAUGUCAUCAAAAUCAACGAAAUCAUAAAUUGUAAUACCCCACACCCGAUUUUGACCCUGUUGACCACCCUUAUAAAUUGAGAGAGAGAGAGAGAGAGAGAAAGGAAAGAGAGAAUAGAAGAGAGAGAGAGAGAGGGGAGAAACCGAACCGGAUCCAACCCGACCCGCGAGCGCGACCCGGCCGGUUCUCCCAUUUCUGGCCACCAUUCCGGUCAAGGUUGGUACCGAUUUGAAGCUUGAGAGACGAGCAACGUAUCCAUGCCGUCCUUGCCGCCGGAAAUCGAUCGGAAAGCCACCGAUCGAAGCUUUGAAGUUCCGCGGAAUCGCCGCCUCGAUUCACUGUGAUUUCGCUGGUUUCUGGUGAAGGCAUCACUUGGGUUUUGUUCCUUCGACCAUUUCCGACUAACCACUCACGUUGGGGACGUCGUUUUGUCGUUGGUCGGCCGUUGAAGGAUUCAUGACUUCGGGAGCUCGAUCUGAAGCCAUCACCGCCCGUGGGAGGUCACCACCGCCACCAUUGGACUCAGCGUGGCUUGAACUUUCAGUUCUGAGCUUCCCGUUGCCGUCGGUUGAAUUCUGGUGACCGUUGACCAGCAAGGGUAUUUCAGUAAUUUCACAAUCUAAGGGCAAUUUUGUAAUUUCAAAUUUUGUGGGUAUUUUAGUAAUUGUUGAAAUUGAGGAUAAACUUGGUAAUUUAUGAUUUUGAGGUUAAUUUGGUAAUUUUGAUAUUUGAGGGUAUUUUGGUAAUAUUGAAUUCAAGGGCAUUUUGGUAAUUUUGAUCUUUGAGGGUAAUUUCAAAAUUUCAAGAAUUAUCAGUAUUUUGAUGAUUUAUGAUUUAAAUUAAGAUUAUUUGAGGUGAAGUAUGAAAUGUGAUUAUAUUGAGGAAUUUGAGAAUAUUGGAGUAUAUGAUUAUGGUUUAAUUUUAUUCUUAUGAGAGUAUUUUUAUUUAUUUUUAGGCCGAUGAUAUCGAUGUGCAUUUGUUACUCAAGGAUACCAGGAGGUAAGUAAACUAGAUUUCCAAACGAAUCACAAUAAACAAUAUAUAUGUUUGACAUGUUUGGAAAGCCUAUUUUUAUAUAAGUACGGAUAUUGAUUUAUAUGCUCUGCCCAUGUGUUUAUACGAUAUGUUGAUAUGAUGUGUUGUUAUGUGUGUUUAUGGACAUGGGCAUACGUAUGUGUGAAUAUUUCAUUGGCAUGAGCACGAAAUGCAUUAUGUUUUCUAUAAAAUGAGAAAGUGAAUUUUAGCCAAAUGGAAUUUGUAGAAAGAAAGAUUGUUUUACAGUUUUAGCUUGGAUGCUUGAAUUCGUUAUUGGCUUAGUGGAAGACACUCUAGAUGUUUAUAUAGUUAUGAGAUAAGUGGGCGAAGGACGCAUUGGCGAGAAGCCCAAAGAGUAUGAAAGUUAUGAAAAUUAUGAAAGUUAAGGGAGUGUCCUACUAAGCGGUAAUCGAAUAAAGGUAGCUCAAGUAAGUGGUUUGAAAGAGAAUGUGAAAGUUUGAGAAAGACAUAAUGAGAUUUCAAUUAUUUUUUUUACGAUGUUUUCGAAUAUCAUGGCACGUCAUUCAUUUGCACUAUCUAUAUGUAUGUAUGUAUUUUGGUAUAUGCAAAACUAGUUUACUUAUUGAGUUUCGUACUCAUUAUAGUUUAUUGUGAUUCAGUUUCCGUAAAUCAGGAUUGAUUCGUGAUGAUCGUCGAGAAGGACUUGAAUGGAGGAAUUAGAUGGUUUGGCAUGAAUUUUAAAUUCUUCCGCUGCAGUUUACGUUUUAUAUUUGUAUUUUCAAGGAUAUAAUUUUUAUGGAUUGUAAAAGGAUUAUUAUUAUUUAUUAUUAUUUUAUUUUUAAGCAUCUAUCAGUAAGAUUCGCCCUGUGGAGGUCGGGGUGGGUCGUUGCAUAAAUAAAAUUCACAUAUCCAAUAAAAACAUCAUAAAAGCAUCACAAGAACAAUAAAAAAAAAACAAAAAGUACCACAACAAACUACAUGAAAUGAGUAAUGUUUGUGCGAAAAUCAUAGGGGCAGAAAAUUAAGAUGGGGGCGGUGAAGAGGAACUUCCGGGAUCAUAGCCAAGGCGACCAAGAAUACGGCACUGUCCAGCAAGUAACUUCAUCUGCUGAUUUAAUAUCUGCCGCCGAAAAGUCACAAAAUCAGAUUGAAGCUGCUGCUGCUACUGGGAGAGUGUAUCCAUCUUGUCGAAGAGCUGCUAAAAGCGGUCCUCAGAAGCAGAAGAUGCUGCAAGAGGGAUGGCUGGCUCAGUUGGCUUGUCAUCCGAAGAGGAAGCUGCUGCGGAUGCUGCUGCUGUUGCUCGGCGAGGGGCACGCGGUCUAGCCCUAAGGCGGAAGUCGGGUAACUCACCCUUGAAAUAGACAUCAUUUAGCAUGCUAUCAUCCUCUGGAGCAAUAAAAGUGUCUUCAUUCUUAGAGGAUGUUGUCUUUUCCCACUUCCCAUUCUUCUUAAAAAAUCCGAUCGCAGACAUAAUCUCUCGACCGAGCUUUCGGGUCUCGAGAUAAACAGGCUUAGUGGUUAAUGGGCCAAGAGUGAAGCACUAUAUGGGAGAUGAGGUGAACAGCCUAAUGAAGGAUCGGUUCUUAAAGGAUCGAGGUUGAGGAAACAAGAAAGGUCAGGCUUAAAGACCUAAAAUCAAGCGCUAAUUGGGAGGCAACCCAAUAAGGGAAGUUGUUUUAACUUUUUAAAGCAUUAAAUUUAGUUUUUAAAUUAUUGAAUUUGUCUUGCUGUUAUUUUAAGUGUGCAUCCAAUUUUUUAUGUCUUUGUGUUAAAUUGCAGCAGGUAAAAAAAAAACAAAAAAAUGCGAAAAAAAGAGUAGCAAAGAAUUACUGCAGCAUCACUUACAGCAUGACAUAUAACAGAAGAUUCUCAAACAAUAGAGGCAUUUCUUGCUUUUGCAGCAGUAAAUGGAUUGAUCAGAUUUUAUGAUAAGGAGCGUUUGAGAAGUAUAUUAAAGAAAAAGUGACCUUUUACAGCCUAUGCUGCAACAGUGCUUCCAGUAACCGGGCAGUACCCCUAACCGCUAGUUUAUUUUACUUCUUGCUGCAAAACUUUUCUUUCAUUUAGUUUUAAUUUUCUAAUUCAUUCUGCAUGUCCUUUUAUUUAGUGUAUACAUGUCUGGUUUAUGUGGUUUUGUUUUGUGUGCUUGUGAGGACACAACAUCACUCAAGUUUGGGGGGGUUAUGUUUCUGAGUGCAUGUAUUUAUGCUUGUGUUGUAUGAAGCUUUGUUAUCUAAUAUUUGUGUAUGAAUUUGAAAACCUAAUGAAGAUAAAUUGAGUGCUAUUCAGUAUUUAUGAGAAAGCGAAGUAGAGAUAGUUAUAGAUGGGGGUUGAACUUCUGUCCCGACACUUAGACUUUGGUUGAGUUUUACGAGAAUGCAGUAGCAGAGCCAGGAAAACGAAAAAAGAGUAGAAAAUAUCUAAAGUUUGGGGGAAAAUUUUUGUUGAACUGUGCUUGUUAUGAAAUAAAUUUUGCUCCAAUGGCUUAAGUUGUUGAGUAACCAAGGUUGAGUGUGUACCCCAUAUGCAAACUUGAGUCCAAAGGUAGAAAGAGUUAUGAGCAAUGCUGCAGCAAUUAUAUAUUGAAACAAAAGAAAAAAUGGUGAUGAAGGAAUGAAAAAUAAAGAGGUCCGCUGUCUAGGAUACUGAGUAAUUUGGUCUGUUCAUGAGCCCCAUGUUCAGCCUUGAGUCAAAGGCGUCCAAAGGCAAGACCUAGAUAUAACAUCCUAAAUGUGUUGCUGCAGUAACUCUGACAUGUACUUUGAGUGAGUAAUUGGGUGUCGUCAUUACAAGUGAUGGGCACUCACAUGAAAGCUCAAUGUUGCAUUGAAGGGUUUAACUGAAAAAAAAAGUAUUAUUAUUGUAGCACAGUUUGAGUUUAUUUCUGAAUUUUACUCCCUCAUAUGUGAAUAUAUUUGUGUUCUAUCUCUGAAUUAUAUGCCUGUGUAAUGUUGUAGCACCUCUGAAACUUGAUCAAAGUGGCACACACACACUCUGCACAGAAUGAAGCCUAGUUCGAGAACUAAACUAUUAUGGUUAUUUUGCGUGAUUAAGAAUGUGAUAUGAGGGUUGAAGAAUCCUUACAAAUUUGAUGACAGAGCUAAGUUAUUUGUUGAAUGAUUGUGUGAUUGAAGUGUUAGUGUUAUUGUCAUUACUUGAGGACAAGUAAUGGUUUAAGUUUGGGUGUGUGAUAACUCUAUAAAAUGAGAGUUAUUAUGGCACUUUUAGACUUAAAUCAAUAUGGUUUAAAGAGUAAAUGAUGUGUUUCUAUUGUAUUUUGUUACAUUUUGCAUAAAUAUUCAUUUUAAUUUAGUCUUAAUAAGUUUUGCUCGAUUUAAAGUAAUUUGUGCUCAAAUUGUGUGCAAAAUUGUAGGUUUCCAGAAGUUUAUAAUUCAUGGAAGGAAUGCUAUGCAAUAAGGUUGCAAAAAUAAGGAAAGAACAUGGCUAAAAAAGAGUUGAAACAAAUCUGAAACAAUGCAGUUGCUGUAGAUAUUGCUGUAGCAACCAUUGCUGUAGCAAUCCUGGAACAACGACAGAGAAAAUUUCGCGCGGGAUACUUGCAGAAUUGCGAUCUGCAGUUUCCUAAUCAGACUUAUGCGCGCCCUAGGGUUCCGUUUACCCUAAUUUUCAACUAUAAAAGAAGCACACAUCAUAAGGAAAAGAGGGAGCCGUCACCCAAGGAGAAAAACACAAAGAAACAAAAGAAAAACAAGAUUCAAGAGAGAAAUUAAGGGCUGCACAAGAGGAGAAUUUACAGAAAUCAAUUGGGAGCUCAAUCCUUCUUAUUCUUCUCUUGUUUUCGUGUUUUCUAUUUAUACAUGGGGAUGCAUUUCAUGACUGAAACUUUGUUCUUUAUUUUUUUUUUUUUUUGCAAACCAUGAACUAAAUUUAUUUGUGGUUGAGUGAUAAACAAUCUUGAUGGUUUAUUGAUUGAAUACAUGUGUUGUUGCAUGUUUACUGUAGCAGUUUGUUUUGAUAGUAUUUAUUUUUAUUCAUUAUUUCGGUUGAUCACCCAUUUAAUAAUACAAGUUAGGAGAGAGCCGCAAAAGGGCCUAUCUUAGUGGAACAUAUCAGAGCAAUACUUGGUUUAGAUUGAGUUUCCUGGAUUGAGUUUAACUUAUUCCAAAAGGGCCAUGCUUCAUUUAAAAUUAGUGAUGAACUAGACAUAUGGAUUCACCUUGUAGGGUGAAUAGAAUCUAAGCGUGUAAUACUAUAUCUUAUGUUGGCAUAACAACUGAUCACUGUUAGGUUACAUAUAGAUAUAAGAUAUCCAACAUGCGACAGCUGAGGAUACAUAAGGAUUCUGCCCAGUGUUGUAGCAAAUACUGCAGCAACCGAGCCAACCAUUAGAAAAUAGUCAAGACCAUUAGGAGAGUUUAGUCACUCAACUACUAUAUAUUUCCAUUAGUUUUAUCAUUGAGCUUGAUGUGAUAGUUUACUUUGUUGCAUUUAUUUAUUGUGUUUUUAUUUUAAUUAGUACAUUAGUUUCAUUAAUUGUUUAUUUUAUUUUAGCACAAAAUCUGCACUGUUAAGAUUGUUGUAGCAAAUCUGAUAACAUCAAUCCUUGUGGAGACGAUCUUGAAUACUCAUCACUUUAUUACUUGUUGUGUACACUUACACAUUGACACCAAUAGCAUUAGUAUUUAUACACCAACAGUACCUAUGACAGAUUGAUGUUCCGGUUUAGGAACUAAUUCCCACACAUUGUUUCUUUUAAAUUGAUUUAACUCCUCUUGUAUUGUCAUAAUCUAAGAUUCAUCAUUUUCCGCAUCCUCAAAGGAUUUGGGUUCAAUUUGAGAAAUAAAUGCAUUAUGCUCACAAGUAUUCCUAAGUGAUGAUCUAGUUGUAAUACCUCGUGAGGGAUCUCCUAAAAUUACAUUCUUAAGGUGAGAAGAAACAUACCUCCACUCUUUUGGGAGUGAUUGAAAAGUACCUUCAUUUUACUCUACAUUUGUUUCUUUAUGUUGCUCAUCUUGAUUCCCAUGAGACGCAUCCUUUUGGUUAUCUUUUGAUGACUCUUUUUGUAAGUCUUCAUCUGCAUCAUUAUCAACAACAACUUUCUCCGUAGAGGAGGGGUUAGAUUCAUCAAAUAUAACAUGCAUCGAUUCUUCUACAACUAGAGUUCUUUUGUUAUAAACUCUAUAAGCUUCACUUGAGUUUGAAUAUCCAAGAAAAAUACCAACAUCGGAUUUUGAAUCAAAUUUGCCAAGAUUAUCUUUUGUGUUCAAAAUAAAACAUUUGCAUCCAAAAACUUUGAAAUAACCAAUAUUGGGUUUUCUAUCUUUCCAAAGCUCAUAUGGAGUUUUAUUAAGAUUAGGUCUAAUCAACACAUGAUUUAAAACAUAACAAACGGUGUUGACGGCCUCGGCCCAAAAAUACUUAAGCAAGGAAUUUUCAUUCAACAUAGUCCUAUCCAUUUCUUAAAUUGACAUAUUCUUUCUCUCAACAACUCCAUUUUGUUGUGGAAUUCUAGGUGAUGAAAAUUGAUGCACAAUGCCUAGAUUAUUGCAAAAGGUUUCAAAUGCAUAGUUUUCAAACUCUCCUCCAUGAUCACUUCUAAUGCAUGCAAUACCAUACCCUUUUUCAUUUUGAAUUUUCUUACAAAGUACUUUAAAAGCAUCAAGAGCAUCAUCCUUAUUAAUUAAGAAUAAUACCCAAGUGUAUCUUGAAAAAUCAUCAACAAUUACAAAAGCGUAAUAUUUUCCAUUCAAGCUAGCAUACCUUGAAGGUCCAAAUAAAUCUAUAUGAAGUAAUUGAAGCGGUUUUGAAGUAGAAAUAUAAUUUUUACUUUUAAAAGAGGUUUUGAUUUGUUUACCAAAUUGGUAUGCUUCACAAAUUUUAUCUUUUUGAAAACCAAUUUUUGGAAGACCUUCAACUAAAUCAUUUUUGGAAAUCUUUGAAAUUAAAUCCAUGCUUGCAUGUCCUAGUCUUCUAUGCCAUAACCAACUAUCAUCAUGCAAUGCCGAAAAACAUUUAUCAUUAGUGGAUGCACAUUCUAUGUCAAUGGUAUAAACAUUACCACAUCUAUUUCUAAUAAAUAAAAUCUUGUUAUCACAUGCAUUCUCAAUAAUACAUUUAGAUUUAUCAAAAGUAAUUUUAUAACCUUUGUCACACAAUUGACUAAUAUUAAUCAAAUUGUGUUUCAAGUUUUCAACUAAACAUACAUUUUCAAUUAAAGUUGACGAAAUUUUACCGACAUUUCCAACUUCGAGAAUCUUUCCUUUUGAGUUAUCUCCAAAAGAAACAUCUCCACCAUUUUUGAUUGUGGUGAAACUUGAAAACCAUGCAUAGUUUCUGGUCAUGUGCCUUGAGCAACCACUAUCCAAGAACCACUUAUUUUUCUUUUUCUUUAAUCCCUGCAGAAAAAGUUUCUAAGUUUUAGGUACCCAAAACUUCUUGGGUCCUUGUAUGUUAGCAAUGGUUCCUUUUGGAACCCAAAUACAUUUCACACCAUAAUAUGCAUUUCUUUUUACUGGACAUCUAUUUUUCAUGUGUCCAUCUUGAUUACAAUGAUGACAUACAAUUUGAUUGUUAAUAGAAGUACUUUUCACAAAGUAGUUUUUAUAAUAUUUUUGUUUUAAGUUUGGCUUAUAUCCAAUACCUCCUUUAUCAAACACACAUUUUUGUGAAUUGAGCAUGUUUUCCAACAUCUUUUGUCCAUUUGUAAACUUUAGCACAAUUUCAUUUAGUUCAUUAUUUUUCUUCUUAAGCACUUCAUUCUCUUUCAUUAACUCAUCCACAUGUGAUUUUUCAUGUUCAUAAGUGCUUUGUUUACCUUUAAGAGCUAAAGUUUUAUCAUGCAACAUUUUAUUCUCUAAUUCUAAUUCUUUUAUCUUCUCAUUAUUGCAUUUUUCCAGGGCAUCUUUUUCAUUUGUAAGUUCUAGCAUUUUCAUUUUAAGGCAUGCAUUCUUUUUACCAAUUUUCAUCAACUCAUCAUGUAAUUCUUUAAAAGCAUCAUACAACUCAUCAUAGGUAGGAUCACUUACCUCAUUGAGAUCAUCAUCAUCUCCUAUUGCCAUAAGUGUUAGGUUUGAUGCUUCAUGCAAUUCAUCUUCAUCACUUGAAUCUUCAUCGCUAUCAUCCUAAGUAGCAACCAUGGCUUUCUUCUUGAAUUUGUUGAGAAGUGGGCAUUCCGAUCUUAUAUGGCCGGGCUUUUAGCAUUCAUAGCAUAUGAUUGCCUCUUUCUUCUCCUUUUGAUUCUUGAAGUUUCUAAAUCUUCUUCGCUCACCGGUUUUCUUGAAGAAUUUUCUAAACCUCAUUUCUAGCAUGGCCAACUCCUCAUCAUCCGGUUCACUUUGCUCAUCACUCUCAAAUUUUGAAGCUUUGAGAACAAUACUUUUCCCUUUUUUCGGCUGCUAAGUCUUCUUCAUAUGAAAUAAAAGAGCCAAUUAAAUCAUCAAGAGGUAAAGUAUUUAAAUUUUUGGCCUCUUAAAUAGCAGUCCUCUUAGGUCUCCAUUCCUUAGGAAGUGACCUAAUGAUUUUCUUUACUUUCUCACUAUUUGAGAAAACUUUUCCCAAAGCUCCUAGGGUGUUCACCAUGUCCGUAAAUCUAGUAUACAUAGAAUACACAUUUUUAUUUUGUUCCAUUUGGAAUAAUUCAUAUUGACGAGUGUAUCUACUAAUUUUAAUCUCUUUAACUUGAUUUGUCCCUUCAUAAACAACUUCAAGUUUAUUCCAUAUUUCUUGUGCACUUUCACAACUAGAUACUCUAUGGAAUUCUUUCUUAUCAAGAGCACAAAACAAGGCAUUCAUUGCCUUGGAGUUUAAGGACAUCUUUCUCUUUUCUAACUCACUCCAUUGACUUGAUGGUUUAGGAAUAUCAUCUCCUUCAUUUUUAAACAUAGGCAUGAAUGGACCAUCAUAAACAACUUCCCAAAUUUCAUAAUCUAAAACUUGUAAAUAGAUUCUCAUCCUAGUUUUCCAAUAUGCAUAGUCAUUACCAUCAAAGAACGGUGGUCCAGUUGUGGAUUGUCCUUCUCUAAAGGUUGAGUCAUUUAGGGUUGCCAUUGAUCUUUUACUCUAGAUGAUUACGUCCUAACAAGAGAAUAAGGCUCUAAUACCAAAUGAAAUUCUAGUAAUGCAACCCAAGAGGGGGGUGAAUUGGGAUUCUAAAAAUUAUACAAUUUUUAAAGCAAAACUCAAUGCAAAUAUAAAACGAAUUUAAAGCAAUAACAAAUAAAUUUAUCACAAUAUAAAAAGAUAAGGUAAGAGAGAUUCAAACAUGAGGAUUUUUACGUGGUUUGGCCAACCUCGCCCACGUCCACGCCUCCAAGCUUUCCGGGCUUGAGGAUUCCGCUAAGCAAGCCACCAAGGCUUCAAAUGCUUACACUUGACUCCUAAGAUGUCAAUAAACCUUUACAACAAGAGAUUAUCCCCAAUCUCUUAACCCAAGUGUAUCCCAACACUUACAAUCACUCAAUUUGAUUUUAAAGAAUGUUACAAAAUAAAUUUCUCUCACACUGUGUUUGAUUACAAAUGAAGAUUCAAAGUGUGAGUAAAUGAGAUGAAUACAAGAAUUUAAGGCUCAAUGAAUGUUGUAUGCUCAAGACUUUAUUCAAUAAUAAUUGUUGCAAUCGUUUUAGUUUGAAUUUGAUUGAGCUUAUUUAUUGUUGGAGCUGAAAACUAGCCGUUAUUGACUUUCUGCACACUGUCGGAUUGCCGUUAUCUAGAUGUCGGAUCGCUGUUUUAAAUAGUCAAUAUGACCGUUGGGCUGAAUUUUCAAAUUGUCGGAUUGUCGUUAUAUCUAGAUGUUGAUCGCCGUUAGUGUCCAGAGACUAAUCUUCAAUUCUGUGCAAUGUCGGUUAGCCGUUAUCAAGUUGUCGGAUUGCCGUUAGUGUCCGGAGGCUAAUCUUCAGUUCUGUUCGAUGUCGGCGAGCCAUUAUCAAGAUGUCGGAUCGUCAUUUUCUACAGUAACUACUACAAUGAACUAUUUUACAAAAUAAUAGUUUGACCCCAAAACUUCAUAAAAUUAUACUAUGACCCAACACUUUAUAAAACUUGUCAAAUAGAUCCAUUUACAAGAUUUGAAACAAUAUUUAUAUCAAAAUUCUCAAAGCUUUUUCAAUUGAAACCAUUAACAUGAGAAUAACCAAAAAUAUUUCCAUAAAAUAUAAAGUCUUUAUAAAGUGAGAGUGAUGAUUUAAAAGUAUAUGAAAAUUAUUUUGAGCUUUUAAAAGAUUAAUCAAUCUUAAUCAAGUUUGUUAUCAUCAAAAUCAAUAGUAAAAAAAUAUUUAUGGUCACAACUUUUAUACGUUGGCAAAAAAUAUUACAUUUCUUGUUGACAAGCCUCAAUGUUGUUAAUGUUCUUACAAUAUCAAAGCCUGAAGAACGUGAGAAUGAGAAACUCGAGUGUGGCAAAAGUGGAAGCAAGAUGUCUACGUGUGCAUAAGACACAUUUACAAUGCCGUGUCUAGUACUUUGUUUUCAUAAGUACCACAACAAAAUCCACUGCAAAAGAAAUAUAAGACUUAUUGGAGUCUAAGUACAUGAUGGAAGACACCACAAGUAAGAAAUUCUUGACUUCUAAUUUUUUUUAGUUUUAAAAAGAUUGACAAUAGACUUGUGAUGGAACAAUAUAAUGAGAUUUUUUGCAUUCUUGAUCAAUUCAACCAACACAACAUGAAAAGUAAUAAGUUUAUUAUUAUUUCUUCAAUUAUUGAUAAACUUCCCCCCUCUUGAAAAGACCAUGAAAAAAGUCUUAAAUAUAACAAAGAGGAAGUUAGCCUGGAAGGCUUGGCAAAGUCUUCAUAUUGAAUAGAAACUUAAACUUAAUAGUCUUGAGGAACAGACUGCUAUGUCCUCUGAAAUUAAUGUUGUGGAGGAGGAGAAGGAGCUUAAGCAGUCUAAUACCCGCAUUAAUAACAAAAGCAAAAAUUUGAUUCGAAAUAGAAUCAAACCAACAAAAUAAAAAAAUAAAAAAAGAAGUGUACAUGCCACCAAUGUGAAAAGCCUAGCCACUUUAAAAAAGACUGACAAAGCAAAAGUUUGAUUCCAAAUAGAAUCAAACCAAUAGAAUAAAAAAAGAAGUGUACAUGUGACCAAUGUGAAAAGCCUAGCCACUUUAAAAAUGACUGUCAGCUUCUUAAGAAAGAAAAGAAGUGCUCGAACACAAAUUUUGUGGACAAAAUUUAUGGCCAUAAUAUCUUAGAUUAAUAUUCUCGAACAUGAUAAUGCAUGGUGAAUAGAUUCCGGUGCAAUCAAGUAUGUGUACAAGAAUCGUAGGCUUUUCACAUCUUACAAAGCAAUGGAUGAUUGAAGUGUUCUUUAGAUGGGAAAUUCCUCCAUUGCAACAAUUAGAGGGAAUGUGCAACUAGAGUUCACUUGUGGAAAAAUGUUAACUCAUAUUGAUGUUUAUCAUGUAUCUAAAGGUAGGAAAAAUCUUGUAUCUAUAUUAGGGUGGUACCGUAUUUGAGUCAAAGCAAUUUUGCAUUGUUUAAGGGUGGUACCUUUAUUGGGAAAGGAUACAUGUAUUUGGGAAUGUUCAAGCUCAAUAUUAAUAAAAUUAAUGUUUCUUCUUCUUACAUGAUUGACUCAUUAUCUUUGUAGCAUAUUCAUUUAGGACAUGUGAAUAUUAAAAGAUUGCAUGUUAUAGCUAAUUUAGAAUUAAUUUUUAAACAUGGAAAUAAUGAUACUACAUCACUCUCUUCUCAACCCUCUUUCCUGAAACAAAUUUUAUUGUAUAACAUCUAUACUAUAUCCAUCAAAUAUCUAAUAUAUUGUUUACUAUAGGAAUAAUAUAUUGAUUCUCGAAAAGCUUGCAACAUUCAAAAGUAUUCAAGUUUGCUUUCAUCGAUGAAAAACACAUGCAAACAAAUAAGUGAUUCAUUGUAUCCUGGAGGUAUAUAUGUUUAGCCUAUAUGCAUCACUUAAUUGGUGGGACAAAUGAUAUCUUUAGGAAAGCGACAUUUGUAAUGUGCCUUGAAGUACACAUUAAUUUUCUACAAUUUACCUAUUACUAUGAUUUUAUUAUACUCAGGGACGUAGCUGUUGUGCAAAUUUUAAUGUACUCGCAAGCGCACGAAUCUAUCGUAGUAUAGACUAAUGGUGACGAGUGUCGAUCCCACGAGGAGGUGGAUUUUAAUUAUAUGUAGAAUUAAUUUUGUAAAUGGGUGGUUGGAAUUGUGGUGGAAGUGAUUUAAAUUAUCCUAAAAUUGGAAUUGAAAUGGCGAUAAUAAAUUCUAAAAUUGGAAUUGCAAUGACGAGAGUAAAUUGAAGAGAAAUCUAUUGAAAUAACGUACUUGGGUAUCUGGAUCCGUAUCAACAUGCAUCAUGGGCUAAAUAAUCUGUAUUAAUGCCAAUUAAAUCAUGAGGGGGGAAUCCACACCUCAUGAACCACGCUCUAAUCAAUAUGGUGCUAAGGGCUUAUCGUGCCAAAUAAUAAUAACCUUAUACUAGAGAGCCGGUGUAACCAAGGCGGUAUCUAGACAAGAUCAGUAUUAUUUGUCAACGAUAAGUCAAAUCAUCCACAAAAACUAGAGGGGAAAAGAAAAUAAAUUUACCAAAUAAAGCCCAUGACACAUGUUGAGACUUCACCUUCAACCCAAGCUUGAAAGCAAACUAGCCACUCAUAAUUGAACUAGGGGCAAAAUAGGAAUUUAUUAAAAUACAAAGAAAAUACAAGAUGGAGAGAGAAUUACAGAAAAUGGAUCCCAAAAAUGGAUUCAGAGAUAUCCAAUUAGGGGGAGAGGCCCCCUUUUUAUAGAUACAUGGAGUAAAUCAUGGCCAUCGGAUUAAAAACAGUUUAGACGCUCAGGAUUGUGCCACGUCAUCAGUCAACAGUCCACGGUUUGACCACGCGGAUGAACAGUAACACGGUUUGACCGGACUUUGAACAGUAACGCGGUUUGACCCGGAUGAACAGUAACGCGGUUUGAUUGAAAAUAAUCCUGUGUGAUGCAUGUACCGUACGCGAGAUUUUUCAUCCACUGAUAUGCUGCCACGUCACCAUCAACAGUACAUAAGAAUUUUAGCCCAACAGGAUCGUGACACCUCAUCAGUCAAUGCCACAUCAUCGGUCAAUGCCACGUCAUCGAUCCGUCUAUGUGAACAGUGUUGUGAACAGUAACGUAGUUAGUACCGUACACGUGAAUAGUACCGUACAUAUGAAUAGUGCCAUUUUUCCUUUUAUGCUCCUCUUAAGGUUUUCGACUGUCCUGAGUUCAAAAGUGAUGUCCGUUUUGCCGUCUGAUCUCUCCUUUAUUGUGAAAUGACUAUAAUGCCCCUAAAAUACAUAAAUUACUUAAUUAAAAUAAAACACACGUAAUUAAAUCACAAGAAUGUUAAAUACAUAAAAGUAACGGUUGUUAGUAAGACUUGAAAUGUAAAAUGACGGUUUUCUCCUUUAUAAAUAUGCAUUUUAUAACACUCAACACACCCCCCAACCAGCUUAUUGUUAGUCCCUAGCAAAUAAAGCGAAAACAAAAUUCAAAUUCAAAAUGAUUUUUUUUUUUUUUUUGAAACACUCGUAUUUAUUCAAUCAUAUUAAUGAUAGCAAUCAAAUAAAAGUAUAAGCAUUAUCUCCAGUCUAAAGCAACAUCACACCCACAUCAACCAUCCACAUGAAUCGGCCCAGUAGACUUUGUUAUAGCUACUUUCAAGAAUGACAUGUCAAACCCCAAAAUCUCACUGGAAGUAGUGACACUCUCACAAAGAAAUUAAAACCCAAUAAACAUAGUCACUCCAAUGAAUGGUAAUUGAGAAAGAAAAUAAUAAAGAAAUGAUAUCACAUGCUCUCACCAAGAUGAAAUAAAUAUGCCCUCAGCUUAGAAAUAAUACGAUCUCAAGUCAAAUAAAAUGUUAGUCAACCCACUUUAUUUAUCUUUUUUUUUUUUUUUUUUAUGCAUCACUACAUCUUUUUAGCCCAUAUAACUAGCUUCUACUUCAAACUAUAGUUCCCUAAAAUCAAGAAGGACUUUUAUUAGGACGUAACGUAGGCUAGGGAUAUGGCUAACAAAGAAAGGAAAUAAGGAAAACAAAGUGUAUGUUUGAGAAAAAUGCAGAAUUUUUUUUUUUUUUUUUUUUUUUUGGAAGUUGCAAGGUGGAUUUCACCUAUUAUUGUUAUUUUUAUUCUUUUGAAACAACAACUUUUGUUUUGUUUUUUUUUUCUUUUUGCUUUUAUUUGGCAUAACUUCACUGAACAACAUAAUUAUUUACAUUUUCUCAAACAUAAAUAGGUGAUGGAACUUAAAAGACAUUGGGUAAUACUCCAAAUCGGAGUGGGUCAAGAUGAUAAGUUGACAAAGAAAAGGUUUUUGUUCUUUUUUUUUUUUUUUUUUUUUAAAGGCUCAAAAGGGGUAACUAUGGAUAUUUAAUAAAAUGGAUGGCUAGAAAGGCUCAAACGGAUCAAAGAUGGCCUUUCCAUCGUCUUCUAGGGCUCUAAAUAAUUAUCCAUAUCUACUAGUUAGAUGGGCCUCCCAAUGUAGCAACACACAUUUUUUUCUUUUUCUUUUUUUCUUUUUUUUUAAUUUUACCAUUUUUUUUUAAAGGGUUAACUUAAAAGAAAUCUAGAGAUCGUGUAUAAAAUAAUAAACUGCUAAGCUGUAUAGAGAAUGGGCAAAAGGGUUACUCUCCAAGAAAAUGAUAGGCUCAACAACUCACUUGGCACUUAUUUAUGACAUGUUCAUUCCUUCAAGCAACUCAUAUUUGUCUCCGACAUCAACAUGUAAAGUAGCAAACAUAGCGUAACAUCACUUAAGUCCAAAGAUAAUACAAAUACUAAAAUUUGAAAUUAAUCAUGUCAUCCAAUGUUAAAACAAAUAACACAAUUUUUUUUUUUUUUUUAAACAACAUUCUACCCCCCAACCUAUUCUAAGCAUGAAAGGAAAAUAUGCAUGCAGAAAUGUGAAAAUGAUGCAUAAAAACUAAUUAGAAAAGUUACACGUAAAAUGAUAGAAAACGAAAAUGAUUUUUUUUUUUUUUAAAGAAGAUGCGUUUCUAGAGGAACUACACUCCAUAUUCAGCCAUCUUCGACUCAAAAGUUGGAAAAUGUAUAUUUAUAGAGGAGAAAUUAAAAAGAAGAAAAAUAAACAUAAACACAUAAUAAAGAAAAAGAAAAUGUCUGAAAUUUUUUUUUUCUUUUUUUUUUUUAGUUAUUUUUUUAUUAUUAUUUUUUUUAAACGAUGAAGAUGCGUUUCUAGAGUCACUACACUCCAUAUUCAGCCAUCUUCAACACAAAAAGUUAGCAACAGUUAGUUUCUACAACAAAAAAUUAGUAAAAACUUAACCAAAAUUUCACAAUUGUCGACUAUUCCCUCCCCCCAACCAGAACGAAACAUUGUCCUCAAUGUUUUAAAGGAAAGAAGUAGAGUUUAGAAGACAUCACCUGGGUGGUGCAACACAGAAGAAAAUAUUUACAGGCGGAGAGUUAAAUCUAAUUUGUACUUCUUACUGCGGCUACUGUUAUCAUCAUUAUUUGGUCGCUCCAACACAAAGGUCCAGGGGUCUGGCUCCGGUUUAUAAGCUUGUAACAUAUCAAGUAGCUCAUUAGCAGUGUGAGCACAAAUAAAGAGUUUUUUCACAUUAGAAGGAAUGAAAUAGUUUUUUAUUGCAUGGUUAAGAAAUGCGAUAAAGCCAUCAUAAAAGUUAUUGACAUUUAACAAACCGAUGGGUUUCUGGUGAAUGUGUAGAUGGGCCCAAGAUGCUAGUGUCAUAAGUGCCUCUAGUGUUGCAAGAUCUCCUGGAAGGAAAAUAAAAGCAUCAGCAUGAUUAAGCAUUUCAGUUAUUCUUUCUUGCAUACCUGAGACGACUAACUCUUCUCCAGUUGAUGAGUCAGACGAACUGCCCAAUGGUUUUAGGACUCUUGGGAUGAUGCCUAACACUUGACUUCCUCUGAUAAAAGCUGCUUCUGAGACCAUUUUUGAUAACCCCCGGUUACCUCCUCCAUACACCAAAUGUAAUUUUCUCGCUGCUAUGCUUCGACCAAGAUCUAUGGCUGCCUCCACGAACUCUUUAUGUUUGCCAUAGGUAAAUCCAGAAAGCACACAAAUGUUCUUGAAUUGUCUAUUGGGAGUAGCUGCCAUUGUGAUACUUCUCAAAAAUAAUUUGUGAGUGCUUGACAAAAAGUAAAUCACAUUUAAGAAUCUUGGUGACAGUGGAUCACAGCUGUGAAUGAGGUAACAUGUCAGUGUCAAAUAACGCGUAAAGCACGUGGCUCGCGAGUCAAAAAGGAAAUAGUAAAAAGGAAACAGCAAACAGUAACCAAAUUAUUAAAGACAAUAAUGCAAACAAUAAAAAAACAGUGAAAUGAAAUAAAAUAACAGUAAAGUAAAAGGAUAUUUACACGUAGUUGCGACUGUGGCUCACAUCUUCCUCUGGUUUUACGUCCAGAAACGGCUUGAACGCCCUCUAUGGGUCGAGGAUGGGCUUCCCAUCCAGUUUUCUUAUAAACUGGCAAACAGGGUCGUUUAUAGUCAGAUUCCCGAGACUAUAUUGUGCAUGCUCUUUCUGGAAUAAUGGUCAUAACCGGAGAAUCGCUCCUUGCACAUAUCCACUGGGAUGCGUUUCAAGAGACAAAAGGAUAUCAUCCAAUGACUCCUUAUUCAAGCCAUCCCUAAUGAAUUGAAUCUUAUCUUCCCUGUUAUCAGACAUCAUUCCUAAAGAACAUGGGUUUUUAUUGCAACUCAUUCUGGCACACUUAUGACAAGCAACAGAAAUUCUUCGAGCUAGUCAUUUUCUUGCAUAAUUUCCUUUACCACAACCAGGCAUGUAUGCAAUAAAUUUUGGAGGUAACUCACCUGCCGAUCGUACUUUAGCCUCGAUUAACCAACGGAUGUCAGCAGGUAUGUUAUUCCUCAUGAGCAAUCGGAUGCGUUCAGACCGGGCUUUAUAGAUUGUAAGGAGGGCAUUCUGAGGAAGUGAAGGGAAUCGCUUGUGAAGUUUCGCUAGAAUCUCGUUUCUGUCCAUACCUUCGCCUCAGAAUAUCAGUUAUUAUGGGAAACUGAAGUAACCGACUUGAUUGUCACGGAGUACCGUUAUCCGCCACUUCACCAGGGUAACAAACUAAAGCACACAAACAGAAAAACAAAUUAAAACACACAAAGAAAAUUAAAAUCGUCCUCUUAUUGAAUUUACCUCAAGCUCCAACUAGAUGUCGUAAACACUUCUCUCAAUAUCUCGGAGUUGGCUUUCUAGAUUCUCAACAUAGGCUACUAACUCUGGUGGUUGUAGAGCCCAAAUGCGUUGUGUUUUACAAAACUGAAUCUGCUUUUUGAGAUGAGUUUUGACACGUUGAAGUGGUUUAAGAAUGUUCAGGAGGAACGGUCUAAGUAAGGUACUCAUGAUUAAAAAUGAUAAAAGAAAACUUAAUAGUUAAACAAACACACUUAUGCAAAAAUAAUUUCAAUUAGCAGAAGAAUAAUAAAAAGAAAGAAAGAAAAAUCAAAUCAACGAAAAGAAAAAACAAAUCAAUUCAAAUCUGGUGGGUCACUCAAAUUUAUUUCGGUGUCUUCUCCAUGUGGUUGGUAUUCUAGAUAUGGCUUUAAUCUUUGACCAUUAACUUUAAACGUGACACCGUUCUUUGGGUCCUUAAUUUCAAUUGCCCCAUGUGGAAAAACAGUAUGUACAAUAAAUGGGCCAGACCAACGAGAGCGUAACUUACCUGGGAAUAGGUGCAAGCGAGAAUUGAAUAAAAGCACUUUCUGACCUGGAGUGAUCGAUUUUCUCAUAAUUUGCUUAUCAUGGAAGACUUUCAUUCGUUGCUUGUAAAUCUUGGCAUUUUCGUAUGCAUCAUUGCGAAUUUCUUCAAGUUCUGCCAGCUGUAAUCUUCUUUCUGAGCUGGCUUGCUGCAUGUCAAAAUUGAAUUUCUUGAUGGCCCAAUAUGCACGAUGCUCUAGUUCCACAGGUAGGUGGCAAGCUUUUCCAUACACUAGCCUAUAGGGUGACAUCCCAAUCGGGGUCUUGAAAGUCGUUCUAUAUGCCCAUAAUGCAUCAUCAAGUCUUAAUGACCAAUCUUUUCUGUCUGGCCUCACCGUUUUUUCUAAUAUGUGCUUGAUUUCUCGAUUGGAGAUCUCAACUUGGCCACUGGUUUGCGGAUGAUAUGGGGUCGCCACUUUGUGUGUGAUUGAAUACUUUGUCAAAAGUGCUUUAAAUGCUUUGUUACAAAAGUGGGCACCACCAUCACUGAUUAUCGCUCGAGGGAAUCCAAAGCGUGAAACAAUGUUGCUUUUCAAAAAUCCUAUCACCACUUUGUGAUCAUUGGUCCUACAUGGAAUUGCUUCUACCCAUUUCGAUACAUAGUCAACAGCAACCAAUAUGUAUUGAUGGCCAAAAGAAGGGGGAAAGGGUCCCAUGAAGUCGAUACCCCAUACGUCAAAAAUCUCAACCACUAAAAUUGGAUUUAAUGGCAUCAUGUUCCUUCGUGUAAUGCUCCCCAUUCUUUGACACCUAUCACAUGAAGAACAAAAAGUGUAAGCAUCUCGAAAUAUAGUUGGCCAAUAGAAACCACAUUGUAAAACUUUAGUCGCUGUUUUCUUAGAACUAAAAUGGCCUCCACAAGCUUGUUCAUGGCAGAAUGAAAGGAUAUUCUGAAUUUCACUUUCUGGGACACAUCGUCUAACAAUUUGGUCUGCACAAUACUUGAACAAAUACGGGUCAUCCCAAAAGAAAUUCUUUAUUUCUGCAAAGAAUUUAGCCUUGUCUUGCUUGGUCCAAUGCUCUGGAAAUUUACCUGUAACAAGAUAAUUAACUAUAUCAGCAUACCAAGGUAAUACUUCCACAUUCAUCAAUUGUUCAUCUGGGAAUGACUCAUUUAAUGGUAAUGGCUCUGUAAUUGUGUCAAAAUGGAGACGAGAGAGAUGAUCCGCCACAACAUUUUCUGUGCCUUUUUUAUCUUUGAAUUCCAAGUCAAAUUCCUGCAAAAGUAACACCCAACGAAUUAGUCUAGCUUUUGCAUCUUUCUUUGUGAGAAGAUAUUUAAGAGCAGCAUGAUCUGUAAAUAUAAUUAUUUUACAACCAAUGAGAUAAGAUCGAAAUUUUUCCAAUGCAAACACUACUGCUAGCAUUUCUUUUUCAGUAGUUGAAUAGUUCAACUGUGCAUCAUUCAAUGUCAUACUAGCAUAGUAAAUAACAUGAGGAAUUCGAUCAACUCUUUGUCCUAAAACUGCUCCUACUGCAUAAUCAGAUGCAUCACACAUGAGCUCAAAUGGUAAGUUCCAGUUUGGGGCCUGAAUGAUGGGUGAUGAUGUCAACAACUGCUUUAAUUUUUCAAAAGCCAUAAGACAUGAAUCAUUAAAGAUAAAAGGUACAUCCUUAGCAAGUAAAUUGCAUAAGAGUCUAGAAACUUUGCUAAAAUCUUUAAUGAAACGUCUAUAGAAACCAGCAUGUCCAAGGAAGGAUCUUACUUCUCUGACUGUUUUAGGUGGAGGAAGAUUAGAAAUGAGAUCCACCUUGGCUUUGUCAACCUCAAUACCUUUGCUCGAAAUGAUGUGACCGAGAACAAUACCUUGUUUUACCAUAAAAUGACACUUCUCCCAAUUCAAGACUAAGUUCUUCUCGAUACAUCUCUGCAGAACUAGCGUUAGAUGAUGUAAACAUUGAUCAAACGAAUCACCAAAGACAGAAAAAUCAUCCAUAAAGACUUCAAGGAAUCGUUCAACCAUAUCAGAAAAAAUGCUCAACAUACAUCGUUGAAAUGUAGCAGGUGCAUUACAUAAUCCAAAUGGCAUUCUCCUAUAUGCAAAUGUGCCAAAAGGGCAAGUGAAAGUAGUUUUCUCUUGAUCUUUUGGUGCUAUGGGGAUCUGAUUAUAUCCUGAGUAGCCAUCUAGAAAGCAAUAAAAUUCAUGGCCUGCUAAUCUAUCAAGCAUUUGAUCAAUAAAUGGUAAAGGAAAAUGGUCUUUACGUGUGACAGAAUUCAACUUUCUAUAAUCAAUGCAUACACGUCAUCCUGUAGUUACUCUAGUUGGUAUCAAUUCAUUAUCAGCAUUGGUAACUACUGUGACUCCUGACUUUUUGGGGACAACUUGUACAGGACUGACCCAUGAACUAUCAGAAAUUGGGUAAAUGAUACCUGCGUCUAAUAGCUUAAGGACUUCUGUUCUAACAACUUCUUUCAUAUUAGGAUUUAACCGACGUUGCAUUUCCCUAGUAGAUUUAGCAUUUUCAUCAAGGUGAAUGUAAUGCAUGCAUUCUGCAGGGUUUAUACCUUUUAUGUCUGCUAUGGUCCAUCCUAAUGCUCCUUUGUGCUCUUUUAAAACAUCCAACAACUUACCUUUUUGUUCGUCGUUUAGGGAUGAUGAGAUGAUUACCGGUAGAGUGCUUUCUUCUCCCAAAAAUGCAUAUUCCAAUGUGUUGGGUAAUGGUUUGAGCUCGAGUUUCGGUGGUGAUUCUGAUGAUGGGAUGAGUUUCUUCUCUGAUGGUGCUAGUUGUUCAACUCUUGACUUCCAUUUAUUAGUGUCCAUGGAUGGUGUUGAGUCAAGCAGGGCGUUGACCUCAUCAACUGAUCUGUCAAUAUCAAAAUCAAAACCAAAGUGAGUUAAACAUGUUUUUAAAGGAUCAUCACUAAGGUUUGAAAGAAAAGUAUUAUCAACUAUUGUUUCUAUUAAAUCCACAUCAACAAUUCCAUCAUCUGCACUGUGAGGUUGUUUGGCAAUGUUGAAAAUGUUUAGCUCCAUAGUCAUGUUGCCAAAGGACAACUGCAUAUUUCCAGUCCUGCAUUGAAUAUGAGCAUCUGCAGUUGCCAAGAAAGGUCGGCCUAGAAUAAUGGGGAUGUGCUUCCUUGAGUCCUGUAUUGGUUGAGUGUCAAUUACAAUGAAAUCAACAGGAAAAUAAAACUUGUCUACCUGGAUAAGCACGUCCUCCACAAUACCACGAGGUAUUUUCGUGGACCGAUCUGCAAGCUGUAACACCACUGGAGUUGGGUGUAAUUCUCCCAGUCCAAGUUUCACAAACACAGAGUAAGGCAACAAAUUUACACUAGCUCCUAAAUCCAACAAAGCAUUCUCAAUUGUGUGGUUCCCUAUACUACAUGAGAUAGUGGGGGAGCCUGGGUCUUUGCAUUUUAGAGGAAUUUUAUGUUGGAGUAUAGAACUAACGUUUUCUGUUAAAAAUGCCUUCUUUUGAACAUGCAUGUUUCUCUUUUUAGUACACAAAUCUUUAAGAAACUUGGCAUAAGAUGGAACUUGUUUAAUAGCAUCAAGCAAAGGGAUAUUAACACUUACCUGUUUGAAGAUUUCGAGAAUCUCACCUGUGGAUUUUCCCUUCUUUCCUUUCGCUAACCUCUGAGGAAAUGGAGCUUUCGGAACAUAUUCUCGUGGGUUGGUUUCUUCUUUUUCCUCCGGUGGUGAGUCCUCAACAUUCACAGGUACAAUUUGAUUUUCUUUUGUCACCGGCAUCUCCACUUUGUUGUCGACUUCCUUUCCUUUUCGCAAGGUCAUGACUGCUUUGACCUCUCCAUGCUGUUGUGGUGAACUGGUACUUGCUUCAUGUACUCCUUUAGGAUUAGGCACUGGUUGACUUGGAAAUUUACCUUUCUCAACAGUAAUUGCCAAGGUCUGAACUGAAGAAGCGAGCUGUCCCACCAUCUUCUCGAGGCUUGAAACUGAUUGGGCUUGUGAAUUGAAGCCUGCUCUCAACUCAUUUCGUAGUCCAUCAAUGGUGCGAUUCUGUUGCUCAAUCGUGGAAUGAGUAAGAUUCUUGAGAUUCUGGAAUGAAUCCUCCCAUGGUCUGGGUUGAGAAUAGUUCUGGUUUUGAUUGUAUGGUCUAAAUGGUGGCUGAGAGGCUUGAGGAUUUUGUGGAAUUGGUGGAGCUGGAGCUGCUGGUCCAUUCUGUUGGAAUCCUUGAGACCAUGAAAAAUUGGGGUGGUCUCUCCAUCCAGGGUUAUAUGUGUUGGAGUAUGGGUUGUAAUUCGAUGGUUUUCUGAUUACACCUAUGGCAUUGGCUUGAUCGGAGUAUGAGUCAUGGUCAUGUGGUUCUGUUGAUUUAGCAGUCGACAACGAUGCUAUUUGUCGAGCAAGACCUUCAACCAUCUCCUUGACUUCUUUGAUUCCCGAAGUUGACUCGCCAAUUUGAACCUCAUUUACUCCCUUAAUUCUUCUAGUAUUCCUGAUUGAUCGACUCCGUUGUUGGGAAUUAUCCGCUUGUCGCUGGAAGAAUUCCCAAAUCUCUGUUGCGCUUUUUGACAUUAGCUCUCCUCCACUUGUUGCCAUUAGCCAUUCUUGCACAUUUGGCAAUAAUCCCUCCAAAAAGUAUUGGCAUUGGUGCCAUUUCUCAUACCCAUGAUGUGGACACUUCAAGAGUAGCCCAUUGAAUCGCUCCCAAGUUUCGAAAAACUGCUCGUCCUCUCUUUGUGUAAACUCUGAAAUUUCCCUAUGAAUAGAAUUGGUUUUAUGCACUGGGAAAUAUUUAUUUAGAAACUUUGUAACCGUUUGUUCCCAUGAUGCAAUGCUAUUAGCAGGCAAAGUAUUUAACCAUGAACGAGCUCUAUCCUUUAAAGAAAAUGGGAAUAAUCUAAGUUUAACAUCAUCGUCUGAAAAAUUUUCAUAUUUAAAAGUUUGACAAAUGGCAUGAAAAUCAUUCAGAUGAUUAUAUGGGUCCUCAUUUUCUAAGCCAUAGAAUGUGGGGAGACAAUUUAGCACACUAGGUUUUAGUUCAAAACUCCUAGCAGCUACAUUUGGGUAUCUUAUGCAUGAUGUGCUCAAAUUAGCUAAGGGACUAAAAUAGUCUUUAAAUGGCCUCUCCUGUGGUGCUUUUAAAUCCAUUUCAAAUUUAACGUGCUUGUGUGUGCGAAGUGUUUUUUCUAAUUCAAGGUCUAUAGGUUCAAGAUUAGGUAAUAAAGACCUACGACCAUGCAUACAAAAUAAAUAAAAUAAAAAUAAAGAUGGAAAAACAAAUAAAAAUAAAGAAGAGACAGAAAUUACAAUACUAACCUUAUUGCGCUAUUACAACCUUACUAUAAAAAUACACAAAAAUAAAUACGUGAAAUAAAUUAACUAAAAAUUAAAUUAAUAAAAUAAACAAAAAUUACAAAGAAAAAAAUAAAUUGAAAAUUAAAUUACAGAAUUUUAAAGAAGAGAAAAAGAAAAGAAAUACUAACCUUUAAAUGUAGAUUUACUUUUUUUUUUCUUUUUUUUCUUUUUAAUAAAAAAAAAUACAAGAAAACAAAUAAAAGAAAUUAUUCACAAAAAUUAAUUCUAUGAAUUAAAAUUACUUACCUCCCCGGCAACGGCGCCAAAAACUUGUUGUGCAAAUUUUAAUGUACUCGCAAGCGCACGAAUCUAUCGUAGUAUAGACUAAUGGUGACGAGUGUCGAUCCCACGAGGAGGUGGAUUUUAAUUAUAUGUAGAAUUAAUUUUGUAAAUGGGUGGUUGGAAUUGUGGUGGAAGUGAUUUAAAUUAUCCUAAAAUUGGAAUUGAAAUGGCGAUAAUAAAUUCUAAAAUUGGAAUUGCAAUGACGAGAGUAAAUUGAAGAGAAAUCUAUUGAAAUAACGUACUUGGGUAUCUGGAUCCGUAUCAACAUGCAUCAUGGGCUAAAUAAUCCGUAUUAAUGCCAAUUAAAUCAUGAGGGGGGAAUCCACACCUCAUGAACCACGCUCUAAUCAAUAUGGUGCUAAGGGCUUAUCGUGCCAAAUAAUAAUAACCUUAUACUAGAGAGCCGGUGUAACCAAGGCGGUAUCUAGACAAGAUCAGUAUUAUUUGUCGACGAUAAGUCAAAUCAUCCACAAAAACUAGAGGGGAAAAGAAAAUAAAUUUACCAAAUAAAGCCCAUGACACAUGUUGAGACUUCACCUUCAACCCAAGCUUGAAAGAAAACUAGCCACUCAUAAUUGAACUAGGGGCAAAAUAGGAAUUUAUUAAAAUACAAAGAAAAUACAAGAUGGAGAGAGAAUUACAGAAAAUGGAUCCCAAAAAUGGAUUCAGAGAUAUCCAAUUAGGGGGGAGAGGCCCCCUUUUUAUAGAUACAUGGAGUAAAUCAUGGCCAUCGGAUUAAAAACAGUUUAGACGCUCAGGAUUGUGCCGCGUCAUCAGUCAACAGUCCACGGUUUGACCACGCGGAUGAACAGUAACACGGUUUGACCCGACUUUGAACAGUAACGCGGUUUGACCCGGAUGAACAGUAACGCGGUUUGAUUGAAAAUAAUCCUGUGUGAUGCAUGUACCGUACGCGAUAUUUUUCAUCCACUGAUAUGCUGCCACGUCACCAUCAACAGUACAUAAGAAUUUUAGCCCAACAGGAUCGUGACACCUCAUCAGUCAAUGCCACAUCAUCGGUCAAUGCCACGUCAUCGAUCCGUCUAUGUGAACAGUGUUGUGAACAGUAACGUAGUUAGUACCGUACACGUGAAUAGUACCGUACAUAUGAAUAGUGCCAUUUUUCCUUUUAUGCUCCUCUUAAGGUUUUCGACUGUCCUGAGUUCAAAAGUAAUGUCCGUUUUGCCGUCUGAUCUCUCUUUUAUUGUGAAAUGACUAUAAUGCCCCUAAAAUACAUAAAUUACUUAAUUAAAAUAAAACACACGUAAUUAAAUCACAAGAAUGUUAAAUACAUAAAAGUAACGGUUGUUAGUAAGACUUGAAAUGUAAAAUGACGGUUUUCUCCUUUAUAAAUAUGCAUUUUCUAACACUCAACAGUAGCCAGGAUUUUGAUCGAGUCGGGGCAUAUUUGAAAUCAAAUAUGACUCAAAUGCGCGAUUGCUCAUAUGAUAAGUUCCUAUUUGAGAAACUGUAUUGUGGCCCCCAUAAACUCCAAAUGGGAACUUGCGACAUGUAUAAUUGUACUCCUUAUAGAGUGCGUCUGCAAGCAUCUAAUUGAAACCACAUUUAAAGUAUAAUACAUUUUUAAAAAUUUAGAUAGCAAUAUAUAACAUUACAACUAUAAUAUUCAUUGAUAAUAAAUUUAUUUAUUACAAUGGUUCUCCGUGAAAACUUCUCAAUGAGAUUUGAUGAGUUGAAAAUAAUGCAUUAUCAAUAUAAGCAAAAAUAUAUUUUUCAAUAUACAAGACUAGGCUAUUACUUAAUUUGCUCUUAAAAUCUUUUAAUAAUAACAAAAAUAUUCAUAUAUUGCAACACAAAGAAUAAAUAUGAAAUGCAUGAUAAAAUUAUAAAUUUUAAAAUUAGACAAAAGAUUAAUUAGAAAAUUAAAAAUUAAAAUUAGGUAGACUUACAACUUAUGGUUCAGUAUUGAAAGACUAAAUAAUUGAUUUUACUUGAAUAAAAAAUAAAAAGAUUAAAUACCAGUCCAUUAACCAUUAUACUAAUAUUUUGUUAUGAUUGUUUUUUAUUUUAAUAAUUGUUCUCGUGUAUUUAAUCAAGUUUCAUGAAAUGUUAAUAACUAAUUAAAUUAUUUAUAAUUAAAAAUUUAAACUGGGGAUAGUAUGAAAUAUUUUAAAAUUAUUGGAGUCGAUUUCAAAUUUUAAAAUUCAGUUGGGGCAUUUUUCAUAAAUAACAAAUAAAAUACAAAUUUUUAGUAUAAUUAUAAAAAAAAAUUUAAAAGCUAGCUGGGGCCUGUGCCCCACCUCGUCCCAUGCUGGCUCCGUCCCUGAUUAUACUUACAGAAUUGUAAACACAUUAAUUAAUUAUUAUAAAGUUUCACUUCCACCUUUAUUACUGCAAUUCUCUACAUUUGUCUUUCCCCACAAAUAUAUAUCCCAGCACUUAGUAGAUAUAUUAUUUUAUUAUAAAUAUCAAUAGAUUUUUAAUUGUAUAAUACAUACUUAUGAAAUUGUAUAGAGUAAUUUCGUUCAAUUAUAUUAAUCCGUUAUGAAUUUCAUCACAAAUUUAUAGGUGGCCAAUACCGUGCAAGUGAAAUUUCAGAUAAAAUCAUCUCCUAGCAAUUUUUUUUUUAUAUUUUUCAAUUUUGCUUUAACGUAUGGAUCCAUUUCUUGUCUAUAUGGCAGACAACUUUUAUUAUCAGGUAGGCAAAAUCAAAAGCCUUUAUGUCGUUAAUUUUAUUAUGCCAUGACAGACUCCAAGAUCUAAUUUAGAGAGCGACUCAAAUAAUGGUAAUUAGUAAUUCAUUAUAUCUGCGGCUAGCUAGAUACUUUGUUUGUGAAAAAAAAAAAAAAGAAUAAAAUCAGUUUCAUAAUGAUUUUAUUUACAAUAAAUACCAUACUAUGGUCCAUGACUUACCUCAUAUUACUAAGAAAAUAUGUGAAAGAUAAUUAAGGAUUAAAGCUUUCCACAAAGAUUUAUAAAAUUGCUUUUGAUAAAACUGUUCUGAUGAAAUGAAAUUAUAUGCAAUUACUAAGAAUUUAGUUAGCCUCUCAAUUAUCAGAACCCAGUAGUGCAUUUGAAAGGUGAGCAUCAGCAAAUGACUUGUCAAUUAAAAUGCUGAAAUUCACCCUAUAUGCAUUUGUGCUACUAGAUACGUCAUACGUUACCAUAAAUAGUGAUCAGCAUUUGUAAUAUCAAAUUUUUUGUUUUCAUGGUCUUACAAACAACAGGAAUAAAGAGCCAUGACACAAAAACUGGAAAAGAUAUAAUUAUUCUGCUUAUUGGCAGCUUGCGGUUCAUAAUUAAGACGUUCAGCAAGUUCAUGGGAGCCAUGUUUAUGAGCAUCCUCACGUGGAAGUUCUGUGACUGGAACAUGAUGCUUGCAAAUCUUUCCAAAUAUUCAGACAAACUAGAAAAGCCUAAUGUGCGAACCUCUUCGAAAGCUAUAUGUGGAAUUUGAUUCUUCCAUAUCUUUACAUAUUUCAGCUGGCAUGGAGCACCAUGCUUGCAAAUCCUUCUAUUUGAACAAUUACAUAGUUUGCUUUUGCUUCUUAGCUCAAACAACGCCGGAUCUUUGAUACCUGAGCAUCCUGGAUGGGCUGUGUUUGCAUGAAGCAACUGUUGGGGAAAAAUUAGGUUUUUAAAUUUUUUAUAAAACCUUAUGAAGAUCGCUCUCAUAUAAUACAUAAGAAUUUGUAUUCUAGAAAUCGUACCUUGAAAAUCUGAGUUGGCUUUUUCCGGUGAAGUGAUUUAGGCUCCUAGAUCACGAUCCGCCACCACCACUCCUGUUAGAUCACGAUCCGUCACCACCACGCUUGUUAGAUCACGAACUGUCACCAAUGAUCUUCCAGGUUAUGACUCAGGUUCGAUCUGCACUUGACGUGUGGGCGCCGUUAUCACUACCAAAGCAACUAGCACGAGAAAAUUUUUCUCUCAACAAUGGAGAGAAAAAUCUUUUUCUCUGAUUUGUAUAAAGUGGCUUCUUCUUUUCCUUUUUGGGAAAAUAAGCCUUAUAUAUCUCCCUUUAGUGAAAACCCUAGGCUCCAAGGAUUCCCCAAAAUAAAACUCACGUUACUUUUCAUUUAAUAGGAGACCCACCAUGUAAAAUAACAUAAGGCCCCUUACACAUAAGCUUAUUAAAUGGAGCCUCCCACUAAAUGAUAUAUUUAGGCUUUUGACCCAAAUAGCUAGUUAUCUUGCUUAUUAGUCCAGCAGUGGUGCAAUCAAUUAAAUGAGCUAACCCGGGGAUCAUUUGGGAACAUACAAUAGUGGCUACAAUAAUUAGGCCUGUAAUUAAACUAGCCUAAUUAUUUAAUUCCAAAUCUACUCCACUAAAAGAUUGGAACUGACUUCCAUAAUUGUAUGCUCGAAUAAUAAUUCGUCCCAAGCCACAUUGAUUUCUUUACUGCACAAUCCUUUGUACCACAUCGUUAAUUAAAUUGAUAUCUCAACUGUCCAAUCAAUUUAAUAACAUCUUAUUCCUUGAUCCUUACUGGUUUUCUCUAAUGAUCAUUUUCAACAUACUAAAUAUGUUGACACACUCUGGCCAGAGAAUUCUAUGAUCAAGUACCGAAAACCUAUCAAGAGAUGUGUUGUACAAAUUCUAUAUUGUUAAUCCAUAACUCCAAUACUCAUAAUUGCUCCCACCAAGAUACCGGGUAAUCUUGACCAUAAGGAUGUGUCGUGCCCAUUGGUAACUCAAAUGAAAUAACAAUUACAAUCAUGAAAUCAUAAUUAACUCAAGAUUAAGAUUACAGUAAAAUCAACGCCUAUGAGAUUUAAUAAGUCUGACAGUUAUUACAAAGUUAAUUAAAUCUCAUAUGUGAUCCUAUUCAAUGUAGUCGCACUACAUCAAUAAAUUCAUACAUGAUUAAGACAAAUCAUUCAAUGAAUUUAUUACAGUCUAUACCUAAAUAAAGUGUCCAACUUUAUUUAUCAACUGCGAACUAAAUUUAUUUAAUCAUAAGAUAACUUGUAUUUAUGUCUUAUGUGAAUCCACAUGGUGAUCACAUAAAUACAUAUAAUAUGAUUAAAUGGACUUUAAUACAAAUAUUAAUGCAAUUAAGAUAUUUGAAUAAAAUACCUCAUUUAUUUUAUUAAUCAGAAAAAUUGUUUAUUACAAUUAAAUAAACACAUAUGCUUUUAAAGAGCAUAUUUUCCCAACAAUCUCCCACUAGCUCUCAAAGCAUAUUUGGCAUCUCACGCAUGCCCAUGGAUUCUAAGUGCAAGUUAAAAGGUUUCCCAGGUAUGGCCUUAGUAAAAGGAUCUGCCAAGUUUUGCUGUGACGCAAUCUGAGUAACCUCCUCAUCACCUCUCUGCACUAUAUCCCUUAUAAGAUGAUACUUUCUCUCAAUAUGUUUUUGUUUCUUGUGGUUCCUUGGUUCCUUAGAUUGAGCUACCGCACCACUAUUAUCGCAAAAUAGUUUAAGGGGUGCAGUUACAGCAGGUACCACCUCAAGAUCUUGUAGGAACUUGCGGAGCCAUACAGCUUCUUUUGCAGCUUCGGAUGCAGCCACAUAUUCAGCUUCAGUUGUGGAGUCUGCGAUACAAGAUUGUUUCACACUCCUCCAACUAAUAGCUCCACUUCCCAAUGUAAACACAUAGCCGGAAGUUGAUUUUCUGGAAUCCUUAUCUGACAUAAAGUCAGAAUCAGUAUAACCCACUGGAAUGAGUUCAUCACCAGAAUACACAAGCAUAUAAUUUUUAGUUCUUUUCAGAUACUUCAUUAUAUGCUUGACCGCAGUCCAGUGUUCAGGUCCAGGAUUAGAUUGAUAUCUACUAACCAUCCCUACCGCAAAACAGAUGUCUGGCCUAGUGCAAAGCAUGGCAUACAUGAGACUUCCCACAGCUUCUGCAUAGGGAACUCGUCUCAUUCUCUCUAUCUCUUCAGAUGUUUUAGGUGAUUGAUCCUUAGAGAAUGUAAUUCCAUGUCUGAAUGGUAAUAAACCAGUCUUGGAAUUUUCCAUGCUAAAUCUAGCCAAUAUCUUAUCGAUAUAGACCGCUUGAGACAAGGCUAAAGUUUUAUUCUUCCGGUCUCGUAGUAACUUGAUACCAAGAAUAUAACUUGCCUCUCCUAGGUCUUUCAUAUCAAAUUGUUUUGCUAACCAACUCUUUAUUGUAGUCAAUACUCCUAUAUCGUUUCCAAUUAGGAGAAUAUCGUCUACAUAAAGAAUUAGGAAGGCUACAGAUUUUUCUUGAAUUUUCUUGUACACACAUGGUUCAUCAAUGUUCUGAAUGAAUCCAAACGAUUUAAUCGCUUGAUCAAAUCUGAUGUUCCAUGACCGGGAUGCUUGCUUCAAUCCAUAAAUGGAUUUCUGCAACUUACAUACCAUGUGUUCUUGGCCUUUUUGUAUAAAUCCAUCUGGUUGCUGCAUGUAGAUGUUUUCUUCAAGAUGCCCGUUAAGAAAGGCAGUCUUGACAUCCAUUUGCCAAAUUUCAUAAUCUAGCAUUGCAGCAAUUGAGAGCAGAAUCCUGAUGGAUUUAAGCAUAGCAACCGGAGAAAAAGUUUCCUCAUAAUCGAUUCCCUCUUUCUGAGUAAACCCUUUGGCUACUAAUCUUGCUUUAAAUGUUUCCACCCUUCCGUCUACUCCUCUUUUUCUCUUGUAGAUCCACUUGCAUCCUAUAGGUUUUACCCCAUUUGGUGCCUCUACAAGUUCCCAGACUUUAUUGGAAUACAUAGAUUCCAUUUCUUGAUUCAUGGCCUUUUUCCAAAAUUCAACAUCUCUAUCUAUUAGAGCUUCGUUGUAACUAGUGGGAUCUUGUACAUGUUCAUCUGAGAUAGCCGUAUAGGUUUCUCCCAAAAGCAUGUAUCUCGCAGGUAACCUAGUUACCCUCCCACUACGACGAGGUUCUAAAAGUGAUGGUUGUUCAGGGUUAAUCCUGUGUUGAUCAUCUGGUUGUUGCUGUUCUUUCUGUUCUGUAACAGGCAUUGAAAGCUGAGCAUCAACCUGAUCACCUGACAGUUCUUCAAGUAUUACCUUACUCUUAGGUUUGAAGUUAUUCAUAUAGUCUUCCUCAAGGGAAGUUAAAUGUGUGCUCACGAUCACUUUCCUAUCUUGAGGACUAUAAAAUAAACCUCCCCUUGUUCCUUUGGGAUACCCCACAAACAUACAAACCUCAGAACGUGAAUCCAUUUUGUCUGCCUUUGGUUUCAGCACAUGUGCUGAUGAUCCCCAAAUACGGACAUGUCGUAAACUUGGUUUGCGACCUGACCAUAAUUCUAUUGGGGUUUUAGGCACUGACUUAGAUGGAACUAAGUUCAAAAGGUAAACUGCAGUUUCCAGUGCUAGUCCCCAAAAAGAGAUUGGUAAUGACGAAUAACUAAGCAUAGAUCUCACCAUAUCCAAAAGAGUUCUAUUUCUUCUUUCAGCUACCCCAUUUUGUUGUGGUGUUCCCGGGGCAGUCAAUUGAGAUAUAAUCCCAUUUUCAACCAGAUACUCUUUGAAAUCUCCUGAGAGAAAUUCACCACCUCGAUCAGAUCGAAGUUUCUUUAUGUUCUUAUCUAAUUGCUUUUCUGUCUCAGCCCUAUACUCUUUGAAUUUCUCAAGAGCUUCAGACUUAUGACGCAUUAGAUAAACAUAACCGUAUCUUGAGUAAUCAUUAGUAAAAGUGAUGAAAUACUCAUAACCUCCUCGAGCUUGUACAUUGAUUGGUCCACAUACAUCUGUAUGUACCAAUUCAAGUGGUACUGUUGCACGUACUCCUUUGGCCGAGAAUGGCCUUUUGGUCAUUUUCCCUUCUAAACAGGAUUCACAGAGUGGCAAUGAUUCAUUUUCUAAUGGACCCAAGAGCCCAUCUUUGAUCAUUCUCUGUAUCCUAUUUUGGUUUAUAUGACCCAAGCGUAAAUGCCAGAGGUAACAUUGGUUGGAAGAAAUAUUUCUUUUCUUAGAUAAAUGUGCAUGCUCAUCAUUAUUUAUCACUGUGUCAUGCAUAUAAUGGAUCAUUGGACUUAAAUGAUAUAAAUUAUCUUCCAUUUUACCAGAACAAAUAAGUCUCUUAUUAUGAAAAAUAGAAACAGAGGAUCCAAAAUUUACAGUGUACCCUUGCUUUGACAAACAAGCUACUGAAAUUAAAUUCCUCUUAAUGUCUGGAACAUAAAGACAAUUAUUCAAAACUAAAGUCUCAUUAUUAAAAGAUAAUAAAACAGAUCCAGUCUUUACUGCUGACACGAACUGUCAUGUCCCUAACUGCAGCUUGACGCUUCCUUCACUUAUUUUCUUGGUUUCCUGAAACCAAUAAAGUGAAUUACAAAUAUGAUUAGUUGCUCCUGAAUCCAACACCCAAGUGUCAAUAGGAUUCUGAACUAAACAGGCCUCAAUUACAAAAAGAUUUCCCAUACCUGAUUUCACAAUCUUAGGGCAAUCCUUUUUCCAGUGACCUUUCUGUCCACACUUAAAGCAUUUGCCUUUCGGCUUGCCAUCUUGCUUGGUAGACGGUCUCUUUUUCCCAGCUUUCUUCUUACCUUUGCCUUUCGGUUUAGGCCCAGAAGAUGAACUUUUUUCAGUAAUAUUUAUGAUUCCCAGAGAUUUCUCAGCACGAUAGAUCUCUUCAGCAGAAUGGAGUUCGUUCAUCAAUUCAGUUAAGGUCAUGUUUCUUUUGUUCAUGUUAUAAUUGACCUUAAACUCCUUGAAUGUUUCUGGCAGAGAUUCUAGCACCAUGUCAAUCUUUGAGUUAUCAUCGAUUUGUGCUCCCUGAAUCUCAGCCUCAUUCAAAUAGUCCAUCAUUUUGAGGACAUGAUCACGAACUCUUGUGCCCUUCCCCAUUUUACUGUUCAUAAUUCCUUUCAGCGCUGCUUGUCUCGCAGAGCGAGUACUCUGCCCGAACAUCUGUUGGAGACUAUCCAUUAUUUCAGUGGCAGUCUCCAAGUUCUGAUGUUUGGUCUGCAGAAUAUUAGAAAUCGAGGCUAAAAUGUAACACUUUGCCAUUUCAUUGGCCUUUUGCCAUUUCUCAUAAAGCCUCCUCUGAUUUCUAUGAGCAUCAUCCGCUGGAACUGGGGGGCAUGGCUGGGUUAAGACAUAUUUAUAAUUUUCAGCAGUCAGGACAAUGAAUAGAUUUCUUUUCCAAUCUAUAUAGUUCUCUCCAGUGAGUUUGUUUUGACUCAGAAUAAUAGUAAGUGGGCUCAGGGAAGACAUUUUCUGAAAAAUAAAACAUCCAUGCAUAAAUAAUUUGAAAUAAUAUUCACAAUAAAUGACAAAAAUGCAUAAAACCAUAAAUGCAUUUUAAUUUAUUGUAACGAUAAUCUAGUUCCGUUUUGACAAGCUAUCCGGUGGGGAAGUCAUGUCUAUACUUACUAGACCCAAUUACCCAUUGGAUUAUUUACUUUCAUGUAGAGACAUGAUAAAUAAUUAUCGUUAUCCUUUUGGGCCUAAAUUUGUUAACAGAGCUUCGUUGGGAAGAUUAAUAACAAAUUUUAGUUGAGUGUAUAACCAUUGUUUCAAUCUAGAUAUUUUUCAUUUCAAUAGUCACCGUUGGGGUGAACAAUCGAUUGAAAAAUAUUUCAAUUUUAUCUUUGAAGAAGUUCAUCAAAUAAAAUAUCUAAUAAAUAUACCCUCCGAAGGGAGCAUCACCGUAUCAUGAAGUCGAGGUAUAUAUAUAAUUUUAUUAUUGAACUAACAAUGGAGCCCGUGGGAAAAUUAUCUUAAAUUUUCCCUCUCCCACUCAAUAUUUUAAAAUUGGUUUUUCCUUUUUAAAACAUACAUAUUGUUAAUUGCAUGCUUCCUAUAAUAUUAUCUAGAUGAUCUCAAAUAUUAUUAAGCAUAUGCAAAUUUCAAACAAUAUAAUGAAAUUCAUUAUUAAUGAAUGACAUGUAUCAUUAUGCAUAGAGUGGCACUACCUAUUCUAUAUGACAUGUCAUCAUGGCAUGUUAUCAUCCAAAACAUAAUAUAUAGAAAAACAAUUAAAUAAUCUUAAUUCAUGGCUUUCCUAAUAAUGAAAAAUACAUUAACCCUAAGCCUAAUCUUCAUUGGGCUUCUUGUCAAUGUCCAUCUUCCAUAAUCAUGUCUUUGUUAAUGGACUAGGAAAAAUUAGGCUUUUAAAUUUAUAAUUGGUCCAAUUUUAAUUUUGAAAGAAAAUAAAUAAAUAAUAAAAAAAAAAUUUUAUUAAAAUAAAACUUUUGGACCAAAAAUAAAUUUAAUGUGUUCAAUUUUAUCUAUGUAUUUUAAUCCAUUAAGCCCAAAUUUUAAUUGGGCCUAAAACUAGGAUUCUUUAAGUCCAAAACUGUUUUUGGAUUUAAACGCAAAAAAUUGAAACAUUUCUGCCCGAAAGAAAACUUAUGAAACCAUAGGGACCUUCAUGAUAAAAACCAUGAAACCCUAAAAUCAUAUUUUUCUUUCUUUCAUCUUCCCCAGCCGCCAUCUCCACAAAGGGCAGCGACUGUUCACGCAUCUCCGACGCCGAUUUGCUGCCGCCGUCACGCCAGAAACGCACCCAAACGACGCCCUCCACCAGCAGCCUGUGCACGCGCGUCACAAGUCCUCGCCCGCGCUGAUGGUAGCGGUGCUUGCAGCGUUGCAGCGCGCGCUGCAGCUGCAGCGUGUGCAGCGCCCGCUGCUAGCAGCGUGGCUGCUGGGCGCUGCGCGUGCAGCGCGCGCUGCUGGCAGCAUGUGCAGCGCGCGCUGCUGGCAGCAUGUGCUGCUGGCCGCGCGCUGCUCCCGCAGCAGCGUGUGCUGCUGGCCGCUCGCUGCUGCGUGCGCUGGUUCGUUGCUGCAGUUUCCAGCAAGUUUCCGCAAUUUUCCAGUGAUGAUUCUUCAUUGAUUUACAAAUUCUCAACGCAAAUUAUGGCUUACAAAAUUUCAAUUACAUUAAAAUAAAUCAAGAGGAAAACAUGGUGAUAAUAGACCACCCCUCUUGUUACAGAUCCAAACGAAAAAUACAGUAGAACAUCUAACCAUGAAUUAAGACAAACUAUAAACAUGCUUUAUUCAUAUAUUAAACAAAUAAUAUAUAUCUGAAUAAAAUGUGCCACUCUAAUACAUAAAUUUCAAGAAUGAUUUCAUACGAAAUUCUUAUAUAUUAAUAUGAGAGGGCUCUGAUACCAAUUGUUGGGGAAAAAUUAGGUUUUUAAAUUUUUUAUAAAACCUUAUGAAGAUCGCUCUCAUAUAAUACAUAAGAAUUUGUAUUCUAGAAAUCGUACCUUGAAAAUCUGAGUUGGCUUUUUCCGGUGAAGUGAUUUAGGCUCCUAGAUCACGAUCCGCCACCACCACUCCUGUUAGAUCACGAUCCGUCACCACCACGCUUGUUAGAUCACGAACUGUCACCAAUGAUCUUCCAGGUUAUGACUCAGGUUCGAUCUGCACUUGACGUGUGGGCGCCGUUAUCACUACCAAAGCAACUAGCACGAGAAAAUUUUUCUCUCAACAAUGGAGAGAAAAAUCUUUUUCUCUGAUUUGUAUAAAGUGGCUUCUUCUUUUCCUUUUUGGGAAAAUAAGCCUUAUAUAUCUCCCUUUAGUGAAAACCCUAGGCUCCAAGGAUUCCCCAAAAUAAAACUCACGUUACUUUUCAUUUAAUAGGAGACCCACCAUGUAAAAUAACAUAAGGCCCCUUACACAUAAGCUUAUUAAAUGGAGCCUCCCACUAAAUGAUAUAUUUAGGCUUUUGACCCAAAUAGCUAGUUAUCUUGCUUAUUAGUCCAGCAGUGGUGCAAUCAAUUAAAUGAGCUAACCCGGGGAUCAUUUGGGAACAUACAAUAGUGGCUACAAUAAUUAGGCCUGUAAUUAAACUAGCCUAAUUAUUUAAUUCCAAAUCUACUCCACUAAAAGAUUGGAACUGACUUCCAUAAUUGUAUGCUCGAAUAAUAAUUCGUCCCAAGCCACAUUGAUUUCUUUACUGCACAAUCCUUUGUACCACAUCGUUAAUUAAAUUGAUAUCUCAACUGUCCAAUCAAUUUAAUAACAUCUUAUUCCUUGAUCCUUACUGGUUUUCUCUAAUGAUCAUUUUCAACAUACUAAAUAUGUUGACACACUCUGGCCAGAGAAUUCUAUGAUCAAGUACCGAAAACCUAUCAAGAGAUGUGUUGUACAAAUUCUAUAUUGUUAAUCCAUAACUCCAAUACUCAUAAUUGCUCCCACCAAGAUACCGGGUAAUCUUGACCACAAGGAUGUGUCGUGCCCAUUGGUAACUCAAAUAAAAUAACAAUUACAAUCAUGAAAUCAUAAUUAACUCAAGAUUAAGAUUACAGUAAAAUCAACGCCUAUGAGAUUUAAUAAGUCUGACAGUUAUUACAAAGUUAAUUAAAUCUCAUAUGUGAUCCUGUUCAAUGUAGUCGCACUACAUCAAUAAAUUCAUACAUGAUUAAGACAAAUCAUUCAAUGAAUUUAUUACAGUCUAUACCUAAAUAAAGUGUCCAACUUUAUUUAUCAACUGCGAACUAAAUUUAUUUAAUCAUAAGAUAACUUGUAUUUAUGUCUUCUGUGAAUCCACAUGGUGAUCACAUAAAUACAUAUAAUAUGAUUAAAUGGACUUUAAUACAAAUAUUAAUGCAAUUAAGAUAUUUGAAUAAAAUACCUCAUUUAUUUUAUUAAUCAGAAAAAUUGUUUAUUACAAUUAAAUAAACACAUAUGCUUUUAAAGAGCAUAUUUUCCCAACAGCAACGACUAAAAUCUGUAAACCAGACUGUGUUUGCAUGAACAAUAUAAUGAGAUUUUUUGCAUUCUUAAUCAAUUCAACCAACACAACAUGAAAAGUAACAAGUUUAUUAUUAUUUCUUCAAUUAUUGAUAAACUUCCCCCCACUUGAAAAGACUAUGAAAAUAGUCUUAAAUAUAGCAAAGAGGAAAUUAGCCUGGAAGGCAUGGCAAAGUCUUCAUAUUGAAUAGAAACUUAGACUUAAUAGUCUUGAGGAACAAACUGCUAUGUCCUCUGAAAUUAAUGUUGUGGAGGAGGAGAAGGAGCUUAAGCAGUCUAAUGACCGCAUUAAUAACCAAAAGCAAAAGUUUGAUUUCAAAUAGAAUCAAACCAACAGAAUAAAAAAAGAAGUGUACAUGUGACCAAUGUGAAAAGCCUAGCCACUUUAAAAAAGACUGUCAACUUCUUAAGAAAUAAAAGAAGUGUUCGAACACAAAUUUUGUGGACAAAAUUUAUGGCCGUGAUAUCUGAGAUUAAUAUUCUCGAACAUGAUAAUGCAUGGUGAAUAGAUUCCGGUGCAAUCAAGUAUGUGUACAAGAAUCGUAGCUUUUUCAUAUCUUACAAAGCAAUGCAUGAUUGAAGUGUUCUUUAGAUGGGAAAUUCCUCCAGUGCAUCAAUUAGAGGGAAUGUGCAACUAGAGUUCACUUGUGGAAAAACUUUAACUCAUAUUGAUGUUUAUCAUGUAUCUAAAGGUAGGAAAAAUCUUGUAUCUAUAUUAGGGUGGUACCUUAUUUGAGUCAAAGCAAAUUUGCAUUGUUUAAGGGUGGUACCUUUAUUGGGAAAGGAUACAUGUAUUAGGGAAUGCUCAAGCUCAAUAUUAAUAAAAUUAAUGUUUCUUCUGCUUACAUGAUUGACUCAUUAUCUUUGUAGCAUAUUCAUUUAGGACAUGUGAAUAUUAAAAGAUUGCAUGUCAUGGCUAAUUUAGAAUUAAUUUUUAAACAAGGAAACAAUGAUACUGCAUCACUCUCUUUUCAGCCCUCUUUCCUGAAACAAAUUUUAUUGUAUAACAUCAAUACUAUAUGCAUCAAAUAUCUAAUAUAUUGUUUACUACAGGGAUAUUAUAUUGAUUCUUGGCAAGCUUGCAACAUUCAAGAGUAUUCAAGUUUGCUUCCAUCGAUGAACAAUGCAAGCAAACAAAUAAGUGAUUCAUUGUAUCCUGGAGGUGUAUUUGUUUAGCCUAUAUGCAUCACUUAAUUGGUGGGACAAAUAAUAUCUUUAGGAAAGCGACAUUUGUAAUGUGCCUUGAAGUACACAUUAAUUUUCUACAGAUUACCUAUUACUAUUAUUUUAUUAUACUUAUAGAAUUGUAAACACAUUAAUUAAUUAUAAUAAAGUUCCACUUCCACCUUUAUUACUGUAAUUCUCUACAUUUAUCAUUCCCCACAAAUAUAUAUCCCAGCACUUAGUAGAUAUAUUAUUUUAUUAUAAAUAUCAAUAGAUUUUUAAUUGUAUAAUACAUACUUAUGAAAUUGUAUAGAGUAAUUCCGUUCAAUUAUAUUAAUCCGUUAUGAAUUUCAUCACAAAUUUAUUUGUGGCCAAUACCGUGCAAGUGAAAUUUCAGAUAAAAUCAUCUCCUAGCAAUUUAUUUUUUUUAUAGUUUUCAAUUUUGCUUUAACGUAUGGAUCCAUUUCUUGUCUAUAUGGCAGACAACUUUUAUUAUCAGGUAGGCAAAAUCAAAAGCCAUUAUGUCGUUAAUUUUAUUAUGCCAUGACAGACUCCAAGAUCUAAUUUAGAGAGCGACUCAAAUAAUGGUAAUUAGUAAUUCAUUAUAUCUGCAGUUAGCUAGAUACUUUGUUUGUGAAAAAAAAGAAUAAAAUUAGUUUCAUAAUGAUUUUAUUUACAAUAAAUACCAUACUAUGGUCCAUGACUUACCUCAUAUUACAAAGAAAAUAUGUGAAAGAUAAUUAAGGAUUAAAGCUUUCCACAAAGAUUUAUAAAAUUGCUUUUGAGAAAACUGUUCUGAUGAAAUGAAAUUAUAUGAAAUUACUAAGAAUUUAGUUAGCCUCUCAAAAAGGUUUAUUUAUUGCUUGACUUCUCGAGCUUAAAAUUCGAAUGUCAAAAUAGAUAAAAAGUUAAAAAAUUAUUUUAAAUUUAUCCACCCGUUUACCAUUUUAAUAUAUAAAAAAGAAUUACUUACUUUUUAGUAAUUAUGACUAUUUUUAGCAAUAGCAACCGGGGGCAUAAUAUAUCUGAUAGAUUUUUUUUGGGGAACAAAGCUUAUUAUCUCUCUCUCCUAUUGCUUUAAAGUGUCAUCUCUUAUGUUAAACAAGUCUCAGCCAAAGAUUAAAUUGUCAUAUGUUCGUAAGAUAUUCACCACAAAAGUCUAGGGAAAUUUCUUCAUCCUUGAGCGGAAAUACAAAGAAAAACAUAGUUAGCAAUUUUACUAGCAAAACUAAUAUUUUGUUACGUAUGGAGUAAAUCUUCAGGGGGCUCAAGCUCAAACUUAGAAAAACAUAGUUAUUUUGGACGCUUUUUCUAUUUAUAGCUAUUAUGUAGUCAUAAGGAAUUUCGAAAUUUGAGAAGUUUGCUUGUAGCUGCAGGCUGCAGAGAUUUUGAUUUGGCGACUUUGAUUGAUAAUUGAAGUUACUGUUGCAAGAGAAAUGAAAAAAAUAAUUAGCAAAAUAAAAGUCAAAGAGCUAGGCACAAGGCUAUUUGUCAUUUUGUCAUAGUAGAAAAAUAAUUAACAAAAAAAAAAUUCAGUUACUUUGACUUUAUUUCACAAAAUAUAAAAUUAAAUUUCUAUUAUAUGUAUAAAGUUUCUAUAUGAAGUGUUUAGGGGUCAAAUCAGUCUUUUUAUACAUAAUUUUUAAUAUUCACUUAGAAAUCUCAAAAAACUUUCAAAGCUUGUAGGGUCAUGAUCCCCUCUGGGAGUGGACAAAUGUGGGUUUAGAUCAACGCGUUUCUGGUUGAUAGGGUUAGAAUAUUCAAAUUGGAUUAGAUCGGAUAAAAAAUUCAAGUUAAAUUCGGAUCGCAUUGGGUUAUAAUUAUAAGCAAGUUAGGUUGGGUUUGGGUUAAAAUCAUAUUCGGGCUAGUUAUGAUGGAUUCAAAUAAUGUUCGGAUUAGCAUUAUUUUUAAGCCUUUUUUGUUUAUUUUGAAUUUUUUUAAUCAUUUUAGUUCUUGAAGAUUGUUUUAAAGUAAUUAUCUCAUUUCAGUUUUUUUUUUACCAAUUUUCAACAAAAAAUGAAAACUAGUCCUAUGAAAUCAAAUUAAUAAAAAUUAAAAUAAACUACUACUAUCAGAUUGGAUUGGAUCUCCAUCUCUUCCUUCUUCUACAUUUAAGGUAAUUUUGAGCCAUCCAUAGUGUAAUUAGUUCCUCUUUACACAUAUUGUAACCUUUUGAAAAGAUAGCACAAUGUGAGAAAUAUUGUUUUACUAUGGAUGACAAAUCAUUAUAACUUAACGACAAAGGAGCCAAAAGACCUUUCCCAAACUCUUCUACCUUCCACAUUCCACUAUCUAAAAUUAUUUUCUAUUCUUCUAUUGGUCAUUUAUAGUGUAAGAAUUUCCCUAUUAUCUUUGCAACAAAAGGCAAGCCUUUGCACUUACAUGCAAUUUUUUGAUCGAUUGAUCACGAUCCUUGAAGAAUUGACCCAAAAAUGCUACUUGCUUAAACAAUGACCAACAUUCUGUUGGGAAAAUAUGCUCUUUAAAAGCAUAUGUGUUUAUUUAAUUGUAAUAAACAUUUUUUCUGAUUAAUAAAAUAAAUGAGGUAUUUUAUUCAAAUAUCUUAAUUGCAUUAAUAUUUGUAUUAAAGUCCAUUUAAUCAUAUUAUAUGUAUUUAUGUGAUCACUAUGUGGAUUCACAGAAGACAUAAAUACAAGUUAUCUUAUGAUUAAAUAAAUUUAGUUCGCAGUUGAUAAAUAAAGUUGGGCACUUUAUUUAGGUAUAGACUGUAAUAAAUUCAUUGAAUGAUUUGUCUUAAUCAUGUAUGAAUUUAUUGAUGUAGUACGACUACAUUGAACAGGAUCACAUAUGAGAUUUAAUUAACUUUGUAAUAACUGUCAGACUUAUUAAAUCUCAUAGGCGUUGAUUUUACUGUAAUCUUAAUCUUGAGUUAAUUAUGAUUUCAUGAUUGUGAUUGUUAUUUCAUUUGAGUUACCAAUGGGCACGACACAUCCUUGUGGUCAAGAUUACCCGGUAUCUUGGUGGGAGCAAUUAUGAGUAUUGGAGUUAUGGAUUAACAAUAUAGAAUUUGUACAACACAUCUCUUGAUAGGUUUUCGGUACUUGAUCAUAAAAUUCUCUGGCCAGAGUGUAUCAACAUAUUUAGUAUGUUGAAAAUGAUCAUUAGAGAAAACCAGUAAGGAUCAAGGAAUAAGAUGUUAUUAAAUUGAUUGGACAGUUGAGAUAUCAAUUUAAUUAACGAUGUGGUACAAAGGAUUGUGCAGUAAAGAAAUCAAUGUGGCUUGGGACGAAUUAUUAUUCGAGCAUACAAUUAUGGAAGUCAGUUCCAAUCUUUUAGUGGAGUAGAUUUGGAAUUAAAUAAUUGGGCUAGUUUAAUUACAGGCCUAAUUAUUGUAGCCACUAUUGUAUGUUCCCAAAUGAUCCCCGGGUUAGCUCAUUUAAUUGACUGCACCACUACUGGACUAAUAAGUAAGAUAACUAGCUAUUUGGGUCAAAAGCCUAAAUAUAUCAUUUAGUGGGAGGCUCCAUUUAAUUAGCUUUUGUAUAAGGGGCCUUAUGUUAUUUUACAAGGUGGGUCCUCUAUUGAAAAAGAAAAUAACGUGAGUUUUAUUUAGGGUAUUAUUUGGAGCCUAGGGUUUUCACUAAAGGGUGAUAUAAAAGGCUUAUUUUUCCCAAAAGAAAAAAGAUGAAGCCACUUUAUACAAAUUGGAGAAUAAGAUUUUUCUCUCUAUUGUUGAGAGAAAAAUUUUCUCAUGCUAGUUGCUUUGGUAGUGAUAAAGGCGCCCACACGUCAAGUGCAGAUCGAACCUGAGUCAUAACCUGGAAGAUCAUUGGAGACAGUUCGUGAUCUAACAAGCGUGGUGGUGACGGAUCGUGAUCUAACAGGAGUGGUGGUGGCGGAUCGUGAUCUAGGAGCCUAAAUCACUUCAGCGGAAAAAGCAAACUCAGAUUUUCAAGGUACGAUUUCUAGAAUACAAAUUCUUAUAUAUAUUAUAUGAGAGCGAUCUUCAAAAGGUUUUAUAAAAAUUUAAAAACCUAAUUUUUCCCCAACACAUUCUUCUUCAAUUAAUUCCUUAAGAAAUGUAAGAUUUGUUGAUCUCAUCAUGCUUGCUACUUACUGAUUACGUGCAGUAAUCAAAAUUUGACUAUCGUAGAGACCAUUCUUUAAACAAUAGAAGAAUGGUUCCCAUUAAUUGUAAUGUCCAUCCCACACAUCAUUUAAGACAAGAAAAAAGUAUCUUUCCCUCAAUACAUUUAUGAAUAUGGCUUACAAGAGAUAACCUAAUAUUUGAACAUCGUUUUCGGGAUGGUUGCUCCUUUGAUUGUGUGGUCGCACCAUGAUAACAAGUGAACUUGCUCUGAUACCAGCUGAUGAUGCAGAAACACUAAAAAGCUAUUAGAUAAUAUAAACUAGUAUUUGAAUAAUAAGUUUUAUUGAGAAUAAUUUGAAUGAACAAAAUUAGGGUUUUGAAUCCCAUUUAUAGGAGCCUAAAUAUAGCAAAUUUAACAAACUAAGCAAAUUCAAAAUAUUAUAUGAUAAUAAAAUUCUUCAAAUCUAAAUAAGAGAAAGAAAACAGAUGGCACUUAAAUCCAACAUCUAGAAAAAAUGAUAAAAAUCCUAGAAGAAUCAAGAAAAAUAAAAAAAUAUCUUAAAACUGAAAAACGACUAUAAAAGAAGUGAAACUUUUAGCUCAAUCGCAGGGCAUAACAGCCUAGGUCGUUCUGUAUUUGGUUCGACUCAUCGCAAGCUUGGAAACUAUAUUAUAUGUCCAAAACAAAUACUCGUAGCCCAAUUUCUAGCCUCGGAAGACACCAUGCUUAUUCCAUGCAACUAUCUUAUAUCAACUUGCCUUCUCUGCAUCUUCAAGCACAACUUGAAUGUCUUGAAGAUUUAUGGCAAGUCACAAGCAGCAAAGGAGUUCAGCUACUCCGGGAGAGGGGAAGCGAUCACAUCCAUUCUGGCAAAGAAAAGGAGAAAUAAUUUCAUAAGUUGUUCAACGUGCUUUUGUUGCGAAAAUACUUAAAGAAACGAGUUGUUGCAUUCUUCUUACACUACACGAAAAAUGUUUAUGGUUAUUGUCGCCCACCCCACGCGUCAAUAAUUUUAGCAUUUUUAAUUUCCCUGAUUCUACUCCACAGCUGUGAUACAUAAUUGUAAAUAUUCUCUAAUUAAUUUGUAGUGGUCGGGCCAGUGCCAUUUAAAACCAAAAAAAAAAAAAAAACCAAAAGAAAAAAAAGACAAAAGUUGGAAAAAAGCAUGCAUCACCGAUAAUUUAUUUAUUUGUCUGAGGACGGGGAUAUUUUCUACCCACUUCUUUUACAAAUCUACCCACUUCUUUUACAAAUCUACCUUGCUGUCAGAAAAUAAUUGUAAUACGUUCAUACUAUUUUUAAAAUAUAUAAAUCAAUAAAAUGUAUAGACAAUCAAUAAAUUAAAUCAUUCAUAUAAUUUUUUAUUUUUUUAACUUAGGUGUCUUUGACCAUUUAGGUUGCUUUAAGAUAAGUUUUAUUUGACUAAUUUACCAUGAUAAUAUAAAAUGACUAAAAUACCCCAAGAAUCAAGAGUUCUUGUAUAUAAUAGUUUAGGUAUUUUAUUUUUUUGAUUCAAUCUCCAAACUUAUUGUAAUUACAUCUUCUUUAUUUCAAUUUUUAAGAAAUAAUUUGAACUUAUUGUAAUUAUUUCUUGAGAGUGGGGUGGGUUUACAAAAAUUAUGGGCCUUUUCGUUUAUUAAUUCUUGGAAAUUAAUGGCUCCGUAAUCAAUUUCUUUUGUUCUUUUAUUUAAAUAGAAAAGAAAAAUUAAGAGGAGCUUUUGUCUAUUGAAUUGAGGUUCUGUGAAGAAAAAUACGUAUCAAAUGAUCGACGGAUUGUACUUUUCAAUUUUUACUUCACAGUACUUUUCUUUAUUUGCUGGGUCAUUUAUGUUGUUUUGGACGGAUUUAAGUGUUCUUAUACAUUUUAUUGAAUUUUAUUUUGAUAAAAUCACCAACGAUCAGUAGAGAUUUACACUACUUAUCUGAGUAUUUGGUUCUCUAAUGUAAGGAAGCAUGUAAUCUUUCGCCAAUAAUUUUUUAUUUCAUCAAAAUGUUAAAAUGUUGAAAGGAGAAUUAGUUUAUAUAUAUAUAUAUAUAUAUAUAAGAGAAUUAGAGUUCAUAUUGAAGAAACUUCUUUUUCCUACUAUAAGUCCAGUUCGAAUCUUUGAAGCAAAUGAUCUAAUCUCAAGCAUAGAAAGUAGGAAGAUCGAUUGAACAGCGGACACAUUAACAAAAAAUAAUUAAUUUAAAAAGUUAAUAUUGGAUAUCAUAAAAAUUUUAUUAUUAUUAUUGGAAGUUGGUAUGUUGAAAAAUAAACAAGCUUUAUAUGAACUUUAAACACAGAUAAUAAUUUGCAUGUAGUGAAAUUGCUUAAUACAUCCAUUAUUUUAUCAUUUUUAAUUUUAUCUAUCGGUUAUUUUCAUUUUGAAAAUAUAGGAUAAAUAAAAUAAUAACAAACACAUAUUUCAAUUGAAAAUUUAUCAACUUGAAAACACCAUUUUCAUUCUCAUAAUAUAAAUUUAAAAAUAAAAUACAGAACAUGCCCUAACAUUUUCUGAAUUUAUUUUUAUACUGUAAAAGAAUCAAAUUACUCACACAAUUAUUUUAGCUUUUAUGAUAUAAACAAAUAAUCAUCAUUUAAAUUCAAUAGAAAGAGGUAUUCUUGGUAGAAUUGACUUCUUUAGCAAAAUAUAAUCUAUUUGGGACUUCUUACUCCAUUAGGUUAAUUGUCACAUCAUUAAUUUUAGAUUAUAAACUUUAUAUUCGAACUUUGUAAGACCAUCAUUUCUCCAUUUUUAUUUAAAAAAAAAAAAUUAACUUCUUGCAUGAUCUAGUUGGUCUCCUUUCAAAAGAAACCAAAAAUAAAAGGAAAUAAAGCAUAUUAUUUAUCUUAAUUACUUUCAUUUGUUAUUGACAUGUACUCAUGCAUUGUGGUCUUUUGUAUACUUUAUCGAUAUGUUUUGCUUAAGGGAUAAAACUCAUUAUGUGGCAAAAUUUUAUUAGAGCUGGGAUUAUUUAUAUAUGUUCUAGUACUUUGAGCAUCUUACUAUACACUCGUCUAUAAAAUUUUAACAUUAAUUUUUACUACUCAUCGAAAUAUCAAAAUAGUUCUGUAACGUAUGUGAAAAAAAAAAAAAUAAUAAUAAGAGGAAGCUGGGUAAUGUUUUAUGGGCGAGAGGGAUAGAGGAAGCUGUCAACCCGACCCGGAAAACCCGACCCAAAACUGCGAACCCGACCCAGACAGAUCUCCGAUUUUCGGCCACAUCACCGGCCAUGGAUGGUAGCAACGAAAGCUCCUGAGCCAGCCAUCACUUUCCGACCGUCACUGUCGCCAAAAACCAACCGAAACGCCGCCGUUUGAAGCGCGAAUAGUCGCAGCCAAAACCUAUCACGACCGUCGUUGAUUCCGUCGGAAUUAGGCCAUGCCAGACGGAGAAAUGGUCGGCGGUAAACAGAGUUUGUAUCGGAGGUGGGGUAAAUGGAGGAUGAUGGAGAGAGGGCAACCAACGGUCAUGAUGAGGGAGAGGAGGAGGAGGGUGAGGUUAUGGACGGCUGUGAUGGGCUUGAGGAUGUGGGGUCAAUGAGAGGUGAUGAUGGUGGUGCUGUUGAUGUUGAUGUUGAUGCGUCGUGGAGGAUGAAUGUGAGGGAGAGGUAAGUGAGGGUGGAGAGAUAAGUAACUUAUAUAUAUAUAUAUAUAUAUAUAUAUAAGUAAUAUAUUAUUUAUUAAAAAUUAAUUCUUUGAACACUUAAAAUUAUUAAAAUAAAAAUUUAUUCUAUUGUUGUUAAUUCAUAAAAUUUUAAUUCAAUUAUAACAUUUUCAUUUUUUUUUAAGUUAAAUUAUAUCUUUUUUAUUAUUUUUUCCUAAAUUAAACUAAUUUUUCUCUUCUUUUAUUGUCUAAAGUUUUUCGAUAUAGUUUUAUUUCAAAAUAGAUAAAACAAGUACAAAAAAAAGUAGAUGAAUAAAAGAAUAUAUUAAAAAAAUAAGAACAAAUAGCAACACAACUAAUUAAGAGAAUAAUAAAAAGAUAAAAUCAUAAAUUUGAGAUGAAAUCAUAAAUUAACUUAUGUUUAUAUUAAGGCUAUUGUUUGAAAAUUUGAGUAACGACCAAUAGUCAUAGAAAAUAGAGAAAAUUAUUAGAUUUUUUCUUUUUCUUCUAGAGUAGAAAGUAGGGGUGUUCGCGGAUCGGAUUUUACGGAUUGGACAUCAAUCCAUAUCCGAUCCAUGAUUUUGCGGAUUAUAAUUUUUCAAUCAAAUCCAAUCCACGGAUUGAUAAAAUUCAAUCCAAAUCCAAUCCAUACAUCUGCGGAUUGGAUGCGGAUUUGACUCAAUCCAUAUCCAAUCCAUACGUCUGCGGAUCGGAUGUGGAUUUGACUCAAUCCAUAUGCAAUCCACCAUUUUGCGCAUUAGUUUUCAAAUUAAAAUUUUUUAGUUCUCUCCAACUAAUGAAAUAAAAAAAUCUAAUAUAAAAAUAAUUUUGCUACCAAUUAAAUUUAAAAUUGAAUAAAAUUUAAAUAAAUUAAUUGUUUAAAUAAAGCUAAAAUAAUACAUUUAAAGUUUCAAAAUAUAACACAUCAAGAUUAAUUAUUCAAAUAAAGCUACAAUAAUACGUUCAAAAUUUCAAAAUAUAACACACCAAGCUUAAUUGUUCAAAUAAAGUUACAAUAAUACGUUAAUAUAACACCGAAAUUAAUUGUUCAAAUAAAGCCACAAUUAAUUGAAAUGGCAAAGUUUCGGAAACCAAACACAGUCUGAUCAUUCACCAGGAUUGUUGCGCCUGUCAAAAAGUGGUGAUUACGGAGCCAUCCACGAUGGGAACCGUGAGAAGCCGUACGGGUGGCAAUCUUGAAGGUUGUGAUAGUGAAAUUGUUCAGCUAGAACCAGUGAAUGUGAAGUGGCUCGAUGGACUUGGGAAAGAAGAUGGCUUGCUCUCGCCGGAAUCGCGCAGCCAAUGUCUUUUAAAUCCGUGUCGAGAGUGUAUCCAACCAGUAUUGAGUGUUGCUAGUGUGUGUGACGGCGAGGAGCUUAAGGUUUUUUGUUGGCAAAUUAUUGGUGACUUGACGUUAUAUUACUUUGCUUUUGCUAGUGCGUGUGACUUUACUUUUAUUUUGUUUUACAAUUUUUACAAGCUAUAUUUGUAUAUUUGAUUAUUUAAUUAUUUUUCAUUUUAUAUUAUUAUUGGGUAAUGGCUAAGAUAUGUUAUAUUGCUUAGUAACUAUGCAAUGUCACAUUUAUAAUUUUUUUAAUUAAAUUUAUAAUAAUUUUUUAAUUAUAAUAUAUAUAUAUAUAUAUAUUUUUUUUUUUUUUUUUUUUGCGGAUUCACGGAUUUCCGCAGAUUUACAGAAGUAAAUCCAUAUCCAAUCCAUCGACUGCGGAUUUUUAAAUUUUCAAUCCAUAUCCAAUCCACGGAUCGGAUUUAUACGGAUCGGAUUGGAUUCUGAACACCCCUAGUAGAAAGUAGAGGAAGAAAUAUUUUUUUCCCUCUCUCUCUUUCUUUCUCUCAAACACCAAGAUGUCUUGAUUGUUAGAGGAAAAUUUUAAUGGAUAAGUAACAAAAUGUGGGGCUUUUAUAGAGGUUUAAAAUAAAUAUAAAACUUUUGAAAUAUAACUUAUUAAUUCUAACAAUGAAAUAGAGAAUUUUUAGGAUUGAAACUAUUAAUUUAUUGGUUUUGUAGAAAUUAAAACAAUUAAGUACUACAUUAAAUAAACUUUAUAAGAAUUUGAUAGUUUAUUUAGAAAAAGAUAAUUACAAAAUAAUAAUAAAUUAAAUGAAUAAUAAUGACUUUUAAAUUCAUUUUCCUCUUUUAUAUACAAAAUAAUCAUCUCGUAGGGCUUUCAUAUAAAGCGGAGUCCUAUACAACCGCCUAAGUUGCCUAGAGGUCGAACCACUACUAUUUACAAGCCAAUAUUGGAGUGUUGAGGUAACUAAAUAUGAAGCCAUGGCUGGUUUUUUGGGGGAGAAAGAUUUGGAAGAGAUGAUGUUGAGAGGAACGGGGGAGUUCAUAAAGUUUUAGGAUAACGUGGAGGGUAUUUUGGACAUAUUACUGUCUUAGCUUAAAUUUUGGGAAAAAGAUAAUCAAUAAUAAACUAUUUUUUUUAUUUUAGAUUUUAAAUCGUAAAUUUAGUAAAGGAAGUUAAAUCAAGUGAUCACUUGAUUGUUUUCCUAUCAAUAAUAAACUCUUUUUUCAUAUCAAUUUAAAACUCCGAGUGUGUCUCCAAAAAUUGUUUUCCUUUUUUUUAUUUUGGAUUUUAAAUCGUAAAUUUAGUAAAGGAAGUUAAAUCAAGUGAUCACUUUUUUUUUAUGCAAAGCAAUUAAUCUUUUUUGUAAUACCAAACUCCUAUUUCAUCUACCGAAACUACAAAAAUUAAUAUUUUCUAUCAAAUCAAAACCAAAAUUAAAAGAUAACUUAUUAUCUGCCAACUGUCAUUCAACGAAGUCAUCACUCACGCAAAAAAGGAAAAAAGAAAAAAAAAAGUGAUAUAUUGAUUUUAACAUAAUUUCAUACCUCUCUCAAAAAAAAAAAACAUAAUUUCAUACCAACAUAUCAUUCGAGGUUGAUGUGGAAAAGAACUAUUUUUAGUCCAAUUUCAUGUUUGGAUGUUGAGGUUGAUGUGGAAAGGAUGUGGCUCCCACGUAAAACCCAUCGCUUCGUUCUAAACUAAGUGAAUUUAUCUCGUGAGCUAAGUAGUUUAGGAGAUAACUCAAAUAAUUAAUUUUUUAUUAGUUCAUUAAUAAGAAUUUUUUAUUAUAUUUUAAAAAGUAUAAUUCAUUACCAAAAAAAUAUUCUUAAUAAAAAUAACUGUUAUUUAAGAUAUUACAUUUUGACAAUAAUAAAAUAAUUCAAAAUUAAUUAAUUUAAUUUGAUCUCAUACUUUAUUAUUAAAAAACUUAUAAUAUCUUUAUUAAUUUUAUUAAAUUAUUAUUUAAAAGUCAUACAUUUACUGCACACUGUCAACUUUCUGCUAUUUUUUUUGUUCUCACAACAACUAGUAAUAUCAAACAAGAGCUAAGUUAAGUAUGAUCAAUUAAUUAAAGUUUUCAUUUUUUGUAUAAAAUAAUCCUUAGAUAAUUAGUCUAUAAAGAGUAUUGGCUACUUCAAAUGGAAACUUGUGAUCAAAAGUGUAUUACAGAAGUGACAAAGGCACACUAUAUGAGAAAUCUGAAAUAGAAUUUGCAAACUUGAACUGGGUUACAGAGAGUUAAUAAGACUCCAAAGGAACAUGGAAACUAUUAUCUUUAUUAAAUAAUAGUAAUACAAGCUAUUAACUGACUAUUAUCUUUAUUAAUUUCCAUAGCGAAAACAAAAUUAACUUUCCUAACUGACUAGAAUUUAACUCAAGGAAAAUUAGAAUAUACGACGUUGUAUCACAUACGGUAUUUAGACAUCAAGAGAAGAUUCCCUCUAUCAGUGAACUAUACUUGCCAGGAAAUUAACCCCAGGCGAGUACCACCACCUCCUACUAUUUCUUAGGUGUCUCAGAGUUUGAUGAGGACUUCCAUGAUGUGUCUCUUCGACAGGCAGCGAAAUUGGGCAAUUGACUACAUUAACUCCAACAAAUUUAUGCAGUCACCUUCCUCCGGACUAUCCUCUUUCUUCGCGCUUUAGUUGCCCUUAUUUCCCCUUUAAUACAGUCAACAUUAUCUUGUUUGAUGCCAAGGAGACCAAGCCCAGAAACAAUGGCAUUCUUUGAUAUCAACCACCUGGGGACUUUUGAGCUGAGCCAUGACAUCCUGAGAUGGCCUGUUGUGUAAGCCUUCUUCAAAAGGUCAUCCGUUAAUCUUUCUCCUAAUUACACAUUCAAAACCCUGCAUGGAAUCGAUUUGAGAAGUUGGACAAUAGACAAACUCCAACACAUAUAGACAGUAAAGAAGAAUUUAGACCGCAAUCACUGUGGCUCAACAAAUGGGCCUAUUAAGCCUAUUAAAAGUUGGAACCAUAUUCACCGCUCGCAUUUCCUUAGAGAACUAUAUCAGAAUUCUGUAAAUGUAAAACUAUUCUUACAUAUUUAACUGUAAAACAAGAGAAAUUGUACUUCCGUAGCAAAGUCUCGCUAUUGGUAAGUAUUGGACUUGGAAAGGAUGCUAGUUGAUGAAGUAAAGGAAAAUUGAAAUCAGACUUUGAGGUGACAGAUCUAUACACUUCAAUAGGAACCACAUUGACAUCAUAUGAGACAAAUAAACAUUCCCCAGUCAAAGUUUAACAAACAAAACAUUAAAACAAGAGUAAGUUGGUCUAUCAAUGUAUAUAUAGACAUGUCGAUCAAUAGACAAAUACGUAAAAGAGGGAGGGAGAGACCUCAAAGCCGUGCUACUCCAAUAACUUCAAAAUUGUUGGUGACCACUCUAUCAAAUCCACCCAAUAGUUGCAUACACUCACCGAUGGGUUUGUCACAGAUAACCUGUUAGGCAUUAAAAAUUGCCCAAAUUAAACAAAUGUUAGACCAGCUUAGACAGUAAACGGAACAAUAUUCUAAUUUUACUUUAUUUAUAACGAAUAAGUGAACAAAGGAAUAAAAAGGAAUUUUGGCAAAGAAUCCUGCAGCUAAUCCCACCAUACACCGCUCUGCAGGCUUAUUUGGGAAUCAAAAUUCUCAAAAUGUACUAAGAAAUGACAUUUGUUUACUAGUCCCACCAACAAGGAGGAAGUGACGUGAAGAGAAUUUACUAAGAAAUGCCAGUGUAUUAAUAUUGAAGGAAAACAUUCACAGACGACCAAAAUCGCUGAUAUAUACUUAAUUUCUCACUCACUAAGAACGUUCAAUUCAUUCAAAUGAAACUUCCACAGGAAGGUCUCAUUAUUAAGGCUUUAGCUUCACCUCACAUGCUCAACAAUUCAAAUUUGAGGAUGAUAUUUCUCCGAAUGGAGGGCUCUAUUUGGCUUGCCAAUAAUCUUCCUCACAACUAUCAUCCUUGCUAUAUCGGUUGCACUGAGCAAUCUUCAUUCUGAUAUUUGCCCUAUUAAGCUGAGUACACAAGAAUCCGAAACAACUGUUAGAAAUUUUAAUCUUUAUAUAUAGCCAAAAUGGUGAAUAAGAUGAUGUAUUGAUAAUAAAUACCUGAGUUAAUAAAUAAUUAAGGGGCCGGUAACAAUCUCAGCAUUUUAUCAGGUGGGGAAAGCCUUCGCAACGAAGAUGCUGCUUGCUUUCAAGCAAUAAUAACUUUCCAAUUCCAUAAGAUAGCUUAAUGCCCUUUUAAGAAUAUCUCCACCAGCCUAACAAUUAUUCAUGGAAAUCCAAUUUGCAUUUGUCGCCUUCAAUUUGCUCAUCUUUGUCUAGAGUAUUGUUUUUGCAUUAACUUAGCUAGCUUGCAAACCACCUGCAGAUGGUUUUAAAUAAUGUGUGAGAGUGUGAAUUCAAACGAAUUAAUUAAAUAUGAUGACAGGAGAAACAAAAUUAAAAUAACCACAAGAAGUAGAACUAUACUUUUGUGAUAUUCAGAGCAUCUCCUACUGUCUUCAUUUCCCUUAGCUCUGUUUCCCUUUGUGCUCGAACACAAUGCCUCAAGGCUCAAGAUAAUUUGAUGACCAUCAAUCUUUUUGCAGCCACAUGUAGACUUGAAAAACUGUUGGCGGCCCUAAAGAACUUGAAAAUUAGAAAAGAUUCAGAAUGAGUGACUAAAUAUUAUAAUCGAAACUAAUUAAACAAACGCGCCUUGAAAAUCUGAAACUGAAUUACUCAAAUGUAUAUGCCCCUUCACAGCAAUUGCAUGCACGUGGUGGAAAUUUUACUGCGAAGACUUUCUCAAACCUUGAAGAUCACACUCGGCCUGACAACAAAGAAACAAAGUCAAUAUACGAAGAUGAUUUUACUAACAAGUGAGAGCUUACAAAUAUUUGAAGGAUAACGAUCACUCAUAACCCAAAUCCCCAGUAUUCCCUAAUAUUUCACUCAAGUGAGUUCAAGCUCCCAAAUUUCACUACAGUGAAAUGUCAAAACAAAACUCUCUUCUCAAAUUUGAUGAUGAUAUCUCUCGAAGGGAGGCAAAAGAAUCUAACACUGAUCAAAUUGGCUUGUGAACAAUUAAUCUUCCUCGCCAUCAUUCAUACCAGGUGCGGUGAAAAAUCUUCAUUCUGAUAUUUGCCUUAAUAAGCUGCUUAGUAACCUUAACCUGAUAACUCACACAAACAAAAACAACUUGCCUAAAGUUUAAUAUUUCGAGCAGAACAGUAAAGAAGAUGAUAUCUAUUGAUGCUAAAAUUUGACCUGUGUUACCCUGAUGUCAAAAAUCAUAGCAUCUCAUGUGGGCAAAAUCUUCGCAACACGAGAUGCUUGCAAAAUUGGAGCAGCAUCUUAUCACCUGUAAUUUAAUUGAGACAAUAACUUUCCCCAACCAUUUCAAUGCAUUAUUGGCAACUAAAUUCAGAGGGUGCUAAUUAAAUACCCUUUUAACAAUAUCUUCUUAUUCUUCUUCAAUCUAACAAUUAUUUGGAAAAUCUAAAUGACAAUCAUGCAUCGAUGGCAUGAAAAUUUGGCUAAAAAGUAGCCUGGAAAAGGCUGCUCUCUGAAUGAGAGCAUGAAUUCGAACAAAUAUGAUGAAUGAAUAAAUAAAGGCAUAAUACCACAAGAAGUAAAACUUUUACCCAGAUUUCUGUUUCUGUUUGUGCUAAAACCAAUGGAAACCGAUGGAAAUGAAUUUCUACGAAUUAGACAUAUCAGCCAAAACAGGUACUCUGUACAAGCAAAGUAAAAGAGGGUUACAAAAAAUUUUAAUAUUGAUAUGAUAAUUAUAAUUAUAAUGAAAAUUUCAGUUACCAUAUAAUUAAUAGAUAACUCUGUACAUAAUGAUUUAUUGCAUAUUAAGAUUGUAUACCUGAAUUUUAAUUGCUUUACAAAAUAUGGUAGUAGCAUUAGGAGACCGCACCAAACGUACCGAAUUGAAUGUGCCUUUUCACAGCCAUUGUACCAGCUUUGAAGCAUUACCACAAAUGCUUUUUCAAACCCGUGAACAUGAUGCACCCGAGAGAUGAUUAUCUUAGCACCUAAACAUCAUGCAAUAAUAAUCAUCAUGUCUUUCAGGCAGCUAUCCAUCCUCAAUUGAAACAGAGCAGACCCGGCCAUCACUUCCUUCUUCAAAUUCCAGCAACCAAACGUUGCACAAUAACCACAGUGAUAAUCCUUGGUUACCCCAAUGUUCUCCAUAGAGUCUUCAACGUCAACCUAAAAAUGAAAUAAAAAUGCAAUGCAGGUGGAAAUGAAAAUUCUAUAAACUAAAUAAAAUAAAAAAUGCAAUGCUUGAGCUUGAGCUUGCUUUAAUCAUCAUAAUAAUCGAAUUUGGAUAUAUCUUUACUUCUCUGUGGUUCAAUCAUUUACUUCCCUGUUCUUGUUUAUUCACAACAAGAUAUCAAUAGAAGAAGAUGGAAAUGAAAUUCUAUAAAAUAAAGCAAGUGAAUUACCAGCAGAACAUUUUAGCAAUCCUUUGGCUAAACUUUUCAUUUUCAUAGUCUUGCUCUCCUGCCUGCAUCAUCAAAACCAAAUUAGAUUGGACCGGACAUUUCCUCGAAUCUCUGGUGAACAUAAUUAAACUCGUAUGAAAUAAAACAAAGUGGGCUAAUGUACUACUAAAAAAAUUACACAAUUACUUUAAAGAAUUAAUGUCACAUAAAUUAUAUACAAAAAAAUACGAUUAUCAUUAUACAAGAUAAAAUUGAUAAUUUAGUUUUCAACGUUACUGCAAAUGUAUCACAGAGAUUUUGUCUCUCAGGAAGUUACACAUGAUAAAUUUUGGUACAUUAAAAAAUAAAUUACAUUAGGAUUUUCCAUGAUGUUGUAUGAAAUUUUAUAAAAGUCUACUUAUUUUUUAAAAGAAAAUAUAGGAAUUUCAACAGAUUACAGUUUUUUUAAUAAUUUAAUCUUUAGAAAAUUAGUUUAACAGAUUUGAUAACUAAGAAGUUUAAAUUUUAAAUAAUUAAAAUUAAAAUAUUAUCCUAACUAACUUUUAAAUUUAUGAACUAUUGAUUAAAUCUAACCGUACAUAUUUAUACCAUGAUUGGUUUUAUAAUUUUUAUAACAGCAUCAUAGAGUGACCCAUUAAAUUAUUGGCAAAUUAAUGGCUGAAGUAAAUAGAUAAAUUCAAUAUGCAAAUCAAAAUAUUAGAAAUAUAUAAUAUAUUCAUGUCACACAUUGGCAAUAUACAGAAUUUUAAUUCAUAAUAUAAUUAUUUUUAUUAAUUUCAUUGCAAGCAACAACGGAGUAAAUCAGAGGAGGAGAAGAAAUUACCGUUGGGUGAUAUCUCGAUGUGGGGAAUGUGAGAUAUCUUAUGCCAAUCUUCUCCUUUCGCCUCCCUAUAACGGUUUUCCAGAAGAGGACAUUGCUCAAUCCUCAAUUUCUGCAGUGUCGUCAAUUGAAGAAGGUAAUCCGGCAGCACCUUUAAUUUGGGGCAAUACUCAAUUUCCAAGGAAGAAAGACGUGGUAUGUCUGUUGUCCUGUGAUCUUCUAGAAUGGGCAGUUCUUCCAAAUUUUCACAAAAACUAAUACUCAGUUCCUGCAGUGCCGUCGUUUGAAGAAGGUAAUCCGGCAGCGCCUUUAAUUUGUUGAAACCAGAAACUGUUAAAGAAGAAAGACGUGGCAUGAUGGAGAUGUUUUCCUUCCUCGUAAUCCUGUAAUUCCACUCUUCCAAUUCUUCCAUGUCCCAAAUUAUGAGUGAUUUCAAUUUGGGGAAGGCAAUAACUGAUGGUGAUGAUGAAGAUGAAGACGGGCCAUCCUCACUGCUUUCUUCUAUUCCCAAAAACUCAUUACCCACUCUUUUUACACUUUUCAAGUGGAUGAUUACGAGUUUUUCCAGAGGCAAUUUUCCCAAAGGAGGCAAAUGCUCACACUUAACGCACGAGCGAAGAUAUAAAUUCCUUAGAUUGGUCAGUGAAGUCAACCAUUUGGGAAAAAUGUUGCGUCCAUAUAAUAUAAUCCCUAAUUUCUCUAAAUUCACAGGCGGUUGUAAGGCUUCAAGAAGUAGUUUAUCUUUCUCAUUCUUCCUCCUCCCUUCUUCGCCUUCCCCAGCUACGACUCUACCAAACGCAAGAUGCAAACGAAGGAGGUUUUUCUUAUUGUAAAGUUGUGACCUCUCAGCCUCAUCUACAUGCGAUACAUUACCCAGCCCUUCUAUUCCACAUUCACGAAGGAGUUGAAGAUUUUUCAGAGAUUCAAGCCUACACGUGCUGCCGCCAUCAACACCUCCACCCACAACAAACUUUUCUAAUGUUCGAAGACUCGUUAAUUUGGAAAUCCCUAUUGGCAGGUACUUCAACGAACGAGUUUUAUCAUUCAGUAAACUCCUCAUGUUCAUUAACUUCCCAAUCCCCGCUGGCAAUUCUCUAAGAUUCUGGCACCACCUAAUAUCUAGCUUUUGUAAAUUAUAUAAUUCACACAAAGUCUCAGGUAGUCUCUUUAUGCCUAAUUCAGAUAAAUUAAGAUAUUUUAAAUGUAUCAAUUUUUCAACAUUUUCUGGAAUUUUUCUAAUCC